GUGGCAGCGUCCCCUGGAUCAGCAAUGAUCGCCACCUCCUCAUCUUCCUCCUCCUCUUCCUCUUCGAUCUUCACCACCUGCGCGGCCAGAGCCGAAUGGGGUUCGAGCCGGGUCAGGCACGAACGCAAGAGCGGCCCAGCAUCAAUUCCGCCGUCGCCGAUGGCUAAUUUUGGGGACGGAACCGAAUGGGGAAGCGACCCUAGGUCGCCGGGGUCACCGUUGCCAACAGCAGCAACGGACGCGAUCACUUCUCGCGAUCUCGCGAAAGGUUCCGCCUUCUCUAGCUGAAUACUCGACUCUCGAAAGAGGGUGUCGAAAGACGACGCGCGCGGUUCAUCGGUACGGCCGCCUCCGGGGGCCGCCGUAGUCAUUUUGACCUCGAGCUCGAGGUCCCAAGGCGGAGAUGGCAUGGGAGAAUUUCGAGCGAAUGAAUGUACAUGGCGGGUGAAUCUCCUAUCGAGAGAGCGAGGGAGACAGGGCUCGAGACUGUCGAGCGUGCGAGUGACAGGGGGGGUAACGAUUACGGACCGUUGGAUCCGACACGGGAUGCACCUGGUACGAGGAGGGGGCGCCUUUUCGUCUUGUCGGAGGGUCCCGUGCGGGAGUGCCACGUUUCGAUGUGCUGCUUGUCUAUCUAAGCAAAUUUCAGUUGGCUUGUGUGAACGCCGUUUUCAUAGUCCAUGGCCUACAAGGCAUCGACCAGCGAAUUGGAACUGCCGGGAUAGCGAUGCUUUGCAUAAUUUUCCAUGGCCUCCAUCGGAAAAAUAUUGAGCCAGAUGUACCAUUUAUAUAAUUGUCAAAACAUACUGUUCAUGUUUGUGUUAACACGUUUUUAAAAUAAUAUUCAUUUUCAAAAAAAAAAUCAUAUACGUCAUGGAAAGAAUUUCAAACCUUUUCUUAUCUAGCUAUUAGAGCUUUUUAUAAUAUAGGGAAAAAAAAGAGGACGAGUGCCUUAAAAGUACUCACAAAGUAUAUUAUCAUUGUCAUAGGAGUUUUCGAUAAAAACAUUUAUUAUUGUUUGACAGGGAUUAAUGUAGGAUAAACAUGUCGGGGAGCUAAAUGUAACAAAGUUGUGUGAAAAACUAAAUGUUGAAUUACAAGGAUUGUGUCUCAAAAAAUGUGAGAGAAUUUAUUACAAGUAUAAAGGAAUUUGCGAACCUUGGCAUUUAAGGUUAAUACCACGCAAUAUUUUAGGAUUUCGUGCAAAAUAUUUAGAAGAACCACUCAUUUUCCAUUACAAAAUUCACUUCAUCAAUAACAAUGGUGUUACACAUGCCAAGGCAAUAAUUACUGUGAUACGUCACAUGACAAGAGAAAGAUACUCAUUUUCCAUCACAAAAUUCACUUCAUCAAUAACAAUGGUGUUACACAUGCCAAUGCAAUAGUUACCGUGAUACAUCACAUGACAAGAGAAAGAUAAUAUUAUCUAAUCAAUUCUUAUCUUAUUGUUUUCUCAUUAAGUACAUAAAUAACUUCCUUUGGUUACUCAUCUAUUUUUAGAUCCCUAAUUUGGGUUUCCUCUCUACGAAAGUAUUUCAUAUCGCUUGUUAAUGGAGUUUCAAUAGACGCCAUACUUGUGUUUGUUCACCUAUCAAUUUUAAGUUUUUAGGUUGAAUUUUCUAAUGCAGUGUUAGAGGCGGGUUCUGCCUCGAUUUAUUUUAUUUGUACAAGUAUCCCAGCGCUUGCCCAUUGAGUUUAAAGCACUCGCGUAUUCACAUUGCGGCCUACUUUUUAUUGCUAUAAACUUUCGGAUGAAUGAAGCUUUUUUUUUUUGAAGCUGUCUACCGCAUCGUCCAACGUCAAAAUGAAUAACGAAUGUUGGGUUGCUGAACUUUUAUGAGUGCAUUUGGGAUCUUCUUUGGAAAGGGACUUUUUGUGUCCAAAGUUCAUUUGGUCAAAUAUUGGUAUUUGGUAAAAAUUUUAAAACUCUUAUUGAGAGAAUGCUAACCUUUUAAAGGCUGAAAGCCCAAAAUAGGUCCUAGGCUGCUUUGGGCUUUUAGCAUUUUCAAAAGCCCAUGGGUUCCCGUUCAUCUCUUUUCCAAUGGUGUGGUUGCGUGUGACUAGUCGAGGAUGAGCUGGAGAGAGGCCAAUGAGGUCGUGGUUGAGGCUAGCGACCGUCACCAUCUAGUCGCGUGACCCCCGUGAAGGGCCGCCUGAGGUCACACUACCUUAGGCGCGACCCAAAUAUGGGUUGUUGGAGGUCGCGUGACCUUGCUGCGACCAAAUCCGUCGUCGGAGGUCACAUGACCUCAGGCGCAACCUAGAUCUAGGUCACGACAAGGUCGCAUGACCUUUGUGAAGGGCUAUCGGGGGUCGCUUGACCCCAGGCGACCCUCACCGGUUGUCUUCGGGGGUUACUUGAGGUCGUCAGCUAACUUUUUUUUUUCUUUUGAUAUUUUUUUUUAAAUCACAAAAAUUCUUUGUAAAUAUAAUCUCUCCAAACACUAUUUUAUUUAAAAGUAUUUCAUAAUGAACUUUCAAAUUACAAUUCAACAAAUACAAUUUACAUUUUGAAAAAACCCUUUUAACUUAAAAUCAUUUGUAUUUUUCCAAAGGCUUUCUCUAAAUGUCCAACCAAAUGCACCUUAUGUGGUCUGAUGAAAGAGAGCGAGUGAGGGGGAGACGCAUGAAGACGGGAGUGUAAGUUUGCCCAAUGAGCGAGUUCAGGAGGGUGCAUUCGCGGGAGAACGAAAAGACAGAAAAGACCACAAAGGUUUGGGGGAAAGGAAUAGUUGCAAAAGUUGUUCCUCUUUACUUUGAACUUUGCCAAGAUUUUGGGAGAAGGGAGAUGGACAGCUGCGCAGCGGUACAGGUUUUGAUAUUUUGAUUAUCACUGUAAAUGUGUGUUAUUGACACGUGGACCAAUCAUUGGUUACUUUCGUUGCCAUCUCGAUCUUGUCUUUACCUAACUCGCAUUCUUGCUUGGACAUGACAACCGACAGCCUUGUAGUACUAUGGUUUCUCAUAGGGUCAUCGCCCUUGCUUAAGACACAUGAGCAAUCGUACUAAAGGUGAAUUGGAAACAAGGCCAAAGCAAACGCUACUAUAUGUAGUUGAACCGAUUGCAGAGCCCAUCGUUCAUUCUCAUGAUGUUUAGUAGUCGCUGAUCUAUCUUGAGGCCAAGAUUAGAAAGGUGCAAAAAGCAUAGAAAGUUGACUAAGAGCUUGUUUGGUAACUGGCCAAACAACAUUUUACUUUACUCUCUCUUUUUUUUUUUUUUUUUUUUUUUUAUGGUAACCUCGUAAGCCGAAAGAUGGUGAGCAAACCUUAGAAGGUGAGGGGGUUCAAAUCCCCACCUUCUUAGGGGGGGAUGGGGGGAUAGGGACGCGUAAGUUUCGAGAGUGGGUUGCGACUCCCACGCCCUGCAAGAGGUAGGGCACAAGUCUGCGAGUGAGUGUAGAGUAGGCAUAGAGUAGGACUGACAAAAAAAAAAAAAACCUUAGGAGAGCGACUGCAGGACCCACCACCACAAUAUUCCAAGUAAGAAUCACUAAUGACGCAUCUGGGAUUCGAACUUCUCAUUUUCAUGAGGGGGAGAGAGCCUGAGCUAGUAACGCCGCUACAGGCGGUGAUUUUGACUUUAUUCUUUUGUUCUUUAAAAAAAAAAAGAACAAAAAUUCAUUUGGUAGCUUUUUUGUUCUUGAGAAUAGAUUUGAAAACAUAAUAAAAAAGUAAAAAAAAGUUGCUUAUUUGUUUCUAAUAAAAACUUCUUAAUCAAGAGCAUUUUUUUUCUUUUCUUCUUCUCCUUCUUCUUUUCGCCGGUCGCAAGCUCUUGGUGAGACUUAGCCUUGUUGAUUGAGCCUCAUUGGUGGCUGGGCAAAGCUCAGCCAUGACCAUGUACUGAUUAACAAUAUGAACAACAUGGGCAACGUUAGGUUGACUAAAACCAAGACAUAUAUAAGACCGACAAUCAACUGUUGAUAGAGUGUAGGAUUAUAAAGAGGAGUCUCAUUGUUGGCAUCAAACUUGGAUUUUGUCUCAAUAAGAACUGUAGUGACUUUGUUGUCAUUAAGUUUGGCUUCAGAAAAAAAAUCAGCAGCAUAUUUUGCUUGUGACAAAUAAUAACUAGAGAAAUUCAAAUUAACCCCAUGUCUAAAAAGUAGCUAAGUCAUCUAAGAGUGAUCGGUUCCAAGGUGAGAUAGUUCCAAAGUUGGAACCUAGAACAUGCUAUGUUAUAAUCAAUUCUCAAUUUUUGGAUCUUGGAACCCAUUCCAUUUGCUUGAAGCCGCAUCUAGAACCCCCCUUGUUUUUCGGGUUCAAUUCCAAAGUCCAUCUGAAAGCCUAUUUUUUUCAUCCCUUUUUUUUUGUUUUUUUUUUUACAGCAAAAUCACAUGAGGUUAUUGGCAACAAAAUAGUUUAAAGUAAAAGAUGAACAACAAAAAUCCUUAUUUGCAAGAAAAAAUGAUCUAUAAAAUGAACACGUAGUCACGUAUAAUUAUAAAUAAUAAAGAACAAAUGUGUAACAUAAAACAUAAAUUAUGAAACUCCGUGUCCUAUUCAUCCUUAAAAUUUAGGGGAAGGGGAAAGACUAACAAGGAGUUCCGAAGAAGGACAAAUGACGAAUGAGUACCGAUAUUAGAAUUUAAGAGAAAAAAUUAGGGUUUUAGCUUUUUAACUUAUAAAACUAAUUUUGAAACUAGUUUCAAAGCAGGGUGUUUGGUUCAACUCCUGGAUAAGUAUUUACCUAGAACCAAUUCCCAGACCAGUUUUAACUUGUUCCAAAAUUUUAGAAUCUAUUCCUAGACCAAUUUCAACAGGAAUCGGAUCUCAGACUUGUUUUUUAGGCGGUCCAGUUUGAUCCAGUUGCACACUCCUAAUUAUAAUUAAAAAUGGGAAAGUAAGCUCGCUCUUUAAUGCAAUUUGUAUUUUCUUGGACUUUUCGCUACAAAUUUGUUGUGCAUCUUGUCAAAUGAAAUGACGGGACUUUGGAAUUAUUCAUAUUGGUAGAGACUAGGGAGAAGAUUAGUUCUCUUAAAAGAUUCACUUGGAAAGUUAAGAAUGCACUUAUUUCAUGAAAGAUAAAUUAUCUAAAAAAUAUUGUUUAAAAAGAUAAUCACUUUUUGUUGCUUGAAAAAAAAAUGAAUGAAUGUUAAAUAUUCUCUUCAUUCACGAAAACAUUUUAAUAUAAAUUAUAAUCGAUAAUGAAAAUAUUUUAUUGAGUAAUUAUUUCAAUCAAUAUGAACAAUCACUUUUAGAAAAAUACUUUCAAAUAAUUCAUUUUUUUAGAUAAAUGAUUCUAAGAAUCAUGAUGAAAAUCAAUAGAAAAAACUUUAUAUAAGCCAAUGUCAUGUCGGAUUUUAACACUCUUUUGAAGGGUUAAAACUUCAAUGCUAAAGCAUAUGCCCUUCAUCCAAUAAACUCGUUUAGCUUCUAGUUGAAUGAUUACUACCAUUGACUAAGCAAUGUUGUCAUGAAAAAGUUCCAAUCACGAUGUACCAUCAAUCAACUGAAAAAAAAUAAAAAAAAUUCAUCUUCUCCUUUCUUGACAUGUGGAAGCUGAUGAGGCUAGAAAGUAUCGUUUAGAGGAGGGCUAAAUAGGUGAAUAUAUUUUGACAAUUUAAAGCAGAUAAGAAUGAGUUAAGAUUAAAAUCUGAACUAAGGUUAGAUUUUGGAAUAAGGUUCAGAAUCUGAUAUGCAGUAAAAUAGACUUUAGAUGCAUCCAGCGAGUGUGCACUAGAUUAUAGUAAUAAACAAUAAGAGUUAACGGAAGAGAGAAAUUGCACACAAAGUUUAUAAUGGUUCAGUUUAAAUCAAGCCAAUGUUCACUUUUUUUACAUUGAUAGCUUACUGGCUAGAUUGUACUAGAUAAUCAAUAAAAAAAUUACAAUAUCGACGGUACGCAUUUAGUGAUAAAUCACACUAACUCACUUAGUAACUCUUUUUAUAUUUCUCUCACAAUCACAAAAUUGAAUCUCCCAAAAGAUAAGUGCAUAAUCGAAGUUCACUAAGACUUUUGAAUUCUAGAUUCUAGACCUCGUCUCUUAGAUGCUUAUUGGCACCUUGGUCUCCUUAUAUACUCAUCUACUUCCAAAUUGGCCAUUGGAUUGUCUCUAGAGGAUCAUAUUCCUAUCUACCAUUGGGCAGAUCUGUAUCAAGAAGAUUGGAUGGUCGGUGAGUGACAAAACUUAAAUCCCCACUUGAUUUUGACUGUCCAUAGGACCAGAGUUUUAGUUUUCAUAAGUAGAGAUUCUCCAUCUAGAUAGAACGUGUCUUGGGAUUGCUUUUUCAAUCAAAUAAGAUUGAGUCAAUCAAAUCUUUCUAGGUGUGAAAUCCAAACUAGAUCACCAGCUAUUCAUCCUGAACUGAUCAUGUUCUGGAUUUUAGUAGACUUUUGAAACGUGAGAGAUCUCUAAGAAUUUUUUUUUUUGAACAGCUCUAAGAAUUAAAUUAGCAUAUUUUAUCAAAUUCCACAAUCUUGAUUCAUAUUCUUCAUACACAGCUUACCCAUCAUGACUUUUUAUUUUCUUUUUUCUUUUUUUUGAUCAUAAUAAUGUUGUUUACGAGACCCAUUUAUGUUGUAUUUCCACAUCAAAUCCUCAUCACGCCUAUCAUCCGACUUGUUUGAGAUUUUUUAUGAUAUGUAAACUAAUUUAGAGUGUAUGCGAUAUGAGUGUAUUGGUUUGAAAUUUUUUAAGACAAAAAAAAAUAAUUGGAGAAGGAUGGGGCACGAUGUACAUAUUGUAUGAGGCCAUUAACCAUUAAACUGAAAUUGAACUUUGGCACUAUAAACGGCUUCUCUUAUACAUAACUAGUUACAAAAAGAGAGAAAAGAAAAAGAAAAGCUUAGUGCAAACUAAGAAAAAAGAACCCAGAGAGCUCUUUGUUACAAUGGAGACCAAGGAAGAAACCACAACAUAUAUAAUAAGUAUUGAGCAUUUACCAUUGACAAAUGAGUUCAAUGGCUGGAUUCAAUCACUUCACUUCAGAUACUCCCUCCGACUAUGCAAAGGCUGCUUUCUGUGACCUGGAUCACAAAAGAUAGCAGCAGCAUAUAACAGUAAGAACAGAGCUGGAGCAGCAUGGAAAUUUUUAGGGCGUUAGUCCCGCUGCUUGCUUCUCCAGCCCACUUGUGUACUCACUCCAACCACACGACUUAUCAGUCAGACCCUCCAGCUCAAGAUAGAUUCCUGGGUCAUCCAUCGCAUCGUUGCCCACGACCAUGUUGUCUCUGACGAGUUUCUCCGACAUCUCAUGGAAAACCGAAGGCAAAUCUGACGGACUAUCUCCGGCGAACUGAUUGGGUGUCUGACCCUGCAUAACCCUGAAAUCCGCACCACCCAUUGGAGGAGGCCAGAGGUUGUGCAUCCGAACGGUCUCAAGCUCCACCUGUAAAACAUUAUUUGACUGAGACUCCAUCUGUGCCGAAUCAUCACCGAUUCUCAGGCACUCAAAAUUCGGGUUUUGAAUCUUGUGAACCGUUACUUCGAGCAAGCAUUCGGUGGCUUUGUUAUUGGGACCAAUCAAUUUGGUCUUAUUGCGCGAUUCACAAGCCUCUGAUUCUCUCUUCUGCCUCCUCUCUUGGAUUACAUGCUGGACAGAGUUCGGUCUUUUGGCUGCUUUGGAGAGGAAGAGGAGCAUCCGCUGAUACCCUGCUCUUGGCAUAGCAAAUCCGCUCGACGACCUGGUUGAUCUCAUGCUGCGAGUGCUUCCACUCUUCUCUUAGUUUCAGGAUCUCGGCCUUCAACACUCCUUGGUCCUUCUUGAGCAUUUCAAGUUCAGCUUCCUUUCCAGCCUCCGGGUAAUCAGAAGCAACAGUACUACUCGAUGUUUUCGUAUGAUCGCUGAGUUUGUGUCUCCUCCUUAUGUUCUUCGGCAAGUGCUUCUUCCCUUCCUAAAAACCUUGGUUCACAAACUCCCAUCGAUCUGUAUCGAUCUUCCUAAAACCCUGCGACUUAUCUUGGAUCGUGAUGCAUGAAGAAUGGAAGAUAGGAGGAAGCUGGGUCGAGGAGUUUAUUUAGUCCCAUAUAGAAAACCCAGGUUACAAAGCAUCUCAAGGACAGAUCGUUUGCAAUGAUUCAAACACCGGUACUAAGAAUGUAUGGACAAUCUAAUGACUCAAUAUCAAUCCGUCAACUUCAUAAAUACGAAGACAUGAGUGCAGAAUUAUGCUUUUGGUCUUGCCCAAAAAGAAGAGAAGUGUCAGAAGGCUUUACCAAAAUAUCGGAUAGAAACAAAGCGAUGGCCAAGGAAUCUCAUUUUCAGCUAGAAAGUGCAAAAUUGAGCAUCAAAACAGUAAAAAGAAAAACAUUAACAAGAAGAUGCUGUAGUGUAUUUCUAAUCCAAAUUAAAAUUUACCAUUGGAGAAAGCACUCAAAUACAAAUCCGGUGAAGAGAUAAAUCUUUAAUGGGUAUUCUGACGUCAUGGUUGACAUGGUAGUUUCUGCAAACUACCAUCAAAAGCAUCAUCACUUGAAUAUGAUGAUGGGCCAUUGUAUGUACCACGAGCAAAACGUCAAGAGUGGAGUCCCUUGGAUCCUAGCCUCUUUGCCCUGGGGACUAUCCGUUGGUCCAAGAGGAUCACACUCUGGACGACAUAAAAAGAAGCAGAGCCGAAACAGAGUCAAACCAAAAAAACAGAGCUGAAACAGAGUCAAACCAAAAUAAAUAUGCAGACAUUAUACGCAUUCAUACGAAUAGUUUGCUCUCACGUAUGGGGAAAGCUUCAAGCAAAAACAAGGUCAAAAACAACAAUCCCGUUCGAAGGAGUACCCACGUAAGUGUUGAGCUGCCUGAUGAAGCUGGAGACGUUGCAGUGCUUGAAGUAUCGAGGCAGGACCUCCUUCGAGAACUCGUGUGGGUCUGACACCACCGUGUCCGUGCUUGGGUCCGACACCAUCUCGUAUGUCUUCCUCAGGAAGGGCGCCAGCCCUGCCUCCCCCAGCCCUUGCAUUGGUCUCACCACUUCGUCCACCGCUGCCUGCAACGAGCACGAUGGCGAUAGGCGGCAGCCUCCCUGGGAUCAGCAAUGACCGCCACCUCCUCAUCCUCCUCUUCCUCUUCGAUCUUUACCACACGUGCAGCCAGAGCGGAAUGGGGUUCGGGCCGGGUCUGGCAGGAACGCAAGAGAAGCCCGGCAUCAAUUUCGCCAUGGCCGAUGGCUAUUUUUGAGGAUGGAACUGAAUGGGAAAGCAACCCUAUCUCGCUGAGGUGACCACCGUCAAGAACAGCAAUGGACGCGAUUUCUUCUCGUGAUAUCAUGAAAGGUUCCGCCUUUUCUAGCUCAACACUCGAUUCUCGAAAGAAGGUGUCGAAAAAUGACGUGCAUGGUUCAUCGGUACGGCCGCGUCCGGGGGGUGCCGUCGUCAUUUUGACCUCGUGUUCAAGGUCAAAGGCGGAGAUGGUAUGAGAAAUUUUCGAGCAUUCUAUUGAGAGAGCAAGGGAGACAGGCCUCGAGACUGUCUAGUGUUUGGGUGACGCGGGAGGGGAUGGGUAUCCGGCUUUAUAUACGUGGGAAAAAGUCCAAAAGUGUCGCCGCGUCUCUCCUCCCUUACAUGAGAACCGAAACCCUUGGAAAAAACUAUGAUUACUUGCACUUGGUCAAGCUUUCUUAAAACAUGCGAGCAAUCAUGCUUAAGGUGAAUUGGAGACAAAGGUCAAAGCAAACCCUAAUAUAUCAGGACCUCGCAGAACCAAAAUCGUGCAAUUUCCGGCAGAAUGAUUGGACCAAUUUGGAAAUUCCAGUUCUCCGUUCAAAGCUCUCCUCUGCUCUUUGGGUUCUCUUUCUUGAGUUUGGCUGUGGCGUGAUACGAGUCAGCAAGAAAAUUUAAAAAUAUCGACUAGACAGGAACAUCUUUGCACUUUCUUCGUGUGGAAAUGAUGGAAGCAAGCUUAUUUUCCUUACGAGGAAACACUCAGUCAAAGCCACUCGAAAGGGUUUUAAUAUAACCCACAACCUAAAUUACAAGAAAGCUAAUUUCGAAGAAUAGCGUACCAAUUGGGAGUCUGAAAAUCUUUCCUUCCUUUUGCGGCUUCAAACAUGAGUAUUUGUAAGGUUCAUGUUGGAAUUCAGAGGAUCGAUGCUAUCGUCGUUCUUUGCAUCACUUGGUUGCAUUGCACCCCAAAGAUUCCAACAUUCCUGUCUGAUGCUUGAAAUGUUAUUAUAGAUUGUCUGCAAUGAUUCAGCAAUUUUGCAACCAAUCCCUACAUCAUUCGCCGGGAAACUUAUAAAAUCCAUAUGUGGUCAGACUCCAAUGAGGAAAAACAAUUUACGCAACCAUAAGUUUCUUGAUUGUUGGCAAAUGGCUAGAUCUUACAUGAAAUAUUAGCUUUCUUCUGAUUAGCUGAACCAACAAUAGCACAAAAGGCGAAGCCAGUUAUGUUAUGACAAUAUAUUUCAAUGUGUUUGGUGCUUUGAUGGAACGUGUCAUUAUGUGAUAUUUAGAUAGCACUUCGGUUGUUGCGAUAAUGACUUUUCCGCUAUUACGACACACUCCAAUAUCUCCUAGUAGCUAUUGCAACCAUAGUAACUCUAAUGUGGUAUUAGCAAUAGCUUGACAUUCUUUUUUUGUACUAGAGUGAUCGACAAUGGUAUGUUUUCUGCUAGACCAUGAGAUAAGUGAUUUUUCCAAAAAGAAAUAGCAGUUCAUAGUGGAGCAAAAAUAUUGAGGGUCAUUAUUAGAAUAAGCUAUCAAAUCUAAGAUUGAAUGAGUAGAAAAUUGAAGGCCUUGAAAUAAUUUAUUCAUGACAUAUUGAAGAAUUCGAAACACUACAGCAAAAUGGGUUGCACGAGGCACGAUCAUGUACUAACUAACAAUGUGAACAUUAUUAGCGAUGUUAGGUUGAGUAAAAGUGAGAUAUAUAAGACUGCCAACCGACAAUUAAUAGAGUGUAUAAUUCAAAAUAGGGGUCUCAUAUCUGGCAUCAAACUUGGCUUUGGUCUCAAUAAGAGUCGUAGUGACUUUGUUUGGCUCAAAAAAAAAAACCAUAGUUUGCUUGUGACAAAUAAUAACUAGAUGAAUUUGAACUAAUCUCAUGCCUAAAAGUAGCUUAGUCACUUAGAGGUAAUCGGUUUUAGGGUGACUAGGUUCUAGAGCUAGAACCUAAAACCUACAUUAUUAUAAUCAGUUCCAAAUUUUUGGACCUCAGAACCUAUCCUAUUUGCUUCAAACCUACCAUUUUUAGCGGGUUCGACUCCAUAGUCUACCCAAGAACCUGCCUUUUUUGUUUUUUGCUUCCUUCCUUUUUUUUUUUUUGUUCAUCUUUUUUAAAAUCAUAUGAGGUUAUGAGCAAUAAAAUGAUUCAAAGUAAAAGAUAAACAACAAAAAUCCCUAUCAACAAAAAACAACAAUCUAUAAGAUGAACACAUAGUCACUCAUAAUUAUAAAUAAUAAAAAAGUUCAAACGCAUAACAUAACACAAAAGUUAUGAAACUCUAAUUUCCAUUCAUCCAUAAAAAUUUAGGGGAAAAGGCGAAAGAUUGGUAAGGACUUCCAAAGAAGGAUAAAUGAUGAAUGAGUGUUGAGGUUAGAAUUUAUGGGGAAAAAUUAAGGUUUUAACUUUUCAGCUUAUAAAACUGAUUUUGAAACAAGUUCCAAAGCAAGGUGGUUUGGUGGUGGGUAUUUACUUAGAACCCACUCUUGAAUCAGUUCCAACAAGUUCCAUUCUAGGACCUAUUUUCUGGGCAAUUCGGCCUGGCUCUAAUAGAACUGGUCCAGCUGCACACUCCUAAUUAUAAUAAAAUUUAUUUUCAUAAUUAUGAAAGUAACCUCCCUCUUGUAAGCAAUUUGUAUUUUCCUAGACUUUUUGCUUCAAAUCUACUGCACACCUUUUUAAUUAAUGUGAUGGGACUUCAGAAUUAUCCACUUCGCCAGAGACUUGGGAGAAGAUUAGUUCUCUUAAAAAAUUCACUUGGAAAGCUAAGAAUGCACUUAUUUCAUGAAAAAAAAAACUCUAUUUAAAAAUAAUUAUUUUUAAAGAUAAUCACUUUUGUUGCUUGAAAAAAAAAUGAAUAAACGAUAUAUAUUCUCUUAAUUCACAAAAAUAUCUCAAUAUAAAUUAUAAUCGAUAAUGAAUUUUUUUAUUGAUUAAUUAUUUCAAUUGAUAAAAACGAUCACUUUAUGAAAAAUACUAUCAAAUAAUUUGUAUUUUUAGAUAAAUGAAUCCUAAGAAUCACAAUGUAAAUCAGUAGAAAAAACUUGUAUUAGACAAUGUUGUGUCGUAUUUUAACACCGUUUUGAGGGAUUCAAACUCCGAUGCUAAAGCAUAUGCCCUUAUUUUAAUAAACUCCUUUAGCUUCAACCAGUCAAAUGAUUACCGCCAUUGACUAAGUAGUGUUGUUAUGAAAAAGUUUCAAUCACAAUGUACCAUCAAUCAACUUCUCAUUUGAACCAAAAAAAAAAAAAAAUCAACUUUUCCCUUCUUGACAUGUGGAAGCGGAUGAAGUUAGCAAGUAUCACACAGAGGGGAGGUUAAUAGGUGAAUCUAUGAAAUCUUGACAAUUUAAAGCAAAAUUGAAAGAGUCGAGAUUAAAGUCUGAAUAAUGGUCAGAUUUUGGAACAGGGUUUAGAAUUUGUUAUGUAGUAGAGAAACACUUAGCGAGUGUGCAAUUUAUUAUAACAAAAAUAGUAAAAGUUUAGAGAAAAAAAGAAAUUGCACACAAGGUUUAUAAUUGUUCGAUUUAAAUCAAGCUUACGUCCACUUUUCCAUCUGACAACCUAUUGACUUGCUUCCACUAGAUGAUCUAUAAGAGAUUAUAAUAUUUAGUGUAAGCACUUGGUGAUAGAUCACAUUAUUUCACUUAGUCAUUCUUUUUGUAUUUCUCUCACACUCACAAAAUUGAAGCUCGUGAAAGAUAAGUGUGCGAUCGAAAUUCACUCAAACUUUAGAAUUCUAGAUCCUAGGUAUUGUCUCUUACAUGAUUCUCGGUAACUUGGUCUCCUUGUAUAUUCAUCCACUUCCAAACUAGCCAUAGGACUAUCUUUGGAGAAUCGUCUUCCAAAUGUAUUCAUUGGACAAAUUUGAAUCUAGAAGAUUGGAUGUUUGUUGAGUAACACAAAGCUGAAUUUCCACUGAUUAUGGCCAUCCGUACAAUCAUAAUCUUGAUUUUCAUAAGUAAAGCUUAUCUAUUUCGAUAGAACUUGUCUCAAGAUUGAUUUUCUAAUCGAAAAAAAAAAAUUGACUCAUUUAAAUAUUUCUAAAUAUGAAAUUCAAACUAGAUCAUUAGCUUUUAUUCAUCAUGGAAUGAUCACGUUUUGGACCUAUCACAUUAUGGGCUUGCUUUAUUUUAAACUUCUCACAUUUUGAACUUGCCGUGUUUUGAACUUGCAUCAUAUGGGGAAUGAAGGUAACUCUCUUGGUCCUUAUCUUCAAUAAAAGAUCUAGACUUAAGUCUAAGCUUGUUCAAUCUGAAGUAGACUUUGUAAUUCAUACUAGAGCAAUUUUCUAGAUUAACAUACUUCAAGACAAUUAUCAGACUUAAAAUUUUAUGACCAAUUUUGUCAGCAAAAUCUACUAGAACCUUGUUGAUUGAGAACGGUAUCUAUGACAUUCUAAAUUUCAAGUUUUCUUUUCAAUUGAAUAAAUUGGGCUUUUUUAUCGACUCGCUUAUAGUUCUUUUCUCUAAGUUGGCCACUCGAGAUAACUAGUCUAUCAGGUGAAGCCGUUAAGGAAUCUAAAUGCAAUAGACUUGAGAAUUCAACUAGGAAUCAAUUGCUCGACCGUGCUAAUAUGCAAGGGUCAUUACAGCACUAUCAAAAUUGAUCAAAGACCGGAGAUAGGUCGAUUCGAUAGAGGUAUGUGAUUAGUAUGUGAGUGAUUCCACCUAAUUGCAAAAUUUCUGUUGAACAGCACUAGAUCGAUUUUUCUGUCAUUACCCUGUGUCCGUAUUUGAAAUCUCGAGAUUUUCACGACAACCGAGAGUCGCCAAUAUGUCAAAGAUGUACAAUGUGGCUAAAAAAUAAUCGAUCACGAGUCAAUUAUACUAAAAAUUCCUAAAAGCUACUCGGUAGGUUAGGUCAUGCUAAAAUCGCACCUAAUUGAAAUUAACCGUGAAUUUGAACCUGAUUUCAGAAAUUGAAAAUUCUGUCAUGUUACAAUUCAUUUUAGAAGUGUCGACUCGCCUUCCGAAGAUUUUUCUGUAAACCAAGAUUUUUGGCAAAAAUUCAAAGUAGGGUUUUUUUUACCAAGAAAAUCAUAGAAUCAUUUUUGGUCGCAUUUUUGAGAUUCAAGUUAGAUAAAUUGACGAGGAAAAAUGUGAAUUCAAUGGGCACCUUGGUUGGAUUUAUGGACUCCAAUUUAGGUCCAAUUGGAGAGGGAUUGAAUGGAAUUGAAUGGGGAUUGCACAAAAUUCGUAGGCCUUCGUGAUGUGCAACAUUUGGACCCUUGGGAGGCUUGCCAAGGAAGCUUGAGGGCUGCAAUAUGGCAAAGGAUGACAACCAAGGAGUGGUGGGUCAAUAAUUCAAGUGUUUUAGAUAUUUGUGUGGCCCCUCCUAUUGCAACAGCCAUCUUUUCCCUUCAGCAGCCCACUUUCCCCAUUGUUGAAGCUCUAGCAAGCUGAGAAAAUUGUACAGAAACCAGCUCUCCCUUCCCCCUUGUCGUCGCACGCCUGCCUACCAUCGUCGCGCCUCACCGCGCUGCUCUUAAGCCUGUUGUGCCACCGCUGUCCCAUGCGCGCCACUUCGCUCAUCCGGCCUCCUAACGCCAACAUCUGCUUCUGUUUGCAAGUCCAACAAGCCUUCCAACCAUUGUAUGUGACCGUCCAAGUUGCCGAAAGUCCCGCCUAGGCUACUGUAGCCAUCGCUGUCUAGCCUUGCUGUUUCCAGCCGUCAGUCCAACCUUUUAGCUCGGCUAAGAGCUUCGUACGGCUUUUUCAAGGCCAUCUGGACCCCGCUUGGUGUCGCCGUAGGGUUGUUUAUUGCUUGCCUUCGCAUCGCCGUCGCCAUCGCCGUGAACUCAUCAGAACGCUAAACUGGUGAGUUUACUUGCUAAACUCUGCUUAGAGAGUUAAUGAUACUUAAGAGAUGAUUAGUUUAGGCUAAUUAAGGUUUAGGUGGAUAGUUAGAAUAGAUUAGUGAUUUAAUUAUCCAUUUGUGUAUGUUAGGUGGUUAGAAUGGAUAGAUUAGGGACUAGAGUAGUCAUACUAUUUAUCUAGAUAGGUUCGAAAAUUUUCUCGGCUCGUUCGGGCGGUUAAUUAAGCAUUUUCGGCCUAAGUUGCUAUUUAUUGCAUUUAAAUUAAAUUAUUUAAUUAAUUACGGCACUUAUUUUAUUAAUUAAAAUUUUCCAGAAAUUAUACCGGGAUAGCCGGUGACCGAAAUUUCGCACUGAUUGCAAUGGUGUGAUUAAUUUCUGCAAUUGAGCGUUAAAUUGUGCAAAUUGAGUGGUAAUUGCAAUUUUGAGUAUUUAGUUCAAAAUUUGAAAAUUUCGGUAAUUAUUUAAAAAUUAUCGGGUGUCGGGUUUUGACAUCGAAAAUGGUUUUAAAUACUAUAUCCAAUAAAGAGAUUUGAAAAGGAAAAAUAUCAAUUUUUCUAGUGUGAAUUGACCGUGUACCCACAGAUGACUAUUGUAUCGUGUAUUUCUAAUACAAAGAAAAUAGGUCAGGUUCACCAUUUUAAUUAAAGCAUUUAAGUACAAUACACAGUAUCCUGGGCCGAGAUUGAAUGUCGUGUGUUGGUUAAGAGAACUCGUCCCGAGCUAUUGAGCUGGACGUACCCCUAUAUGGGAUGCCCCUAGACAAUGGAAGCUGGUUGCAGUAGAUUCUAAACCCAUGCUCCUUUGGGAAAGCCAUCUAGUAGAUAUGUUGCCGUGCUCAAUGGGGUGAGACGAUGCCUGGCCACGCCAAAAGACCGUCGAACAUCGAGUAGGCCGUGCCGUUGAGCUAAGAUCAAAACUAGGAAUGCAUGAGUAAUUUAGUUAAAUGCAUCAGGUUAUGGGACAAAAUUGUGUGAUACGGUAUGGAACGUGUCAUAACGAUUCGGCCUUAUAACUAGGACCCCUGUGCUUGGUUGAAAUUGAGUGUGGCAUUCCAGUUGAUUGAGCUUGAUUGCUACUCAUGUUUUUAUGGCCGUCUAAGAUAUGAAUUGUGCUGACAUAUAGGGUGGAUAUGAGACGAGGUAAGUCUCUAUAAUUGUGUGGUUGUAUGGUUAGGACGCCUUUAGGCGUAUUAUUCUCCUAAUCGGGAUUUAAAGUGUGAACUCACUGAGAUUUAUAUCUCACCUCGUCGUGGACUCAAUUCUUUUCAAGACCGUAGAGUGGAGGACUAGAGAUAAGGACUGGAGAGCUUGGAGUUUAGAAUCUCCGUUGUUCCGUUUUGACCUAGACUUUCGGGUGUAGAUCUUUUUGGUAGAUUUUUGUAUAGUAUAUAGAAGAGAUUUUUGUUUGUGAAUCUAUUUUCUAUUUUUCUAUCCCAAGUUGUUUACUAUCAAGGGAUAUUUAUUCGCUUCCGCAUGUGCAACAAAAUGAAUGGGUCGGCGACGCAUCCUGAGACGUCACAAUUUUAUCGACCACCGAGGGAUGGGCACGCGCUUCGAGGUUCAAGGCGUGACAGUAUCACUAGCUAGUUUUCUCAACAAAAGCUUGCAAUAAAAACACAUUUAAUACACCACCGCCCGUGGUGGCGCGGUUGGCUUUAGGCUCUCUCCCUCUCACAAAGGGGAGGAGUUCAAAUCCCAGAGGUGUCGCAUUCACGCGACUCACUCACGGUUGGGUCUGUGGUGGCAGCUCAGUAUGCCUCGGGUUUACGCUGUCGGCUGCCGACUGUACGGUGGUUCCCGGGUCACAAAAAAAAAACACAUAUAAUAGAGAGAGAGAGAGAGAGAGAGAGAGAGAGAGAGAGAGAGAGACGUUUCUCUUUAGUGAAUAAAUGGAGAACUUGUGACUUGUGGUUAGAAUUUGGUCAUGUCAAACAUUCGGAGAGAGAGAGAGAGAGACGUUUCUCUUUAGUGAAUAAAUGGAGAACUUGUGACUUGUGGUUAGAAUUUAGUCAUGUCAAACAUGUAAAUCAAGGGUUAAUAUCUCUUAACAUUUUAAUGUGGUAUAAUUGUGAUACAUUCAUCUCAUAUCAAUUUUACAAUGUAUUCAUGCCACAUUCAUCCCAAAUUAAUCUUUGUAGUGAGAAAAAAAAAAAUGCAAACCGGCAUACCCAUGAUAUUACCAAAAUCUUAAAGUGAAAUUUGGACAAGCUUAGGGAUUUUAGCGGACUUUCGAAACGUAAGAGUGCUCCAAGAAUAAAAUUAGCAUAUUUUAUCUUUAUGCAAUCUCGAUUCAUUUUCUUCAUACCUAGCUUUCCCAUGACGACAACGUUGUUUUUUUUUUUUUUCCUUUUCCAAUCAAAAUGAUGUUAUUUAUGAGACCCAUUUAUGAUGUAUUUCCACAUCGGAUCCUCAUCAUGCCGAUCAUGGUUACAAAAAGAGAAACCGAAAAAAAAGCCUAGUGCAAACUAAGAUAAAAGAACCCAGAGAGCAUUUUGUUGCAAUGGAGACAAAGGAAGAAACCACAACAAAUAUACCAAGUAUGGGCAUUUACCAUGGACACAUAAGUCCAUUGGUUGGAUUCAGUCACUUCACUUCAGAUACUCCCUCCGACCAUGCAAAGGCUGCAUUCCGUGACCUGGGUCACGAAAGAUAGCAGUAGCAUAUAACAGAAAGAACAGAGCAGGAGCAGCAUGGAAAUUUUAGGGCAUCAGUCCCGCCGCUUGCUCCCCAGCCCACUUGUGUACUCACUCCAACCACACGACUUCUCAAUUAGACCCUCCAGCUCAAGAUAGAAUCCCGGGUCAUCCAUCGCCUCAUCGCCCACGACCAUGUUUUCUCCGAGGAGCUUCUCCGACUUCUCAUGGAAAACGAAAGGCAAAUCUGACGGACUAGCUCCGGCCAUCUGAUCGGGUGUCUGACCCUGCAUAACCCUGAAAUCUGCACCACCCAUCGGAGGAGGCCACGGUGUGUGCAUCUGAACGGUCUCAACAUCCACCGGUAAAACAUUGUUCGACCGAGACUCCAUCUGUGCCGAAUCAUCACCGAUCCUCAGGCACUCAAAAUUCGGGUUUUGAAUCUUGUGAUCCGCUACUUCGAGCAAGCAUUUGGUGGCCUUGUCAUCGGGACCAAGCAAUUUGCUCUUCUUGCUCGAUUCACAAGCCUCUGAUUCUCUCUUCUGCCUCCUCUCUUGGUUUACAUGCUGGGCGAAGUUCGGGCUUUUGGCUGCUUUGGAGAGGAAGAGGAACAUACGCUGAUACCUGCUCUCGGCAUAGCGAAUCCACUCGGUGACCUGAUUGAGCUCAUGCUGCGAGUGCUCCCGCUCUUCUCUUAGUUUCAGGAUCUCGGCCUUCAACGCUUCCUGGUUUUUCUUAAGCAUUUCAAGUUCAGCCUCCUUUCCAGCCUCCCAAUAAUCCGAAGCAACAGUACUACUCGAUGUUUUCAUAUGAUUGCUGGGUGCGCGUCUCCUCCUUAUGUUCUUCAGCAAGUGUUUCUUCCCUUCCUGAAAACCUCGGUUCGCAAACUCCCAUCGAUCUGGAUCCAUCUUCCUAAAACCCUGCGACAUAUCAUGGAAAACGAUGCAUGAAGAAUAGGAGGAAGCUGGGUUCAGGAGUUUAUAUUGAAACAGAAGUCCCAAAAAGGGUAUGGACAAUUUAAUGACUCGAUAUCAAUCCGUCGACUUCAUAUAUACAAAGACAAAAGUGCAGAAUUAUGCUUUUAGUCUUGCCCAAAAAGAAGACAAGCGUCAGAAGGCUUUACCAAAACAUCGGAUGGAAACAAAGCGACGGCCCAAGGAAUCUAACGUUCAGCUAAAGUGAAAAAUUGAGCAUCAAAACAGUAAAAUAUUAACAGCUAUAAAGGAACUGCUGUGGUGCUAUUCUAAUCCAAAUUAAAAUUUACCAUUUGAUGAAAGCACUCAAGUACAAAUCCGGUGAAAAGAUAAAUCGUUAUGAUUCGUGAUGAUUCACAUAGAAUCCAUAUAUCUCGCCCACCGUUCCAGAUUUCUUCGUUCCUCGUCCCCUAAUCUAGGAUAAAGCACAAUUAAUAACCAAGCAAAACGUCGCGAGUGGGUUCCCUUGAAUCAUAGCUUCUUUGCCCCGGGGACUAGAGGAUCGCACUCUGGACGACAUAAAAAGAAACAGAGCCGAAACAGAGUCAAACCAAAAAAACCGAGCGGAAACAGAGUCAAACCAAGAUAAACAUGCAGACAUUAUAUGAAUUUCUACGAAUAGUUUUGCUCUUUACCAAUGGGGAAAGUUUCAAGCAAAAACAAGGACAAAAAACACAAUCACAUUUGAAGGAGUACCCACGUAAGUGUUGAGCUGCCUGAUGAAGCUGGAGAAGUUGGAGUGCUUGAAGUAUCGAGGCAGGACCUGCUUCGAGAACUCGUGCGCGUCCCACACCACGAAUCUGCCCCCGCUCGAACUCCACGACACCACCGUGUCCGUACUCGGGUCCGACACCAUCUCGUACGUCUUCUUCAGGAAGGGCGCCGGCCCUGUCUCCCCCAGCCCAUGCAUCGGUCUCACCACUUCGUCCGCCACUGCACCGGCGGCAGCGUCUCUGGGAUCAGCAAUGAUCGCCACCUCCUCAUCUCCCUCUUCCUCUUUGAUCUUCUCCACUGGCGCGGCCAGUGCCAAAUGGGGUUCGGGCGGGGGCAGGCAAGAACGCUGGUGCAGCCCGGCAUCAAUUUCGCCAUUGCCGAUGGCUAAUUUUGGGGACGAAACCAAAUGGGGAAGCAACCCGAGGUCGCCAGGGUCACCACCGCCAACAACAGCAAUGGAGGCGAUCUCUUCUCGCGAUUUCGCGAAAGGUUCUGCCUUUUCUAGCUCAACACUCGACUCUUGAAAGAGGGUGUCGAAAAAGGACGUGCACGGUCCAUCGGUAUGGCCACCUCCGGCCCCCGCCGUCGCCAUUUUGACCUCGAGUUCGAGGUCAAAGGCGGAGAUGGUAUGAGAAAAUUUCAAGCGAUUGUAUUGAGCGGGAGCAAGGGAGACAGGCCUCGAGACUGUCUGAGUGUUUUGAGUUACGGGGGAGAGGAUGGGUGUCCGGCUUUAUAUACGUUGGAAAAAGUUCACAAGUGUCGCCACGUCUCUCCACCUUUUGCCUUUUCUCAGCGGGAUUGAGAGGCCUCAACGAUUACGGACAGUUGCAUCUGAUUCUGGAUGAACUUUGGUACGAGGAAGGGGCGGCCUUUCGCCUGGUCGGUGGGUCCCAAUGCGGGAGUAUCACGUUUCGAUCUACUGCUUCUCCAUCUCGGCAAUCCCACUUGGCUUGUGUGUACGCCGUUUUCAUUGUACAUGACAUACAAUGCAUCGACUGCCGAAUCGGAACUGCCGGGAUAGCGAUACUUUGCAUAAGAUUUCCUUGGCCCUCCAACGUGGAAAGAAUUUCGAACCUCUUCUGAUCUAAUUAGAGCCUUAAAUUAUAUAGCCCAAAAAAAAAAAAAAAAAAAACUGACGCUUGCCUUAAAAGCAUUCAUAGAGUACAUUCUUUUGUCAUUGUCAUAAGAGUUUUUGAUAGACAUUUACUAUCGUCUGGCAGGGAUUAAUAUAGAAUAACACGUCGGGGAGCCAAAUGUAACGAAGUUGUGUCAAAACCUGUACAUUGUAUUAGAGGAAUUCCAUGUAAAAAAAAUGGGAAAGAGAAUUUGUUAAAGAUAUAACAAUAAGGAAGUUGCAAACCUUGGCAUUUAAGGAUAAUACCACAUAAUAAUUCCAUGCAAAAUAUUUAGAAGAAUAAUAAAUUCCUGUCAUUUAACUCAUUUUCCAUCACAAAAUUCACUUCAUCAACGACAAUGGUGUUUCACAUGCCAAGGCAAUAAUUACCAUCAAAUGUUGCUUGAUGAAAGAAAGAUAUUAUUGUCUAAUCAAUUUUAUCUUAGGCCUUUCUCAUUAAGCACAUAAUUUUAUUUUAUUAUUUAUCUAUUAUUAUAUCCCUAAUAUGGUUUUUAUCAUAUCUUUUGUCAAUGGAGUUUCAACGAACUUUAUCUUCUUGUCUCAUCUAUCUGUUUUAGUAUUUUGGGUUGAACUUUCUAAUGUGAUAUCACAAUCAGACUCCGUGUCUCAAGACUUGUUCGUGGAGCUUUAAUGCUCAUCUUAUUCAAAUUGUGGCCCACUUUUUAUCGGUUUAAAUUUUCGGGCAGGGCGUUUUUUCAUUCUAAAACUGUCCUCAGCAUUUUCCGAGGUUGGGCUGAAUGAGGAAUGCCGGGUUGCUAACGUUGAUGUGGCCCGAUGAAAGAGAGCGAGAGACGGGGGAGACGCAUGAAGACGGGAUUACGGGCCGCCCUAUGGACGAGCUCAAAGGCGGUGCAUUCGCAGGAGCACUAAAAGACAGAAAAGAUCCAAAGGUUGGGCAUGGAACGGUCGAAAAGCACUCCCUUUUCCCUUUUCCCUAUGAUGUUCGCCAAGGUUUUGGGGGAAGGGAGAUGGACUGCGGGUACAGGUUUUGAUAGCUUAGACAUCACUUUAAUGCGCGUUAUCCACACGUGGACCAGUCAUCAUUUACUUUCGUUACCAUCUCUAUCUGUCUUUUACUUCACCUGCGUUCUUGUCUGGAUGUUGACAACCGAAAGCCUUGGAAAACUACGAUUACUUGCUUAUGGUCAAGCCUUCUUAAAACACACGAGCAAUCAUGCUUAAGGUAAAUUAGAGACAAAGGCCAAAGCAAACCCAAAUAUAUCAUAACCUCACGGGACCAAAACCGUGCAAUUUCCUGUAGAAAGAUUGAAUCAAUUUGGAAAUUCCAGUUCUCUGUUCAGAGCUCUCCUCUGUUCUUUGGGUUCCCUUUCUUGAGUUUGGCUGUGACGUGAUGCAGGUCAGCAAGAAAAUUUAGGAAUAUUGACUAGACAGGAACAUCCUUGCACUUUUUUAGGGUGGAAAUGAUGGAAGCAAACUUAUUUUCCCUACAAGGAAACACUCGGUCAGAGUCCCUCAAAAGGGUUUUAAUAUAACCCACAACGAAGCUAAUUUCGAAGCAUAGCGUACCAAUUAGGAGUCUGAAAAUCUUUCCUUUCUUUUGUGGCUUCAAACAUGGGUAUUUGUAAGGUUCGUUUCAAAGGAUCGAACAUUCCCCUUUGAUGCUUGAAACAGUACUGUAGAUUGACUGCAAUGAUUCAGCAAUUUUGCAACCGAUCCCCACAUCAUUCGCUGGGAAACUUAUAAAAUCCAUACGUGGUUAGACUCCUAUAAGGAAUGCAAUCAUAAGUUUUUUUUAUUGUUGACAAACCACUGGAUCUUACAUAAAAUAUUGGCUUCCUUUAGAUUAGCUAAACCAACAAUAGCACAAAAGGUGAAGCGUUACGUUACGACAAUAUCUUUCAAAGUGUUUGGUAUUUUGAUGGGACGUGUCAUUAUGUGAUAUUUAGAUAGCACUUUGAUUGUUGCAAUAAUGACUUUUCCACUAUUAUGAUGCACUUCAAUUUCUUCUAUUAGCUAUUGCAACCGUAGUAAAACUCUGAUGUGGCAUUGGCAAUAGCUUCAUAUUCUAUUUUUGUACUAGAGUGAUCAACAAUGGUAUGUUUUCUGCUAGAUCAUGAGAUAAGUGAGUUUUCCAAAAAGAGAUAGUGGUUCAUAGUGGAGCAAAAUAUUGAGGUCACUAUCGGAAUAAGCUAUCAAAUCUAAGAUAGAAUGAGUAGAAAAUUGAAGACCACGAAAUAAUUUAUCCAUGACAUAGUGAAGAAUUCAAAAGACUACAGCAAAUGGGUUGCAUAGGACGCGGUCAUUUAUUGACUAACAAUGUGAACAACAUAGGCGAUGUGAGGUUGAGCACAAGUGAGAUAUAAAAGACUGCCAACCAACUAUUGAUAGAGUGUAGGAUUCAAGAGGGGUCUCAUCUUUGGCAUCAAACUUGGCUUUGGUCUCAAUAAGAGUUUAGCUCGAAAAUAAAAUAAAAUUCAGUAGCAUAUUUUCCUUAUGACAAAUAAUAACUAGAGGAAUCUGAAAUAACCUCACGCCUAAAAAAUAGCUGAGUCACCUAAAGGUGAUCAAUUUUAGGGUGGGUAGGUUCUAAAAUUGGAACCUAAAACCUAUCUUGUUAUGAUCGGCUCCCAAUUUUUGGACCUUGGAACUUAUUAUGUUUGCUUGAAACCUGUUUUGGAAUGUGACAUCUAGAUUUUCGUAACAAUAUUUAUGUGACAUUGGAAGUUUUCGGCGUUGAUAAUAAUAUUUAGGUCAUAAGGCUAAAUAUUAUCUCGCUUAGAAAUCUGGUGGACAUGUAGAAAUAGUAAUUGGAUCGUAAAUUUUGUAAGGUACAGAAAAUACAGAGAGUGAUUUUUAUGAUCUUGAUCGUCCUUGGUUGAUUAAAUUAGUAAAUGUUGAUGUGUUCGCAGAUGGUAACGGUAGAUAAUGUACCAUAGUCUUAGUUGUCGAGGGGAACGGAUAUUAAGCAUUCUUGAGUUUGAAUUUAUUUAAUCGAGAAUUUUGUAGUGCUCGGCCUAGUUUACUCAUAAUUUUGAAUUUAAAAUGUCAUGAGUUAUAUUAUUAUUUGGACCUUGGUUAAUUAUUAUUGGUAAUUAGUUAAUUACACUAACGGUAUCAAAGGUAAAGAUUUCCUUCCUCAUUAAUGAUGUCAUAGAUUUUGUUAUUAACAUUGAUAAAGGUUUUCUCAUGUACGUGGCUACAGAAGAAUGAGUUCUUCUCGUAAUAUUGUUAUAAGCCAUUGGUCUAUUAAAAUCAUUUGCAUAAGAGGUCUCAUAAUACUUCUUUGUUAUUCUAAUAUUUCUUAUAGGAAGAGUGUCCUUCUCAAAUUAUUUCUCUUGUCACAUAAUGCCCACAUGUUCUUGCAAUGUCUCAUGCAUGCCCAAGUGUCCUCUCAAGAAGAGGUCUCAUGGAUAAGCUUGACACCUUAGACUUGAGCCACGAUUUCUCCUCAAAUGAGUCAUUCUCUCUUGGAUUUUUCUUUGGCCACGUAUAAAAUGAGAUAUUGUAAGCAAGACACCUCCCAUAACCAUCAUUACACUUUGGAUUAGUUGUCACAUCCGGAAAUUUUGUACAGGUAAUCAUGUAACAUUCGGAAUUUUCCGUGUAUGAUAAUGAUACUUAGAUUAUGAGCUAAGUAUUAUUUAUCUUAGUAUUCAGAUGAAUAUGCAGAAGUUUUAGACAAAUCAUAAAUUUCAUGAGACUCGGCGGAUAAUUUUUCCGUAAACGUAAUUGCCCCGCGUCUAUUGUGUUAAGUCAAAUUGAUAAAUGUUGAUGUGUGCAUUAAUAGUAGUAUGGAUUAACUAACUGUCGGCUUAGUUGAUAACAUGUAGUAUUAUUUAUUUGAAAUCUAGUUAAUUAGUGCUGAUGAUUAAUUAGUUUCACUAAUGGCGCCGAGGAUAGAUAGAUUUUGUUUAUUUUUCUAAUAAUCCACCUUUCUCUUACAUUAAGCCACCCACAAGACACUUGUCCUUAUAUUAUCCCUUGCAUGACCGUGUGUUGCAACCAAGAUGAGGUUUUAUUCUAUUUUGACACCUAAGACUAAGUGGAAACUUACCCUAAGUGAGUCAUUCUCUCUUGUUUCAUCUAGGGAAAAACCACGAAAAAUCCUGAACUUUACCUAAAGUGACACAUUUACCCCAAACUUUUUUUUUGUGACGUGAAAAACUCUGAACUUUGCCAACCGUGACACAUUUACUCCAAAUUUUUUUUUUAUGACACAAAAAAUCCUGAACUUUUGUUAUAUGACACAUUUACCCCAAAAUUAUAAGACAUUUUGGUAUUUUCAUUUUUUUUUCUUCUAUCUUCCCUCUGCCGACUGGGAAGCCAGCGUCAGGCAAGGGUGGCCCUUGCCGGCAUCGGGCUAGGGCGGCCCUCGCUGGCGUCGGGCAAGGAUGGCCCUCACCAGAUUUGGCAAGGGCACCCUUGCUUGCGUCAGGCAAGGGUGUCCCUACCGUCCUCGCCCAUCGCCGGCGAGGGCUGCCCUCGCCUACGUCGGGCAAGGGUGUCCCUACCCUCGCCAACGCCAGGACGACCCUUGCCAGAUCUGGCGAGGGCGGCCCUCGCCCGACGCUAGCGAGGGUCGAGGGCGACCCUCACCGGACACCGGCUUCCCUUCACCGACUCCACCAUGGCCGGCGGAGGGAAGAAGAAAAAUAAAAGAGAAAGAGGAAAAAAAAGAAUAAAAAGAUAAAAAUGCCCUUGAUGGAACAAAUGUGUCACGGUUUGAAAAGUUUGGGGUUUUUCAUGUCACAAAAAAAAAAUUGAGGUAAAUGUGUCAUUUUAGGCAAAGUUCAGGGUUUUUCAUGGCUUUUUCCCUUUCAUCUAUGACCAUGUAUGGGAAGAGGUUUUGUAAACAAGACAGAUGCUCAUACUCAUUAUUUCAUUUGGGUAAGUCAUCUUUAUUACACGCAACUCCUUGACAUCUGUUCUUAUCUCAAGAUUAAGUAAGCUUCAUGUAGAAGGAAUAACCAAUGCUCACUAAAACACUACUUUAAACAAAACAUUCUUUUAACUUUGGAGAGAACUUGAGACCCAAAAUCUAUCCAACAAUAUCGUGCAAUUCUGCUCAUUCCGAAACAAAUACUUCUUUGAAUUCUAGUUUCCAUGAGUGAGGAGGUGGUCACGACCCUUAAUUGUUCAAGCUUGUUUGAGAUAAGUAAAGUUUCUAGGUAUUGAGUUAGUUUAAAUCUAUUUAAUACUUUUAUCUUGGUCAGUUUGUUUAGAUGUGGGAAUUAAAAUAUGCAUGUUAUGAUUAAGGUGGUUGUUGGAUAACCUUGAUGGUAUAUUACAUGUUCGUUCUGUCAGAAUUUAUCCAGACAUAAUCUAUUCUUUUUGCUCAUUUUGCUUGAUUUGCUAAAACUUAACUAGUCAGAGUUAUGUUUGUUAUGCAUCAUUAUAUUUCAUUCUGAAUAGUCAAAAUAUGUUCAUUCUGCCAUAUUUAUCUUGACGACUUCUUACAUGUUUAUUCUACUUCGUUAUGUUUUGUUUUGAGUAAUCAGAAUAUAUUUAUUCGUUUUACUAGAAUUUAUCGAGUCAAAAUUUGUUCGUUCGUUCUACUAGUUCUACUAGAUAUUUACUAAGUCCGAGUCCAUCCAUUUGUAAAUUUGCUCUUUUAUUUAAUCAUUUUCACUAAGUUUGAAUGUACCCAUUUGAUUGUCUAGACUUUAACAACUAUGACAUGUUCAUUUAUAUAUAAGAUUUUACUUAGUCUGAACAUAUUCCUUUGUACAAUCAAAUUUUACUAGGUCUGGAUGUAUUUAUUUAUACAAUCAGCCUUUAUUGAAGUCUGAACCUAUUUCUUUGUAUAAUCAUAUUUUAUUGGGUUUGAACGUAUUUAUUUAUAUAAACAGAUUUGAUUGAAAUCUGAACUUGUCUCUUUGUACAAUCAGAUUUUAUUGGGUCUAGACGUGUUUAUUUAUACAAUCAAAUUUUAUGGAAUUUGGACUUUUUCAAUUGUACAAUCAGAUUUUAUUAAGUCUAAACAUAUCCAUUUGUAUGAUGAGAUUCUUACUGAGUCUAAGCAUCUUUACCUUCUAAGUCUGAACAUAUAUUUACUCAAUUCGAGUAUAAUUACUUUCCAAAUUUGACACGCUUUAUGGGUCUGGUUUCCCUUUAAAAUAAGGAUUACCAAAUAACAUAUUCGCGCUCUGAGCAUGAUCAUAAGUUGCUUCUUACCUUUCGUUUCUUUGAAAAGCAUGUGACAAAGUAACAACAUGGAUGUGAGUAUUGGAAUGCAUGUGUAAGUUGCUUCUAACAAAAUGGAUGUGAUCAUAAGUUGCUCCUUACAUAAGUUGCUUCUUACUGAUCCAUGAUUCCUCGCCGAUUGAACCAAUCGAUCCAUGACCAAUUCAUGAUACCUCGACCAAUUCUUGGACCUAUUUUUUGGACAGUUUGGCCUAGUUCUAAGUAGAACCAGUCCAGUUGCACACUCUUAAUUAUAAUAAAAUUUAUUAUCACAAUUAUGAAAGUAAGCUCUCUCCUGUAGGCAAUUUGUAUUUUCCUAGACUUUUCGCUUCAAAUCUGCUGCACAUCUUGUUAACCGAUAUAAUGGGACUUUAGAAUUGCCCACUUCGCCAGAAAUUAGGGAAAAGAUUAGUUCUCUUAAAAAAUGUACUUUUAAAUCUAAAAAUGCACUUAUUUUUUGAAAAAUAAUUUAUUUAAAAACAUUUUUAUAAAGAUAAUCGCUUUUGUUGCUUGAAAAAAAAAUGAAUGAAUGAUAAAUAUUAUCUUUAUUCAUGCAAAUAUCUUAAUUUAAAUUAUAAUCAAUAAUGAAAAUAUUUUUUAUUGACUAAUUAUUUCAAUUAAUACAAAUGAUCACUUUUAGAAAAAUACUUUCAAAUAAUUCAUUUUUUUAAAUAAAUAUAUCCUAAGGAUCACAUUGUAAAUCAAUAGAAAAAAAAAAUUAUAUAAGCCAAUGUCAUGUCAUUUAUUAACGCCGUUUUGAGGGAUUCAAACCCCGAUGCUAAAGCAUAUGCCUUUAGUCUGAUAAAUUCCUUUAACUUCAACCAGUUGAAUAAUUACCAAUACUGACUAAGCAGUAAAGAGUUUUAAUCAUGGUGUACCAUCAAACAACUUCUCAUUUGAACCCAAAAAAAAAAUCAACUUCUCCCUUUUUGACAUGUGGAAGUUGAUGAAGCUAGCAAGUAUCACCUAGCAGGUGUGAAUAGUUGAAUCUAUGAAAUGUUGACAAUUUAAAGCGGAAUAGAAUGAGUCAAGAUUAAAGUUUGAACGAAGGUCGGAUUUUGGAAAAGGAUUCAGAAUUUUUAUGCAAUAGAACAAAUUUUAGAAGCACCCAACAAAUGUGCAAUAGAUCAUAGCAAUAAAAAAUAAGAGUUUAGAGAAGAGACAAAUUACACACUAGGUUUAUAGUGAUUCGGUUUAAAUCAAGCUUACGUCCACUUUUCCAUGCUGACAGCUUACUAGCUAGUUUCCACUGAAUAAUCAACAAGAGAUUACAAUAUUGAGUAUAAGCAUUUAGUGAUUGAUCACACUAUCUUACUUAGUCACUAUUUGUAUUUCUCUCACAAUCACAAAAUUGAAGCUCACGAAAGAUAAGUGUGUAACUGAAGUUCACUUGGACUUCGGAAUUCUAAAUCCUAGGCCUCAUCUCUUACAUAAUCCGCAGCACCUUGGUUUCCUUAUAUACUCAUUCACUUCGAAACUAGCCAUUAGAUUGUCUCCUGAGGAUCGUCUUCCGAAUGUACUGGUGGGACAACUCUGUAUUAAGAAGAUUGGGAGGCCGUUGAGUGACAAAAGCUUAAUCCCCACUUGAUUCUAGUCACUUGUACAACCAGAGUUUUGAUUUCCAUAAGUAGAAUUUCUUUGUUUAGAUAGAACUUGUCUUAUGAUCAAUUUUCUAAUCAAAUAAGAUUGAGUCAAUCAAAUCUUUUUAGGUGUAAAAUCCAAAUCAAAUCAUUAGUUGUUAUUCAUCAUAGACUGGUCACGUUCUAGACAUGUCAUACUCUAGGCUAGCUUCGUUCUAAACUUGUUGCAUUCUGAACUUCUUGUGUUCUGAACUUGUGUCAAGAUGGAAUUGAAAGUAAUUCUUUUAAUCUUUAUUUUUAAUAAAAGAUCUAGACUUAAGUCUAUGCUUAUUCCAUCUAAAGUAGACUCUAUAAUUCGUACUAGAUUGAUUUUUUACAUCAACAUAUUUCAAGAUAAUUAUCAGACUUGAAAUUUUAUGAAUAGUUUUGUCAACAAAAUCUACUAGGAGCUUGUUGAUUGAGAAUAGUAUCUAUAGCUAGUUUUAUCAAGAAAAGUUCGCAAUCAAAACUCAUUUAUAUAAAGAGAGAGAGAGAGAUGUUUCUCUGUAGAGAAUAAAUGGACAAAUGGUAACUUGUGGUUAGAAUUUGGUCAUGUCAAACAUUUCGAAAAAUUCCUUUCAUUAAAUCAAGCGUUAAUAUCUCUUAAUAUUUUGAAUUGGUAUAAUCGUAACACAUUCAUCUCAUAUUAAUUUUAAUGAUGUUUUCAUACCACAUUCAUCCUAAUAUAAUUUUUGUGUGAGAAAAAAAUCCAAACCGGCAUACCUUGAUAUUACCAAAAUCUUAAAGUGAAACUGGGACAAGCUUAGGGAUUUUAGCAGACUUUUCAAACGUAACAGUGCUCUUAGAAUAACAUUAGCAUAUUUUAUCAUUCCGCAAUCUCCAUUCGUUUUCUUCAUAACAGGCUUUCCCAUAACAACGUUGUUGUUGUUGUUUUUUUUUUUUUCCUUUUCCGGUCAAAAUAACAUCAUUUACGAGACCCAUUUAUGUUGUAUUUCCAUAUCGGAUACUCAUCACACCGAUCAUUCGACUUGUUUGAGAUUUUUUAUAAUAUGAAAAUUAUUUUGGAGUGCACGCCACAUGAGUAUACUGAUUUGAAGUUUUUCGAGAUAGGAAAAAAAGUAAUUGGAGAAAAAUAUGCCAAAAUGUACAGCAUCACGAUAUUAACCCUUAAACUGAAAUUGAGCUUUGGCACUUUAAACUGCUUCUCUUAUACAUAACUGGUUGCAAAAAGAGAAACUGGAAAAAAAAGCCUAGUGCAAACUAAGAGAAAAGAACCCAGAGAGCACUUUGUUACAAUGGAGACAAAGGAAGAAACUACAACAUAUAUGCUAAGUACGAGCAUUUACCAUUGACACAUAUGUUAAUUGGUUGGAUUCAUUCUCUUCACUUCAGAUACUCCCUCCGACUAUGCCAAGGCUGCAUUCUGUGACCUGGGUCACAAAAGAUAGCAGCAGCAUAUAACAGAAAGAACGGAGCAGGAGCAGCAUCGAAAUUUUAGGGCAUCAGUCCCGCUGCUUGCUUUCCCAGCCCAAUUGUGUACUCUCUCCAACCACAGGACUUCUCAAUCAGACCCUCCAGCUCAAGAUAGAUUCCUGGGUCAUCCAUCGCAUCGUUGCCCACGACCAUGUUGUCUCCGAGGAGCUUCUCCGACUUCUCAUGGAAAACGGAAGGCAAAUCUGACGGACUAGCUCCGGCCAUCUGAUCGGGUGUCUGACCCUGCAUAACCCUGAAAUCCGCACCACCCAUCGGAGGAGACCACGGGUUGUGCAUCUGAACGGUCUCAAGAUCCAACGGUAAAACAUUGUUUGGCCAAGACUCGAUCGGUGCCGAAUCAUCACCGAUUCUCAGGCAAUCAACAUUCGGGCUUUGAAUCUUGUGAUCCGUUAUGUCGAGCAAGUAUUUGGUGGCUUCGUCAUCGGGACCAAGCAAUUUGCUCUUCUUGCUCAAUUCACAAGCCUCUAAUUCUCUCUUCUGCCUCUUCUCUUGGAUUACAUGCUGGACAAAAUUUGGGGUUUUGGCUGCUUUGGAAAGGAAGAGGAACAUCCGCCAACACCUGCACUCGGCAUAGCGAAUCCGCUCGAUGACCUGGUUGAUCUCAUGCUGCGAGUUCUCCCGCUCUUCUCUUAGUUUCAGGAUCUCAGCCUUCAACGCUUCCUGGUCCCUCUUAAGCAUUUCAAGUUCAGCUUCCUUUCCAGCCUCUGGGUAAUCCGAAGCAACGGUACUACUCGAUGUUGUCCUAUGAUCGCUGAGUUUGCGUCUCCUCCUUAUGUUCUUCAGCAAGUGCUUCUUCCCUUCCUGAAAACCUCGGUUUGCAAACUCCCAUCGAUCAGUAUCAAUCUUCCUAAAACCCUGUGACAUAUCUUGGAUCAUGAUGCAUGAAGAAUAGGAGGAAGCUGGGUUGAGGAGUUUAUAUUGAAACAGAAGUCCCACAGAGGGUAUGGACAAUUUAAUGACUCAAUAUCAAUCCGUGAACUUCAUAUAUGAGAAGACAAAAGUGCAGAAUUAAGCUUUUGAUCUUUCCCAAAAAGAAGUGUCAGAAGGCUUUACCAAAACAUCGGAUAGAAACAAAACGAUGGCUCAAGGAAUCUCAUCUUCAGCUAGAAAGUGCAAAAUUGAGCAUCGAAACAGUAAAAGGCAAAAUAUUAACAGCUAUAAAGGAAAUACAGUAGUGCAUUUCUAAUCCAAAUUAAAAUUUAUCAUUUGAGAAAAGCACUUAAAUACAAAUCGGGUGAAAAGGUAAAUCUUUAAUGGGUAUUCUAACGUCAUGGUUGACGUGGUAGUUUCUGCAAACUACCAUCAAAAGCAUCAUCACUUGAAUAUGAUAAUGGGCCAUUGUCCCCUGACCGCUGGAUGCAAAUUCUGGUGGACAUGUGCCAUGAGCAAAACGUCGUGAGUGGAGUCCCUUGGAUACUAGCCUCUUUGCCCCGGGGACUAUCCAUUGGGACAAUGAAGAGUAGCUGGAUGCCCCAAGAGGAUCACACUCUGGACGACAUAAAAAGAAACAGAGCCAGAACAGAGCCAGAUCAAAAUAACAGAGCUGAAACAGAGUCAAACCAAAAUAAACAUACACGGACAUUAUACACAUUGAUACGAAUCGUUUGCUCUUACCUAUGGGGAAAGCUUCAAGGAAAAACAAGGACAAAAAACACAACCCCGUUCGAAGAAGUACUCACGUAAGUGUUGAGCUGCCUGAUGAAGCUGGAGAAGUUGGAAUGCUUGAAGUAUCGAGGCAGGACCUGCUUUGAGAACUCGUGCGGGUCCCACACAACGAAGCUGUCCCGGCUCGAACUCCACGACAGCACCGGGUCCGUACUCGGGUCCGACACCAUCUCGUAUGUCUUCCUCAGGAACGGCGCCGGCCCUGCCUCCCCCAGCCCCUGCAUCGGUCUUGCCACUUCGUCUGCCGCUGCCCGCAACGAGCAUGACGGCGAUACGGCAGCAGCAUCCCUGGGAUCAGCAAUGAUCUCCACCUCCUCAUCUUCCUCUCCCUCUUCGAUCUUCACCACCUGUGCGGCCAGAGCAGAAUGGGGUUCGGGCCGAGUCAGGCACGGACGCAAAAGCAGCCCGGUAUCAACUUCGCCAUGGCCGAUGGCUAAUUGUGGGGACGGAACAGAAUCGAAAAGCGACCCUAACUGGCCGGGGUCGCCACUGUCAAGAACAGCUAUGGACGCGAAUUCUUCUUGCGAUUUCGUGAAAGGUCCAGCCUUUUUUAGCUCAACACUCGACUCUCGAAAGAGGGUGUCCAAAAAGGACGCGCACGGUCCAUUGGUACAGCCGCCUCCGGGGAGCGCCGUCGUCAUUCUGACCCCGAGUUCGAGGUCAAAGGCGGAGAUGGUAUGAGAAAUUUUGGAGCGAAUGAGUACAGAUGGUGGCCAAUCUAUUGAGGGAGAGAGGAGGAGACAGGCUUCGAGACUGUCGAGUGUUUGACUGACAGGGGAGGGGAUGGUGUCCGGCUUCAUAUACGUGGGAAAAAGUUCACAAGAAUCGCCACUUUCCUCCGCCUUUUGGCUCCUCGGAAGGUUUUGAGCUCCUCACUGUUAUGGAUGGCGUGAUUGAGAGGGUGGCGACGAUUACGGACCGUUGGAUCUGAUUCAGGAUGAACCUUGGUACGAGAAGGGGGUGCCCUUUCGCCUGGUCGGUGGGUCCGACGCGUGAGUAAAAACGUUUGCUGCUUGUCCGUCUCGGCAAAUUCCACAACGCCGUUUUCAUUGUACAUGGCGUACAAUGCAUCGACCAGCGAAUUGGAACUGCCGGGAUAGCGAUUCUUCGCGUGAUCUUCAUUGGUCCUCCAUUGUAGAAAGAAUUUCAAACCUUUUCUUAUCUAGUCAUUAGAGCCUUAUAAAAAAGAAAAAAGAAAAAAAAGACAAGUGGCUCAAAAGCAUUCAUGAAGUACAUUCUUUUAUCCUUGCCAUAAGAGUUUUCAAUGAAAAACAUUUGAUUUCUUGUGGCAGGGUUUAAUAUAGGAAAAACAUCUUAGGAAGCCAAAUGUGACGAAGUUGUUUAAAAACCUCAAAAUUGAAUUAUAUGGAUUCUGUGUCAACAAAAAAGGGAAAGAGAAUUUAUUAAAAGUAUAACAAUGAGGAAAUAUAAGCCUUGGCAUUUAAGGAUGCGAAUGAUAAUCAUAAUAUUUCAUAAAUCAAUUUCUAGCAAUAAAUUACUUUUUCAAUUUGUUCCUUGGACGAAUUUUCAAGGCAAAAUAGAUGUUUGAUAAUAAUACAAACUUUUUGUUCUCAAAAUAGAUUUCGUUUGACAACAACAUAAAAUUUUCCCUCUUGAGUGGCAGUGGGAGAAUGUCGGCAAGGAGGGCCAUGGUGGGAGGCAAAUGGCUGGCGAGGGGAAAUGGGCAGUAAUGAGAACGAGUAAUAAGAAAAGUUUUUGUUUUUCACUUUUGUUUCAAAAAUAAAAAGGUAAAAAAAUUUGACUUCUGAUUUCUAUUUUAAACCUGUUCCCAAAAAUAGACAAAUAGAAAAAUAGAGAAACAAAAUAGUUAUCAUACACAUCCUAAAGAUAAUACCACACUAUAUUCUAGAAUUUCAUGCAAAAAUAUUUAGAAAAAUAAUGAAUUUCUUUUUAGAAAUACUCAUUUUAUUGCAGUUACUGUUAGACGUCACAUGACGAGAGAAAUAUAUUAUUACCUAACCGAUUCUCAUCUUAUUUCUUUCUCAUCAAGUACAUAAAUAUUUUUUUUUUAUUAUCUGUUUUUAGAUCCCUAAUUUGGCUUUCCUAAUAUCACUUGUCAAUGGAGUUUCAAUGAACCUCAAACUUCAUAAUUGUGUCUGUCCACGUAUCAAUUGAAGUUUUUGAGUUGAACUUCAAGUACAGUAUUAUGGUCAGGUUUCGCCUCAAUUUAUUUCACUUGCACCAGUAUCCCAUCGCUUGUCUGAUGAGUUUUAAUGCACCCCCUAUUCCCGCCACGGCCUGCUUUUCAUCGGUUUAAAUUUUCAGGUGGGACUUUUUUACUUCUAAAACUGUCUACGGCAUAGUUCGAGGCUGGGUUGAAUGAAGAAUGCCGGGUUGCUAACGUUGAUGCGGGCCGAUGAAAGACAGCGAGAGAGGGGGAGAGACGCAUGGAGACGGGAAUGCGAGCUGCCCAAUGAGCGAGCUGAAAGCUGAAAGGCGGUGCAUUCGCAGGAGCACUAAAAGACAUCGGAAGGUCGGGCAAGGAACAGUGGAAAAGUUGUCUUCUUUUCCCUACGAUGUUUGCCUAGGUUUUGGGGGAAGGGAGAUGGACUGCUGGUACACGUUUUGAUAGGUUAAGUGUCACUUUAAUACGCGUUAUCCACACGUGGGCCAAUCAUCAUUUACUCUGGUUGCCAUCUCCAUCUGUCUCUACUUCGCUUGCGUUCUUCCCUGGACGCCACAGCCCUAGGCCUUGGAAAACAAUGAUUUUUUUUUUUUUUUGUGGUCAAAAUUGGAAAACAAUGAUUACUUGCAUAUGGUCACGUUUUCUUAAAAUACGCGAACGAUCAUAACCUCACAGGACCAAAUUGCGCAAUUUCCAGCAGAAAGAUUGGACCAAUUUGGAAAUUCCAGUUCUCUGUUCAAAGCUGUCCUUUGUUCUUUGGGUUCUCAUUCUUGAGCUCAGCCGUGACGUGAUACGGGUCAGCAAGAAAAUUUAGGAAUAUUGACUAGAUAGGAACAUCCUCGCACUUUCUUAGCGAGGAAUGGACGGAAGCAAGUUCAUUUUCGCAAUUUCCAGCAGAAAGAUUGGAUCAAUUUGGAAAUUCCAGUUCUCUGUUCAAAGCUGUCCUUUGUUCUUUGGGUUCUCAUUCUUGAGUUCAGCCGUGACGUGAUACGGGUCAGCAAGAAAAUUUAGGAAUAUUGACUAGAUAGGAACAUCCUCGCACUUUCUUAGCGAGGAAUGGACGGAAGAAAGUUCAUUUUCACAAUGAGGAUACACUUAGUCAAGGUCGCUUGAAAGGGUAUUAAUAUAACUACCAACCUAAAUCACUAGAAAGCUAAUUACAAAUCGUAGUGUAUUGUUCAUGAGUCUGGAAAUCUUUCCUUCCUUUUGUGGCUUUAAACAUAGGAUUUUGUAAGGUUUGUGCUCAAAUUCAGAUGAUCGACCCUAUUGUUAUCCUGUGUCAUUUGAUUGCUUACCUUGUUUGCACACCAUAUGCACCCUGUGGAUUCUACAAUUCCCCUUUGAUGCUUGAAACGGUAUUGUAAAUUGACUACAAUGAUUUAGAAAUUUUGCGUCCAAUCCCCACAUCAUUCGCUAAGAAAUGUAUAAUAUCCAUAUGUAAGGAAAAAUAAUUUACACAGCUGUAAGUUUAUUGAUUGCUGACAAACAAUUGGAUCUCACAUGAAAUAUUGGCUUCCUUCUUAUUAGCUAAAUGCACAAAAGCAGAGUUGUUUAUGUUAUGACUAUAUUUCAAUGUAUUUGGUGCUUUGAUUGGAAAGUGUCAUUAUGUGAUAUUUAAAUAGAACUUCGGUUGUUGCGAUGAAUGACUUUUCCACUAUUACGAUGCACUCCAAUAUCUUUUAGUAGCCGACACAACCAUAGUAAGCGAGUUAUAUUAUUAAAAAAAUGUCAUAUAGGAUUUCCUAUCACCUUCAUUGGACUUGGCACUCGAGUAUUCCAUUUUUCAAAACAAAUAGCACUUAAAUGUUACUUUCAUAACUUUUAACACUUAAGUGUCCCUUUGUGUCAAAUUUUGGCACUCCAAGUGUCCUUUUGUCAUACAUUUUUAUAAGGCAAAGGAAAUGAAUCUAACCAACCAAAUUUAAAUGUAAUGAUAACUUUGGGUUAAAAUCAUUAUAUAUGAGAGUAUCAUGUGUUCCAAUAGAAAUGCUACAAUCCUAAGUAGGUAGUUGUAAACGGUCCAAUGGUCCAAUGAAAUUUUCCCACAAGAGGAUAUUUUGAUGAAAAUGAAGAUAAGCUCUUCUUCUUUGGCCAAGUGUAUACAUGAAUCGCCAAAACAAUCAUGAACUAUAGGCAUGAAUCAUUCAAAGCAUUGAUGAACUAUAGGGAUGAGUCACCCAAAACAUUAAUGAACAAUAGUUGAAUUUAAUGAUGUCAUGCAUGAUGUCAAAACUACCAAUUCAACAUCUCAAACCAAAACAUAGGUUUAAAAAUUUUGAUAGAGAAAAGAGAAGUGGUGUGCCAAAUUGAGAGAAAUAGAAAUUUAGGAAACCAUCAUUUUAAGCAUCAGAUUCUGAAUAUUCGUGCGUUUGAAAAUAUUUUUGUUUAGAACAUCUUAUUCUAAAAAUUUGUGCAUCUAACAGUAUUUUCAUUUUGUUGAUGAAUUUGAAAAUAUUUUGAAUCCAUUAAAAUCAUCAAAAAAAUCAAAAAUUAGGAAAUUCUCAGUUCAAUUCAUAAACUAUGAAACUCAAAGUAUAAUGGCCGUUUUCUACAACUCCUAUGUCCGGAAAUUAUCUUUAUUUUACUCACCAACAUAGUGAUGAUAUCCAUCCACUUAAUCUCAAAGCAUCAUAUUCAGGGUAAUUGCGGUCACAAAAAUCAUACUAUACUAUUGCAAAAUGUAGAAAAUUUAGGUUGUCAUAUCAUAAUAUAUUCUAUCUUCAUAAAAGUUGCACCUUCUCAUAUUCUAUCUUUAUAAAAGUUACAACUUAUCAUAGCCUUUUUAGCAUUUAAAUAUUUACUUAAUAUUAAUAAUAUCAUGUGUGCCAAUGCUGAGGGCUACUAGUAAGUGUGAUAACUUUGACUAGACCUACGACCUACUUCAGUAAAGAGCACCUGACAAUUUGGAUCCCCGUCAUUUUAGCCUUCAACAGUAUAAAUUGACUCUAUGGUUCAGUUGUGUCAACUUUAUGGUUGAUUAGUUCCUGUCCUACUAGGGAGAAAUGUUUUUUUCGACUCCCUCUUCGAUACAAUGAGAUGUGCCUAAUGGGGGAUCUUGUCUAUUGUCAAACUGCUCAGUAGUGCUGCAUUAGCAACAAAAGAAACUAGCUUAUGAGACAACGAUAAAGAUGGGAGAGUACACUAGAAGUGUCAAAAGUUACGUACAGCACUGAUUUCGGUACCAAAAGUUUUCGUCGGAUUACUUAAGUGUCAAAUCAGAGAAAAAAUGAUUAAUUUGGUGCUACCAUCGAGAGAUUCUGACCAAAUUAGUUACAUGCUUUUAUAUUAAAAAAAAACAAUUGACGUGCCUUUUAAAUGACAUCAUUUUUCAUCCUCCUUAAGAAACGACAUCGAUUUGCCGUCACACAUGGACAGCCUUACAAAAAAAAAGAAGAAGCCAUAGCUCAUAUAGGAACUGAAAUUAGGGUUCUUUAUUCUAUCCAUGCCCAACACCGACCAUAGCUAGCUUGCCCAUCAUCACUUGCCUGUUGUCACUCGGCCACCAUCAUAGUUGCUUGACCAGGUGAGUGACGAAAGGCUAAGGUUGUUUCUUAGGCAAGAAGCAAUGGGAAGACUAGGAGGCAAGGGCGGAGGAGGAGGAGGAGGAGGAGGAGGAAAAAGGGGGAUUGAAGGUGGAGAGAGGGAGACGAGGAGGGUGAGGGAGACGAGGAGGUCACAGAUGGAGAUGGAGGAUUUGGCUUUGCUUAGGAAGGAGCUGAGGUGGGUCCUUCUAAAGGGAGAAGGAGAAGGAGGAGGAGGAGGACAAGAGCUUGGGCUUGUCCACAAUGUCAAACGAAUCGGAGGCGGAGCAGUGUUGGUGUUGGUGUUGUUCUUCGGGGAAAAAGACAAGGAGGAAGCUCAUGCUCUCUCUCUCUCUCUCUCUCUCUCUCUCUCUCUCUCUGGCGAUUUGGGGUUCUUACUUUUGGGAAAGAUGCUAAACGGCAUCAUUUUGUUAUUUGGAUGCCGAUUAUACUCCCCGGUGAGCCACAUCAACUUCAAAAAUUAAUAAAAAAAAAAUGUCAUAUCGGAUUUUCAAUUAAUCAAAUCAGCGUUAGUACUGAAAUUAUUGUUUUUUUAAAUUUUUUGAUACUUAAGUGAUUCAAAAUAAACUUUUGGUACUUUUAAUAUACUUAUCCCAUAAUAAAGAAAUCCACAUCGGUGGUUACGGCUGGAGAUGCUGGAUUUUUUUUCUUUUGUUCACAUGCAGCAUGACCGAAUCAGACUCGUUCGUUUGCAGAGGCCCCUACAUGACAUUCUCACAAGGUUGCCCCAGACGACAUUUUGCUUGUGCUAUCCGCUGCACGUGUGUGCGGUGAUGAAAGUCACGGAUUGCUGGCACAUUGUAUAGAAAUUUUUUGUGAGAUCUGAUCUCGAAACUGGAACUCUAGAGAAAGGCUUGCCUCAUGCUAUCUUUGACGAAGGAGGGCUAUACCAAUGCAUAUGCACUUCACCAUGCCUGAGCAUGCUGUGCUGCGGAGACCAUGACCCGAAUUUCUUGAUCUCGGAAUUGCCGAUGUGAAUCAUAAAAAUGCAAGAGGCUUCACAGUUUUGUACGUCGCUGCGAUGAGGAAAGAGCCAAAGAUUAUAUUGGCUCUCCUAACGAAGGGAGCACAGCUUUCUUAUGUCACUCUGGAUGGUAGAAAAGCUCUUCACCUGUAAGAGGCACACAAAAGCUGCAGACUGCUUGGAGUUGUUGGAGAAAUCCUCGUGAAGAGUUUUGAAGUUGACAAAACGUUUCUGUCAGUCUAGUCUGAAGGUCUGCAGACUCUGUUAGUUAAAGUCUGAAGACUUCCGGACAGCCAGACUCAAGACUCAAAGUCUAUUCUCAUUGACAGUCAUUGAUCCGUUGAAGAAAGGUUAUCCCGAACUGAAUGUUUUGUUCAGGAUUUAACCUUAUCAUCUGGAGAAGAUCUCAUGGCUGGAGAAGACGUAUCAGAAUCCUUUGAUUGAUCAAAUUUGAUUCAAUGACUGAAGAUUCGAUGAUUGUCUAAAUAUUAUUGGAAGGUUCUAUUUAUGGAAACCGAGAUCCUGAUUGUAUGGGCGAACAGGAUUGAUGGGCUAUCAACACGUUCCUUUAAUAGCUCGAAUGAUCUUCCUAAUUGAUUCCGUCCAACGGGUAGAUUGGAGGAAUUCCUUUGGUAAGUGCCAACGGGUAUGAUGGCAUAAAGGAGUAUAUAAGGAAGACGUCCUUAGUUGUUCGAGGAAGUGCGCGAUAGAAAAAUUCCAAAGUCUGAAGCUCCUAUUUGUUUAGAUAAAUCCUUUGAGCGAAUACUUGUAUACAAAAGAGAGUCUAUAUUUGUGAGAGACCUUGAGGAGGUGUGGCAGUACAUCUACACUGUGGAAUCAAGGCAAAGCUGUGCUGUAACUACUCUUUUGAUCAUAGUGAAAUCCAACCGGUGGGCUGUCAGUGCGGAAGAGUGGACGUAGGCUUGGAAAAGCUGAACCACUAUAAAUCCUGUGUUCCAAUUUCUCUCUUCCUACCUUGAUCGUAUUUCAAUUUGUUAAGAAUUGCUUCCGUAUAUCGACAAAUUGUUUGUGCGCCUAUUCACCACCCUCUAGGUGUUUAUACUAGCAAUAUCAAUUGGUAUUAGAGCUCGUGUACUUACUUUAUUUGAAGUGUUUUACUUUAUAGUAAAAGAUCCAUGGCUAGUAUGUUAGCACCAGGGCUGAUGGAAGGGCAAAGCAAUACCAGACCACCCUACUUUGAUGGAAAGGAUUACAACAUCUGGAAGAACAAAAUGAAAGCUUUCCUACGAUCAAAGGAUCCUCUGGAAUGGGACGUUGUAGAAAAAAGAAUUACUCCUACCACUGCAUCAGUCUCUGAAAGAGGAAAAGAAACUGAAGAAUCCAGCGGAAUGUCUCAGGAAGAAAUAACCAAGAGACAGACACUUGAUGCAAAAGCAAUUUACUCCUUAUAUUGUGCUUUAUCACCAACUGAAUAUAAUAGAAUAUCUUCUUGUGGUACAGCAAAAGAAGUUUGGGACAGAUUGCAUAUCACCUAUGAAGGAACAGAUCGAGUGAAGGAAACAAGAAUCAACAUUCUUCUUGGUCAAUACGAAGCCUUCAGAAUGAAACCAGGAGAAUCAAUAUCUGACAUGUUUAGUCGUUUUACAGAUAUUGUGAAUGGUCUUGAAAAUCAAGGUCAACCAACUUCUGAUCCCAUGAAGGUAAACAAGCUACUGCGUGGACUCUCAAGGGAUUGGAAUCACAUAAAGACUUCGAUAAGAGAGACGCAGAGAAUUAUGCCACUAUCUGUCGACGAGCUGAUUGGAACUCUUCAGUUCUAUGAAGUGGAAAGGAUCAAUGAAGAUGAAGAUCCAAAAGGUAAGAAAUCCAUUGCAUUAAAAUCAAAUGAUGAUUCUGAUGAUACAGAUUCUGAAGAUGAUAUGGACGAUGAGGAGCUUGCUCUCAUGAUAAGAAGAUUCAGAAAACUAAAUAGAAAAGGAAGAAGGUUCAACUCAAAGAAACAAAGCUUUCAAAAGCAGACCAAGUCUGUUGAUGAUGAGGAACCAAAUAAAGAUAUAGUCUGCUUUGAAUGCAAGAAAAAGGGACACAUCAGACCCAACUGUCCUCUUCUGAAGAAGAAGAAGAGAGGAAAAGCUGAAAAAUUUCGAAAAGCUCUCAAAGCCGAAACCUGGAGUGAUACUGAGUGUGAAGAAAGUGAUAAUAAAUAUGCCAAUCUAUGUCUGAUGGCACAAUCAGACUCAGACUCAGGAUCAGACUCAGACAGUGAAUUUGAGGCAAGUGAUUUUAAAAUUCCUGUCAAAGUUUCUAAAUAUAUUGAUGAACUAUGCUUUAGUCUUAAGAUUUCUCUCAAAAGAAUUUCCAAACUGAAAAAAGAAAACUCAGCUCUAAAACAAAAAGAAAAUGUUUUAGAAGAAAGAGUUAAAAGUCUAGACAUGUCUGUUUCCAAUCUUUUAAAAGAAAAUGCUUGUUUAAAAACAGACUUAUCUAAUAUAUCAAAGAAAUUUUCUAUGGGGUCUGAAAAACUUGAGAAAAUUCUUUCAGCGCAAAGACCUUACUUCAAUAAGUCUGGUCUAGGUAUGACAGAAGAAACAAUUCCCUUGAUUAAUUUUCCUAAAGUAAAAGAAAGAAUCAAGAAAAGGUUUUCGAGUGAGGUUUACAAAAAUCACUUCAAGAAAGUUUUUGUAAAACCUGUAGGUAGAAAUGCUCUCAGAUGUUCUAAGUGCAACACUCCGGAUCACUUUGAAAAAGAGUGUCCUAUGGUAUGAAAACCUGUUAAGAAAGUAUGGGCUAAUACUGUUUAUCUUACUAACACCAAAGGACCCAAGAAAAUUUGGGUACCAAAGAAAGCUUGAGACUUUAUUUUAAAUGCAGGUCUCCGUCAAGAAACAGGUAAAGUGGUAUCUUGACAGCGGAUGCUCAAGACACAUGACAGGAGACUCAAAUUGCUUUAUAAAGAUUGCUCAAGUAAAUGGUGGAAAAGUUUCAUUUGGAGGAAACAGCAAAGGAAGUAUUGUGGGAUUUGGAACCGUGAAAAUUGGAACUCUCACAAUAAGUAAUGUUUCCUUAGUGGAAGGACUCAAUUACAAUCUUCUCAGCAUUAGUCAAUUGUGUGAUACUGGUUUCAAGAUCUUCUUUCAAGAAGGAACAUGUUCUGGAAUCAGUAAAGACUCUACUCAGUCUUUCAUGGGUCGAAGACAUGGAAAUAUCUAUCUUCUGGAUGUGAAACCAAAUGAAUCGCAAUGCCUUAUUUCAAUUCAAGACGAAGCAAGCUUAUGGCACAAAAAGCUUGGUCAUGUCAACAUGAAGCAAUUAGCCAAAAUCUCUUCAAAACAGCUUGUUCGAGGACUACCCAGAUUGCCAUACCAAAAGACUGAUUCAUGCACUCCAUGUAUUCUGGGAAAGCAGGUAAGAAAUUCUUUUAAGCCAAUUAAUUAUGUCUCUACUAAUCAUGUACUACAGUUGCUGCAUAUGGAUCUCUUCGGACCAACCAGAACUCAAAGUAUUGGGGGUAAGAAGUAUUGCCUAGUAAUUGUUGAUGAUUACUCCCGUUUUACUUGGGUAUAUUUCCUUGCAAGUAAGUCCGAAACCUUUUCGUAUUUUGAAAAAUUUGCUAAAAAGGUUCAAAAUGAAAAAGGAUGUGUUAUCUCUAGUAUAAGAACAGAUCAUGGAGGUGAAUUUGAAAAUCAAGAUUUUACAAAAUUCUGUGAUGAAUCUGGCUGUAAGCAUGUGUUUUCCUCUCCAUAUACUCCUCAGCAAAAUGGAGUUGUGGAAAGAAAGAACAGAUCUCUUCAAGAAAUAGCUAGAACUCUUUUAAUUGAAAGUAAAAUUUCUUCUCGAUUUUGGGCUGAAGCUGUUUCAACAGCUUGUUAUAUCAUCAAUAGAGUCUUCUUAAGAUCUAUUCUUCAGAAAACCCCUUAUGAGUUAUUCAAAGAAAAGAAGCCUAUUGUUUCAUACUUUCAUGUAUUUGGUUGCAAAUGUUUUAUACUGAAAAAUGCAAAAGAUCGAGUUGGUAAGUUUGAAGAAAGAUCAGAUGAAGGUAUCUUCCUUGGAUAUUCUACAUCAAGCAAAGCCUUCAGAGUCUAUAACAAGAAGAGCCAGUCUGUGGAGGAGUCAAUGAAUGUCAAAUUUCAAGACUCAACACAAGAUGAAUCAAGUCAGACUCAUCAAGAAGAGUCUGAACCUGCUCCAGAUCUUCCAAAGCUUACAACUCAAGAAGCAUCUCAGACUCUGGAAAACCAGAAUAAGGAUGUUCGUGAAGAUUCAAUCAAAGAGAGAGAUCAUCAAUCAGACAAAUCAACAAGUAACUGGAAGCAUAAGUCCAGUCAUCCCAAAGAUCUUAUAAUCGGCGAAAUGAAUGAAGGAAUUCGCACUAGAUCCAAAAGGCGAGAAGAGUCUAGUGCUGUGGCACUCGUUUCUGAAAUUGAACCAAAGAGCAUAGAAGAAGCUUUAUCUGAUGAAAGCUGGAUUGAAGCUAUGCAAGAAGAGCUCAGACAGUUCAGCAUAAAUGAUGUCUGGGAAUUGACAUCCAAAGCAAAAGGUAAAACUGUUAUGGAGCUAAAUGGGUUUUCAGAAACAGAUGAACGAGAAAGGAAAAGUCGUACGAAAUAAAGCAAGACUCGUGGCCAAGGGAUAUACGCAAGAAGAAGGAAUAGACUAUGAUGAGACUUACACUCCAGUGGCAAGGUUAGAAGCUAUUCGACUAUUACUUGCGUUUGCUUGUUAUCAGAAUUUCAGGUUAUUCCAAAUGGACGUCAAAAGCGCAUUCCUAAAUGGAUUUAUCCAUGAGGAAGUUUAUGUGGAACAACCACCAGGGUUUGAAGACCCAAAGAAGCCAGCCUCAGUCUUCAGACUGAAAAAGGCUUUGUAUGGUUUAAAGCAAGCACCUCGGGCUUGGUACGACAGAUUAAGUAAGUUCCUAAUACAAAAUGGUUUUGUCAAAGGUAAAGUAGAUACGACUUUAUUUAUCAAGAAGGAAAACAAAAGUUUCUUACUUGUUCAAAUAUAUGUGGAUGAUAUUAUUUUUGGAUCCUCUAAUGAAAGUCUUUGCAAGAAAUUUUCAAAGUCUAUGCAGGAUGAGUUUGAAAUGAGUAUGAUGGGAGAGUUAACAUUCUUUCUUGGUCUUCAAGUAAAACAAUUGAAGGAAUGAACUUUUAUUUAUCAAGAAAAAUAUGUUAAUGAUCUUGUCAAAAGGUUUGGACUGGAAAAGUGCAAAAAGGUCGACAUACCAAUGUCAAGUUCUUUAAAGAUAGACAAAGAUGAAGAAGGGAAGAAAGUUGAUCAAAAGCUGUACAGGAGCAUUAUUGGAUCACUUCUUUAUCUUACUGCCUCUAGACUUUAUAUUUUGUUGAGUGUUUGCAUUUGUGCUAGGUUUCAAUCAGAUCCUAGAGAAUCUCAUCUCAGUGCUGCGAAACGCAUCAUUAAAUACGUUGCUUCAUCAUCAAGCAUCGGUCUUUGGUAUCCUAAGAAGGGAGACUUUAAUCUUCUGGGAUAUUCAGACGCAGAUCUGGCCGGUUGCAGAGUUGAUAGAAAGAGCACUUCAGGAACUUGCCAGUUGCUUGGAAGCAGGACAGUGUCUUGGUUUUCAAGGAAACAAAGCACUGUGUCUCUUUCAACAACAGAAGCAGAGUAUGUAGCUCUUGGAAGCUGCUGUUCGCAAAUUCUAUGGAUAAAACAACAGCUAAGAGAUUUUGAAAUUGAAGACUCAUGCACGGAGAUUAAUUGCGACAACACCAGCGCUAUCAACCUCACCAAAAAUCCAAUUCUCCACUCAAGAGCAAAGCAUAUAGAGAUUCGACAUCACUUUAUUAGAGAUCAUGUUCAAAAUGGAGAUGUUUCAAUUCAAUUUGUUGACUCAAAGAAUCAACUGGCUGAUAUACUCACAAAGCCUUUGGAGAAAAAUCGAAUUGAGUCUAUACGAUCCAGACUCAACAUUUUGAGGUAUGAGGAUAUCAAAGUCUAAAGACUUUCAGACUCAGGCUUACAAGACUUUAUCUACAGUCUUGGCUUGACCUUCAGACUGUAAGUCUUUCUCUCUCCAAUCUUAUCUUGAAAAGGUACGAUCAUCAGACUGUGUUUAAAUUGUUGCUAUAUUUAAUUAACGUAAAUAUUGCAUCGAUUCAUUUUCAAAAGGGAAGUUAUUUUUGAAAUAGCUAUUUUUGCGGAUAAAGACAGUUAUUUUGAAAAGGCAUAUUUUUAUUUCCUUUGUGACGGUUCGUUUACUCUUCUUUUUAACCGAACGAGCACUGUCGAUUUCUCUUCACUUUUCUAUUCACUUUUCUCUCAAAAACCCUAGAAAGCAUCGAUCCUCCACUCCCGUUUGUCUUCUUCGCUCANNNNNNNNNNNNNNNNNNNNNNNNNNNNNNNNNNNNNNNNNNNNNNNNNNNNNNNNNNNNNNNNNNNNNNNNNNNNNNNNNNNNNNNNNNNNNNNNNNNNNNNNNNNNNNNNNNNNNNNNNNNNNNNNNNNNNNNNNNNNNNNNNNNNNNNNNNNNNNNNNNNNNNNNNNNNNNNNNNNNNNNNNNNNNNNNNNNNNNNNNNNNNNNNNNNNNNNNNNNNNNNNNNNNNNNNNNNUGAUCAGCAUCAAGAAGAAAUCAUCGAGGAUGCAGACCCCGUAAGAAGUUCAAAAGCCCGCUUUUAUUUACAAGCUAUAUCGUGCCUUAAAAGGAAUUCGUACUCCUUUGAACUAUGUUGAUGAGUUUCUUAGAGACAAAGGAUAUAGGAACGAAUAUAUCUUUCUGCGAAAAAUGGAAAGUUUGGGAAUCGCUCGUAAAGGGGUGGCUGAGGAAACCCUUGCGAAUAUCCCAAGUGAUCCUCGUGACUGGGGGCCGAAUCCUGUAGAUGGGAAUGAUGAUGACAAUCUGUUCAGUUUAUUUCAACCGAAAAUGGGUAUUGCGGCUGAAAUUCAAGGAAAAAUGGGAGAUUUGUUCAGAUCAAAGGAACAAAAGGAUCUGUACUCAAAAUUGCUGAAGCGUGGGGUAAUAAACCCUAGAAGUGUGGACUUUGAUUUUCUGGAUGCUGUGAAAGUGAACUUGAGGGAAAAGUUCAGUUAUCUUCAACUUGAAAAGUUUUGCUCUGACUCAACUGAGGCUUAUACUGAAUUGACUGCAUAUUUCUAUUCAAAUCUUAGCUUUUUGGAUGCGAAUAGAUUCUCCUUCAGUGUUAAAGAACAAGACUAUGUUGUGGAUAUGAAUAUGCUGGCAGAUGUGUUAGAAGUUGAGAGAGGCAGAUAUCAACCAAUCAAAGUUUCCAUUGCUGGGGCUACACUUGAACUGGUGAAGGACAGGAGAACAGAUGAGAAGAUCACCUACUCACGGAUGAAUGCAUUCAACAUCUUGCUUCACAAAAUUGUGAUCAAUUGCCUUCGGCCGAAAUCAACUUCCAAAACUGAUGUGUCAAGUUCUGAGGCAAAGUUGAUGUAUGCCAUCCUCUGUGGUAAGAAGUUUUCUCUCCCUCAUACUGUUAUGUUUCACAUGUAUAGAGCAGUGAUGAAGGACAGAGGUCAACUCCCUUACCCAAGCCUUGUUACGAAGUUAUUCAGACAUCUGAAUAUUCAGCCUCCGCAAAUCUUUUGUGUUCGAUCAUGCGAUCAUAUGGUGGUAGGACUGAAAAUGGUAACCAAAAUGCGUCUGAAGGAACUGAGCAAGGAAUUGGAGAAAUUCAAGGAGAAGACUCCUACCAAAUCUCAUCAAUUCUCUUCUGCUGCUAAGAGAAAAGGGAAGGAGCCCAUGGCUGCUUCAUCAAAGAAAAGAAGAGCUCUCCUCGUUGAGGAUGAAGAUGAUGACGAAGACAUCACAAUCUCUGCAAUGGCUUUGAGGAAUUUAGGUCGUCCUGUUCCACAGAAAGAAUCGGAACAAAAGACGAAAGAAGCAGAGGAGAAGGAAGAAGGAGAAAGAGAAGCAGAGCAAGAAGCAGAGAAAGAAAGAUCUGAAGAAGAAAGAAGAGAAGAAGGAAAACCUGAGGAAAUCUCUUCGCCACCUGUAGGCAUGGAAACAGGGGGAGAUCAGGAGAAAGGAGUGACGUCUUCACAUCCAGAUGCAAGUGAAGGAGUCAGUCGCUCGCCUGCAGACCCAGAAGAUGUUUAUGCAUCUCAAUUUCCAGAGGAAGGUCAUGAAGCUUCAUCACCAAACUUGCGAGAUUAUGCUGAUCCACCAUCGUCUGCUUAUACUCCAGAUCGAGCCGAAGCAAGUACUCAGACUGAUAAUGGAGCAGAUUUUCGCAGAAUCAUGGAUAUUCUCUUGGAGAUGAAAGGUCAGAUUUAUGCCUUGGGAUGCGAAGUUCAAAGCUUGAAGAAUGAAGGUCAAGCUUCUUCUUGUUCAUUAAAUGAAAAGAUGCAAGCCCUCUCUAUUCAGAAUCAGGCCAAUGCCAAGAGUGAGGAGGUUGUACAGCUGAAGGAAGACUUUAAAAGGCUGGAAGGCAUUGUUCAGUCUAUGGAAGAUUUCCAGCUUGUCCGCGUUCCCAAGCAAUCUUGAUUUCAUCUCAUCCUUUUUAAAUGAUGACAAAAAGGGGGAGAGAUGCAUGAUUUGAAAACUUUCAAUCUUUUUUAAUUGUUUGUUGGAUUGUGUUUAAACUGUCUGUUUGUUUUUGACAGACUUUGACUUUGUUUUGUGUCUGGAUAAGAACUGCCUAGACUUGGACUUGACUUUACUACUUUUAUUAAUCAAUAUUGAUAUCUUAUGAAUGGCUUAAUCAUAUACUGGACUAACCUAUUUUCUGUGGUUGCAGAUUCUAGUGUUAUUCUAUUAGCCAUUUAUUUCUAUAAGAUAUGCAUAUGUGGUUGAGAAAUGUUUUGCAGGUCAAAGUUAUCCAAAUCUGCAGGAAUGUUUUGUCACCAUCAAAAAGGGGGAGAUUGUUGGAGAAAUCCUCGUGAAGAGUUUUGAAGUUGACAAAACGUUUCCAUCAGUCUAGUCUGAAGGUCUGCAGACUCUGUUAGUUAAAGUCUAAAGACUUCCGGACAGCCAGACUCAAGACUCAAAGUCUAUCCUCAUUGACAGUCACUGAUCCGUUGAAGAAAUGUUAUCCCGAACUGAAUGUUUUGUUCAGGAUUUAACCUUAUCAUUUGGAGAAGAUCUCAUGGCUGGAGAAGACGUAUCAGAAUCCUUUGAUUGAUCAAAUUUGAUUCAAUGACUGAAGAUUCGAUGAUUUUCUAAAUAUUAUUGGAAGGUUCUACUUAUGAAAACCGAGAUCCUGAUUGUAUGGACGAACAGGAUUGAUGGGCUAUCAACACGUUCCUUUAAUAGCUCGAAUGAUCUUCCUAAUUGAUUCCGUCCAACGGGUAGAUUGGAGGAAUUCCUUUGGUAAGUGCCAACGGGUAUGAUGGCAUAAAGGAGUAUAUAAGGAAGACGUCCUUAGUUGUUCGAGGAAGUGCGCGAUAGAAAAAUUCCAAAGUCUGAAGCUCCUAUUUGUUUAGAUAAAUCCUUUGAGCGAAUACUUGUAUACAAAAGAGAGUCUAUAUUUGUGAGAGACCUUGAGGAGGUGUGGCAGUACAUCUACACUGUGGAAUCAAGGCAAAACUGUGCUGUAACUACUCUUUUGAUCAUAGUGAAAUCCAGCCGGUGGGCUGUUAGUGCGGAAGAGUGGACGUAGGCUUGGAAAAGCUGAACCACUAUAAAUCCUGUGUUCCAAUUUCUCUCUUCCUACCUUGAUCGUAUUUCAAUUUGUUAAGAAUUGCUUCCGUAUAUCGACAAAUUGUUUGUGCGCCUAUUCACCCCCCCUUUAGGUGUUUAUACUAGCAAUAUCAGGAGUCUGUGGAGCAAGGAAAGCCCUCUCCGAAAGAUAAAAAUUAUAGUCAAGAUACUGGAACAAGCCGAACGAAGAGAACCAUUACUUGGAGAAGCAUUCUUUUCUCUUGCUAUGGCAGGCGAUGAUCUGCGAAUGAGAUUGUUGUAUCCUGAAAACUAAAGGUAAAAUACUUGGAUUCUAUUUUUCCUUCCUUGACUUCAGUGAUCCUUUUUAAUAUGCAGAUUGAGAAGCCCAGUUUCUUUUCCUUGCUAUACCAUCGGUUAUUAAUAAAAUUGCAUGUACCUAUGAAGAACCUUAUGUAAAAAACCUCCUUGGAUUGAUUGCUAUCUCCUAAGAAGUUCUUUGUUUGCAUAAAUGCACUUUGCGAGGUCCAGCAUAUUAUUUGUUUAGCGCUCUUAGCGUUCCUUAUGGAGUCAUAGGUGGAAGGUGCAUUGGCAUUGAUCUCAGAUGUGCAUAUCGACAGAGCUGUGGUGCUUUGGAACUUAUUUGCCACUUUCUUCAUGUUGUCAAUGGCCAUCACCUUUCAAAUUUGUAGGGAGUGCGUGUGUGCGAACAAGAGAGAGACAGAGUGACUUCUAAGAUGAGCUUUCUUGAAGCAUAUCUUAUUCAAACGGUCCCUUGUUAUAAUACCACUAGUCCGGUUGAGGCUCCAUUGCUUCCUUUGCAACUUGAAACUUCCUCAAUGAAAAAUUUCCAGUGUCUAGCAUAACAACGAUCACAUUGAUCAUAUUAAUAAGGAAGAUCUUGCAAGUUAUCCCCACUUUUAUGAUUUCAUUUAGGUGUUUGCUGAGUUCAACGUUAUCGGCUUACUCUUUUUAGUUGGGUUCCUAGGUUAAUCUUCAUUAUUUUCCUUGUUAUAUAUCAUCUGAGUUUUGUGGCAAAUGGAUCAGCUGGCAGCAGAGGCAUUUGCUAACUUAUGUCAGUGCCUCCACCUUUUGCAAAAUAAAUUUUUCAGAUGAACUGGUCGUUGAUUUCUUAUUUGAAGAACGAUCUAUGUGAGGCUGGUAGUCUCAAAACUAAGAAGCCAUAUCCAUCUCUGAUUUAACCAAGUUAAAUAGGAUUUGGGAAAUAACUUUCCUUCUUUGCCGAAGGAAAUUAUGCAACCCAAGCAAUUGAUAUGUUGAUGCUGGAGGAAAGCUGAUUCUUGUGUUAAAAGAAAAGCACAAAUUGCGUGAUUUUCAAUCAAGAUGCCCAGAAUUUUUAUACUACUACUUGUGACAUUCACGCACACUUUACACAAAAUUUGUUCUUGUUUUGUACACACUUACCUGUUUCGGGAUUGUUCAUGGCCCCUCUUUCUUCCCGCAACUGAUAUUGCUUGGAGGCGUUUGCUGUUACACAGGUGCAAAGCCAAUAAAAAAAAAUCACAAAAUAUCCCAAAUUAGGUUAACCUCAAACUUUUCUUUGUGAUAUAAAAAAAAAUCCAACCUGGCAUUAUUUAAUGGAUUCCAUAGGAAUUUAAAAAGCUUGGGAUCACGUAAGAAGGAUCCAUCAAAUAAGGGAAAAGAGACGCAGAUAAAUCAGCUGGAAAUGUCUGAUGUUGACUCAGGACUUUAUGCUUAGACUAAGGUAGUACAUUAGGGAGUGACCCCUCUUUUCCGAAGGUUCGUGGAAGCUGGUGCAUUCGUCUUGUCGGGCCCAUUUAUCUGUGUCGUUUUCCGCUCUAUCUAGUGAGAUCUUGUCUGAAUCUAGUACGAACCCACAAUAUCUGCAAGCGAUUCGUGUGCUCAAAGGGCGUCCCGAAUGGAGACGAAAGUCUCUUGAGGCAGGCUUUAACAGGACACUGGCCUAACUUCGGUGGGCAUUGGUACGAGCCACAUCUUCUAGUAAUUGAUGUAUGGUCAAAGAUGCAAUGAAUGUGGUGGAUAAGCUCUCUCUUCGGAGGACACCUGUCCGAACUCGGUCGUCAAAGGUCUGUCUCAUGUGAGGGAGAAUCGGCCGGAGCCCAUAGGGCAAGGCAGUAGUCUGUUUGUCUAGCGUGGAGAGCGAACCAGGUCGAAAAAACAUCGGCCAGAGCUUGACAGCAGUUUGUCGCAAGGUGCAGCAAUUCAAAGGAGGAAGUUAGAAUCCCAAACGUCCGAUCUCGUACGACCCCACAAUCCAAAUGGACUUCAUGAAUUAUCCCCUCCGCAAUAUCUGCGAGCGAUUCGUGUGCUCAAAGGGUGUCCCGAAUUGAGACGAAAGUCUAUUGGGACAGGCUUUAACAGGACACUUGGCCUAAGUUCGGUGGUCAUUGGUACGGGCCUAACUCGGUCGUUAGGCAAAGAUGCAAUGAAUGUGGUGGAUAAGCUCUCUCUUCGGAGGACACCUGGCCUAACUCGGUCGUCAAAGGUCCCUCUCAUUUGAGGCAGAAUCGGCCAGAGUCCAUAGAGCCAGACAGUUUUUUUUUUUUUUUUUUAUUCUAUCGUAUAGAGCGAAUCUAGGCCGAAAAAACAUCGGCCAGAGCCAGACAGCAGUCUGUUGCAAGGCGCAACAAUUCAAAGUAGGAAGUCAGAUGGCCAAACGUCCGAUCUCGUACGACCCCACAAUCCAAAUGGAUGUCAUAAAUUUUCCCCUCAAGCUGUUGUCUGGAUUUCCUUAAUGCCAAAGCUUGUUUGCAAUAUAUUCGGAAGUCUUCCUUCUCAUUGCCGAGCUGUAAUCUCGUAGGCGCGUAGCUUGGCUUCACAGGUCGUUGUUGCAUCUUAUCUCCGACAGGAUGAUAAUCAAGUUCUAUGUAUCUUGUACGGUGAUUGGAAACUUGGUUUUGCUGCAAUUUUUGUCGUAAUAUGCCUGUAAUUUCAAAUCACUCUUUGGUAAUAGAAAAAUUUCUCGACCGAUAGGAAAUUUUAAAUGUCAAAUGCCCUUCUUUCGGUUUUUCAAAAAAUGACUCCGUACAUUGAAAAAUCUUUGAUAAUUUAAACUUUUGAGCUUUAUUGGGAAAUUACUAAGUUUGCUCUCUGUCAUUCUCUCAUCCUACUUCCUAUUGAUUAAAAGAAAGUUCCACUUUUAUGUCUUGCAACUUAAAUUCCUAAGAAUCACAAUUUUAAUUAACAUAAAAACAAACUUUGCAUAAGUCAUCCUGUAUCGUAUAGUAACACUGUUAACUUUGUAUAAACUUAUUUUGUCAUGUUUUAACAUUGUUUCGAUAAAAUAAGAACUACAAUGCUUGAACUUAUACCCUUCAUCUAAUCUCCUGUAAUUUCGACCGAUUGAAUAAUUUCCGCCAUUGACUAAAGCACUGUUCUCACUGAAAAGGUCCAAUUCCGGUGUGCCAUCAAUCAACUUCUCCCUUCUUGACAGGGGGAUGCUUGCAAUAAGAGCCCAUGUUGGAUUUAGAGCAUAUAGAGUAAUUCUCGGUUGAAAACGUCGGCCAGAACCGGACAGCAGUCUGUUGCAAGGUGCAACACACUUUUCUUGCAAAAAGGAGGGGAAUUUUGUUUAUGUUGACUGCUUGAUUAACCUCUAAUUUAAGCUUUUGCUCCAUCUUCUUAUGUGGUAAAUGUGAGACUACCUCCAAGAAUUUUCACUUUGAGCGUUUGUCACUUCAUGAUAACAUAAAAUAUAGUAAGAAUUUGGGAACCAAGACACUUCUGACUUGCAUGUAGUUCACUAACAUCAGCAGAGUCUUUCUCGUAGGGCACAAAUAACAUGGCUCUUCAAUGCGUGAAACUGAGGAUUAUGUUUCCCUAAUAUGUGUAGGGAUACACAUGCAUCGCGUGCACUCUUGUUCUCUCCAUAGGAAGAAUUUGGGGUCAAUACUAUUAAAAAUGCCAAACCACUUAAAAAAAUUCAAAUUAAUAUAUCAGUGAUAAAUUUAUUCCAAGUUGAUAUAAAUUUCCACGUACACUUAUUAUGUCAGUUGAAUUACUAUCAUGUGUCAUCUAACUCAAUAAUUUCGUACUAAAAUUUGACAGAAGUUAAUGAAAUGUAAAUAUGUCACGAGCAUAUUAAUUUAGGAUUUUUUAUAAUUCAAAAAUCAAUUUAGAGUAAUAUCGGCUUGGAAUCUUUUGUGGCAUUCACUCAAGAAUUUAUUAAGAACGGAAAGGGAUGGUUGAGAAAUUAAACCGAAAUGGUUAGCGUGGACAUGAAAUGACCUUAAGAGAGACGUCAAGGGAGUGAUUACCUUUUGGGAACAUAAUGGGGUUGGAGCAUUCAUUUGUCUUGGUCCGUCAUUCGUGUGUAUCCACUUUAUCUCAUCGCAUCUUUGUCCGACUUUGGUAGAAGUCACAUCUGUGAUGUACUAAAAAGAUGCACCAAAUGUAGAUAAUAAUAUCUCUUGGGACAAGCUUCACAACGACACCUGGCCUGAUUUCCGUGGCCAAAGUUCGAAUGCGCGCAUUUUUCUUCCUUUUGCCAAUAAUGAGGCAGGAACUUUGAAUUGAUCCCACUAUUAUUUUAUUUUAUUUUAUUAGUGCUGGAGGAACCGUCUCAACCGGUAGCUGAAGCGUAAACCCCCAGGUACUACGUAAGUGGGAGGACCCACCACCCCUGACAACACACUUAAGUUACCAAGUAACUCCGCCAGAGCCUUUGCUUUGCAAAGGUUUUGAACUCCUCAUCUCUCUCGUAAAGGUUCACUGAAGCCUACCCAGUGGAGCCAUCACGGCCGGUGGUUAAAUUGAUCCCACUAUUGUUGCAUAUUAUCCAAAGAUUCAAUAGAAGUUUUAAAUAUAGCCCUUGGAAUUAAACAUAUUCUCAAAAAGAGUCUUGAAAAUAGGCUUUAUCAUAAAUAAAUAACCCUUAGCAUACGCCGGCAAGCAUGUGCACGUGACGUAACGCUUCCCAAGGUCAUGAUCAGAGGACAUUUUCAUCAAGAGGCUUUUUAUUUAUUUAUCUAUUUUUAUUGUCUUUCUUUUUCUUUCUUCAUCAUCCUCACUACAUCUUCUUCAUUCUGCUUCCCUCCCGUCGUCGACUUCGACACUUUUAUUAGUCUCCCCACUAGCGAGCUCUUGAGCUUCAUGUCCUCGGGUAGACUCUUGUCGGUCUUAGUGACGAACAGGAAGUUUGUUAGGACUUGGAAGUAUCGCGACGAGGUGAAUGCUGAGUGAAGUCUUGAGUACUAGUGUACUCAAGAAGAAAUGGGCAGCAAUACGUAAGUUGAUUAUCAACAGGAAGUUUGGAUGGACUCAUAGAAUUGCUUAUUGAAGUAGCUCGUUAUAUCAACUGAGGAGAAAAAAAAAAUAUGAUUUUUACAUGUUUACACAAUUUGGAUUAGGAGACCUAGAGAUUCCUUUGAUUUAAUUUGUGUGUUAAAAGGAAUAAAUAGCUAAUUUCGGGGCCUAGAAUCUCAAAUUGAAGAUAUGCAUAAAAAUCAAUUUGAUUGUUACCUAUGUUACUUGAUCAAUUAGAAGAAGAGAUUAUUGAUGCAUACAACUUACUCUAUAUAGGGAAACCUCAUCAUUACCUAGAAAUUUGAUUAUAUGGAUGACUAGAUCUCACGGUAAUUGUGCAUAAUUUCCAAUUGCUAAUUGAUUCUCUUAUCUAUAACGAUUGAUUUGGAGGUUAAAAACUCGAGAUGAGUGGUUUCAAGUUUUGUACAGGUUCCUGAAACCUAUUCCUUAUUUUUUUGAACUUGCGACCUACCCUACAUAUUUUGGAAUUAUGAAACUAUUUUGUCCUAGGUUUCAAGCUUUAUCAAGGUUCUACAUGUAUUAUUAAUUAAACUAUUACAACGAAUUAUCACCCUUAAUAACCACAAUUUGCCGCUACAAUUCACUAAUCAUAACUUUAUUUAGACACACAAAAAAUAUGAAAUAUCAAUAAAGUAAAAGUUGAAACUCAGAGUAGUAGUUCCAAUUUAUACACCCAUCAUUGAACGUCAUGGAAUAUCGUAGAAUUACGUGAAGAUAUAAACCAAGAAAAACAUGAGAACUUAUUUCAGAUUCUAGGUUAUAGGUUUCAAGUUCUAGGUUUCACUAAUCUAUAACCUAGAACUUACCCGUCAAAAUAGGUCCCUCAAUUUUUAGAACCCAAAACCUACCCUACAUACCUUAGCACUUAAAACCGAACAACUUCCCACCCCUUUGGUUCUUAGAUUCUAAGUUCUAUCCUGAAAUCAUGCUCAUCCCUAUUGAAGACUAUAUAAGAAGAUUAAUACAUGUUGAAUAAAAUUUAUAAAACUAAGAAAGUCACAAAUACCGAUAUAGUCACAUUCUCUCUAUGUUGUGAGUGAUCUACUCUUUGGUGAGUUUUAUUACUCACUUUAAUUUGUAAUUUGAAGAGUGUACAAGUUAGUAGGCAGUAAUUGUUUAUUGAUAGUGGGAUCGAUCAAUUUCGAAUAGAAGCAACACGAGUUUCGUAUUAACUACUCACUAAAUUAUUAGUGGAUACUGGCCUAUCGAUGGCUAUUAGAUUGGGAGAAUGGACGUAGAUUUGGCAUAAAUCAAACCACCAUAAAAAUCUAAGUGCAUCAUGUUCUAUUUCUUUACUUACUUUAUCAUCUAUCGAGUGCCGGAUACCUGGAGUGUCAAAACUUAGCACGAAGGGACACUUAAGUGCCAAAAGUUAGAAAAGUGAAACUUAAGUGCCAAAAUGGAAGUAAAAUGGAUCAUUUAAGUACCAACAGUGAGAAUCUAGCCAAAAUGCUGAUGUGGCGAUUUUCUGGCAAGGUAAGUGCAAAACAAUGUCAUUUUGCACGCUGACGUGAUUAGACAAAUGCAAAAAUGACGUUGUUUUUAUCUUUGAUGUGGUAAAUAAUUAAUACAAAAAUUAAUUAAAUUAAAUUUAAACUAAAAUUUUUUAAAACAUUCAAAAAAAUUUUUUAAAAAAAAGGUGGGGGGUAAGAGAGGAGGCACUUGGCUGAGGGCGGGGCCCUUGCCACCGCCGCCUCCCCACCGUUGCCGGGAAGGGUCAGUGAUGGUGGGGGCAAUGUCGCCCGAGGUCGCCGGCCCUUCCCAGCGACGAGAGGGAGGGCUCGGCCCUUAGUCACCUUCUUCCUCCCUCCUCCUCAUUUUUAUUUAAUAAUAAUAAUAAUAAUAAUAAUAAUAAUAAUAAUAAUAAUAAUAAUAAUAAUAAUAAUAAUAAUAAUAAUAAAUUUAAUUAAUUUUUAUAUUAAAAUUUGAAUUCGCGCAAAACUGACGUCGGUUUUGCAUUUCUUGCUGAGUUAGCUCUCUAGCGAAUCACGUAGGUGAGAAAAAUAAUAAACAGUUGCCACGUAGGAUUUCUGGUGGAGUUCACCGAAGAUGGCAUUUAAGGGUACACAUGGUAAUACUUCUAUUCCGGGGAAUAGUUUUUUUUUUCAAAAAUAGUUCUUUUCUAUUUCUACUCUAGAGAACAAUUUAUGAGUAAAAUAACGUGUUUGGUAAUAAUAUAAAAUUUAUAUUCUUGAAAUAGAAAAAAGAAUAAAAACGUGUUUGGUACAAUUUAUAAAUUUUUGUAUUUAUUCGUUUUUUUCUUCUUGCUUAUAGAUUGCCAAUCGUCGCAUGACCGUCGCCUGCCGCUGCCUGACCGCCGAUCGUCACCGCCAACCGCCGCCGCACGACCACCGCCCACAGCCCACCGGUAGUCGAUGGGCUGUGGGUGGCGGUCGUGCGGCGGCAAUCGGCGAUGACGGUCGGCGGUCAAGCGACAAUUGUGCAGCGACUAGUGGUCAAUGGUGGUUGUUGGUCAACAAGGGUGGUCGGUGGGCUGUGGGCAGCAGCAACGACGGUCGUCGAUAGUCGAGCGACGGCGGUCGACAAUCGGGCGAUGGGGGCUGUAGGCGGCCGAAGGUGGCUAGCGGUUGGCAGGGGGGAUGGCGGUGGCUAUAGCAAGGAAAAAGAACACAAGAAAAAUAGAAAAGAAAAAAUUGAUUUAUUUUCUAGAAAUUGUUCCUGAGAACAAAAAGUUACUUUUUUUUUUGUUUCUUAUUUAUGUUUCAAAUCUAUUCUCCGACUACUUUUUUAUUCCGGGGAAUAGAAAAAUAAAUUGGCAUUACCAAACGGAUUUCUGUUCUUGGAAAUUUGGAGAAAUAGAAACGUUACCAUACAGGCCCUAAGUAUCCCACUUUUUUUAAAAAAAAAGUAGCACUUAAGUGUCAUUUUUCUAACUUUUGAUACUUAAAUGUAUUUUCGUGCCAAAUUUUGGCACGAAGUGUGUACUUUCAUCAUUUAUCUAAUAGAAGUAUCUUGCAUCUUAUAUCAUCUAUUGUUCCUGCAUUUAUCAACCUAGAUUGAGUAAUUCCGUGAAAAAUUGUUAUGUUUUGAAAAUAAACUGAACUCACCCGAUCUCGUUGUAUUAUUAGCCUCAACAGAAAGCGCCACAUGAUACGCACAUGCUCAUUGGCUAGUAAGCUAGGAGCAAUUUUGAUACUUAGUUGCCCACUUUGGGGACUAAUUAAAGACAAUUCACGUUGAGGACUCUUUUAAAAGGCUAUUUGAAAGUUUCAUGAAAAGCUUUGCCAACCAUUUUGAGGGAUUAAAACUCUAAUGCUAAAGAAUAUGCUUGUGAGAUUUUGUGAUACUACUAUAAAUUGUUAUAAAAACUUAAGCUAUUAGAUGAAGACAUGAUUUAUUAUUUAAAUUAUUCUAACACCCUCCCUCAUGCUUAGAUUGGUCCAUUUACAUUGUGCUAAAUGCGGACAUAUUUCAUUGGGAAAGCAAAUGAGACUUGUAAAGAUUUAAAUUCAAAAUCUCAAACUUUGAUAACAUAUGAAAUUUUGUGAAACCGUUACCAAUUAUUCUAAAAACUUAAGCUAUUAGAAGAUACACAAUUUACAUUACUUUUCAUUUGAUCUCCUUUAAUUUCGAGCAGUUUGAAUUAGGUCCUCAUGACUAAGUAGUGUCCUCAUGAAUAAGGUCCAAUUACGGUAUCAAUCAGCGUCUCCCUUCUUGGCACAUUAAAGCUUGCAAUAAGCACACAUAUUAGAUUCACAAGAAGCGCAUUUACUUAAAAAAAAAAAUGUUUCCCCAGUAGAGAAGACAGACAAAUCUUGUAACUUCUGGUUAGCAUUUGGUCAUCUAAAACAUUUCAGAAAGCUCUUCCCAUAAAAAGUGAACAAGAACUUUUUCGCACUAUGAACGCUUUCACUUACGCAUAACUGGCAGCUACACAAGCACAGAAAAAAAAAGAAAAGUUUCUGCAAAGGUGAGAAAACAACCAUGGGAGGACUUUGAUACAACGGUGAAAUAGUAAGAAACUACGGCAGAUGUACACAAGCAUAUUCCAUUGACCCACCAAAACCUAGUUCAUUAGUUGGAUUCUUCUUCUUUCCUGUUUCCAGCAUAUACCUUCAUGCCGUGAAGCGAAGGGUCGCUUCACUUCAGAAACCCUCUCUCCAACUAUGCAAAAGCUGCAUUAUGUGAUCUGGAUCACAAAAAAACAGCAGCAACAAUGAUUCUAAUGUCCAGCUUAAAAUAACAAAAAGGAAACCAAAAGGGCAAGAAAAUAACAUAAAGGGUAGCGCCGGAGUACAUGGAAAUUUAGGGCAUCAGUCCCACUGCUUGCUCCAUCAGUUCACUUGGUACCCCAUCCAUCAAUCAGACCCUCCAGUUCAAGAUAGAUUCCCGUGUCAUUCACUGUCAGGUUGUCUUCUACUUCUAUGUUGUCUGCAUCGUCGCCAAUAGCCAUGUCUUCCCCGAGUAGUUUCUCGGACAUCCCAUCCAAUACCGAAGACAAAUCAGACGGACUAGCUCUGGCCAUCUGAUCGGGCGUCUGACCCAGCAAAACUCUGAAAUCCUCACCAUCCAUUGAAGGCCAUGUAUUGUGCAUCUGAAUGGUGUCAAAAUCCUCCAGCACGACCAUAUUUGGCCAAUGCUCCGUCUGUGCCAAAUCAUCACUGAUUCUCAGGCAAUCAACGUUUGGGCUUUUAAUCACGUGAUCCAUUGCUUCAUUCAAGAAUUUGGUGGCUUCAGCAUCGGGACCAAGCAAUUUGCUCUUCUUGCUUGAUUCACAAGUCUCUAAAUCUCUCUUCUGGCUCUUCUUCUGGAUUAAAUGAUGGACAAAGUUGGGGCUUUUGGCUGCUUUUGUGAGGAAGAGGAAUAUCUGCUGGUUCCUGCACUCAGCAUGGCAAACCCGCUCUGCGACUUGCUCAAUCUCAUGCUGAAAGCUCUUCCGCUCUUCUCUUAGUUUAAGGAUCUUGGUCUUCAACACUUCCUGGCCCUUCUUAAGCGUGUUGAGUUCCACUUCAUUUUCAGCUUUCUGGUAAUCAGAGGUGACAGUACUACUCGAUGUUUUUCUAUGCUCACUGAAUUUGCAUCUCCUCUUUAUAUUCUUCAGCAAGUGCUUAUUCCCUUUCUGAAAACCUUGGUUCACAAACUCCCAUCGAUCUGGAUUGAUCUUCCUAAAACCCUGAGACAUAUUUUGAAUUAUGAUGCAUAAAGGAUAGAAGAUAGGAAGAAGCUAUGUCUAUGAGUUCAUAUUGAACCAAAGGCUAAAGAGUAGAAAUAAGCAGAAUGAAGGUCCAGAAAAUUUCAAUGGAAGAUGUUCACAAGGGGUAUUACUAGGCCAAUCUAGAAAGAACACGGCUUAUAAUGCAUGUCAAGGAGAGAUCCUUUACAAUGAUCCAAAUACCAGCACAAAGAGCGUGUGGAAAAAUUUAAGAGUAAAGGCAAACAACUCAAAAUCAAUCCGGAUACUACUACAUAUAAUAUGAACACAACAGGCAGAAUUAUGCUUCUGGUCUUGCCCGUAAAGAAGAAAGGUAUCGGAAGGCCUUACAGAACACUCGAUAGAUACAAAGCAAUGGCCAAAGGAAACUUAUCUUCAGCUAGAAAGUGCAUAAUGGACAAUUGAAGCAGUAAAAUGCAAAAUGCGAACCACUAUAAAGGAACUGCUGUAGUGCAUUUCUGAAUCCAGUAAGAAGAUAAUCUUAGAUGGGUGUUCUGAUAUCAUGGCUGGUACUUUCUGCAAACUACCGUCUAAAGCAUAAUCACUUGAAUAUGAUGAUGGACCGAGGACCUAGUAGGGGCCAUCGUCCACCAGCCACUUGAUGCAAAUUUUUGUGAACAUGUGCCACGUGAUUCAUGAAAUUUCACAUAGAAUCUGUGUAUCUCGCCCACCAUUUCAGGUUUCUUGGUUCCUUGUGCGCUAGUUCCUUGUCCCCUAUACUAGGGUAAAGCACAAAUAGUAACUGACAAAAUGGGUUAAAUUAAGUCUCAACACCUGAGCAAACGUUUUAAGUGGAGUCCCUUGGAGCCUAGCCCCUUGCCCCGGGGACUAUCCGCUGGAUGCUGUAAGAGGACCACACUUUCGACAACAUCCGAAAAAAGAACCGAAGAGUUAAACCAAAACACACAUACACAUACUUUAUGCACAUCAGUACAAUAGAUAACGACCGCAGCAAAUGAUAUAGGUUUGCUCUUAUCAAAACAUGAAGAAGUACCCACGUAAGUGUUGAGCUGCCUGAUGAAGCUGGAAAAGUUGGAGUGCUUGAAGUAUCGAGGCAGGACCUGCUUGGAGAACUCCCGCUGGUCCCACACCACGAAGCUGUCCCGCCUCAAACCCCACGACACCACCGGGUCCGUACCCGGGUCCGACACCAUCUGAUACGUCUUCCUCAGGAACGGCGUUGGCCCCGCCUCUCCCAGCCCCUCCAUCGGCUUCGCCACAUCGUCCGCUGCUGCCUGCCGCGAGCACGACGGCAAUAAAAUGGUCCCAUCCCUGGGAUCAGCAAUGGUCGCGACCUCCUCCUCUUCCACUUCCUCUAUGACCUUCGCCGCCUUCACAGCCAGAGCCAAACAGGGGUCGGGCCGGCUCGGGCAUGAAUGCAAGCGCGACCCAGCUCCAAUCUUGCCAUCGCCAAUGGCUACUUCUGGCAAGGGACCCGAAUGGGAAACCGACCCACAGCAUCCUAGCUCGUCUGCACGGGGCUUUGAUUGUGACCGAGCAGAACCGAUUCGGGUUAGGUUCAAGUACAAGGGCGACCGGGACCCCAUCUCGCCAUGGUCGCCACCGUCAAGAACGGUAACGGACGGUAUUUCUUCCCGUGAUUUUGCGAAAGGUUUUGCCUUUUCCAGCUCAAGACUUGAUUCUUGGAAGAGGGUUUUGGAAAACGACGCGCAAGAUCCAUUGGUAAGGCCGGCGGAAUGAUCGCCGGCGCCGCCGUGAGACGCCGUCGUCAGCUUGAGCUCGAGUUCAAGUGUUUUUGCCCUUCUUUUCUGUCAGAAGCUCUAGUUCAGGUUCAAAGGUGGAGAUGGUAUGAGAAAGUUUCAAGUGAAUAAAUACAACAUGGUAGGGUUUCGAGAGAAAGAGAGAUAGCUUGAAUAAGGGCGAUGGUAUGUUGGCCUUAUAAACGUGGGAAAAAGCCGAGGAGCUGCUAUGCGUUUGUCUUUUGCGUCUCAGAAAGGUUUUCCUGUUCCCAUGUUAGCGGCAAAUGCUUUAAUAUUGUUAAUUCUAUCUUUUAGUUUGUUAAUAUUAAAAGAUUCAUGUCGGCAUCAUUUAAUAAUAAUCAGUUCUAUUUUUUAAAAUAUGCAUAUUUAAUCACGUUCUUGCUGUAUAAGAUUAUGUGGACAAAGAAGAUAAUAGCAGCCAUUUUUGCUCACCCAACAAGAAUAACUGAUUUCCUUUUAAGUAUCUUAAAAUUGAGGUCAUUGAAUCUUAAAAUUGAUUUUUUUUUUAUGGGUCAUAUUUUAACCCUCACUUUCAAACCUUUGUCAUGCCUCUUUAUAAGGCAUCGAAACUCACAGUUAAAAUUAAAUCGUUCCCAUCCAACCUCCUGAGAAUGUGGUAUUCAAACCCUCCACCUCCCAUUUCAUAUUAGAAUGGUGGCCACUAGGACAAGUCUUAGUGGUUAUGUAAUUAUGUUUAGAGAUUCCGACCAUUUAUUAAAUAAUCGUCUAAUCAAAUCAAAUGACGUAUGGCAUAGAUAGCAUAAAAGCGUUCAAAAUUUGCCUUAAAUUAUUUCGUGAUAUCAUUGAUGCUUAACAAUUAAAAAUCGUGACAUUUUAUGUCGAUUUCAAUAUUUCGUUUUUCAAUCCAAUGGGACAAGUUAGCUUAGGUUGACUUGGACGAAUCAUGCCAUCAUAGGAUAAAGUUCAUGCAUACCAUAUUCUCGAUAUAUCAUUUCAUUAGAUUUUAAUGAGGCUGUUUACAUUUGUGUAGUGUCUAUUCAUAUAUAAAUUUAAACUUUUGAAUUUAAUUUUUUAGUACAGUAUCAUAAUCGAGGUUCAUCUUCGUUUAUGCGAGUAUUCGCACACUAGUCCAAUAUAUUUUAAUUAACAUUAUGUUUAUGUAGCCUCGGGCUACCCAUUAGACCAAUUUCUUUCUUUUUUCAAGGUUUUUUUCUUAAAUUUUGAAAGUGUUAACCUUUUUCUCCACUAGCAAACUAAAAUAGUGAGGAAGUUGCUACCGAAGGUCUCGAGAAAAACUGAGAAUAUCAAAAGAAAGAUAUGAAGGGGGGAAAAGGAACAGUUGAGAAUUUGUUCCUUUUCCCAUCGCUUUGGAAGAAAGGGAGAUGGACAGGGCAACGGUAUGGGUUCUGAUUCCUUAAUUAUCACUUAAUGUGCGUCAUCAAAACAGACCAAUCAUCAUUUACUUUAGUUGCCACUUCAAUCAUCUUGCUUCACUGGCGUUCGCGUCUGGACAUGACAACCAAAGUGUGUUUCUUCUUCAUCUUUUUUUUUCCCCUCGUUUGUUUAUUUUACUUUUAUCAAAUACACUUAGAACCGAAAAAAAGGCAUCACAAACUUUAAUCUACACUCGCUAUGAAAUAUUUAGUCUAAAUUUUUUUUCUACAUUAACGUGGCGCCACGCGAGUGCUAUAUCAAAAAGUUAAAAAGAAAGAUGAAAUUCAAUGUUACUGUUCAUCACGAAGAGAGAGAGAGAGAUCGCAGAUGGUCGGCAUGCCAUCGCCGUUCUAACUUUGCCGGGACAUCGACCACCGCGGCCAGUCGCUUCAGCGGGCAAGCAGAGCUAAACCCAAAUGGCGUUGAGCUCGAGCGGGGCCUGAGCUUGCCCAAAUCUAGCCUAAGUAACAGCAUCGGCAACGCCAAUUCAUUAUCUGCUUGAGCAAUGAUCCAAGCUUGGUUUGAGCUCAAAGAUUUGUCUUCGAAACCCAUAUUUUCAGCCCAGCGACCUCGAGUCGCCCAAGACUCAAUUCUCAAGUCUCCCUCCAGGUUACAGGCUCUUAGGUCAAGCUUCAAGCUCAAGCGACCACAAUGGCCAGAUCUGGCUUCGAAGCUCACCGCGACUAAAUCGUCGUCAAGGGACUCACCCCUCCUAAAACACUUGCCUAGAUAUGAAAUUUCAGAUCUGCGAGCAACCGGCGAUCACCGGUGAUUAAGCAAGGGCUCACGAACGUCCUCAGAGGUCUAGGCAACUUUGGGCAUUGAUGGACGAGGGACGCAGGCGUUUUGGCCAGGCAAUCGCGAGCUUGAAGACAAUGAACAGUAACUUUGAAGAUGAUGAACAGUAACUUCCCGAUAAACAGUAAGCUCGAUCUUUUCUUCUUUCUUAAUUUUUUUGUGAUGUCCCAUCAGCGCCACUUGUCUUGAAGAAAAAUUAAUGAUGUCACGUCAGAUUUUUAACAACAAUUUUUAACAUAAUUUUAAUAAAGUAUAAAUAUGUCAGUCAACUAAAAAUUUAUGAUUUUUGAUGACAGAGUUUUUCUUUUGAAUAAAUGGGUCACUCUAGACAUUCCUUACAUAAAUUAAGGUUUCUUGACUUUUAAUCUUUGGAUCAUGGUGAUUAAUUAUGCAUGUUUAUGACGUAUGAGCAACCAUAAUGAAGGUAAAUUGGAAACAAGGCCAAAGCAAACACGUACUUCAUAUAUGAUCAUUGAGUGAACGGACUGCAGAGACCAUCUUUUUGAGGCCCAGAUUAGAAGAGGGCAAACGGAAAAAAAAGAAGAAGUGUUGAAAUCUAAUAUUUUAGAAAAUAAUAAAUAAAAUAAAAAUUAGGUUUUGGAAAUUUUUUGUUGAAAAUAUAUUUUCAUUUCAAAAUUAAGUUUUUAACUUUUUAUUUGAUUUUGGAGCCUUUUUAUUGUAGGAGUCGUGGAGUGAAUAUCUCGUUUGCAAAAAUAACUCUCGAGUGCUUUCACUAUAAAAUGCGAGGCUUCAAAACCAUGUCGAGGGGGCGACUUCUCUUCGUCGAGGGAAAAAGAAAAUAAAAAAGGAAAAGUCAAGAGAAGCUUUAGCUUCUGAAGGGAAGAGAGCUUCGGUUUGUGGGAGAGGAAAAGAGGAAAAAGUAAAAAGAAGGUAGAGAGAGAGUGUGUACGAAGAGAUGGGUAGGAGGAGAGAGAGUAAAAAUUAAAAAAGGAAAAAGCAGAAGCAAAAGUUUUGGCAGGGGGAUUGGACGUUUACUGUUCAUCCUCUUCCCCCUGCACUCGCCGGAAUUUGCUGCCCACAGACCGACGGCUCCUCCUCACCGGUGCACCACCGUGCCCGCACCUGCGCCAUCGCUUUCACUCGUCCGCCACCACACCACCAUCGUGCGAACACCGCCGUAGCAGCAAGCCUGAGCCGAUCGCCGCCAGUAGCUGCCACGUCCCCUGCUCGACUCCUCCACGCUCGCGACCACCGCGCGCCCCCUACCCGAAGUGGCGCCACUCCACAUCGCCGCUGGACAGAGAUCUUCUAUUCCGCGGCGCUCGCACCAGCCCUCCUCGCCGAUCAAGCCACCGUACGCCCGAGCGACGUCAGGGCUGGUCGCUGAACUCCCCUCCGACGAAGUCACUGCCUUGCUGCACCGCGACACCAUUGCUCCGCGCCUCUGUUCUUGCCCGAGUCACUGAUCAUCAUCGUCACUCGCCCACCGUUCCAGAUUCCGCCGCCGACGCCUGUGACUCGCCCGCCGUUGGAGUCCUCCGCCUGCAACGCCCUGUCCACGAAGCCACCGCCGAUUCAGCUCCGACCGCGACACCCCUGUUUCGCCGGUUGUCCCUGCUGCCCGGGUGCCGCCCCGUUCCUGCCGAUCCGCCUUCGCCGGAGUUCCCUUUGCCAGACCAACGAUCAGUCCCCUCGGUGACCAGCCGCACGAGCUGCCGAGCUUUUCUUUUGGAAGCAAAGGAUAAAGAAAAAGAAAAACAAAACAAAAGAGAAAAGCAAAUUAGGUAGUUUGUUUUUCUUUAUUUUAUUAUUUAUUCAUUUUAAAUUUUGUUAUUAUUGUUUAAGUUAGAAUAUGGUUUGUCAAUGUUAAUAUUGGUACAUUUUGUAGGCAUUAUCCGUAAGGAUUUUGUCCGAAAUUAUUGUAAUUAUUAAUUUGAUCUGAGUGACAUCGGAUCAAUUUUUUAAUUAUAUUAAUUUUCGGGCUUUUUUAUGGUAUUUUGGUUGUUAAAUUAAUGUAAUUAUUAACUUGAUCUAUAAGACUUCGGAUUAGAUUUUUAAUUAUUUUGAACUCUUUAUCAUGAUAAUUAGGUUUAGAAUAAUCGUUAAUUUGACCUGUGAGACAACGGGUUAUUUUUUCGGUUAUUUUAAUCAUUUAUUUAUUGAAUAUCUUGAUUGUUUAUAUUUAAUGUUUAGUCGAUAAUUACUUGUCUUGGAAAAACACUAAAACACUAAAAAAAUAAAAAAAAAUCAAAAUCAAAAUCUUGCAUCAAAGCAUGUAGGUUUAAUAAAUCAGACAUGUAGGAUUAGGUUUAUGAAAUUUUCAUCAUCUAGCAAUUAUUGCUAAGUUCAUUUAGUUAGAAAUUGCCCGUCAUUAGAAUUAGGUCAUUUAAUUAAUUUAGAUUGCAUAUUUAAUUGUUGCAUUUCUUUAAUUUUGAAUUUCAUGGAAAAUACAAAAAAUUAGAAUAAAUUCAUUUCAUGCUUUAGGAUAGAUUGCAUGCUUAUUCAUGUUAUAUAUUUUAGGUCAUAUUACCACGUCAUAUCAUUUCAUGUUAAAAUUAGUAGCAUGCAUUGUAUGAUUCUCAUUAAAUAAAAUGAAAACCAAAAUUAAGUUUGCAUGUUAGGUUUAUUUAAUUAGAAUUUUUUUAUUAGUAAAAUAUUGUCAUAUCUAGAACUUAGGUACUUAGGUCCAUACACAUUUCAUAUUAAAGCAACACAUCUAGAUAUUUUUAGAUUAAGUCAAUUUUCAUUUAGUAAAACAAAAGAGGAACAAAAAAUGCUAUGCAUGCCAUAUGAGUUAUAGUUUAAUUGUUUUUUUAAUAAAAAGAAAAAUGCUAAAAGAUGAUCAUUGCACCAUUAAGUUACUUUCUUUUCAAUAAAAAACAUUAUGUCAUUAAAAAAAAAACUAAAGAUCAUUUCCUUGGUUAGUUAAUAGGUUAAUCCAUAAUUAAUCUCAUUAUUUAUCAUAUGUUGCAUAUAUGCAUUAAAAAAUGAAUCAUCAUAAAAAAAAAUCGUAAAAAAACAUGCAUAUAGAAUUAUCACGUCAUACAUCUCAUAUCAUACAGCAUAUGCAUAUUUAGGGUUAUGUAAAUUAGAUUGCACACAUGUUGUAAUGAUUUGAAUUAUGCCACAUGAAUUGUAUCUCAUAUGUCAUUAAAGUAAAACCCAUGCAUAUCAAAUUUAAAUUAAGAUUGCAUUUAAUUAACAUUUUCAAAAAGAAAAAGAAAAAUUAGGUGUCAUGUCAUUUAGAAAUCAUGUUUAGGGCAUGCAUUUUUAUUAGCAUUUUUUUUUAUUGAAUGUUAUUUUAUUGAUUGUGCACCCGCAUGACCAUUUACAUGUUAGUAGCUUAAGUUUAAAUUAAUCAACAUUGCCUGCAAAAUAUUUUUAAAAUUAAAAUAAAAAGGUACCGAAAGGGCAUUAGACUAAUCUAGCAUAAUCAUGUUCCCGGACCCACUGAAUCUCUGGUUCGCAAAAGUAAAGUAUUCUCCCAUACUUUACUUAGGUUUUUAACCAACCCUAAAUGGUUAGUGGCGGCUCCAAAUUGAAUAUAAUUGCACGUUUUAAUAGAUUAAUUUCUUAGUAUUAAGUCGCGAUUGGUAGGACUUGGGAGGGUCCGCGCCAAGUUUUCGGACUUAGUAAUCCAUUAGCCUUCUUUAAGUAAUUCACAUUCAAAAAAUUCGGGAAGGUCGCGACAAGAAGAGAGUGACUAAAAUGUUUCUAUGACUGGUACAUCAUAACCUCCCGAAACCAAAUCGUGCAAUUUUAGGUCAAUUUGGACAUUCUAAUUCAUUUUUUAAAGCCCUUAUUCUUUCUUGGUUCUCUAUCUUAAUUACAAGAAAGCUAAUUUCAAAUUAUAAUGUAUUGUGUUUAGAGUCUAAAAAUCUUUCAUUUCUUUUGUGGCUUCGAACAUGAGAACUUGAAAUUUUCGUAUUUGAAUUUAUAUUUGAAUUUAGAGGAUCCAUGCUUUCAUCAAUCUCCAUGUCAUUUUGCACACUAAAUGAGUGCCGCAACUCCUCAGAAUCCCCUCUAAUACCUGAAACAGUGCCAUAAAUUGACUGUAAUAAUUUAGUAUCCAAUCCCCAUGACAUUUGUUGUGGAAUGUAUAGAACUCAUAUGUGGUCAGAAUCCCAUGAGGAGAGACAAUCUACACAACCAAAAAUUUCUUGAUGGUUGACAAAAAAAUGGAUCUUGCACGAAAUACUAAAUUCCUUCUGAUUGAUGAACCAAUGAUAGCACGAAAUGCCAAGUCAACUAUGUUCUAUUAUGAUUCUAAAGACACGGGAAAACAAUCCACAACCAACCUUAUGGCUACUUUAGAAGUCAGCGUGAGAGAGAGAGAGAGAGAUUGACAACAUAGUGUAAUUGCUAGAGUAUUGAUCCUAUAUUAACUUAUGAUAGCCAAAGAAGUCAAUUCUAGAAGUCAAUUCUUCUAAGUCUAGGUGAUUUACCUGGAUUAUAUUGUAACAUGUGUUAUAAGUCCGCACAUGAUUCGAACGAUUCAUAACCUUUCGCAAGUAUAGAAAUUAUUGCUGGCGGGAGAGCUAGAAUCUCUUGAAACGACGUGCCAAAAGCUGCUGCAACUUAAUCAAUUGACUAAUGCAUGUUAGAAGGCUAACAAAUUUGUUUUAAUCUAAAAUUCUCAAUGAGGACCUACAACUUAAUAAAUUGACUAGUGCAUGUGGUAUGCACUUUGAAGUAGUGAUGUUACCGGAAUUCUCGGUGACACCCAAAAGGCCUCAUGCUGCUUUUGCCUGUUCUUUUUUACUUUAUUGGAUGCAGUCAUCCAGUUCUCUAGCAAUGAGUAGCAGUGUGACCUGUAAUCUGGCUUGAUUCUCUCAAGAGAUCUUGAAUAGAAACAGUUUCCUUUACCAUUUAGGUAACAAUUCAUUUAUGUCCCGUGCAAGCUCUGAUUGGUUUUAUCCCUCUUCAGAUGUUUUGAGCUGAUGAAAUGCAGCUUCUUUUUUGACAAAUAGGAUGACUCUCUAGAUGCUAACUUCUGCGUAUACAUAGAUGGGGCGAUUCUUACCUUACCCAACCACGGCAUGCAUCUAACCAAGAUCUCGUCUUCCUGUCUUGUUGCUGAUAUGAUAAUGCAAUAAUCUCAAUCGCUAGGAAUUAAAUUUUUUUCAAUGCCAUACUUAGCCCAAGAUUUUGAUAUGUUCCCUGAGUCAUUUACUCGGAAGCUGCUUUCUUUUUUUGGGGGUCUGAGAGGAGGCUGCUUUAAGGCUAAGGGUGAUAAGAAAUUCUUUUUAGUCAAAUCCAAGCUUUCCUUUCAUUGUGCAUCCUUGAGGUUUUAUGUUGGGAACUGGGGAUACAAGUGAGAGAUGAUUAAUUGAUUUUCUGAAUUUGCUGUUGAUAGUAUCAAUUUCUCCAUAAGAUUUUAUUGAUACAUUUGUUUUCUUCUGAUCAGUUGCAAUCUUAAGAGAGGUGCAGAAGCCUACUAGAUACUGUUAAUUGCUAGUGACGACCCCAUGGGCGUGUUGUAUAUAUCCUCCUCUAUCGACUUACAUGAUAAUGUAAGUUUACGAUAGAAGAUAUUCUGAGGUUUUAUGGAGCUAGAGAGGGCAAAAGCUCUCUUUAAAAUUCUCCCGUUCCGCAAUUCUCUGUUAUGCAUAUACGUGCACACGUAUGCUUGCAUUUUCUUUUGUUUUGUUUUAAUUGUCUUUUGUAUCUGCAAGUUACCUUAAUUGCAUGCUAAUGUACAUGUUCCGCAAUGCGUGAUAGAAUAUUCCGUGCUCCGUUUAGUUAUUGGCUUUCGGUUGGAGCUCAACCUUAGGAUCCCGUCCAACGCAUUCUCUUCAGAGCUGGUCUGCUGCCUCCUCCACCCAUGGUGGCAAUGAGACGCAAGAGUGGACCAUCCUGUUGAUCCCGAGAAGCAAACUGCUUCCGUCAAAGCAGAUGAAUCGACCACCUGAAGAUGCAAAUAUGCUUAAGGCGACGAGACUACACGGUGAAACUCAGUGGCUGCAAUCUCAGUUGCUUUCACUUUUCUGGAGUUCCCUGAAAAUGCGCUUCAGAUAACAUACAGCAAAAGUUAUUGGGAAAGGGACAAUUGAAAAUCUUUCUUUUUCCAAUGAAGUUGCCAACCUUCUGUGACAAGGAUGAUGGACUGCGCAACUGUACCAGGAUUUAAUUUCUUAAUCAUCAUUUAUUGCCUUGUUAUCUACACGUACACACUACGCAGAAUAUCGUUUUCUUCUGUUACCAUCUCAGUCAUCCGACUUCGCUUGCAUUCUUGUCAGGAAUGACAGCCAAAGCUUGUUUACUUUUUUAUUAUUAACUUAGAUUUAUGGUCUGUUUGCCGGAAAAAAAAUAUUUUUCUCAUUUUUUGACAUUUAAAUCAUUUAGCAAAAUGAGUAAACGGAAAUAGUUUCUUGAUUAACGGAAAACCUAUGCAUAAAUUAGGAAAAUGAUAUGUCCAAAAAAACACAUUUUAGGAAAAUUAUUUUUUCUUUAAAAUUUCGAAAAUCAUUAUAAAAAAUAUGACUACAUAUUGCGUUUAGAUUAGAAAUUUUGUGCUUGGAUACAGGAAACCUAACACUCAUUCUUAGGUACUCAACACUUGGGCUCAUGACUUGAGCUUGUGACCUUGGUCUAAGCACUUAGGACCUAGUCCUCGACAUCCAGACAGGGGUCACUUGCGGAGUCUAAGCUUGGGUCUCUAGCACUAGUGCUUUGGUCCAUCGAGUUCAGACCUAAGGCCUUAGUGCCAUGCUCGUUGCCUCAAUACUAGAGCUGAAUCCAUAAAGAUCAAGGGUAGGACCCUCAUACCUAUACUUGGAUCCCUCGCACCUUAGCUUGGGUCCAUCAAGGCAGAGCUUGAGUCCCUAGUUCCCACGCACAAAUCCUUCGCACUUGAAGCUAGGUCCAUUGAGAUUGAGGCUUAGGACCCUAGUGCCUAUGCUUGAGUCCAUCAAGGCCAACCCCAAGACCCUAGUGGCCAUGCUUGAGUCCCUAGUGCUCGUGCUUGACUCCAUUGAAGUUGGGCUUGGGACUCAAUGGCUGAGUGCAAGUCCAUAAAGGUGGCUUAGUACCCUAGUGCUCAUACUUGGAUCUCCCACACCAGAGCCUAUAUCCAAUGAGAUUGAGGCCCUAGACCCUAGUGCCUUGUCCAUCAAGGUUGGGUCGAGGACCCCAAUGCCUGUGCUUGAGUCUUCAACACUUGGACCUAGGUCUAUCAAGGUCAAGCCUCAAACUCUGGUACCCUUGCCUAAGUCUGACCUUAAUGGACCUCAGCCUGAUCAUUGAGGACCCAUGCUUAGUCGUCAAGCACCCAAGAAUAAGCAUUGGUGUAAAAGAAUAUUUUCCAGAAAUAUAAUAUUUUUCGUGAAAUAAGCAGAACCUAAGUAUUUUACACAAAAAAAAAGCCUAAGUACAUUUGAAGCAUUACAAAGUCCUAUGGUCAUGUAUAUUUGAAAUGGAUUAAUAUAAUUUUGUAGAUUGAUACAUUAACAUGUCAUGGAAAUUCGAAAUAGGUACAACAAUUGUCCCAAAUUAAUUUUCGUAUUACAAAAAAAUCCCAAAUUAGGGUGCCUCCAUCACAUUUAUCCCAAAAAUAUUUUCACAUCAUAAAAAAAUAAUAAAUCAGUACGCUAGUGUCAAACCUACCUUCCGUAAAUUGGGGAAUUUGUUAAAAUCUGCUAACUUUGCUCUCAGUCUCAAUUCAUUUUCUUCGUAUCUGGUUUCUUCAAAUCUGCGUGUGACGUGAUUGGACGAAGACUAGCAAAAGAGAGAUUAGUGCCCAUUGGGAAAUUAUUUUUCUUUGUUUAAAGCCCUUCUUCUUGGGCUUGGUCGUGAUACGUGUCGACAAGAACAUUUCUGAAUAUUGACUUGGACCACAUAAAUCUGAGGGUAAAGAAAGACACAUCAGCAGGUUUGUUUCCGCUGUGAGGAGGCACGCAAUCAAAGCUAUUCAAAAGGGUUUCAACAUAACCCCCUAACUGAAAAUGCAAGAAAGCUAAUUUCAAAUCCUAGUGUACUGUCUGAAAAUCUUACCUUUGUUUCGGAGCUUCAGACAUCAGAACUUGCGAGGUCCGUGUUCGAAUUCAGAGGAUCGACGCUUCGUCAAUCUUUGUUUCAUUUAGUUGCUUACCUUGUGCGUACGCCAGAUGCACCCUGCAGUUUCCUAUGUUUGAAACAGUACCGUAGAAUGACUACUAUCAUUCAGCAAUUGAGAGCCCAAUCCCCCCAUCUUAUGUGGUCAAACUGUAACGAGCAAAAACAAUCUAAAGCACCAUAAGCUUCUUGAUUAUUGACAAACAACUGGAUCUCGCAUGAAAUAAUGACUUUCUUUCAAUUAGCUGAACCGAUAAUGGCACAAAAGGCCAAGCUAGCUAUAUCACGGUAUAACUCGGUAGAUAGAGGAAACCUUAUUAGUCCUCUCACGCUUUGAUGGAUGAACUGCUUUGGGAUCUUGCUUCUGGGAUAAAAAAUGUCAACCGAAGACUCACCAAGCAGUCCCUGCUUAUUGGUACAGUUUGAGGUCGAGAGGCUGUGCGCUGAUAGAGCAGAGGGAAAGAUGAAGAGAGGAGGAGGAGAAUAGAGAGGGGGGGGGGGGGUUUAUAGUGGGGAGGGAGAGAGAGAGAGCAUUGAUCCUGGAUCAUCUUGUGACGGCUGGAGAAGUCAAUUUGUUUGAGUCAAGGUGAUUCGUCUGGAUUAUAUCCUAACAUGUGUGAUAAAUCCACACAUGUUUCCUGCGAUUCACAAUCUUUUGCAAGUAAAGAUGUUAUGUUUGGCGGGAGAGCUAGAAUCUCUCAAAGCUGCAAGCAAUGUGUCAAAAAAAGCUGCUGCAACUUAGUAAAUUAACUGAUGCAUGUAGGAAGGCUAACAAAGUUGAUUUCCAACAGAUCUAAAAAAUUGUCAAUAAUGACCUGCGAUGAAAUUUUUUCAAAAAACCAAGCUCUGAUAAGCUACAUCUUUGCAUACUCAAGUAAAUUAUGCUCGGAAGGGCUAAUGGAAGAAAGAAAUUUAUAUAAUCACUUGAUCCCCACACAAAUUCCGGGAACUUACUAAGUGUGAGCAUCUAUCAGAAAAAAUAUGCUCAAGAGGCUGCAGUGUAAUGAUGCUACAGGGAAGGAUUUUAAGGUCUGCACAGUCCCUCAAAAACAACUCUUUCAGUUCGACUAGAUUCGCAACAGAAGAGCAUAUUGCAAGCAUUUACCUAGAAUUCUUUCCCCAGUAUGCGGAUGCUGCUUUUACUCAGGAUUAGACCUACAAGUUUCCUGUGGCCUGUAUUGAAUGGCACCGAUGGUGGAGAGUAACUGGGCCAUUCCAGCCAUCUCAACCCAACAGGAAAGUACAUGGGAUCACCUGAAUGGUAUAUGGAAAAUUCUGAGCCUUUUCAUGUUUGUGAAGGCUUGAGCACUGAAGUGUACUUCAGGAGCAGCCAACUUGAGCAAUAUUGCUUCCACUUUAUUAGUUCCCUGGCAGCACAUAUAUGAGGAGAUGAUUUAAGUGCAAAGGUGUCUAGGUUAUGCAAGGACUCUGCUAGUAGUAAAUAAGAUUUGCCAUGCUUCUGGUGCCUUUGGUUCUUAGCUUUCAGAAUCUGCUUUUACUUUAGCAUUUGAAACAAGAGUUUUAUAAAUGACCUCAAUCAUAAAAAAAACCACAGUAUUUAAGUUCCUGCAGAUUUUUUUAUAAUUUACUUUCUGGAGAGAGGUCAAUAGUACAAACCAUACAUCUCAAGGCUGGAUAUGGAAAAAGCAACUAUUAUGGACCACCAAGGCCAUUAUCCUACUUAGCAGAAUAUAUUCACAUAUUUUUUUAGUAGAAGGCUGUUGGAAAUGGUGAUCCAUUUUUCUAGAAUUUCCUAGAGUUACUAAACUACAACCUAGAAUUCCCUAGAUGAAGUUUUGGAUAGUUAAAGAUUGUGGCUGGAACAUGUCCAGCAUGUAAUAAGCAAACAAUCUCUGAACAAGUCAGAGAUGUGGUGGUGGCUGCAAGAUGAAGCGUACGUGGACAGCAUCCAUGAGAAGUCCAGAAUCCUCUAAGGUAGUUGUACUUAGUUGGUGGAAAGGCCUAUGAAAAGGCCAUAGCUCAUUCAUGCAAAUGUGUGAGAGGAGUAUGAGAAUAAACUCCAUAUCAUGAAGCUCCUCCACUAACGGUUCCUUCAACUAUUUUAAAACUAUUUUUAUGAACUAGUGAAACUAUCCUAGUCCCAUAAAAACUUGCUUUUAUCCCUUGAACUAUCCUAUCUCAUCCCUUGUCCAUCAUAUACACAUUAUACGCAACACACACUCAAACCACAAACUAUCAUCGAUAUCAAAUCAUGUUUCCGUGCACAUUCAUAUUUCUAACAAAGGCCAAAAGUUCUUUGUAAGAGGCUUUAACCCUACCAAACGGGCAUAUAUAUAUUGUCAAAAACAUAGGACCAUGAUUCAGUUUACUAAUGUGCAUCUCCAGCUUGCCAUACUUAAUAGUGAUGAGCAACUUAUCUAUAAGAAUAGCAAUUCCACCAUCCAGGUAGAGAUCACAGCUCUCCCAAAUUUUUCUUGCAUAACUUAUACACUCUUCCAUGAAGAAACAUGCUAUCUCAGGAAAUAUGUCCUUCUCAUAAUCAUCUAGACCAUCAAAGCUCAUUCUCAGCACACAGAAGAUUUUUCCACUGAAAACUCAAUUCAAAUUAUCUAAUGACUAAUCCAUUCAAGUAAGCUUCUACCACAAAGAAAAGAACCCAAAACUUUAAUAGCUAAUGGAAGUCCUUUGGUGUUAUCCACUACGUUAUUUGAAAGCUCUUCAUAAUCUGAAGGAGGAGAAAGAUUCCUGAAAACAAUUUAACUCAAUAGCAUACUAGCAAUAGAAUGAUGUAACACUUGAACCUUGUAUAUGCUUUCUAUGUGAUGAGCAGCUAGUAAAUGUUCAUCUCUAGUCAUUAUGAGAUUUUAGCUUCCACAACCAAACCAAUCACGUCCUCCAACUAGUGUUUCGAAUUGGAUCAACUGGUUCACAUUGUCAAUGACAAUGAGGACCUUUUUAUGGUGAAGUCUACUCUUUAUCAUGUUCAUACCUCUGGGGAGAUUGCCAAGCUUGAGACUAUCAUCUCAUUUUACCUGAGAAAAAAGUGUCUCUUGAAGCUGAAGUUGGCCACCUUCUGUGGAUUUCUCGCAAGUUUCCCUAACAUUGGAAAGAAAGCUGCAACAGUAAAAUUUGCAAGCAAAAGCAUUGUAAGUAGCUUUGGCGAAAGUCAUCUUCCCUAUUUCUCCAAAUCUGCAAAUCCCGACCAUGCAAACCUCAUUUGAUUCCAUGUCUAGCAAAGUAUGCAAAUCGGACACAUGCAAAUUUAUGUCAACCACGUUUUUGGGAACAUAUAACUGCUCAUUGUUCAGCUCAGGCCUUGCUCUCUUGACAAUGCUCUGAAUGACAUAAGACUGGUGCCUGGUAGAUUCCAUGCAUAAAGCCAAUGAAGAAUACCCGAGGAGAUUCAAAUACAAUUGAUACAAGGAGUACUAAGUUGCUCUCCAGUGAGAUCAACUCGCGGUCAAUAUCUCAUGCACUAUAAACCAGAUUCAGUUCCUAGCAAUCGGCACCUAAAAUAGAAGAUAGGGAAAUCAACUUUCUGGAUACCUAAUUAAACAGAUAAAUACUCAGUCAGCCUUAAGUUUAAUCAAUAAAAAGAUCAUUACCUUCCUUUUUGAUAAACCUGCAAACCUCAAGGGGCUUGUGGAGGGACAUGGUCCAGCUGCAUGUUUAUUUACUCAAUGCACGACUUUUGAAAUUCCUCUUUUAGAGUGAAGAAACGAUACAUAAGCUUUCCUGCUCUGAUGAGAGUGAAUUGAUCUUUUUCCCCUUUUAUGCAUAAACAUUACCCUGAAUUUAUUUCCAAGGAAGUAACUGAAAUUCCUUAAUCAACAAUUGGAAAGGAAUAAAUGAGUCUUACUUGUCAAACCAAAAUGCCAGCCAGAGUUGUCUGCCGCUUUCGUCAGUGCUUCUCUCUCACCUCUUCACCUUCCCUGAAUCGCCCUUCGACUUCAACCUUUCGUCGUGACCGAUUAGGGCUUGUCCAUACCUCCCCCUCUGGUUCCUCACCUCCGACGGAUCCACCUUGUCGAACAGCGGCCACAAGAUCUGCCCCAUCGUAUCCCUGCACUCGACGAUUCUCACCAGCUCGUCCAAGCACCAGCCAGAGGACCCGUAGUUCUCCGAGAACACGACGACCGAGAUCCUCGACCCCCUAUGGCUCCAUGGAAGCUUAGGAACACGUCUUACCCGCAUGGACGGCCAGAAGGACAAGGGCGGAGCGUCGCCGGAGGCCUCCGGGCUCGAGCUCGACAUGAGCGAUGAGAGACGGAAGGGAGAGCGACCUCCUUCUCGAACAGCAGUCUGACCGUGUGAAAUGCAUCGCCUUUUGGACUGAAAUUGGUUGAUACAGGGCCGGCCAUGGUUAAACCAGUGAACAGCGUGUGGUGAGAGACGUGCCCACGAAUGAGGAAUCCUUUUACGUGCAUUAAGCAUAAUUAAAAAAAAAUCACAAAAAAUUUCAAAUUAUGCUCAUUACAGUUACCCUAAUUUUUUUCUUGCGAUGCAAAAUAUCCAAAAUUUAUAUAUGUAUUAAACAUUUAUCCUCCAAGGUCCGUUAGAUGGCUAAAGCAAUGGAAUUUGUUUUCCACUUAAGUCACGUGUGCACCAUAUCAAUAACAUUUACUCUUUUUUUAUUUCCACGUAGGCAAAUUUUUAAUGGUUUAUGUGAGAGGAUUAUUAACCCUUCUCAUUAACAUAACUUUAACUGAAAGUAAAUAUGUCAUAUAGAUAUAAGUUUCGAAUUUUUAGUGCCACGGAAAAGAGGUUCAGAAUAAAUGUGUCAUAAUGGGCAUAGUUUUGGGUUUUCGGUGGCUUUUUCCCUAAUAAAAAUUACUAAGCACAUAAAAUUUAUGAUUUCUUAUAAAAAGUUACCAAGAAACAUCAAAAGUCAUUUCAACAUUACAGAAACUACCAAACAAGUUUGAAUAUUUCGAGUGGUUGAAAAAUUACUAACCUCAUUACAUAUUUUUUUUACCUUUCUUAAGCUUAGCUUCACUUCGUAUUAUUUAAAUUACUUCAAUUUGAAAAUGAAAUUAUUCGUCACGUGUGGAUGUUAUAGUAAACAAAAAGCUACUAAUCACAUAUAAUUAAUUAUUUCCUGUAUUAAAAGUUGCUAAACAUAUUAAAAGUUGCUUCAAUGUAUGAUCAAAAACAUUUUCACAAUUACGAAAGUAAGUUUGCUCCUGUAAGUGAGAAAAUAUAGGCUUUUUUUUUUUUAAAAUACGUUGAGCAAUGUUAUAAAUAUAUGGACGAUAUAUUUGAAUGGACCAGUUACCUAUACCCUGCAAAAUAUUAAAGUGUAAUGAAAUAUAUUCUCCAUCUAUAUUAUUAUAUAAAAAACAGAAGUUUCUGCUAUUUUAUUUUUCCUCAAGCCGUUUAUAAGAAAAUAGCACAUGAGCAAACAAAUGUAAAAUCACAAACUAAUGGCCAUAUAAUUUUAAGAAAACUCUUGAAAACUCAAAAAGGGCGAUUGGCUAUUAUUUUCAUCAAGCAGCUCUUCCUUUUUCAUUCUAAACUAUAACGAGUUAUCAUUUAGUAUCUAUCUUGCAAAAUUGCUUGCACUAAUAAACAAGUAAUUCAGAAAAUUUUAAAGGAUAAUAGUUAAUAGUUUAUAUCUAUAUUGUCAUCCAAUUUUAUCGUUGCCAUUUCAUUUUGUCGUUCCUUCCCUUUUACAAUCUUAAUUUUGUAAUAAUUUGAUAAUUUUUUUGUUUGAAAUGUCAGUAUUAUUUAUAAGAUGACGCACAGGAGCUUAGGGGCAUUCCCUAACGUUACAAAGAUAACUAAGGACAUGAAAAAAAAAAUGGAGCGAGGGAGUCUCCAUAUAGUAGCCAAUAUUUCAUUUGUUUGGAAAGAUCUAAAUUUUUGUAAUAUGAAGCUUGCCCUUUGGCAAGUUUAUAGACUUUAGCCAUGAUGAUAAAGACAUUAUUUGACUUGUUUUGGAAACAUUUAUGGUUACAUUGUAUCCAAAUGCAAUAAAUGGUUACUAAGAAAAUUACAUUGAGAAGCUUCGCCGCCAAGUCCUUGCCUUUGAUAGCCCUAAUUAUCCAUUGGAGUUAAUCAUUCCAUCCUCCUAAAGAAUGAUAGAUUUUGUAUUGUGUCAACUUGGGCCCUACUGUGUAAUAUUGUCCACUUUGAACAUUGAGUCCUCAUGGACUUAAAACGUAUUACAUAGAUUAGAGGGACCUAGGUCUUAUAAACUAGCCCCAUGACUCCUCCCUAAGCGAUGUGGGACUAGAGAGGAUCCCUUCCCCUUCCUUGGGCUAUCACACUCUCCACCCCUUAAGAGCACAGUAUCCUCGCUAUGGCCCUCACACGCGGUUGAGGGUCAGCUCCGAUACCAUUUGUAACGACCUGAGUCCCGCUUUGGACACUGAGUUCUCACGGCUUUAAAACGCGUUACACAAAUUAAAGGGACCCUAAGCCUUAUAAACUAGUCCAGGACUUCCCCUCUAAGCGAUGUGGGACAGGAUACAUGCCUUGGCCUCACCCGCGUAUUGCCAAGGCGAUCUCAAUCCAUCCCUCUGUACUGCCCCGAGUCUGGGUCGUCACACCAUAUGCUUUUAGUAUAUCUGCACUGAAAUAAUAGAUGAUCUCGAUUUUCUAGGCUAGCCAAACAUAAAUUACAAUGGAUUCUAAGGUGAUACGAUGUCCAUUGUUGGUAAUCUAUCUCUACAAACUAGCCACCCAAUAAAAUUGCAUUUGUUGACCUUGCCUAUCUAUAUUAGUUGAUACCAUCCCACUAUCGAUCCCACACUCUUAAGUUCAUUGUAUAACUCUUUGCAACAAUAUCUUUGCCUAGACAUAGCUUACGCUAAAGUCAGUCUCAAUUUAAGAAUGCCAUGCCAAUGCCACACCAACUCCACGCCAUACUACCCUUGAGAGUUGCAUGAUCGAAAUGCCUCUACAUUUGGUACUGUGAACUAGCUUACUCCAUAAGGAAGAUGACAAAAAAUUUAUAAGGUCUAGAGCAUUUAGCUUAGUAAAACUUUGUUCUAUAAAUUUAAAUUGAGCAACCCUGUUCCUCCCUCCCUUUUUUGGCACGUAAUUUUUUUUUCCAAGCAACUUUAUCCAAUCUGUGGCCUUCCGUAUUUCCAACCCAUAAGAAUUGCCUAAUAUUCAUCUUCACUUCGUAUAUAGUUUGCUUUGGAAGUAAAAACAUUUGCAUCAAAUAAGUACAUAUGAAAAUAAGUAUUGAUGGCCAACUGCAGAUGACCAAGAUAGCUGAUAUGUUGCAUGCCCUAGCCUUCUAUUAUUUUGAAAAUUUUAUCAGUCAUACUCUUGCAAUUUGUGUGCUUCAAUUGUCUUGUGACAAGAGGAACACCAAUGUAUCUAAUGGAAAGGGUACCUGUGAGGAAAGGUGUGUGAUUCAAUAUAAUACCCUAUUUUACCUUGGCCAAACUAGAGAAAAAGAUUUGGCAUUUAUCUGGUUAAAAAUGUAGUCCUGUGAGACCUACAAAUUCAUCAAGUGUUUUGACAAGGCAAAUAGCAGAAUUAGCAUCUCCAUGAGCAAGAUGAAACAAAUAAUUGGCAAAGCAAAAGUGUAAUUUUUCUUAUUUUGCAGGGCCAAUGAUACUUGAUAGGAGAUAUGACCACUUUCUCAAUGAUAAUUCUAUUAAGAAUGUCCAUAAUUAAGAUAAACAUAUAAGGAGAGUCGGUCGCCUUGCCAUAGUCCAUUGGUAUCAACAAAGUAGCCAACUUGUUUGCCAUUGAGGCUUAUUGAAAACCUCAAUGUAGUUAUGUAUUGAGCCAUCAAAUCAAUCAAGUGCUAUGGUGAAUUGAUAGCUGUUAGAACCUCGAGUACUGCCACCCAUUUUACCAUGUUAAAAGCUUUCAUGAGGUCAAUUAGUGCCACACGUUUACCUUUGUUGCCCUUAUGGUAGUUGUGAAGGAGCUCCUGGCAAAGUAGAAUAUGCUUCAAAAUUUGUUGACUCGAGAUGAAAGUAGUUUGGUUGAGGUCAACAACCAAAAGAAUGAUAUAGUUAAUUCUUUCUGUAAGUAGCUUCAAUAUGAUCUUAUAUAAAACAUUGCAGCAUGAGAUGAGUCUAAAAUCUUCCAUGCGAGAUGGAUUCAAGACCUUCAACACAAGGGAUAUCAUAGUAGAAUUUAUAGUUUUCAACACCCUCCUUGAGGAGAAGUCCAUUAUAGCAUCCACUAUGUCAUCCCAUAUGGACCCAUAGCUUUGAAGUUAUUGAUGCCUUUCAGAACCUAAGGACCUCAGCUUUUUGAAAGCCUGGUGAAGCUAUGAGGUCACUUACAUCUUCCAAGAAUAAGGAGGCAUACCACUUAUAAGGGAUAUGAAUGUGUCAAGAGUUGCCAAGUAUGCGAUAGUAAUAGGAGACAAUUGUAUCCCCAAGAGCUGAGUAAUUCUGUUCUAUCAUCAAGUGAGAGCUAAGUAAUUCUGUUCUAGGCACUACUACUCAUCAUGGAGGCAAAGAAAUCUAGUUGUCGUUGGCCAUCUCCUUAAGCCAUAUAUUUCUAGAUUUUUUUCUUUAGGAGAAAUUCUUCAUGUUUGCUAAGGGUACGUAGUUGCUCCAAUUGUGCCUUUUCUUCCUCCCGAGUGCUCAUAUUGUAACAGUCCAAUACAAGAACUUGUUGUUACCAUUGUAGGUUCUCCCUGUCUUUCUUGACCUUCAUACGCAAGUCACCAAAUUGAGAUUUACUAAGGUGAUUGAGUUGUUGUUUCAAUGCUUCAAGCUUCUUCACCAAAAUAAACAUUUUCAAUUCUCUAAUUUCUUGUUGCCAGCAAGCAUGGACUAUUGGUAGAAAAUUGUCUCUUUCGGUCCAAAAAUUGAAGAAUCUAAAAAGUGGCUUCCUUCUCCCAGAGCAGUGUUGAGACAUAUCAAGGAGGGGGAAUGAUUUGAAACAUAUGGUAGCAAAAAUUCUACCAAAUAAUAAGUGUACCUGUGUGUUGCCAAUUUGCAUUUAAUGAAGACCCUGUCAAUCUUGUUCACUCUAUGAUCAUCAUUGAACCUUUUAUAUAACCAUGUGAAAAAAGGGCUUGUGGAAUGAGGCUCGAUGAGCGUAAACUCCUUGAUCGUAGUGUCUAGCUCAUUUAUUUCAAAAGUCCAUCGGAUAUUUGAUUCAAUCCAUUCAUUUGUAUCUCUCAUUUCAUUGAAAUCACCUAUUAGUAGCCAAUGCACAUUUAUGUAUUAUUAGUAAAGAAUGGGUUAAUGUUUAGACACAAAGUAAUGCAUCCAUGAAUUGCCAAAAGAAGAAAUGGGUCAUUUCUUGGAUUCUCAACAAGGAAGUGUAUGACUUGAUUGAAAACUUCCAUCAUAGUCAAGCUAAUAAUGGACGGUUUCCACAAUUUCCAUAUUCUACUGAGAUUGUUGCUUUGAUAGUUAUGGAUGCAUUUCCAGCCUCAAAACCUACUUUGACGCUAAAAGAGGAGUUGUUUCAAUUGCAUAUAUUAGUUAGGCAUAACAUGAAAAUAAUUAUGAGUUGGAAGAUUGAAAUAUUGCCCUAUGAACUCUAACAAAAUUGCAAGUUGAAAAAGUUAAAAAAAAAAGGCGAAAAUCAUAAACCCCAAAACCCUGAUUGCGCCUUGACUUCAACCAAAAGAGCGACAGUGAUUGCACUCGGUUGCUUUGUGAGUGAAAAGAAGAGAGGAGAAAAAGAAUGGUGGUUCAGAUCCGUUAAGCGAGAUUUGGGUGCAAUAAUGGGCCCUUCUAUUGGGUCAUGGCCGCUAAUAGCAAAUCUCCUCGCGACGGCAUGCAUCUCAAAGUAUUAGGAUGCCACAUUUACUCAAAUUAAUUUUCAUGCCGCAUAAAAUCUUAAACUGAUGAACAAGUACCACAUUUUUCCCAAAGUAAUUUUCAUAUAAAAAAAUAUCCACUUUGGAAGGGAGAAAAUUGAUAGAUUUUAAGGUAGAAGUCACCAAAAACUCUACACUAUGCCACUAUAAGACCUUUAUCCCAGAUUUUUUUUUUCUUUUUGUGACACAAAAAAAAUCUCAAACUUACAUCUAUGUGACACAUUUACCACAAAAUUAUACAAUGUGAUACAUUUAACCCAAAUUUCUUAUUGUGACACCAAAGACCCAAGACUUUAGUGUCACAUAAAAAAGUUUGAGGUAAAUAUGUCAUAUGAGUACAAGUUUGGGAUUUUUGAUGUUACAAAAAAUAGUUUAGGAUAAAUGUGUCACAGUGGUCAAAGUUUGAAGUGCUUUGUAGCUUUUUCCCUAAAUUUUAACAUAAGUUACUUCAUUAAAAACAAUUUUUUGCAAGUUAGCCUUUUAUAAAAUUGGUGCAACGGACAAGAUAACCAGAAGUUUCUGAGAAAAAAUUUCAUCCUUGUGUCUUCUUCCCUUUAAUUUUGUCUACUUGGUGGAACAUCUUAAGCCAGCGGACAAGAAUUUUAGGCUUGCCGCGGCUAGUCCUUUUCUAAGGACGAUAAUCCUACAAAACCUUAUGUAUGCUCUUGUGAUGUUUUGAACAGAACUGGUUUACCCCCUUUUUUAGGGAAAAAAAUGAUAGGGGAUCUUGUACACAUACUCUAAAUGCAUCUUUAUGAAUUUGGAAAGUUAAUUUGAAAUAAAUGCAACAUGAAUUUAUCAUUUUUAGGAUUUUUUUUUUUGGUAAUAUUAACCAUAUUCUUUUAAAAUAUGUGUAUUAAACAUUUCUUAUCAUUUGGCAAGGACUAAUGCAUGAAGAACAUGUUGGGGAGCCAAAUGUAACUAAGCAUUCGUCAGCCCUUGCUUGACCACUUGCCAGAUCUAGCCAUGACGGCUGCAAGCUUUGAGGUUUAAUCUAGCUUUUAAGCUCACGGCUGCCAUGGCCACUUGAGGUUGAAGCUUGGCCUAAGAGUCUGCUUCAUGGAGGAAAGUAUGUUUUUUUACUUCCUCUUGAACAAGUUCCACAAGCUUUUAUGUCAAAGAAGCCUGUUAAGGUUCAGAAGAUUUUCUGCUCUAUAUGCUUUGACCGGAAGCCACAACAAUUUCAGGUUCUCUAAUGAAAUCCUUUCGAUCAGAGACCAUACUUUCCUUCUGCACUUCCAUCUCAAUCCUGAUGGCUUCCUUUAGAAGAAGGGUGACUCAUAUAUUCUGGAUUGCGCACCUUUGACUUUUUCUCUUUCAUUUUCAUCUUUUUAUUUCUUGAACCAGUCCGGAAUGAGUCACGAAUUUCCAUAGGUAGCUUCGAGUCUGAUCUCUGGCGGGUGGUCAUGCAAGGGCCGACGAACCCCGCCAGAGGUCUAGGUGGCAGUGGGCAGCAAUGAACAUGCGCCAGAGAGCUUUGGCCGAGCAAUCCCGAGCUUGAGGACGAUGAAUACUAACUUCAAUUUUUUUUUUGUUUUUUUUUUAAAAUCUUUUUAGGUGUGUUGCUUGCGUGGGUGCCUCUUGUCCUUGAAAAGCACUAAGAAUGACACAUUGAAUCCAUGUCAGAUUUUUAACAUAACCCUAAUAGAAGAUAAAUGUGUUAUUCGGAUACAAGCUUGAGAUUUUUGGUACACAAAAAAAUAUGGUAAUUGUAUCACUGUUUGGGGUAUUUUGUAGUUUUUCCCUAAAAAUAUCAUUGUGCAGAUCAUGUGCAUAUCACUGCUACAGUCUACCGCCUCUUCUUUCAGAUCCGUCCGUCUUCGCUAGAUUGGCUUCUUAUCGUCUUCGGCAGUGUCUCCUAACCUGGUGUUUUUUCUUUCUUUGUCUUUUCCAUGCCUUGUUGGUUGUUUGGGUGAGGUUUGUGUCCUUUGGCCCUACGUGGCCUUUCUCUACCUAUUGUUUAGGCUUUUUCUCGCUUUGGCCCGCUCUUGUGGUUUCUUUUGCAUCUGGCACCCUUCCACUCACUUCGACUUGGUGUCGUGUUGAGUGCAAGUUUUGUGGUGCUAGAUCUUAUGUAAAUGUUGGCUCAAAGCUCAUUAUAUUAAUUAUUCUUACAAAAAAAAAAAAAAAACUGAGUACGUUUGUCUAGCAUAUAGAGCGAUUCUCGGUUGCGAACAUCGGCCAGAGCCGGACAACAGUCGGGUGCAAGGUGUAUCGAACUUUUCCUGGGAAAAGUAAGGGGAUUUUAUUUAUGUUGACUAGUUGAUUAAUCUCUAAUUAAAGUUUUGGCUUUAUCUUCUUAUAAGAUAAAUGCGACACCAGCUCGAGGAAUUUUUACCUUUUGAGUUUUUGUCACUUCAUGAUGACAUAAGAUAAUGUAGGGUUUUGGGAACCAAGGCACUUUUGACUUGCAUGUAAUUCACUACCACCAGCAGAGUUUUUCUCAUAGGACAAAUAACAUGGAUCUUCAAUGUAUGGAACUGCGGAUUAUGUUUGCCUGAUUGCUACCUUCAUUUGAACAGCGGAACUCGGCAAACACUCCUUCCCCCGAUGGUCGAAUGUACUCAAUAAGAUUAUGGAUGCCAAUGAUUGUCCUCGGCUGGCAUGCCUUGACAUUGGCAGUCCGGAAGAACAACUUCUAAAGAGGAGAAGGUUUGUAGAAAUUCAAGAGGCCUUUAGCUAGGCUUUCAAUGAGGAUAAGGACAAGUUCGAGAAAUCAAACGUUUCUUCCUCUUCACCAUCUUCAUCUUCAGGAGCAACGAGGCCUAAGGAAAAGCUCCAUAUGAACAACAGGUCAUUUAAGAUUUCAGAAAUGCUUGUACCGUGGUAAUAUAAACUUCUUUUCUCUUGGUUUUGCAUCUGCCAAUUUCUGUCUCUGUACCGGGGUUUUUCAACAGGUCAUUCAAAAAGAUAGGGGUAGUGUUAUAGUUUCUGUUAAAAGUUCAAUCUGGUGAGAAUCACGAGGGCCAUUUCAAUUUUUUUUGGCUGUCUUAGCAGGAAAUAUUGCAAGUAAAUGAUCAAGUGCAUAUGGGUCGAAGAAUUGUGGCCCGACUAAUUUCAACAUGGAAUAUCACAAUUCACAGGAGACUAUCUGUAAUAUAUGGGCUUUAAAGUAAGGAAAUAAAAUAAAAGAAGAGAAAAAGAAAAGGUUGAAAAGUCAAAAAAGGGAGGCUGAAGGAAAGUGGAAGAAGCUUCGGCUGAGUUUAAAAAGAGAGAAAGAGGGAGAGAAAGAGAAGAAUAUCGACAGAAGCAGGGGAACGCAAAACAGGGGAGAAGAGAGAAAGAAGAGAAAGGAAAAAGGGAAAAAGGGAAAAAAUUUGGCGCGCUCGUGACCCGGACGCCUCAUCAAGCCGACUCAAGUGUGUUUUGCAAGGCCGGUAAGAAAUUGAAGCCUUUAAUCACUUGCUUGAAGCAAUUGCCGCAAUUAAGGUUCGAAAUUCGGAUUUCUUGGGUAUUUGUGUGGCGAAGCCCAAUUUUUGAGUCGUUAAGCUGUAAUUUUUUUUAGAAAUGGUACUUUGGGAUGUUGUGAAGCUAUAGCAUCUUUUGGAUCGUGAUUUGAGCUUGCGGUUUGUUCGGAACGGAAUUUUGAAGUUGGAGGCGCAAUCUGGUACUGUAGCGAACAGUUGCUUCGAGUCUUUUUUCUUUGUUAUUUCCGGUACUGUUUUGGGGCGGCUGAGUUGGGGUUGUUGUUGUACGUUAAGAGAGCUUUCUAAAGACUAUAAGACGACUUGAAACGGAAUUUUGUGGAGGAAGUUAUGGCGUGACGAAGUUGGUGCAUGGGCCGUGCCUAGCUGAAAAUGAUGGGUUUAUGCUAAAUUGUGAACUUUUGGGGCACGUAGGUGUCGUUUAUCGACUAAUAGGCCUAGUAUAGAUGAGUCGUUAUAAGAAUAUCAUUUUUACUCGGCUUUUUGAUAUUUUCCUGUUAAUUGUUAGGAAUCCAAAUGCAUCGGUUCGUGUGAGCGUCGUAUUUGAUUGUUGGCUUUUCCCAGGUGAGUGGCACUAUUUCUUCUUUAUAUUUUAAACUCAUAUUUUGAGAAACAUGGUGGAUUAAAUACUCUAUGAGUUGAUAAAAAGCAUGUUUUGUUACAUAAAACAAGAUCGAGCUAUUACUGACAUUUUUAUUGUUCGAAAUGAAUUAUAUUUUGACGUUGAUUUGAAUGGUUGUGUGAAAAAGGGAUUUGUGAAAAUCUUUGUGAAAGAAUCUUGAAAUGUUGUAGAAAAUGCUUUGAUAUUUAUAUAUAUAUCAAAAUUUGGAGUUGUGGUAUGAUUCUCUUUCUGAUAUUGAAUUACUGGAUAUUGUAAUUGGUGAUUGGUGCUCAAUGUCGCUGUGGACCCUGAGGGGUGUGGGUAUGCGCAUACUAUUCUAGGAUAUCAUUGUGGGCCGAGCCACCGGCUAAUAAUAUGUGGAGACUUUGCCAAGGGGGGAAUCUUGGUCGUCUUGUCACGGCCGUUACGCGUGACCAUGGCUAGACAUUUGAGCAUGAAUUGGUCAAUGGAGUGGAUCGUUGACGUGUGAUUUGAGUUUGGUCGAUGGAAUGGACCAUCGAUGUGAUUUGAUGAGAUUAAUCAAUGGAAUAGACCAUUGAUGCAUGUUUUAUGAGAUUGACUAAUGGAUUGGACCAUUGGUAUUUUGGUAUUUGAGUUAUGAUUAUGUAUUUGAGUUAUGUUUUAAAUGUGCAUAGUGAUUUCUCGAUCCGCUUAGAAGAAAUGUGUUACUCACUGAGCCGUAGUAGCUCACUCCUUAUUCUUGUUUUUAGGUUCUUCAGCGAGUCGCGAGUAGGCAUGAGCGUGAGCGUUCGCUCGGGGAGGACUUUUGUGGUGGAACUUUUUGGUAUGACUUGUGCAUAGUUAAUGGGUUUAUAAGUUAGUCCUUGUAGAAUGGUUGUGUUUUGAUUUUUUUGGAUUAUAGAUAUACCCUGAUAUAGAUUUUGUAACCAAGUGCCCCUUUUUGUCAAAUAUAUAUAUGUUGAUAUUGGGUUGAAAUUUUGGUUACGUUGAGGCUGCGUUCUUUGGAAAAAGGACGGCCGUGUCAUGCCCCUUCUUCUUGUAAAUUGGGAUGUGACACUAUCUCACACCAAAAUUUGUUUAGGAUGCACAGAAAAAGCACGCAGUUCAAUAUGCAGAAGUACAGAGUACGUAUGGAUGCACCUAGAUACAUCAUACGUACUCUUGUUCUCUCGAAACUCAGAAAUAUUAUCUGGUGCAUAUGGAGUCCGUAAGAAAAAGCUCCAUUGAGAACGGAAAGAGACGCUGAGAAAUUAGCUGGAAAUGUCUGAUGUUCACUCAGGAAGACUUCAGACAGACGACAGGGAGUGAUCACUUUUUGGGAAAAUUCCAGGGUCGCUGCUUUCAUUGUCCUGGUCCAUCAUUUGUGUUUGUCCACUUUAUUUAGUCACUUCCUAAUCCGAAUUUGGUAAGAGUCACAUCUGUGAUGUACUAAAAGAUUCGCCAAAUAUAGAUAAAAAUCUCUUGAGGCAGACUUUACAACGACACCUGGCCUAAUUUCCGUGGUCAAUUUUUUUUUUUUUUUGGGUGAGGAUUGGACCGCAUUAACUUUGGAUAUGCGAAUUAUACCAAUGAUGAGAUGGAAACAGCGUAAUUGAUCUACUUUGUAAAAGAUUCUCCAAAGACUCAGUAAAUUUUAUUCAAAUAGCCCUUGUUGACACUUAAAUUUUGGCGACCCGCUUAAUCAUUUAUUGCAUUAAAAAAUUAGGGGUUAAUUUUAUUCCGGAAAACAUAGUUAAUUGCAUAGCAUAUAGUUUUAUGUGCAUUUGUUUCUUAAUUUGCAUUUACAUUAGGUUGGUGACAAAUGGGUUUGAUUUAGUAGUUCUAAGCUUUAAUUUGGCAGGUCGGACUAAGCCCACGAAGCAAGUAAAUUGGCCCGAGCCCGUUUUCUUUUAAUGACAAGAAUUACCUAAAUUGAGAUUUGAAAUAAUAUUACUGUGGAUUUUUGGAAUUUAAGAAAAUUGGGUUGCAAUCUUAUCUUUAGGUGAUAAAAUCAGGAGAUGUGGAAAAUAAAAAAAAAAAGUGAUAUUGUGUGCGAAAAAGAAAUCUUCGCGGAUGCUGAUUUGAAAAGGAAAAUAAAACCCUAAUCUUCAGCCUAUAAAAAGGUUUUCGCGUAGGGUUUCAGUAGAGGCCACACACAUUGAAUAUACGGUAGAGAAAACACACGUGAGAGAGAGGAAGGUUCGGCCAAGCAUCACGUGGCUGCAACCUUGCUAACCCCACGGCUGAGCUUCAUAUCGCGUGCACCAUGAGACAGUGACCAUUGCCGUGCCCCCUCGUCAACAACGAAGCCGUGAAGCCCUGCUCGAGUUGCUGUCCCGACGUGCCCCGAGCUCUACCCUCAUCGUUGAGUUCCAGCAGUUCCAGGAGAGGUUCUUUUGCCGAAAGUAUUCAAGUUGAAUAUUAUCCAGUCAAAGAAGACAAUUCCGCUUGCUGCAUGAAGAAGAUCCAUUCUCUGACUUGCAAAAGAUGUCAGAGCCAACGUGGUGAAGUCCGAACUCCAAAUUCAGUCGUGUGGGCAAAAAGGAUCAAUCCACAAUUCGAUGCGUUCACUCAUCAUCAAAGGCCACCUGUUCUGCCUCGCCUACAAGUCAUCCCAUACAACGUUCCUGAUUCAAGCGGCCACGAUCCUGUCGUUGCCAAUUGCGCACAAUCGCUGAUCCACGAAGUUCCUAUUUUUGCAGUGAUCCUCCUCGAUGAUAGAGCAACGGCGUUCACUUCCCGCCUGGUCGUGAUCAACUACACGAAGUUUUCGGCCACAUUGAGGGGGGGGGGGGGGAUUCCGAAUUAUACAGGGAACACACGAGAGGGGAAGAGAAAGUUCCUUUGCUUUUCCAUUGCAGGCCAACACUGAGCAGUUGUGCCCCACGUUGUUCUUGCAAUUAUCAAUGCCCGACCAUCGUCGGCAAUUUUAGGGAGAACACAUUGAAAGAAACGUCCCUGCUGCACCGCAAGUUCAUGGUGAUUCGCUGCUACCUUCUUGCAUCGUUGCCAAACUUUCUGUGACGACCAAUUGCUGCUGGGCCUGCCACCGAGAGCUGCUCAACCAAGACGACCAGCGAAUCCAAUAAACCUUAAAGGAGUCCCGGCGCACUCCUGCAUCUUCGACGUGUCUAUUCUAGACGAUCCCAGCAAGAAGCCAACACCUUUCCGAGAGCUAUUCUUCAAUUUCUAGCGAUCCCACGAUUACUUUUCAGUCCUUCCAAUUGGGAUUUGAUUCAGUUUUGCAGGUUUGUUGAAGAUCUCUCUCACGGCCAGCAAGCUCACUGUCUUCUUUGGUGGACAUCAAAGCGUCCAUCCCACACAGUGGCACCAUCAAUUGUCGAGAUUUGGUAGAAGAGAAGAAGACAAAAGCUGAGUGGUGGAUUGAAGAUUAAAAUAAAGAAGUCCAAGAACAUUCCAUCGCCUGUAGAUAAGCUGAAGUUCUCGGAUAGAAUUCCAAAGUACUCAGACUUGUGGAACACGUCCAGCGAUUACCGUGCACCCUUGCAUGCUACGGACCGUCAGUCUUCCUCACCGUGAUUCCCGUGACUCAUCAUCCAUCCGAAUUUGGAGAUGUCACCCGUGUGACAUCGUGAAUUAGGUAAGACUCUCGAUCAAUUUGAUUUUCAUAUAUCCCGCUGCCUAAUUUGUAAUAUCACAAUCUUUCUUUGAAUGUUUGAUCGAUAUUGCCACAUCCAAAAGAUCUCUUGAUCCCUCAUGAAUUAGGAAAUUUUCCUAAUUUCGCAACGUGCGUAUGAUUGACAGUCUAAUUUCAUGCUCGAAAUAUGACUCGCAAUCGCACGGAAAAAUCGCCAAUCCAAUCUCAUGCUCGAGAUUCGAUUCGCGAUUUAUUUAAAAAUUGGCCAACCCGAUCUCAUGCGCGAGAUAUGGUUCGCUGGUUUGUAGAUAUCGAUCAUAUCUUAUCUAAUUUGUCGUCACGUUAGUUGGAUCAAUUUUAUUUUGUUAAAUAAAAAAUCCAAAAAAUAUUUGAGUUAGGAUUAGGUUUGUUUUAGAAUAUUUCUUGUUAUCUUGCAUAUUUAGAAUAGAGAUUUUAUUCCAAAUUCCAAAAAAUCAAAAAAAUCAAAAAUCAAAAAUCAAAUCAAUCAAUUUAGGUUGCUAGUUUUUUUUUUUACUUAGGUUGCAUGCUUAAUAAUUUGAUAAUUCUUAAUUUCGAAAUUAAUAAAACAAAAACACAAAAAAAAUCAUCAUGCAUGUAUCAUGUAGAGUUAGAGUAGAUUUUAUACGUCAUUGCAUAUUUAAAUAGAUUGCAUGCUUAUUAGGAAAAUAAAAAUCAUGUGCACGUCAUAUAGAAUUAGUUUCAUACAAUGCACGUCAUUUAGUGAUUUUUGUUAGAUGCAUCUAAUUAGAAAUUGCCUAUCAUUAGAAUUAGGUCAUUAUAUUAAUUUAGAUUGCAUAUUUAAGUGUUGCAUUUCUUUAAUUUCGAAUCUCAUGGAAAAUACAAAAAAUUAUUUUUUAGAAUAAAUCCAUCUCAUGCUUCAGGAUAGACUAUAUGCUUAUUUAUGUCAUAUCGCUUAGGUCAUAUAGCUAAGUCAUAUUGCCAUGUCAUUGCAUAAAGCAUGAUUCUCAUUAAUUAAGUGAAAAAAAAGAAAAAAAAAGAAAUUGCGUGUUAAUUAGAAAUCAUAUCUAGGAUUGUUGAUGUGAAUUCUGAUCUAACAACGCAGAUGCUUUCGUUGCUUUGAGGUAAGUUCCUGCAAUUUAUUCAUUGCUUUAUCUGGGUGUUAAAUUGGUGGUUUGCGCACCUGUAUAUUCACCUUACAUGUUAGGAAAUAGUUUAAAAUCAAUUCAAGCUGCCUGCAAAACCCUUUUGUCAAAAUAAAAGAAAUGGUACCGAAAUGGCGUUAGAGAAAUCUGGCGUAACCAAGUCCCCGUACCCAAAUCUCUGGUUCGUAGGAGUAAAGUGAAUCUCCCGUUACUUUACUUGGGUUUCUAAUUGACCCACCAAAAAUAGAUUAGUGGCGAUUCCUAAUUAAAAAAUUACAUGUUAAGAACUUGAACCGAAAUUCGCGAAUUGGUAUGGGCUUGGGAGAGCCCGAGUUAAGUCUAGACUUAACAAUCCAUUAGCCAAACCUUAGGUGGUCCACACCCCGAAAAAAUUGGUCGUGACAGCCCUUGAAAUGGAACAUUUUCUCAUAAGAUUCUUUAAAAUGAACUUCAUUUCAAAUAAAGUCCAUAAGUAAGCGACUUAGUCUUCAAUCACCCACAACUCACCUGCUAAUCAAUUAUUUGUCAAUGGACAGGCAUGUGAAUCUCAUGUGACAGUAACCAAACCAUGACUAAAGACAUUUUCAUUUAGGAUGGAGGUUGAUCCGUGCCUUAGAGGCGAGAUCUAAGGCUCAAAUCAAGCACAAGCAUGUCAAUAUUUGACCCUUGUGGUCGCCACUAUUUAGUUCUUGAUAUGAUGAUGGCUGAUGGGCAAGGAGAGAGAUGCGCGCAGAAGAGAUGGUGGAGAGAACGCUCACAGAGGGAGACGAGGGUGAUGACGGCACACAGAAAAGGGGAAGGGCGACAACAUCAGACGAGGCAACAUAAGAUGAGGCAAUGCUAUCACGGUGAUGGCUACGUGCAGUUGCAAGAUUUUGGCGUCCUGGCGACUUCUUGUUGGCGGUCCAUUGUGGAUUUUGUUGGUAGUUUAUUUGUAAAACAAACUUGAAAGUUCCUCCUCCCACAUAGAAUAAUUAGAAGUGCGUGUGUCAAUAUAUAAGUGUGAAAGCCUUCCACUCUUUCUAAUGGAAACGAUGGGUUUAGUGGGUUGGACCCUACAAUACGCAUAUGCCAGUAUGCAAUAAGUAGAUGUACUUCGCAAUUGGGUUAUGGUUGUUUUUUAUUAAUUAAUUUUGAAUUUUAUUCCUAAAGGUAAUUCAGCAUCUUACAAUCUUUAAGAAGUCGUGUCUUUUCAGAAGUUUUAAAAUCCAUAAUUAAAAAAAAUAUUAUUAUUAUUAUUAUUAUUAUUAUUUAAUAGGAAUUCCAAAAUGUCUUUGGAGAAAGCAUCUGUUCACAAUAAUUCUAAAAGACUAUUCAUCAUUUUUUGUCUCAUAUUUUCUUUAGUCUUGUCAAUUUUCUUUCAAAAAAUUACAAACCAUUUAUUUUAAUUGUUUCCUUUUAAGAGUUAUUGGAGAAACACGGGAAUUGCUAUCCGGUAUUCUCAUUGAGAUUUUGUUGUAUCGAUUUUGUUGAAUAACUAUUAGCAAUGUUGGGGAUAAAUAAUGUUUUAAAGAGAGUGUUAUCACACUUCAAAAUCUGACUCCACUCUUCUUCCCAAUCAUAUUUCUGCUGACAGAUCUAGAGGUAGGGAAAUGGAGUUCUUGCAAGUGACUCGCUUUGACGGUGUCGACAAAGAACUCGAGGUAUUGUGGACACUAGCUUUCCUCUUUGGAGCUCCAACUUGGCUGCCUAUCGAGGUAGACCCUGUCGACUGAGGCUUGGAAGUGGCUGCCCAUGCUGAUAGGAUUCCGAAGUUGAGACCAAAGCCACUACGCACCAUUGUCUUGAUCGCGCGCGGGGCUUCCUCAUGGCAGCUAAGACUGUAAAAAGCGGGCAAUGAGCACAUCGAAGGCAAUCUUACUGGAGAUGCGGUGAUUGAGGCGAGAAACGGCGCAAAAGGGGUCGUUGAAGGCAAAACAAAACAAAACAAUGCCUUGUACGAAAAUGUCCCUAUAAUAUUUUGAAAUUGACAAAAUAUUCUAUUUCUAAUUAUAAUUUUAUAGAUGUAAAUGUUGUCUUAUUUCAAGUAAUGUUGAUAUGAGGGACGCUCUAUCGCCAUUGAUGGAAUUUGAAGCAUGAAGAUUACUAGAAGUCGAAUGGAUCAUGAUAGAGUGUGAACAGGUUUAGAAGAAUGGGAAGUUCACAAUAACUUAGAGGUAUCGUGAUAAGGUGAAUAGUGAGUGAAGUCUUGAACAUUAGUGUACCCAUGGAUAGCAAUAUGCAAGUCGAUUGCUGAUAGAAACGGCUUAUUAUAUCAGCUAUGGAGAAAAAUAUUUUUCUAGUUCAAGCAAUCUGGAUAAGAAGACCAAUGUUCUUUCACUUAAUUUGCGAGUUAGAAGUUAUAAAUAGCUAGCUUUCAAGGCUUGGAAUCUCGAAGUGAAGAUAUGGAGAGAAAUCAAUAUGAUUGUUACCUAUGUUACUCAAUCAAUUAGAAGAAUAGAUUAUUGAGCCACAUAGCUUAUUAUAUUUAGGGAAACCUCAUUAUUACCUAGAAGAUUUGAUCAUAUGGUUGACCGGAUCUCAUAGUAAUUGCGUUCAUAAUUUUCAAUGGCUAAUUAAUCCUCUUAAGGAUUCUUUAACGGUUAAUUUGGAGGCUGAAGACUAUAUAAGAAGAUUGAUACACUCUGAAUAAUUUAUGUAAAACUAAGAAAGUUGUAAAUAUCGAUGUGGUCACAUUUAUUUUAUGUUGCAAGCGUGAUUUUAUUCACUUGUGAUCUACUCCUUUGAGAGUUGUCAUUGUUCAGUGUAAUUUGUAAUUUGAGUGUACAAAUAUAGGUAGUGCUUGUCUAUUGAUAGUGGGAUCUAUUAAUUUUGGAUAGAAGCAGCACGUGCUUUGGUGUAACUACUAACUAGAAUAUUAAUAGAUUCCAGCCUAUUCGUGGUGAAUAAAGACACAAACUUGUUAUAAAUCAAACCACCAUAAAAUCUGCGAGCAUUGUAUUUUAUCUCUUUACUUAUUUCGCCAUUUAUCUUAUAGAAAUAUCUUGCAUCUUAUAUUAUCCAUUGUUUUUGCAUUUAUCAAAUCUAGUUUAAGUAAUUCCACGAAAAAGAAGAAAAGAAAAAAAAAAGUUUUGAAAAUCAGCUUAUUCACCCCCCUUUGGUUGUAUCAUCAGCCUCCGCAGAAAGUGCCACAUGAAGUGCACAUGCUUAAUGAGCGAUCAUAGUUGGCUUGUAAGCUAGGAGUGAUUUGAAACUUAGUCGUUCAUUUUAAAGACUAAUUUAGGACAAGGUUCACUUUGAAAACUUUUAAAAAGAACGACUUCCCUUCAUAAAGGCUGUUUGAAAAUUUCUCGAAAAGUUUGCCAACUCUUUUGGGGAAUUAAAACUUCAAUGCUCUAUAAAAAAAAGCCUUUCAUUUGAUCUCCAAUUACGGCAUCAAUCAACCUCUCCCUGCUUGGCGUAUUGAAGCUUGCAAUAAGAACACAUAUUAGAUUCACAAGAAGCACCUGCGAUUUAAACAAAAAGAAAAGAAAAGAAACAUGGAACAUUUCUUGUAAGUUCUGGUUGAAAUUUGGUAAUGUAAAGCAUUUCGAAAAGUUCUUCUCAUUAAAACUGAAAAUGAACUUUCGCACAAUUAACGCUUCUACUUAUACAUAACUGGUGACCACACACACACACACACACACACACACACAGAGUUUGUGCUAACUUGAGAAAAGAACACUGAAAGGACUUCGAUACAAUGGUGAAAAAGAUAGAAACUACAACAUAUGUACAAGCAUAUUCCAUUGACCCACCAAAACCUAGUUUAUGAGUUGGAUUCUCUCUUCCUUCCUGUUUCCAGCAUGUACCUUCAUGCCGUCAAGCAAAAAGUCGCUUCACUUCAGUAUCUCUCUCCAAUUAUGCAAGACCUGUAUUAUGUGAUCCGGGUCACAAAAAAACAGCAGCAAAAAUGACUCUAAUGUCCAGCUUAAUAACAAAACGGAACCCAAAAGGACAAGAAAGUAACAGAAAGGGCAGCGCGAGAGUCCAUGAAAAUUUAGGGCAUCAGUCCUCCUGCUUGCUCCAUCAGUUCACUUGUGUACCCAUUCCAUCAAUCAGACUCUCCAGUUCAAGAUAGAUUCCCGUGUCAUUCAACGUCAGGUGGUCUUCUACUUCUAUGUUGUCCGCAUCGGUGCCAAUAACCACGUCUUCCUUGAGGAGUUUCUCGGAAAUCCCCUGGAAUACCGAAGACAAAUCAGAUGAGCUAGCUCCGGUCAUCUGAUUGGGCGUCUGGCCCUGCGCAACCCUGAAAUCUUCACCAUCCAUCGAAGGCCACGGAUUGUGCAUCUGAAAGGUGCCAAGAUGCUCCGGCACAACACUAUUUGGCCGACGCUCCAUCUGUGCCAAAUCGUCACUGAUUUUCAGGCAAUCAACUUUUGGGCUUUGAAUCAUGUGAUCCAUUGCUUCUAGCAAGCAUUUGGUGGCUUCGGCAUUGGGACCAAGCAAUUCUCUCUUCUUGCUCGAUUCACAGGUCUCUAAAUCUCUCUUUUGCUUCUUCUUCGGGGUUAAAUGCAGGAUAAAGUUGGGGCUUUUGGCUGCUUUUAUGAGGAAGAGGAGUAAGUGCUGGUUCCUGCAAUCGGCAUGGCGAACCUGCUCAGCGACCUGCUCGAUCUCAUGCUGCAAGUUGUCCUGCUCUUCUAUUAGCUUAAGGAUCUUGGUCUUCAACGCUUCCUGGUCCUUCUUAAGCAUUUUGAGUUCUGCUUCCUUUUCAGCUUUCUGGUAAUCAGAGGUGACAGUACUUCUCGAUUUUUUUCUAUGCUUGUUUAAGUUGCGUCUCCUCUUUAUGUUCUUCAGCAAAUGCUUCUUCCCUUUCUGAAAACCUUGGUUUGCAAACUCCCAUUGAUCUGGAUUGAUCUUCCUAAAACCCUGCAACACAUUUUUAAUUAUGAUGCAUGAAGAAUAGAAGAUAGGAAGAAGCUAUGUCUAGGAGUUCAUAAUGAACCAAAGGCUAAAGAGUAGAAAAUAAGCAGAAUGAAGGCCAUGAAAGUUUCAGUGGAAGAUGUGCACAAGGGGUAUUACUAGGCCAAUAUAGAAAGUAAACGGAUUAUAAUGCAUGCCAAGGAGAGACCGCUUACAAAUAUCCAAAUUCCAGUACAAAGAGUGUGGAAAAUUUUAAGAGUAAAGGCAAACAACUCAAAAUCAAUCCAGCUACUACUAGAUAUAAUAUAAAUACAACAGUGCAGAAUUAUGCUUCUGGUCUUGCCCAAAAAGAAGAAAGGUGCUACAAAACACCGGAUAGAAACAAAGCAAUGGCCAAAGGAAACUUGUCUUCAGCUAGAAAGUGCAUAAUGAAGAAUUAAAGCCGUAAAUGCAAAAUACUAACCGCUAUAAGGGAAUUGCUGUAGGCCAUUUCUGAAUCCAGUACGAAGAUAAUCUCUAAUGGGUGAUCUGAUGUCAUGGUUGACAUGAUGGUUUCUGCAAACUACCGUCUAAAGCAUCAUCACUUGAAUAUGAUGACUACUGAGGGCCUAAUAGGGGCCAUUGUCCACUGGCCCCUCGAUGCAUAUUUUUGAGAACAUGUGCCACAUGAUUCACCAAAUUUCUUAGAGAAUCUGUGUAUCUCGCCCACCAUUUCAGGUUUCUUGGUUCCUCGUCCCCUAAACUAGGGUACAGCACAAAUAGUACCCGACAAAGUCAAAGUGGGUUAAAUUAAGUCUCGACACCUGAGCAAACGUCUUAAGAGGACCACGCUCUCGACGACAUCAAAAAAGAACCGAAGAGUUAAACCAAAACGCUCAUACACAGACAUACUUUAUACAGAUCCAUACAAAAGAUAACGACCACAACAAAUAACAUUGGUUUGCUCAUAUCAAAACAUGAAGAAGUACCCACAUAAGUGCUGAGCUGCCUGAUGAAGCUGGAGAAGUUGGAGUGCUUGAAGUAUCGGGGCAGGACCUGCUUCGAGAACUCCUGCCGAUCCCACACCACGAAGCUAUCCUGGCUCAAGCCCCACGACACCACCGGAUCUGUACCCGGGUCCGACACCAUCUCGUAAGUCUUCCUCAGGAACGGCGUUGGCCCCACCACCCCCAGAUCCUCCAUCGGCUUUGCCACAUCGUAUGCUGCCGCCUGCCAUGAGCAUGACGGCGAUAAAAUGGCCGCAGUGGUCGCCACCUCCUCCUCUUCCAAUUCCUCCUUGAUCUUCACCGCCUGCACGACCAGAGCCGAACAGAGUUCGGGCCGGGUCAGGCAUGAAUGCAAGCGCGAUCCAGCUUCAAUUUUGCCAUCGCCAAUGGCUACCUGUGGCAAUGGACCCGAAUGGGAAAGCGACCCACAGCAUCCUAGCUCGCCUGCACGGGCUUUUGAUUGUGACCGAGAAGAAUCGGUUCGGGUUAGGUCCGAGUACAAGGGCGACCGGGACCCUAUCUCGCCAUGGUCGUCAUCAUCAAGAACAGCGAAGGACGCGAUUUCUUCCCGUGACCUUGCGAAAGGUUUUGCCUUUUCUAGCUCAAGACUUGAAUCUCGAAAGAAGGUUUCGGAAAACCAUGGGCAAGAUCCAUUGGCACGGCCGGGGAAACAACCGCCGGCGCCGCCGUGAAACGCCGUCAUCAAUUUGAGCUCGAGUUCAUGGUUUUUUUUUUCACUUUUUUGGGGGGGUCAGGAGCGUCGAGUUCAGGUUCAGAAGGUGGAGAUAAUAUGAGCAAAUUUCAAGCGAAUGAACAUACAUGGUAGGAUUUCGAGAGACGGUAAGAAAGAGCUUAAAUUGAAAAGUGGAGCAGGCAAGGGCAAGGGCGAUGGCAUGUGGACUUAUAUACUCGUGAGAAAAGGAAAUUGAUAAGCUGACUGCACCGUUACCUUGGAAGAGUGACGGUGGUGCAAUCACUGCCACAUUUACUCAAAUUAAUUUUCAUGCCACAGAAAAUCUUAAACUGAUGAACAAGUACCACAUUUUUCCCAAAGUAAUUUUCAUAUAAAAAAAAUAUCCACUUUGGAAGGGAGAAAAUUGAUAGAUUUUAAGGUAGAAGUCACCAAAAACUCUACACUAUGCCACUCUAAGACCUUUAUCCCAGAUUUUUUUUUUCUUUUUGUGACACAAAAAAAAUCUCAAACUUACAUCUAUGUGACACAUUUACCACAAAAUUAUACAAUGUGAUACAUUUAACCCAAAUUUCUUAUUGUGACACCAAAGACCCAAGACUUUAGUGUCACAUAAAAAAGUUUGAGGUAAAUAUGUCAUAUGAGUACAAGUUUGGGAUUUUUGAUGUUACAAAAAAUAGUUUAGGAUAAAUGUGUCACAGUGGUCAAAGUUUGAAAUGCUUUGUAGCUUUUUCCCUAAAUUUUAACAUAAGUUACUUCAUUAAAAACAAUUUUUUGCAAGUUAGCCUUUUAUAAAAUUGGUGCAACGGACAAGAUAACCAGAAGUUUCUGAGAAAAAAUUUCAUCCUUGUGUCUUCUUCCCUUUAAUUUUGUCUACUUGGUGGAACAUCUUAAGCCAGCGGACAAGAAUUUUAGGCUUGCCGCGGCUAGUCCUUUUCUGAGGACGAUAAUCCUACAAAACCUUAUGUAUGCUCUUGUGAUGUUUUGAACAGAACUGGUUUACCCCCUUUUUUAGGGAAAAAAAUGAUAGGGGAUCUUGUACACAUACUCUAAAUGCAUCUUUAUGAAUUUGGAAAGUUAAUUUGAAAUAAAUGCAACAUGAAUUUAUCAUUUUUAGGAUUUUUUUUUUUUUGGUAAUAUUAACCAUAUUCUUUUAAAAUAUGUGUAUUAAACAUUUCUUAUCAUUUGGCAAGGACUAAUGCAUGAAGAACAUGUUGGGGAGCCAAAUGUAACUAAGCAUUCGUCAGCCCUUGCUUGACCACUUGCCAGAUCUAGCCAUGACGGCUGCAAGCUUUGAGGUUUAAUCUAGCUUUUAAGCUCACGGCUGCCAUGGCCACUUGAGGUUGAAGCUUGGCCUAAGAGUCUGCUUCAUGGAGGAAAGUAUGUUUUUUUACUUCCUCUUGAACAAGUUCCACAAGCUUUUAUGUCAAAGAAGCCUGUUAAGGUUCAGAAGAUUUUCUGCUCUAUAUGCUUUGACCGGAAGCCACAACAAUUUCAGGUUCUCUAAUGAAAUCCUUUCGAUCAGAGACCAUACUUUCCUUCUGCACUUCCAUCUCAAUCCUGAUGGCUUCCUUUAGAAGAAGGGUGACUCAUAUAUUCUGGAUUGCGCACCUUUGACUUUUUCUCUUUCAUUUUCAUCUUUUUAUUUCUUGAACCAGUCCGGAAUGAGUCACGAAUUUCCAUAGGUAGCUUCGAGUCUGAUCUCUGGCGGGUGGUCAUGCAAGGGCCGACGAACCCCGCCAAAGGUCUAGGUGGCAGUGGGCAGCAAUGAACAUGCGCCAGAGAGCUUUGGCCGAGCAAUCCCGAGCUUGAGGACGAUGAAUACUAACUUCAAUUUUUGUUUUGUUUUUUGUUUUAAUCUUUUUAGGUGUGUUGCUUGCGUGGGUGCCUCUUGUCCUUGAAAAGCACUAAGAAUGCCACAUUGAAUCCAUGUCAGAUUUUUAACAUAACCCUAUGUUGGGAAUAACGGAUCCCCGAAAACCAGAUUCGACACUAAAUCGAACCCCUAAAUCAAUGCGGAAGACGAAGCCCGGGAAAACACGUAUCACCGAUCGUAAAGCACACCACGGAGUCGAGCGUACCUUGUUAGCCACAAAUUAGACACCAAUGCCGAAGAUCGAGGAAGAAAUUCUGAUCUGAUGAUGUCAAUUCGCCUUGAAAAGGGAAACCGGCGUCGCCUUAAGAGUACUGUUCUUGUUAGAGGGAGAGAGGGAGAGGAGAAGACGUACGUUCAUUUGUUCCGUUCCAACGGGUGUCAUCUCUCUCUCUCACCUCCCUUUUAUACCUUCCCCCAUCCACGGGCCCUAUUCCCGUGGGCCGGGCCUUUUGGGCCCAGCAUGGGCGGACGGGCCUUAAGCCCAUCACCAAUUAAAACCAUCAUAUCCCACUCGCACAUGGUGGGCUGAACAGAAUUCUCUUUACCUCUCUUCAACAUUCAUACCGGUGAAUAAUCCAUGCGACCAGCAUACUUUGAGAGCUUGUUGCCAUACAUCUGUUAGGAAUAUAUAGCAGCUCAUAAUGGGCAUCACACUCCGAGUAGAUUUAGUAUGCAGUACCCUAGAUCGAUCGAUCACAUUUAUAUCUCUCUUAAUCUCUUUUAAACAAUGAUAUAUAUUGUAUUCACAAUUAUGAUUAUCACAAAGACAGUCAUAAUUGGUUAACCGGUGAAUACAAAAAACUACAAUGUGAUUCUCCAAAUUCGAUCUUCCUCUUUCCUUCAAACUCUCAAUUUCAGUUCAGCUUGCUUUUCUAGAAAUACCCCAUUAGAUCAAAUCAGCACAUGACCAUUGGCAACAUCCUAAGAUAGCAAACACUAAAUAGAAAUCUUGAGGAUAAGUAAGAGUCAUGAGGGGACUAAAAAUUGAGGAGCUCUUUUCCUCAAGAGCCUCACACGUCAUAAAAAAUUGAGAUCAAACUUUUUGCCACUCUUAUUAGUUGUCUCAUGCAUACGUAGUAUGAAAUAUGUAUUACGGUAUUAACUCCUUUCCCAUGGAGCGUAUGUCUACACUUUCAAUACCGUACAGAUGAUAGUUUAGACAUACCCAAUGUCUAACUUGAGUUCACGUAUCUACUCAAUCAUAAAAUUCAUCAGAACUCACAUUUGGCAUCAUAGACAGAUAAAGUAAAAUAUGUUGGUGAUUUUACUUUCGGACAUAGUUAGUAUUAUGUCCUCAUCUUAACACUUAGUUAAGGUGACAUACGUAUUUUAAGCUUGAGCUCUCGAUUAUCACCUAGAUAAUAAGCUUAAAAAUAGUCUCAUCUCUAUCUAUCACACAGUAAAUAGAGGCGAUUACCCGUGUGAGUGGGCUAAUCUUAUAUCUGUCCGACAUACUUUCUCAACUUAAAGUAAUGCACUGAGCAUUAAGAUACAUAAAGAUCAAACAAAGAUUCAUAGGCAUUAAUGAUGAAAACACAAAUUCAUCAAAUGUGAAAUUUUAGGGAAAUUACAAUAUUCAAUACAUCAUCCUCUACGCAAUCCUAGAGAUUUCAUAUGGCCACAAAAACACAUCUCUAGGUAUUGGCUUUGUCAUAGGAUCUGCUACCAUUCUAUCCGUAGUAUGUACUCUAAGUUCACAUCAUUUCGUGCAAUCAUAUCAUUGACAAAAGUAUACUUGGUAUCUAUAUGUUUGGUCUUGCCAUGAUAUUUUGGAUCUUUGGUGUACACUUUCGCUGCUUGGCUAUCACAGUUAACCAAUAACAAAUCUGCAGCACUUCCAAUAACACCUAAAUGAUCCAAUAAUCUCUUAAGCCAAACAUCUUCUUAUACUGCUAUUGAUAAUGCCACGAACUCAGUUUCCAUCGUGGACAAGGCUAUACACUUUUGUUUCUUACUGCUCCAACAUAUGGUGCCAUUAUUCGAUAAGAAAACAAAUCAAGAGGUAGAUUUUCUUUCAUUUAAAUCUCCUCCCCAAUUAGCAUCAGAAUAGCGUUUGAGUUGCAGAUCCUUUCCUUAAUAACUCAACGUAUAAUCAGCAGUUCCCUUUAGAUACCUCAGUAUUCUUUUAACGGCUUUCCAUCGUGCUUGACCUGGAUUGGAUUGGUAUCUACUCACCAUUCCAAUUGCAUAACAUAUGUCAGGUCUUGUACACAUCAUAGCGUACAUCAAGCUCCCAACAGCACUAGCAUAAGGAACAUGUUUCAUUUGUUCCUUCUCUUGUGGAGUCCUUGGACACAGUCUAUGGCUCAAUCCUUCACCUUUUGCAAUAGGAGUGUCAAUGGGUUUACAAUCUCAUAUCCUGCAAUUCAAAAUUGGAAGACAACCAACUCUUGACAGUAUUGACAAGUUCCAUAUUGCUUCCGGCAAUUAAUAUAUCAUCAACAUAUAAUAAUAUGAUUACAAAUUGAUCCUUGGAUCUUUUGAUAUAUACAUAAUGAUCCUCAUCUAUCAUUGUAAAAUCAUAUGCCAUUAUGGCAUUAUGAAAUCGUAUAUACCAUUGUCUUGACGACUGUCUAAGGCCAUAUAUCGACCUCAAAAGUCGACAUACCUUUUCUUCUUGGCCUUUCACUAUGAAACCAGCAUGUUGUUCCAUAUAUGUUCCUUCCUCUAAUUCUCCAUUGAGGAAAGCAGUCUUUACAUCCAUUUGAUGUAACUCAAGAUCCAGACUAGCCACUAUUGCCAGAAUAAUGCGAAUCGAGGUAAAUCUCACUACAGGAGAAAACGUAUCUUCAUAAUCAAUAUAUUCCUGUUGAUUAUACCCCUUCGCCACAAAGCGAGCCUUAUGCCUUUCUAUCGAGCCAUCAGCCUUUCGCUUUAUUUUGAGAACCCACUUGUUCUCAAUAGCUUUGCGUCCUUUUGGAAGAUCAACCAGUUCCCAGACUUGGUUUGAUUUCAUUGACUCCAUUUCCUCUUUCAUUGCAUAAAUCCAUUUUUCCUUACUAGGGCAUUUUAGAGCCUCAUUAAUAUUUCUUGGCUCAUCCUUAUCUCGUGGAGCAAUUAUAAAAGUUUCCCCUUCAAUGUCAAAACGUUGACGGGGAAUACUUUGGCGACUUGUUCGCUAUAUGGGAGAUUGUACACUUAGCACAUCAUUCCCCAUUAUGCUCCCACUCGGAUUAGAUUAUGACGAUAUCAUCUCAUCAUGUGGUUGUAAUUGAGAAUGCGUUGAAUUCAAUUCAUCACUUCUCAUAUUACUCCCACUUGGAUGAACUCCAUUAAUAUCAUUAUCUUGAUCCAAGCUUUCAAAUAGGGGUAAUCUUCCCCUAUUUCGCCCUUCUUAGGAAAUUCAUCCACUAAAAAUGUGACAUCCCGUGAUUCAAAUUCAGUUAUACUCCCACUUUCCUGCUCACCUACGAAUACAUACCCUUUCGAGUGUUCGGAGUAUCUCAUUAAAAUACUCUUAUUUCCUUUAGGACCCAAUUUCCCAAACUUGCGAGAUGACUCAUGAGUAUAGACAGUACAACCCCAUGGCUUAAGAAAACUUAAGUCCGGUUUUCUACCUGUCCAUAACUCAUAUGGAGUGGAACUAACUGAUUUGGAAGGCACUCAGUUAAGUAUAUAGGCAACAGUUAACAACGCAUCACUCCAAAAAGCGAUAUGUAAGUUAGCAUGCGCCAUCAUGGACCUAACCAUUUCCAGUAGGGUUCUGUUUCUUCUCUCUGCAACACCAUUUUGUUGAGGAGUAUAUGGAAUAGACAACUGUAUUUCCAUUCCCUUUUCAUCACAUAAUUUUCUGAACUCAUCAGAUAAAUAUUCUCGACCUCGAUCAGAUCUCAAUGCUUUUAUUUUAUUGUCUAAUUGAUUUUCUAUCAUGUUCAUAAACCUUUUGAAACAACUUAUGCUUCAGAUUUAUGAGAAAUCAAAUAGAUAUUUCCGAAUUGAGUAUAAUUAUCUAUAAAAGUGAUAAAAUAAACAGCCCCAUGCCUUCCUCUCACAUUCAUUGAACCACAGACGUUAGAAUGGAUUAAAUGCAGAUGAAAUUCAGCUCUUUUAUCUUUUCCAAAUGGUUUCCUUGUCGUUUUCCCUACUAGGCAAUGCUCACAUAUUGGCAAAUCGACUUUUUCAAUGUUGCCCAACAAGCCCUCUUUGGCUAGUUUAUUCAUAUGUUGUUGGCCAAUAUGACCAACUCUAGCAUGCCACACAUUCACAUCAUUAUCAUAUGAAGUAAAAGACGUGAAAUAAGGGAACAACAAACAUUGACAUCACCACAGUCAACAUUUAGUACAAUAAAACCAUCCAGAAAGUGACCAUAACCAUAGUAGUUUGUAUCCAAAUACAAAUUUAUAUUGCUAUUACUGAAGUUCACAUUAAAACCAAACUUAACCAACAUCAAAGCAUACGUUAAAUUUCGACGAAUCUCUAGAGCAUAUGGAACGUCAUGUAGGAACAAGAUGCGUCCACUACGCAUGUUCAAUUGGCAUGUGCCAAUCCCUUUAACUUCAUUUCUGGAGUUAUAUCCCACAUAGAUCCACUUAGUUCCAGUCGGUAUCGUCGGAAUUCCACGAAGGAUUCUCUAUCCUUCGCUACAUGGUCUGUCUUUCCUGAAUCUACAGUCCACAAAGGACUAGAUUUAGCCAAUAAUUCAGAACUUGACACAUAAUCAAAGUUCUCAAAUGUACAAGAGGUGUUUACCUUUUUCGGCUCACGACAGUUGCGAGCAUAGUGACCCUUCUUGUCACAAUUGUAACACCUCACCCUUGACAUUUUCUUCACUUGAGGACGUUUUCCUCUCUUGUGUUGGUUAACUCUUGAUCUCUUGCAAUAAGGACUUGAUCCUUUGCAUUCCCACAUAUUGAACGAAUCAAUACACUUGCGCUUAGAGCUCAAAGCCCUUUCUAAGCUAGAACUAGCAUUGCAAAUAUUUAUUUUCAGCUCACAUGCCGUUAAGCGGUCCUCUACCAGCUCAAGGUGGCGCACAGCAUUCUCAAGAUCUUCCAUAACAUGGUCAAGAGCUUCUAGUGCUUCUUGCUUUUCCAGCACAUAUUGAAUCUUCAUAUUCAAUAUUUUACAAUUGUAGCCGUUCAUAUCAGCAAUUACGUUCUUAAUUGCUGAAAACAUCGAUCUGAAUACAUCAGACAUACAUGCAUGAAUAAUUAAUGCCUAUCAUUUAUGCAUCCCUAUUUGCACAGACCCAUCAUAUCAAUGAAUAAUUUCAAGUAAGGUUUCAGAAUCAAAAGGUCACUACGUUUCCAAUUAUCCUCCAAAAAUCCUAACUUAAAACUAUUAUUAAUAUAAUUGUCAUAUGCAAAAUCAAUUCUAUGAAGCUACAAAAACUUCUAAACUACCCACAGCUAAUUACCCACAGCAACCAGCAAUAACAGAAAGCAACAUAUAAUAGACAUCCAAUAAAACAAUAAUGCUUUCAAUUAAUACAACAAUCCAUUACACAAAGUAAUAUAUAUAAAAAAAAAUAUCAACAUAGAAAGAGAUAUUCAACACUAAAAAACAUCUCAAACUAAUCUAAGAAAUAAAUAGGGAAAGUCCCUUCUAAUCCAUCAGUUAAAGUAUCUGAGAAAACUGAAGGCACAUUUGCCAACCAUGGAAAAAAUUUUGGAGAGCUCUCAUGUCGCCACCAAGGCGCAUUCACUCUGCGCCAUGUGGUGCUCAAUCUAAGGGUUGAAUUUUUGGCCAACUCAAUCCUAUAAUGCUCUCUUACAACAGCUUCCACUAGCCUCCUAUAAUCCGGGACCACGUUGACCUCCCAUAGCCAAUCUAACACUGCUUGCCAUUCAGGUGGAAGAGUGUUCAUCAAAGCCGGCACCUUCUCAAAAUCCGGCAUGAGAUAACCAUUCCAGAUGAUUUCCUGUAUCAUCUGAUUGACCUUGACCAUAUGUGAUACUAAAUCACCAUCAAGCCACCGAUAAUCAGCCAACUCUUUCAUCAGCCUUUUCAGUCUAGCUCUUCCUUCGUUCGUUCUUGGGAUUGCAGGUAUCCGUGCAUAACGCAACAUAGUUCCUGCAACAAAUGCAGAACUAAAAUGAAUCACUUAUAAUACAUAAUAAACAAAAUGGAAAAUACAUAAUUUUCCAUGAUCCAUGCAACAAAUGCAGAAUAAAAAAUGGAUUACCUCUAACCCACACAGACAUAAUUGAAAAAAGAAACAAAUUCCUUUUUUUUUUUUUUUUUUUUUCGGGUCAACUGUCAAAGUCAACGGUCAACGGUCAACGGUCGUAGGUCAAUGGUCAGGUCGUCGGACCGGUCGGGCCGAUCGGGCCGGGUCAGAAGAACUGACCGCACGUGCCGCGCGCGUGCGCGGGCUGACGUCACGCAGACGUCAGCCGGCACGUGCCGCGCGGGUGCCGGGCGUCCGCGAGUCGGGUCGGGUCGGGUCGGGUCGCCGGCUGGUGACCGCCCGGCGAAACUUCGUCAUGCUAACGUCAUCGAUGACGUCACCCUAGCGGUUACUGACCGUUGGGUGACGUCAUGCUGUCGUCAGCACGCGUCGGUCCGCGGAUCGGCGCGUGCCGAUUCGCCGGCAGGCGGCGAGCACGUGCCGGUUCACCAACCGGCGCGUGUGUUGCACGUGCUGGGCGAGCCAGUGCUUCUGGGCGCGUCGCGCCCACGCGCAGCGGCUUCUGGCCGCGCGUGGGGGCGCGUGCGGCGUCGCCCAGCGGCGCACGACAUGUCGCCGGACUCGCCUUGACGACCCCUUUCUCGCUAUUUGUUCAGAAAACGAUUUCGACUUACGAAAACUCAGAAAAAUGGCCGAACAGCGCUCGGGUGUCGGGAUUUCUCGCCCCGAUCCGUACGGCCAAAAUUUUUUUGCGAAAAAUCAAUCAAAAACAUCAAACAGGUCGGGAAAAACGUGAACUAGGGCUCUGAUACCAAUGUUGGGAAUAACGGAUCCCCGAAAACUGGAUUCGACACUAAAUUGAACCCCUAAAUCAAUGCGGAAGACGAAGCCCGGGAAAACACGUAUCACCGAUCGUAAAGCACACCACAGAGUCGAGCGUACCUUGUUAGCCACAUAUUAGAAACCAAUGCCGAAGAUCGAGGAAGAAAUUCUGAUCCGAUGAUGUCAAUUCGCCUUGAAAAGGGAAAUCGGCCUUGCCUUAAGCGUACUGUUCUUGUUAGAGGGAGAGAGGGAGAGGAGAAGACGUACGUUCAUUUGUUCCAACGGGUGUCAUCUCUCUCUCUCUCCUCCCUUUUAUACCUUCCCCCAUCCAUGGGCCCUAUUCCCGUGGGCCGGGCCUUUUGGGCCCAGCAUGGGCGGACGGGCCUUAAGCCCAUUACCAAUUAAAACCAUCACCCUAAUAGAAGAUAAAUGUGUUAUUCGGAUACAAGCUUGAGAUAUUUGGUACACAAAAAAAUAAGGUAACUGUGUCACAGUUUGGGGUAUUUUGUAGUUUUUCCCUAAAAAUAUCAUUGUGCAGAUCAUGUGCAUAUCACUGCUACAGUCUACCGCCUCUUCUUUUAGAUCCGUCCGUCUUCGCUAGAUUGGCUUCUUAUCGUCUUCGGCAGUGUCUCCUAACCUGGUGUUUUUUCUUUCUUUGUCUUUUCCGUGCCUUGUUGGUUGUUUGGGUGAGGUUUGUGUCCUUUGGUUCUACGUGGCCUUUCUCUACCUAUUGUUUAGGCUUUUUCUCGCUUUGGCCCGCUCUUGUGGUUUCUUUUGCAUCUGGCACCCUUCCACUCACUUCGACUUGGUGUCGUGUUGAGUGCAAGUUUUGUGGUGCUAGAUCUUAUGUAAAUGUUGGCUUAAAGCUCAUUAUAUUAAUUAUUCUUACAAAAAAAAAAAAAAACUGAGUACGUUUGUCUAGCAUAUAGAGCGAUUCUCGGUUGCGAACAUCGGCCAGAGCCGGACAACAGUCGGGUGCAAGGUGUAUCGAACUUUUCCUGGGAAAAGUAAGGGGAUUUUAUUUAUGUUGACUAGUUGAUUAAUCUCUAAUUAAAGUUUUGGCUUUAUCUUCUUAUAAGAUAAAUGCGACACCAGCUCGAGGAAUUUUUACCUUUUGAGAAUUUGUCACUUCAUGAUGACAUAAGAUAAUGUAGGGUUUUGGGAACCAAGACACUUUUGACUUGCAUGUAAUUCACUACCACCAGCAGAGUUUUUCUCAUAGGACAAAUAACAUGGAUCUUCAAUGUAUGGAACUGCGGAUUAUGUUUGCCUGAUUGCUACCUUCAUUUGAACAGCGGAACUCGGCAAACACUCCUUCCCCCGAUGGUCGAAUGUACUCAAUAAGAUUAUGGAUGCCAAUGAUUGUCCUCGGCUGGCAUGCCUUGACAUUGGCAGUCCGGAAGAACAACUUCUAAAGAGGAGAAGGUUUGUAGAAAUUCAAGAGGCCUUUAGCUAGGCUUUCAAUGAGGAUAAGGACAAGUUCGAGAAAUCAAACGUUUCUUCCUCUUCACCAUCUUCAUCUUCAGGAGCAACGAGGCCUAAGGAAAAGCUCCAUAUGAACAACAGGUCAUUUAAGAUUUCAGAAAUGCUUGUACCGUGGUAAUAUAAACUUCUUUUCUAUUGGUUUUGCAUCUGCCAAUUUCUGUCUCUGUACCGGGGUUUUUCAACAGGUCAUUCAAAAAGAUAGGGGUAGUGUUAUAGUUUCUGUUAAAAGUUCAAUCUGGUGAGAAUCACGAGGGCCAUUUCAAUUUUUUUUGGCUGUCUUAGCAGGAAAUAUUGCAAGUAAAUGAUCAAGUGCAUAUGGGUCGAAGAAUUGUGGCCCGACUAAUUUCAACAUGGAAUAUCACAAUUCACAGGAGACUAUCUCACACCAAAAUUUGGUUAGGAUGCACAGAAAAAGCACGCAGUUCAAUAUGCAGAAGUACAGAGUACGUAUGGAUGCACCUAGAUACAUCAUACGUACUCUCGUUCUCUCGAAACUCAGAAAUAUUAUCUGGUGCAUAUGGAGUCCGUAAGAAAAAGCUCCAUUGAGAACGGAAAGAGACGCUGAGAAAUUAGCUGGAAAUGUCUGAUGUUCACUCAGGAAGACUUCAGACAGACGUCAGGGAGUGAUCACUUUUUGGGAAAAUUCCAGGGUCGCUGCUUUCAUGUCCUGGUCCAUCAUUUGUGUUUGUCCACUUUAUUUAGUCACUUCCUAAUCCGAAUUUGGUAAAGAGUCACAUCUGUGAUGUACUAAAAGAUUCACCAAAUAUAGAUAAAAAUCUCUUGAGGCAGACUUUACAACAACACCUGGCCUAAUUUCCGUGGUCAAUUUUUUUUUUUUGGGUGAGGAUUGGACCGCAUUAACUUUGGAUAUGCGAAUUAUAUCAAUGAUGAGAUGGAAACAGCGUAAUUGAUCUACUUUGUAAAAGAUUCUCCAAAGACUCAGUAAAUUUUAUUCAAAUAGCCCUUGAAAUGGAAUAUUUACUCAUAAGAUUCUUUAAAAUGAACUUCAUUUCAAAUAAAGUCCAUAAGUAAGCGACUUAGUCUUCAAUCACCCACAACUCACCUGCUAAUCAAUUAUUUGUCGACGGACAGGCACGUGAAUCUCAUGUGACAGUAACCAAACCAUGACUAAAGACAUUUUCAUUUAGGAUGGAGGUUGAUCCGUGCCUUAGAGGCGAGAUCUAAGGCUCAAAUCAAGCACAAGCAUGUCAAUAUUUGACCCUUGUGGUCGCCACUAUUUAGUUCUUGAUAUGAUGAUGGCUGAUGGCAAGGAGAGAGAUGCGCGCAGAAGAGAUGGUGGAGAGAACGCUCACAGAGGGAGACGAGGGUGAUGACGGCACACAGAAAAGGGGAAGGGCGACAACAUCAGACGAGGCAACAUAAGAUGAGGCAAUGCUAUCACGGUGAUGGCUACGUGCAGUUGCAAGAUUUUGGCGUCCUGGCGACUUCUUGUCGGCGGUCCAUUGUGGAUUUUGUUGGUAGUUUAUUUGUAAAACAAACUUGAAAGUUCCUCCUCCCACAUAGAAUAAUUAGAAGUGCGUGUGUCAAUAUGUAAGUGUGAAAGCCUUCCACUCUUUCUAAUGGAAACGAUGGGUUUAGUGGGUUGGACCCUACAAUACCCAUAUGCCAGUAUGCAAUAAGUAGAUGUACUUCGCAAUUGGGUUAUGGUUGUUUUUUAUUAAUUAAUUUUGAAUUUUAUUGCUAAAGGUAAUUCAGCAUCUUACAAUCUUUAAGAAGUCGUGUCUUUUCAGAAGUUUUAAAAUCCAUAAUUAAAAAAAAAUAUUAUUAUUAUUAUUAUUAUUUAAUAGGAAUUCCAAAAUGUCUUUGGAGAAAGCAUCUGUUCACAAUAAUUCUAAAAGACUAUUCAUCAUUUUUUGUCUCAUAUUUUCUUUAGUCUUGUCAAUUUUCUUUCAAAAAAUUACAAACCAUUUAUUUUAAUUGUUUCCUUUUAAGAGUUAUUGGAGAAACACGGGAAUUGCUAUCCGGUAUUCUCAUUGAGAUUUUGUUGUAUCGAUUUUGUUGAAUAACUAUUAGCAAUGUUGGGGAUAAAUAAUGUUUUAAAGAGAGUGUUAUCACACUUCAAAAUCUGACUCCACUCUUCUUCCCAAUCAUAUUUCUGCUGACAGAUCUAGAGGUAGGGAAAUGGAGUUCUUGCAAGUGACUCGCUUUGACGGUGUCGACAAAGAACUCGAGGUAUUGUGGACACUAGCUUUCCUCUUUGGAGCUCCAACUUGGCUGCCUAUCGAGGUAGACCCUGUCGACUGAGGCUUGGAAGUGGCUGCCCAUGCUGAUAGGAUUCCGAAGUUGAGACCAAAGCCACUACGCACCAUUGUCUUGAUCGCGCGCGGGGCUUCCUCAUGGCAGCUAAGACUGUAAAAAGCGGGCAAUGAGCACAUCGAAGGCAAUCUUACUGGAGAUGCAGUGAUUGAGGCGAGAAACGGCGCAAAAGGGGUCGUUGAAGGCAAAACAAAACAAGACAAUGCCUUGUACGAAAAUGUCCCUAUAAUAUUUUGAAAUUGACAAAAUAUUCUAUUUCUAAUUAUAAUUUUAUAGAUGUAAAUGUUGUCUUACUUCAAGUAAUGUUGAUAUGAGGGACGCUCUAUCGCCAUUGAUGGAAUUUGAAGCAUGAAGAUUACUAGAAGUCGAAUGGAUCAUGAUAGAGUGUGAACAGGUUUAGAAGAAUGGGAAGUUCACAAUAACUUAGAGGUAUCGUGAUAAGGUGAAUAGUGAGUGAAGUCUUGAACAUUAGUGUACCCAUGGAUAGCAAUACGCAAGUCGAUUGCUGAUAGAAACGGCUUAUUAUAUCAGCUAUGGAGAAAAAUAUUUUUCUAGUUCAAGCAAUCUGGAUAAGAAGACCAAUGUUCUUUCACUUAAUUUGCGAGUUAGAAGUUAUAAAUAGCUAGCUUUCAAGGCUUGGAAUCUCGAAGUGAAGAUAUGGAGAGAAAUCAAUAUGAUUGUUACCUAUGUUACUCAAUCAAUUAGAAGAAUAGAUUAUUGAGCCACAUAGCUUAUUAUAUUUAGGGAAACCUCAUUAUUACCUAGAAGAUUUGAUCAUAUGGUUGACCGGAUCUCAUAGUAAUUGCGUUCAUAAUUUUCAAUGGCUAAUUAAUCCUCUUAAGGAUUCUUUAACGGUUAAUUUGGAGGCUGAAGACUAUAUAAGAAGAUUGAUACACUCUAAAUAAUUUAUGUAAAACUAAGAAAGUUGUAAAUAUCGAUAUGGUCACAUUUAUUUUAUGUUGCAAGCGUGAUUUUAUUCACUUGUGAUCUACUCCUUUGAGAGUUGUGAUUGUUCAGUGUAAUUUGUAAUUUGAGGAGUGUACAAAUAUAGGUAGUGCUUGUCUAUUGAUAGUGGGAUCUAUCAAUUUUGGAUAGAAGCAGCACGUGCUUUGGUGUAACUACUAACGAGAAUAUUAAUAGAUUCCAGCCUAUUCGUGGUGAAUAAAGACGCAAACUUGUUAUAAAUCAAACCACGAGCAUUGUGUUUUAUCUCUUUACUUAUUUCACCAUUUAUCUUAUAGAAAUAUCUUGCAUCUUAUAUUAUCCAUUGUUUUUGCAUCUAUCAAAUCUAGUUUAGUAAUUCCAUGAAAAAGAAGAAAGGGAAAUUUUUUUUUUUUGAAAAUCAGCUUAUCCACCCCCUUCGGUUGUAUCAUCAGUCUCCACAGAAAGUGCCACGUGAGGUCCACAUGCUUAAUGAGCGAUGAUAGUUGGUUUGUAGACUAGGAGUGAUUUGAAACUUAGUCGUUCAUUUUAAAGAUUAAUUUGGGACAAGGUUCACUUUGAAAACUUUUAAAAAGAACGACUUCCCUUCAUAAAGGCUGUUUGAAAAUUUCUCGAAAAGUUUGCCAACUCUUUUGGGGAAUUAAAACUUCAAUGCUCUAUAAAAAAAAAGCCUUUCAUUUGAUCUCCUUUAGUUUCGAGCAGUUUGAAUGAUUACCCAUGUGACUAGGCAGUGUUCUCAUGGAAAAAGGACCAAUUACGGCAUCAAUCAACCUCUCCCUGCUUGGCGUAUUGAAGCUUCCAAUAAGAACACAUAUUAGAUUCACAAGAAGCACCUGCGAUUUAAACAAAAAGAAAAGAAAAGAAACAUGGAACAUUUCUUGUAAGUUCUGGUUGAAAUUUGGUAAUGUAAAGCAUUUCGAAAAGUUCUUCUCAUUAAAACUGAAAAUGAACUUUCGCACAAUUAACGCUUCUACUUAUACAUAACUGGUGACCACACACACACACACACACACACACACACAGAGUUUGUGCUAACUUGAGAAAUGAACACUGAAAGGACUUCGAUACAAUGGUGAAAAAGAUAGAAACUACAACAUAUGUACAAGCAUAUUCCAUUGACCCAUCAAAACCUAGUUUAUGAGUUGGAUUCUCUCUUCCUUCCUGUUUCCAGCAUGUACCUUCAUGCCGUCAAGCAAAAAGUCGCUUCACUUCAGUAUCUCUCUUCAAUUAUGCAAGAGCUGUGUCAUGUGAUCUGGGUCACAAUAAAACAGCAGCAACAAGGACUCUAAUGUCCAGCUUAAUAACAAAACGAAACCCAAAAGGACAAGAAAGUAACAGAAAGGGCAGCGCGGGAGUCCAUGAAAAUUUAGGGCAUCAGUCCUCCUGCUUGCUCCAUCAGUUCACUUGUGUACCCAUUCCAUUAAUCAGACUCUCCAGUUCAAGAUAGAUUCCCGUGUCAUUCAACGUCAGGUGGUCUUCUACUUCUAUGUUGUCCGCAUCUGCGCCAAUAACCACGUCUUCCUUGAGGAGCUUCUCGGAAAUCCCCUGGAAUACCGAAGACAAAUCAGAUGAGCUAGCUCCGGUCAUCUGAUUGGGCGUCUGGCCCUGCGCAACCCUGAAAUCUUCACCAUCCAUCGAAGGCCACGGAUUGUGCAUCUGAAAGGUGCCAAAUUGCUCCGGCACAACACUAUUUGGCCGACGCUCCAUCUGUGCCAAAUCGUCACUGAUUUUCAGGCAAUCAACUUUUGGGCUUUGAAUCAUGUGAUCCAUUGCUUCUAGCAAGCAUUUGGUGGCUUCGGCAUCGGGACCAAGCAAUUCUCUCUUCUUGCUCGAUUCACAGGUCUCUAAAUCUCUCUUCUGCUUCUUCUUCGGGGUUAAAUUCAGGAGAAAGUUGGGGCUUUUGGCUGCUUUUAUGAAGAAGAGGAAUAGGAGCUGGUUCCUGCAGUCGGCAUGGCGAACCUGCUCAGCAACCUGCUCGAUCUCAUGCUGCAAGUUGUCCUGCUCUUCUCUUAGCUUAAGGAUCUUGGUCUUCAACGCUUCCUGCUCCUUCUUAAGCGUUUUGAGUUUCGCUUCCUUUUCAGCUUUCUGGUAAUCAGAGGUGACAGUACUACUAGAUUUUUUUCUAUGCUUGUUUAAGUUGUGUCUCCUCUUUAUGUUCUUCAGCAAAUGCUUCUUCCCUUUCUGAAAACCUUGGUUUACAAACUCCCAUCGAUCUGGAUUGAUCUUCCUAAAACCCUGCGACACAUUUUUAAUUAUGAUGCAUGAAGAAUAGAAGAUAGGAAGAAGCUAUGUCUAGGAGUUCAUAAUGAACCAAAGGCUAAAGAGUAGAAAAUAAGCAGAAUGAAGGCCAAGAAAGUUUCAGUGGAAGAUGUGCACAAGGGGUAANNNNNNNNNNNNNNNNNNNNNNNNNNNNNNNNNNNNNNNNNNNNNNNNNNNNNNNNNNNNNNNNNNNNNNNNNNNNNNNNNNNNNNNNNNNNNNNNNNNNNNNNNNNNNNNNNNNNNNNNNNNNNNNNNNNNNNNNNNNNNNNNNNNNNNNNNNNNNNNNNNNNNNNNNNNNNNNNNNNNNNNNNNNNNNNNNNNNNNNNNNNNNNNNNNNNNNNNNNNNNNNNNNNNNNNNNNNNNNNNNNNNNNNNNNNNNNNNNNNNNNNNNNNNNNNNNNNNNNNNNNNNNNNNNNNNNNNNNNNNNNNNNNNNNNNNNNNNNNNNNNNNNNNNNNNNNNNNNNNNNNNNNNNNNNNNNNNNNNNNNNNNNNNNNNNNNNNNNNNNNNNNNNNNNNNNNNNNNNNNNNNNNNNNNNNNNNNNNNNNNNNNNNNNNNNNNNNNNNNNNNNNNNNNNNNNNNNNNNNNNNNNNNNNNNNNNNNNNNNNNNNNNNNNNNNNNNNNNNNNNNNNNNNNNNNNNNNNNNNNNNNNNNNNNNNNNNNNNNNNNNNNNNNNNNNNNNNNNNNNNNNNNNNNNNNNNNNNNNNNNNNNNNNNNNNNNNNNNNNNNNNNNNNNNNNNNNNNNNNNNNNNNNNNNNNNNNNNNNNNNNNNNNNNNNNNNNNNNNNNNNNNNNNNNNNNNNNNNNNNNNNNNNNNNNNNNNNNNNNNNNAGAGUUAAACCAAAACGCUCAUACACAGACAUACUUUAUACAGAUCCAUACAAAAGAUAACGACCGCAACAAAUAACAUAGGUUUGCUCAUAUCAAAACAUGAAGAAGUACCGACAUAAGUGUUCAGCUGCUGAUGAAGCUGGAGAAGUUGGAGUGCUUGAAGUAUCCAGGCAGGACCUCCUUCGAGAACUGCUGCUGAUCCCACACCACGAAGCUAUCCUGGCUCAAGCCCCACGACACCACUGGAUCUGUACCCGGGUCCGACACCAUCUCGUAAGUCUUCCUCAGGAACGGCGUUGGCCCCACCACCCCCAGAUCCUCCAUCGGCUUUGCCACAUCGUAUGCUGCUGCCAGCCAUGAGCAUGACGGCGAUAAAAUGGCCGCAUCCCUGGGAUCGGCAGUGGUCGCCACCUCCUCCUCUUCCAAUUCCUCCUUGAUCUUCACCGCCUGCACGGCCAGAGCCGAACAGAGUUCGGGCCGGGUCAGGCAUGAAUGCAAGGGCGGUCCAGCUCCAAUUUUGCCAUCGCCAAUGGCUACUUGUGGCAAUGGACCCGAAUGGGAAAGCAACCCACAGCAUCCUAGCUCGCCUUCACGGGCCUUUGAUUGUGACUGAGAAUCGGUUCGGCUUAGGUCCGAGUACAAGGGCAACCGGGACCCUAUCUCGCCAUGGUUGCCACCAUCAAGAACAGCGAAGGAUGCGAUUUCUUCCCGUGAUCUUGCGAAAGGUUUUGCCUUUUCUAGCUCAAGACUUGAAUCUCGAAAGAAGGUUUCGGAAAACCAUGGGCAAGAUCCAUUAGCACGGCCGGGGGAACAACCGCAAGAGCCGCCGUGAAACGCCGUCAUCAAUUUGAGCUCGAGUUCAUGGUUUUUUCCCUUUUUUGGGGGGGCAGGAGCUCGAGUUCUGGUUCAGAAGGUGGAGAUAAUAUGAGCAAAUUUCAAGCGAAUGAACACACGUGGUAGGGUUUCGAGAGACAGUAAGAGAGAGCUUGACUUGAAAAGUAGAGUUCAAAUCAAGCGGGCGACGGGCAAGGGCGAUGGCAUGUGGACUUAUAUACUCGUGAGAAAAGCAAAUUGAUAAGCUGACUGCACCGUUACCCUGGAAGAGUGACGGUGGUGCAGUCCGAGAAAAUAUUGGGUGGGUUUUACCCUCCACGUAAGCAAAAUGUAUCACCAUACGCAAUUCGACACGUGGCAAUUUUCGGCCCACCUGUCAGUGCCCACUCUCCCCCAUUAACUCCGUCUCUCUCCCGUUUACCCUCUCUCCUCCCCUCCGUUUCUGCCCACAAAACCAGCUGUUAGAGGAAGGAUGUCGAAUGUCCUCUUCCUCCCUCUUUCUCUCUCGUCCCUCUNNNNNNNNNNNNNNNNNNNNNNNNNNNNNNNNNNNNNNNNNNNNNNNNNNNNNNNNNNNNNNNNNNNNNNNNNNNNNNNNNNNNNNNNNNNNNNNNNNNNNNNNNNNNNNNNNNNNNNNNNNNNNNNNNNNNNNNNNNNNNNNNNNNNNNNNNNNNNNNNNNNNNNNNNNNNNNNNNNNNNNNNNNNNNNNNNNNNNNNNNNNNNNNNNNNNNNNNNNNNNNNNNNNNNNNNNNNNNNNNNNNNNAACAAAUUUAUCGUAUGUGCUCCUGCGAGCCGAGAGCCACCACGUUUUUUCUUUUGCGUCUCGGCGAGGCUUUUCUGUCCCCAUUUUAGCGGCAGAUAUUUUAAGAUUUAUUAAUUCCAUCUUUAUGUUUUUUAGUAUUAAAAGAUUCAGGUGGUUUGAUGAUUAUUAAUUUUAUUUUUUCAAGUUUUUAAUAUUAAAAGAGUCAUGAUAGGAUUGUUGAUCACAUAAAUUGUUGUCUUACAUCGUUUGGACGAAAAAGAUAACCAAAACCAUUUUUUUUAACAAACAGGUUGUCUUAUAUAAGCGAAUACAGAAAAUCACGUGACAAUCGUGUCAUCAUAAGAUAUAGCAUAUCUUGUUCCUAAUAAAUUCUUUUCUUGGAUUAUAACAAGGCUAUUUACAUUCAUCUAGUCUCUAAUCAUAUAUAACUUUAAAUUUUUAGAUUGGAUUUUCUAAUAUAGUAUCGGAUUCAAGUUUCUUCUCGAUAUAAGUCGUUUGUGCAAGUAAUCCUCAUCGCUAAUCCAUCAAUUUUAAUUAACAUCAUAUAUAUAGUCUUGUGCUACCUAUGAUUUAAAUUCUUUUUUUCAGAAGUAAUUUUUUUUGGUUUUUAAUUUUUAUUUUUGAAAGUGUCUUCCUCACUAAUAAAAGAAAGAGAAAUGAUUGAUUCAUAAUUUUUUUAAUCUAACAAGUUUUGGGUCACAAAAAAUCAAAUAAUAAGUAAUUAUAAAUUAUUAUUAGGUCCACUCCUACAAGAAUUUGUGACUUGUAACGAAUAACUUAAAGACUAUUAUUCUAAUAAAAUUCUAAAAGAAAAUAAUGAGGGAAUAGCCACUAAAUGAGUGAAGAGCUCUCCCAAUGGUAAAUAGGGGCGAGCAAAAGGAACUAUCCAGAUUGAGAAUCGCUCAGACAGAAUCGAACUGGCUGGUUCUAGGCGGUUCCCUUGAUACUAAACCGAUUCCAUAAAAUUAGAAUAAGUGACCAAGUCAAAUCUUUUUGCUUUCUUAAAAUCUGUAUUCAAUAAAAAUAAAAAAUAAAAAAGGCCUAAUAUGGAGAAAGAGAGAGAGAGAGUAUAGUGGGAGUCUUAGCCUUGUGGAUUAAGCUUCUAUCAAAGAUAUUAUGCAUGACGAAUCAAAAAGAGAAAAAGAAAUAAGCAACCAAGUUUACUGGAUCACUUAGAAAUUGGACCAAUCAAUUCAAUUUCAAAAUCAAAUGAUCUGUUUCUCAAUUGAAAAGAAUUGAGAACUUAUCCUAUUGGUCUGGUUCUUAAGUGGAAAUUGAACCGAUGGGGAACUAAUUAUCCCUUAAGGCAUUCGCACGAAAAAUAGAAAGACAAAAACAUCAAAAGGUCUCCGGAAAAACCGAGCAUAAAACAAGAGACAUGGGGAAAGGACCAGUCGAGAAUCUGUUCUUUUUCCCCACAUCUGGGGAGGUACGGACUGGGCAACGAUACAGGCCUUAUUACUUAGUCAUGAUUGGAUGUUUGUUAGCGACACGUGGGCCAAUCAUCAUUUACUUUAGUAGCCACCUCAACAUCUUGCUUUCGUGUGACAUGACAAUCAAAGCGUGUUUCCUUUUCUUCUUUAUUUUUGUUUUAUGCAUUUGGAAGCCAUCACGAAACCUAAUUUGUACUCGUAGUUACACAUUUUUUUUUAGAGCUGCUGUGGCGCCACACGAGCACCACGUGAAAAAUUGAAAAGAAAAGGAAAAUUUCAAAUAAUAACAUCGGCAACACCGAUUCGUUAUCAGCUCGAGCAAUGAUCCAAGCAUGGGCUAAGCCCAAUGACUUUCUUUGACACCAAUAUUGUCAUGCUAACCACCUCUAAUCCCUCAAGGCUCUCAACUCUCAAGCCUCCAUAUAGAUUGUAGACUCUUAGGCCGAAGCUAUUGCUAAGGUCGGAUCUAGCUUCGAAGCUCGCCACAGCUAGAUCAUCAUAAAGGACAAUCACUCCUCCUCUCUGUCUCACCCUCUCCUAAUACACUUGCGUAGAUAUGAAAUUUGAGAUUUGAGAGCAAGCGAUGAUCAUCUCAUAGGUGGUCAAACAAGGGCUGAUGAAGGCCACCAAAGGUUUGGGCAAUAGUGGGCAUUGACAAAUGAGCGCCAAAGGAACUUUGGCCAAGGAAUCAUGAGCUUGAAGAUGAUGAAUAGUAACUUCAAAGACAAUGAACAGUAACUUCACGAUGAACAUUAACAGCGAAUCUGACGAUGCUACAUUAGUGCCACUUCCUUGAAAAGAAAUUAUUAAUGUCAUGUCCGAUUUAUGUUAGAUUUUUAACAGUGAUUUUUAAUAGAACUUUAAUGAAGUGUAAAUGUGUCACUCAAGUAUAAAUUUAGAGUUUUUGGCAUAACAAAUAAAAUUUUCAAUAGAUUUGUCACAAUGGACAUUAUGCUGCAUAGGAACAACCAAGUUAAAUGUUGAAUAGCGCUUCUAGCUAAGUACAUAUCUAUUGGGUCUUGUUUUUAUCCUUUUGCAAUUUGGAGUGGUAGUAAAUUGUUCUCUUCGUUACACGCAAGAAAGUCUAGAAAUUGAGUCAGUUGCAAUGGCAUCCUUGGAUUUUUUUUCAUGUGUUCAUUACGUAUUUGGAGAAGUAGUAAACUAUUCUCUUAGAGUGCACUUUGUUUUGAAGAAAACAUUUUUCUCAUUUUCCAGGAAAACGUUUUUCUAAUUUUCUAGGAAAACUUUUUUCUAACUUUCCAGCAUUUGAUUCAUUUAGAAAAAUGAGUUAACGGAAAUAUUUUCCUACCAAUAAUAUCCAAAUAACAUAAAAUAUUUUUGAUCAUAUAUCACCAAACAAAAGAAAACUAACCAUAUUUCUAAAAAAUGUUUUACGGAGAAGCAUUUUAUUAUAUCAUUGAGUUCUUAUGAUACAAACGCAGCCCAAAAUGAUUUUGGUUACUUGUUAUAGGUGUGUGUUAGGACUGAUUUUACAAACUCAAAGGUGGGACUAGUUGAACACAGGGUGAGGCAUUUACAACAUAGUGUGCCAAACUACUGGGGAUAAAAGUUGACACCCAAUCAGUAGCUCAUCUAUCAAUCGUCAUUUUAACUACCGAACUUGUGAGCAAACAACCUAUUUUGUGUUAAUGUAAAAAUAGAGUACACUUAUUCAAGAAAAGUGGAUUUGAACACUAACAGCGAAUUAUCUACAACAAUCAAUUGGACAAAAAACUUAUCGCUUAUUUUAAGUUCACCAAGUCUAAAGCCUUAAUGAAGGUGAAUUUUCCUAUUAGUUGCAGUGAUAAACUAAUACGAGCAAGCACAAAAAGUGAUUAAUAAUGUGGUGUUUUCUCCACACGUGUUGCCACAAGUUCUUCAGUUUGUUUCUCCUAAUAGGCUUAACAAGAUAGUCAGCAGCACCUCUCAACAUGCACCUGUACACCGUGCAUCCUGUGUAGACAUCACUGCAAAAUCCCCAUAGAUGAUAAAUAAGUCAUUCUUGGACCAUGACACCAGUAAAGAACAUGAAUCAGCGAUGCAUAGAUAGGUAAGACGUACUUAGGACUGGAAUAUUUUGCAUACGUUAUGCUCCAUAAUUAGAGUAAGAAGAGCAUAUCAAGAUAUUGACGACAAAUCCGCUUCAGUCAAUAUGAGAUCUAUGUUGUAGGUCUUUCCUUCGGUAACUCCCACGCCUUCAAAGCAUAAGGAAUAGAUGCAACUGCUCAACAAAACGAUAAAGUUGUUUCCAUUAUGAAGGUGACUCGUUAAUGCGCAUAAAGGAAAAAGAAGCUCCUAACAAGCAUAAAAAGCGAUGAAUUUAAUUCCAUUCCACAACCAAGCUUCCCAAACAGUACAGAAGAAUUCUACCUAAGUGCUUUGAUGUUCCAGUAUAAAUUCACGAACAUACUUUAUGGCUUCAUAAACGCUAAUCUCAAUCUUAAGUCUAAUGAAAGCUCAACAACCACAUCUAACUUUAAGUCUUUCAUAUGUUUUUUCAUGACCAGAUAAGUUGACUAUAAACCUCUCACAAUUACACAUAAAAGUUCAUCGACUUAUUUCUAUUUUUUUUUUGUUUUUUUUAGUCUUAGCCUUCUUCACUCCAAAUUUUUUGCCUUUUGCAUAUGCCACAUAUUUAUGAUAUGCUUCAAGUUCACUUGCAAAAACUAUUUGUUACCGUAAAUUCAAAAUCUUUUUUUAAAUCAUGAGUUACAUCUGCUAAAUAUUCAGUUUCAUGCUGCAAGCAAAGAACAAAAAGUAUUUAAUGUAGUGAUUUUACAUGAAAAAUAACAUCUCAUCAAUUUCUUGAGAAAGCAAAUAUAUUAUAAAUAGUAUGAGUUUAGGAUUACCUAUUAUUCAACCAUCAAAUAAUCUUAAACGUGCGAAUUAAUUGACUGAUUGCGAGCAAACAUCUGUUAGUAGGAGUUUUGGCAGGCAAAUCAGGGAGAGAUUCCAGAAGACGGAGCAACGUAGCACCAGCAGUUUAGGGCAUGGCCCAAUCAAGGACCAACCUUUGUGCUCGCGACCAACCUUCUUGCUCGGCCUUUGCGAGCGCGAAGGUCACAACGGUGGGGCUUAUCGAGGAAAAGCUGCCGAUGGGGCUCUGGAGGCGGAGGCGAGCGCCUUCUUACUGCGAAUCAAGACAUCUUUGACAAAAAUGAGGUUCCCGUAAAUUUACAGAAAUUAGUGGCGGAACUACACUAUAUUUCCCCAUGUCAAAUAACUGGAACAGCAUGUAUCCAGACAAUACAAUAAAUUGAAACAUGAGGCCUGUUGAAUUUAUGCAAAAUGACACCUUGAAAAAGCACAGGAUGUGUGAAUGAAAACAAAAAUUUAAGUAGAAACAUCACAGACCAAAAUAAACAUCCUAAGGAGUGGAGGUGGGUCAACAUGUCAACAAUUUCACAUAAAAAAUUUGAGAGCCUCAUGGUUUUGUCCUUUGGCGUAUAGGUAAGCACCUUCCCAAGAGGUCAUCCAUCCUAGGAGGGCUCCUUCUUGAGCACACUUAACUUUUAAGUACCAAAGCUAAGCUUUCAGUUAUGUCAAAAUGUGUCUUCGAGAAUUAAUUUCAGUUUUCAUGUAGAUAUACUAAAAUCGCUCCCUGUAUUCAUUGCACAGUUCGGUUCAAUCCCACCCUCUUCGCUAUCUUAAAAACCUGCCAGUGUUGAUACCUAAAUUUUGGCUGACAAGUCCUAAGUUAAAAAAUAAAAAAUCAAAACUUUGGGAAUUUUAAUCGCAAUGGAACCCUUUUCUUGGCUGAAGAGGGUCGUAAGAGUCCUUAGAUGUCGUUUUGCUGAAAAGUCAAAAUUUGACUUUCAAGUUAACUUUUUGGUUAAACAUGUUAAAAAAAAAAAUUGGGGCCAAGGAUCCGCAUGUGAUUAGUCAAGACCUAAGGGGUUAGAUUGCAAUUGAACCAGCAAAUUGGUUCCAAAAUGCAAUUUUCAAAGUUGGGGGACCAAUUUGCAAAAUUUAAAAUUAUGCCCAAUCCCUUAAAUCAUCAUUUUUUUUAUUAUCAUUUUGACCCCUAUUUAAGUUGAAACUGAACCUGGCCUGGCUUGGAUUAAUCUAAUCAAGCCACAAGGACCAAUUUGGAUCAAGUUGGUAAUUUCUGAGCAAGAAAAUGGCCAACUUUGAGGAAUUUUCUUACAAAAUUGGAUAGAAAAAAUUGCAAAGUUUAGUAAGAGACAAAUUAAUAUACAUGAAUGUGCCAACUGGUCAAAAAAUUGAGCUAAAUUGAUGGAUUAAAACGUUUAAAAUAGCUGCCAAAAUCCAAUCUGUGAUUUAGCCAUAAUUCAAAGCGAUUAAGUAAGCAAAUUUGUGGACACACCAUAUCCCACUUAGCUCCCAAUCAGCCUAAUCUCUGGCUAAAGUGGAAUGCUCUCAUUAAGAGUGCAAAUGGACAAAAUUGGGCUAGGGAUAAGUUGUUGAAGACAUGUGAAAAUCGUAGCCAAAGUUGUUCACUCAAUAGCUGCAAAAGUUUGAAGAUUUCACUGUCGGGGAGCUGAUAGAGCAACUCAGUUGGCAAGCUUGUCAUGUGGGCAUGGCAAGCAAAAUGUUGCUUAAUUCAGGAAAUAAUCUCUCAAAAGCAAGCUAUUUUGAGGCAUAAAAGGUUGGAGACAAGAGAGAGCCCACGAAUGUCCCCAAAGGCGCCCCCAUGAGGAACUCAAAAAGGACCUUAACCUAGAAAUUUUAGAGGGACCCUCAGAAAAAAAACGAAAUUUUCAUGAACUUCCAGCUAAAACUAGCCAAAACCCUCAACUAGAGAGUGGAAUUAUACUCAAAUAUCUUUCCAAUCAUAGGUUACAUGUCAAAAAUGAUUGUUUGGAAGGCAACGUGUUACUUUCUAGGAGGGGUGGACACCCAGGAAUUUUUUUAUAAUGUAAUAGGUAGAUGGUUACUAGCGAGGCAAAAGAAAUGUUUUUGAGGAAAAUAAGGGACAUUUGAGGCAAAAAGUUAAUUUUAGAUUAAACUACAAUACAUAUAGUUGGAGUAAAUGUCAAAGGAGUUGACAAAAUGGGUCUUCAAACCUGGUCAUGGUGGCUAACCAAAGCCUUCGUUGUUGGUUUUCGUCUCCGCGGGUCUCAUUUUCCAGCUCGAAGGGGCCAACUUCCAAGUGCCUUUAGAGGACAAUUUUUUUUGGCUUCGUCGGUCAAGAGAUACUUCACACAGAAAUUAGGAAGAAAGGUAAGGCCCCUAGAUGAGUUUUUGUUCAAUGUAGACCAUGGUUUGACCAUCGGAAAUCGAGAGGAAAGCCAGCCAGGUAAACUAAUUUCUGAGGCUGGAAUUUUUCCCAAUGUUGAAGCCUCUUCCAAAAGCCAUGCAUUUUUGACUUGGUACCCCACUUUGCAUGCAUUAUCUGUCUUCGUUAGCUUGAUGAAUGUUAUAAGUAAGUGCAAAUGAUGCUUGGGUCAGCUUGAUUUGGUCUUUAAAUCUCCACGUGAACCAUGAGAGUGUUUAGAAUUUGAACUAAAAGCUUAGCCGAUCCACGAGUUCAUGGCUGGCCAAUGUGGAAGGUUACUUUGAAAGGUUGGUUUGAUGUGCGUAUUUGACCAUUCUUUGAUGUAUUAAUCAUGUUUGAAAAUUCAUGUUACCAAAUUUCAUUCGGAUCGAGUGUAUUUUCCCAUAAGUCGUGUAUGUGAUGAGUGCCAAGGCUUGAACUUGGGCAUGCAACUUGUUUACUUGACCCUAGUUCAAACCAAGCUUUACAAAAAUUGGUUAGACCCACACAUUUAAGGCUAAUUGCAGUUGUGUUAUUGUGUGGUUUGGGCUCUAAAUUCUAUCUAAUAUUGUUCUUUGAAUGUAUUAGUAUAAUUUUAAUGCUUUAGUUCCAUUUAAGAUUGCACAUGGGUCGAGAUUGAAGGCCAUGAAUAUUGCUCAAGGAAGCUAUUUAAGGCAAUUUAAUGUGCACCAACUGUUUGACAAAUGCCCAAAUCAAGUUUUAAUCUUGAGAUGGUCAAUUGAGCUUGGUUAUUGUGGUAUUCAUAUAAUGAGUUGAUCAAACAUGGAUCAGCUCAUUGAACUGAUCUUUCUUCCCCUUUUUUCUAAAAAAAUUGAGAAUCCAUAAUGAAGGAGAAUAUAUUUAGUAGUUUGUAACCAUCGUGUGAGUGAGCUUAGUCAGCUCUACUCAAAAGAUGACACGUGUCCUCUGACAUGGACAAGGAUAGGUAUGGAAAAUAAAAAAUUAAAAUAGAAGCUUUCUUUUCUAUGACCGACAGACAAACUGGUGAGAUGAAAAUGGACAAAGCUAUAAAUGCUAACAUUUAAAGGUAAAAUAGAAAUGCAAAAGGGGAGAGAGAGCAAGUGAAGAAGCCCUUGGAAGUUGAAAAGAAAAAAAGAGUUUUAGAAACGUAAAAGGAAGAGGAAAGGGGGGGGGGGCAUAAAAGGUAGAAGCCCUUAGAAAUUGAAAAGUGGGAGUGAAUUAAGUGGGUUUUUAGCUAUUAUCAUAUAUUGUAUCGUCCUUUUUCACCUCACUUGUUGAGAAAAUAUUAGGUACCUUAAUAGCUCCGCGUCUGUCGCGACCUCUUUUUUUCGGCGUCCGCAAUUGGGUACGGCGCCUAAGGAGGUUAAUGGCUUGGCUGAAAUUAAUUAUGCUCGGAUUCUCCCAAGUCCACCAAUUUACGACUUUAAUAGUAUGAGUUUUUAACCUGUAAAUCAAUUUUUAAAAUGGAGUCGCCACUAAUCGAUUUGGGGUGGGUUGAUUAGAAACCCAAGUGAAGUAUCGGGAGAAAUACUCAUUUCUGCGCAACUAGAGAAGUUAGGAUCGGGGAUUUGAUUACACUAGUUAAUCACUAAUGCCCUUUCGGUACCUGAUCUUGUUUAAAUCUUGAGGUUUUUUGGAUGUUCGAGGAAUUUUCCAUGCAUUUUUGGGAGGAAAAACAUUUUUGAGUCUUUUUCUAAUUUUUUUUUACACAAAAGGGAUUUUUUUGGGGUUUUUUGAUAUUUUUUGGAAAAAUACAAGUCUUUUUGGCUUUUUCUGAAAUUUUUGGCUUUUUCAUGAAUUUUUGGCCUUUUUUUUUGGAUUUUUGGCAUUUUUUGGAAAAUAUGAAAUAUUUUUUGAUUUUUUGAUUUUUUUGGAAAAUAAAAUAUUUUUAAUAUUUUUCAAUAUUUUUUGGUUUUUGGGGAUUAAAAUAUUUUUUAAUAUUUUUCGAAAAUAAAAUAUAUUUUUUGAUUUUUUUUGGAUAAUAAAUUAUUUAUUUAAAAUAAAAUUUUAAAAAAGGGCCGACCCGGGUCGGAUCCGCGGGUUGGGUCUAACCCGGGCCGGCAACCCGAACGCGAACGGGCCCUCGUUGCGAGCCCGACUUGGAUUUUUUUGUCUUUUUUUUUACUUUAUUGAAACAGCGUUGUGGCUAGGCGUUUAGGGACGCUUGGCUCGGCCUGACGACCCGCUCCGACAACCUGCUCCACGACCCGGCUCCCCGGCGAAACCCUACCCAGAUCCGACCCGAACCUCGACUCGGCUUUCGCCGCCCCUUAAAUCGCGGAAUCCCUACCUGGCUUUCCAAACCCGGAUCUGCUUCGUGACUCGGAAAUCGCAAACCCUAGGGUUUGCAAAUCUGCGGCGCCAAAGGGGGGGGGGGAAACGGGAGCAUUACGACGGCGACGGCGACGUCGGCGGCUACGGUGGCGUGACGAGAACGGGACAAUGGAGAGGGCUGCGACAUCGACAGUAAUGAUGACGAGGAAGAUAGGCUACCUGGCCAAGACCGGCAACUGUGCACGGCAGAGAUGGUAGUCCCUUAACUCUUAGAUUCGGUGUGACGUUGGUGGGUCAGUCGCGGCACAGCGUCGGGGCAGGGAACAACAGCAGCAGAGCAACGGUUGCAACGGUGGCGCAGAGCUUCCAGAUCUGGUCCUCCUCUCUCCGACUCCUCUCGCUUAGGCCCCGAUCUCUUCCCUCUCCCUCUGGCCAGAUUUGAGCCUCCACUGGCUAGAUCUGACCUUCUUGAAGUCGCUCGCCGCCGGCCUUCCCCGAAGUCUCUCGGUGGAGGGUGGGCUGAGCUCUCGACUCGAGUUCUCCCCUGCGCUCGCCCUUCGAUCUUUCCCGAUGUCUCUCAGUGAAAGAUCUCCGAGCUCGCCACGCCCUUCGAUGGAGCUUGUGGCUUGCUAUUUAUAGGCGAGGGGGCGGCCGGUCGGCGAAGCUUCGACUGCUGGUCUUCACGCACCGAACGGUCCUCCUCGGCUGAAUCGGCGUCCCAUCCGAGUUUAUCUAGCGAAGCGUGCUCAGCAUUGAUGGCGCUUGAGAUCUUAUCCUUUCUGGCCGACGUCGGCCUACUCUCCUCGGCCGUAGGUCGUCCUUCGCACGUCGGUGUUGAUGCGCGUGGAAUACAGAAGCGGAGAGGGAAGGUGCGAGGAAGAAGAAGAAGAAGGAAGAGAGGCGCCGGGCCAGAAAGAAAAGCUGGGCUUGGGCCUGCGAAAAGGGAAAAAGAUGGGGGGCUGCCAAUUUUGCUUUGUUUUUCUUGUGUUAUUUAUUUAUUAUUUAUUAUCCAAAAAGACAAAAUAAAAUAAAUUAAAAACUUAUUUAAUAAAAUAAAAUAGGCCUAAAUAAAAUUAAGGCGUCAACGGUCAUUUUUACUUUGAACCACUUAGCAGCUGAUAGCUGUUCGGGCAGGUCCAUGUCGUCCCAGUUCAAACCAGCGCAGGCGAAGGGCAGAGUGUUCUCUUUCCUCUUUAUCUUCUCUCUCCUCUUUACUUGCUCUCUCUUCCUCCUCCUUUGACGCUCUCUUUGCACUUUACCCUGACGCACUAAACCUUCCCGCCUAGCGCUUCCUCCAACGACUGUCGCUCCCUCCCGAUGACGGCCUUUCUCUCUCCACUAGAUGGCCUCAUCCUCUGGGUUGCAUUCUCUCGGUGCACUCCUGUGACCUCUUUCUUCCUAAAUUGCACUCUCUCUCGAUGGCCGAUUUUGCUCGCCUCUCUCUGUCACCCUCGACUUGCGAUCGAGAAGCAAUCACUUUGCCCUGUCAUCUAAUCUUCCGUCAAUGACUUGCUUUCUGCUUUGCUCAAAGUGGUCCCUCGAGAAGCCCUAAAUCUGCGACCGCAAGUCAAGUUCGAUUUUAUUUCCUAGGUUUUUAUGUUCGCAUAUUUGUUUUGGGGGAAAAAGUACUUAGAAGCUUGUUGGUUUAUUGCUUUUGAUUCUAAGCACAGCAUCACGAGAAAGCUUGGCCUCUCCUACAUAAGCCAACAUUUACAGAUGAAAAGUCCUUAGAUUAUUCAGCUGGCCCUGUUAACUCUUUGUCUAUUGAUUAUGGAUCUAGAUGAGGUUGAUUUUUUUCUUGUCUUGAACUUAUUUAUAUGUUAGUCUUCAACCAGGGUAACAUCCUCAUGUCUCUUCUUUCUACUAAGUUUGCAAAUAUAUUUCUUCCACCAAUGGCAUCUUUUUAAAUCGCUUCUAGUUUUUCCUUAGCCUAUUUUGUAAUGUCAUUUCUAGUGUAAAAAUAUGAUUUCGGUUUUUUCUUCUGGGGAUUGGGUGUAUUAACAUACAUAUAUAUGUAAAUAUGAUGCAAAUGGACCUCUUUAAGUUUGUGCUACAUUUUUUUGGACACCCGGACCCUUGGAGUGCCAAAAGUUGGCAUAAAGGGACACUUAAGUGCCAAAAGUUACGAAAGUAAUACUUAAGUGCCAAAAUCAGAAUAAAAUAGAUCACUUAACUGCCAAUUUGGCCAAAAUGCUGACAUGUCAAUUUUUUCGGCAAAAUAAGUGCAAAACGGCAUCAUUUUGCACGCUAAUGUGGCUAGUAAAAAACGACGUCGUUUUAGUGCUGAAGUGGUAAAAAAUUAAUAUAAAAAUUAAUUAAAUUAAAUUUAAAAUUAAAUUUAUUUAAUACAUUUAAAAACAUUAAUAUUAAUAUUUAAAAAACGAGGGGGGCAGCUGAGGGUUGAGCCCUCGCCAUCGUCGCCUCCCUUCUGCCGCCUAGAAGGGUCGGCAACGAAGGGGGGAGGGUCGGCUGGGGAGGGCCUGCGAGUCCUCGCCCAGAUUCGGCGAGGGUUGGCAGCCCUCACCACCCGGCCGCGUCAAGGGUCGGUGGGCCUCACCCGGCCGGGCCAUGGGCUGUUGUCGGCUAAGGCGACCCCCAGCGGGCGAUGGCCCUUUGGCCCGACCGGGCGAGGGCCGCCGACCCUCGCUGAAUCUGGGGGAGGGUCGCGACCCUCUCCCCAGAUCUGGGUGAGGCCAUGCUGGCUGUCGCUGUCGGUUGGCUCGGGUCACUGGCCCUCGGCCAGGGCUCAACGGCCCCGGCCGACCCUCCCCCACCUUCCGGUGACGGCGGGGAGGUGGCAGCGGUGACGAGGGCUAAACCCUCAGCUGCCGGCUGCCUUCCUCUUCCUCCUCCUCCAAUACCUUUUUUUUUAAAAAAAAUUAUUAUUAUUAUUAUUAUUAUUAUUAUUAUUAUUAUUAUUUUUUUUUUUAGAUUUAGUUUAAUUAAUUUUAUAUUAAAAUUCAAAUCAUACCAAAAUGAUGUCGUUUUUGUGUGUAUUUUGCUGAGUCAACCUUCCGGCGAGCCACGUAAGCGAGAAAAUCAAUAAAAAAAAUGCCACGUAGGAUUUCUGGCGAGGUUUGUCGGAUGUGGCACUCAUGUGUCCCAUUUUUCAUAAAAAGUGGCACUUAAGUGCCACUUUCAUAAAUUUUGACACUUAAGUGUCCCUUUGUGCCAACUUUUGACACUUGAAGCAUUCUUUUGCCUAAUUUUUUGUGUAGUGUGUCUUGUUUCUGCUUUUUUAUUUAUUCCCGGGCUAUUCUUUGUUGUUGAUGUGUUUGUCUUCAUUUCCUGAAUAUGGGAAACUUUUUUAGGUCUUUAGAGUUCUGUUUUUCACAGCUGUUAGCGUGAUCCCUUGACUAGAUUCAUGCUAGCGAACUCAAAUGAGUAAAUCUGUUUUAUAUUUGUUUCACAAGCAUUCCAAAGUGUUCUUCUAUCCUAUCAUGCUUCUCUUCUUUGGGUGGGUGUUGCAUUUCGCAGUCCCUCUCUAAUUUGUUUCUCUUGCUUCAUGAAAUUUGUGGUUACAAUUUAAUUCUCUUGCUUUAUGGAAUUUGUGGUUACGUACCAAUGAUGAGAUGAUUCUUUCGCUGCAUCUUAAUGUAGGUUCAUGAAAUAGCCAUGGUCUUAGCUCCAGCUUAAGCUCCGUAGAAAAUCAUGCUUUUCCUUUUGUCAAUCAUCCUGUCCGCCACAACAACAAAGCACCCAUUAGAAACCAGGGCUGGAAAAAGUGGAGAUAGCAAUUUGGAAUAUUCUAUAAUUGAGUUACGAGUUAUAACCUCCUAUACUUUCAGCAUAUAAUCAUUAAAACUUCUAUCCUGAAUAGCUGAGACCAUUGCUAUUUCAUGGACCUACAUUAAGAUGUAGCAAAAGAAUCAUCUCAUCAUUGGUACGUAACCACAAAUUUCAUAGAGUUUGAGUAACGUAUUGUAAUCACAAAUUCAUAAAGCAAGAGANNNNNNNNNNNNNNNNNNNNNNNNNNNNNNNNNNNNNNNNNNNNNNNNNNNNNNNNNNNNNNNNNNNNNNNNNNNNNNNNNNNNNNNNNNNNNNNNNNNNGGAGAACCAAUUUGAACAAACAUUAUUUUAAAACUUUAUUUGAAGUGACUUUUGUGUUUAUGUUUAUUUUUGAGUAUGACUUGAGAACUUGAACUUGAGUGUUAGACUGAAUUGGUUGUGGAUUUUGAUGCUUGACUGGUUGCAUUUAUAUCAAGUAUUGUUACAUGGUAUUACUCAUGAAAGACUAACCAAUUUGCUGUGGAUGCAGAGUCUGGUUGUUUAUUAAUCUUUAUGAGUUAGCCAUAUUGCUUGAGAAAUGUUUUUGCAGGUCAAAGUUGUUCAAAUCUUCAAGAAAGUUUUGUCACCAUCAAAAAGGGGGAGAUUGUUGGAGAAAUCUUUCCAGAAUAUUUUGAAGCUGACAAAACAUUUCUAUCAGUCUAAGUCUGGAUAUCGAUAGUUAAAGUCUCAAGAAUUUAUAGUCUCAAGACUUUGUUAUCUCAAGACUCAAGACUCAAGACUCAAGACUCAAGACUCAAAAUUAUUCUCACUGACAGUCUUUCUAAUCCAGUGUUGAAGAAAAUCCAAAGUCGAGGUUUAUGGUUGAGGAUUUGAUUCUAUCCUCUGGAAUAGAUUCUUUGGUUGGAUAAUCAUUUCGGAUUCUUUAAUUCUUAUCUAAGAUCAAUUGAAGAUCCGAUGGUCGACAAAAUAAUCUUGGAUUAUUCUAUUCUUGGAAACCGAGAUCCUGAUUGUAUAGGCGAACAUGAUUGAUGGGCUAUCAUCAGAUUCCUUAAAUAGCUCGGAUGAUCUUCUUGAUUGAUUCCGUCCAACGGGUAGAUUGGAGGAAUUCCUUUGGUAAGUGCCAACGGCUAUGAUGGCAUGAAGGAGUAUAAAAGGAAGAUGUUCUAGUUGUUUUAAGUGUGUGAUCGAUAGAAAAAUUCCAGAGUCUGAAGAUCCUUGAUUGUUAGUCGAGACUGAGCGAAAUUGUACACAGAGAGUGUUUAUACUUGGUAACGCCUUGAGCGAGUGUGGUAGAUCAUCUACACCUAGAAAUCAAGGAAGAUCAACACUGUAACAACUCUUUGAUCAUAGUGGAAUCCAGCCAAUCGGCUGUCAGUGCUUAACUUGUUUGUACACCAAAUGCACCCCACAGCUUCUUAGAAUCCCUCUAAUGCUUGAAACAGUACUAUAAAUUGACUUCCAGUGAUUUCAACAAUUUGGCAUCCAAUCCCCACAUCAUUCACCAUGGAACGUAUAAAAGCCAUAUGAGGGUCAGACUCCAGUGAGGAAAAACAAUCUACGCAACCAUAAGUUUCUUGAUUGUCGACAAACAACUGGAUCUCGCAUGAAAUACUGGCUUCUUUCAUAUUAGCGGAAUCAACAAUAGUACAAAAGGCCAAGCCGGCUAUGUCACAAUAUGAUUAUGAAGAUAUAGGAAACCUUAAGAGUCCUCUCAUGCUUUGAAGGACAAACCACUUUGGGACCUUGCUUCCAGGAUGAAUUAUGUCAACCUGAGUCUCUCUAGGCAAUCCCGACCAGUCAGAACCUUUUACACUGGAGACACAAAGAUGAGAGAGAGAGAGAGAGAGAGAGAGAGAGAGAGAGAGAGCUCAAUUGACAGCACAUUGCAAUUGCUAGAGCAUUGAUCCUAAAUCAACUUAUGACAGCCAGAAAGUCAAUUUGUUUGAGCCAAGGUGAUUUAUCUUGAUUAUAUCGUAGCAUGUGUGAUAAGUCCACACAUGUUUCCAACAAUUCAUAAUCUUCUGCAAGUAAAGAUGUCAUGUUCUGCGGGAGAGCUAGAAUCUCUUGAAGCUGCAUGCAACAUGCCAAAAGAAGUCGCUGCAACUUAGUAAAUUGACUGAUGCAUGUGGGAAGUUUGACAAAUUUGCUCUCCGACAGAUCUAAAAUUGUCAAGGAGGACAGAAAAUGAAGAUUUUGCAAGAGCUAACCUCUAAUAAGCUGCAUCUUUGCAUAUUCAAGUAAAUUAUGCUUAGUAGGGCUAAUGGGAGAGAGAGAUUGGUAUAAUCAUUUGAUCUCCACAUAGGUUCCACGAACUUGCUAAGUUGUGAGCAUCCAUCAAUAAAAAAUAUGCACAAGAUGCUGCAGUGUAUAGAUGCUACAAGGAAGCCUUUUAAGGUCCACACGGUCCCUUAUAUACAACUCUUGUUGAUGUAUCAAGACUGCACCAUAUGUUUUUUUUUUCUUUGUUUUGUUUAGUUAGUUUGUUGAUGUCCUAUUUUCUAGGAGUUCAUUAAUUGUUGUUUUACUCAGUCAAUCUUAUCUUGUAGGAGCAAUUAGCUGCACGUUUUUUAGCUGUUCUGUUAGUUUGUUGCUGGUUUUGUGGACCAAGCAAGCUGUUAGUGGGCAACAUGGGUUUAUAGUUAAGUUCUAGUAUAUAUUUUGAACAUUUUUCAGUUUUCAAAAAAAGACAUAGCUUUUGCUGUCAACUCCUCUGUUCUUUUGAAAACAACAUUGGUAUUAGAGCUUUCUUGAUCUUAAAGGGCUGUGAGUGACUUGUGAGAUUGAUUGAGAGGUGUAUCUGCAUCCAUAGAAGUUAAAAGCAAGAUGGAGGCAGGAUCGAGUGGUCUUUCAGCAAUGGCUCCACCAGUGUUUGAUGGAGAAAAUUAUCAAGCCUCGGCAGUGAGAAUGCGAGCCUAUCUAGAGGGUUGUGAUUUUUGGGAAGCUGUGGAACAAGAUUAUGAAGUUGCUCCCCUUCCUGACAAUCCAACCGUCAAUCAAAUCAAGUUUUACAAGGAGAGGACAACAAGGAAAGAAAAGGCAAAGUCUUGUUUAUAUGCUGCUGUCUCACCUGCCAUUUUUAGCAGAGUUAUGGCUUGUGAAUCAACCAAAGCUAUUUGGGACUUCCUCAAAGCUGAGUAUCAAGGAGAUGAGAUGAUCAGAAGCAUGAAGGGGCUAAACCUGAUCACAAAAUUUGAGAGACUGCAGAUGAAGGAGUCUGAGACAAUGAAGGAGUAUUCUGAUAAGUUGAUAAGCAUUGCAAAUCAGGCAAAAGUUCUAGGCACUAACCUCUCUGAUAAUAGGCUAGUGCAGAAAAUUCUUGUCUCCUUGCCCGAAAGGUUUGAGGCAACCAUUGCCUUUUUGGAGUAUACCAAGGAUUUGUCUCAGAUUAAGUUGGUAGAAUUGCUAAAUGCUCUGCAAGCACAAGAGCAGAGGAGGUUAAUGAGGCUGGAAGGAAGUACAAAAGGAGCUUUGCUGGCCAAAGAACAACAUAAUGUAGGAGGAAAAGUCAAGAAAUGGAAAGGGAAGAAAGGAAAUGGUAGUAGUGGUUCAGAAGCUGCUGCAGGAGAGAAUAGUGCAGGCAACUCCAAGGACAAUUGGUGAAGAUAUUCCUCAUGUCAGCAUAGUGGAAAAAAGAAUCAUCCACACUUUAGGUGUUGGAAGAGGCCAGAUGUAAGGUGCAGAAAGUGUCAUAAGCUUGGACACAUUGAGAAGUUUUGCAAAGAGAAGAGAGAUCAAUAGCAGGGUGAGGUACAUGCUGCAGUCUAACAAGAGGUAGAUCAACUGUUUGUUGCCUCUUGUUUCUCCUCUAGUACUCCAUGUGACAGUUGGCUUGUUGAUAGUGGUUGCACAAAUCACAUGACAAGUGAUGAAACACUGUUUAUAAACCUUGACAAGUUGUUGAAGUCAAGAGUGAGGACUAGGAAUAGGGAGUACUUAGAAGUGAAAGGUAAAUGGACUGUAGCAAUGGAAAGUUGUGCUGGAACUAAGCUGGUUUCUGAUGUGACGUAUGUGCCUAAAAUUGAUCAGAAUUUGCUGAGUAUGGGGCAAAUGGUAGAAAAGAGAUUUAAGGUGAUAUUUGAAGAGGAGAAGUGUUUUUGAUCUUUGACUCCAGUGGUCAGGAGCUAUUCAAGAUAAGGAUGUAACAGAAGAGUUUUUCUUUGAAUCCUCUUGAGAAUGAGUAGAUGGCAUUUAAGUGUUAGGCUAAUGAUUUAGAAAUAUGGCACACGAGGUUGGGGCACUUUCAUCAUAAAAGGCGUGCUGUUCUUGCAGACGAAUGGAAUGGCAACUGGGUUACCAAGCCUGGAGGAGUAGAUCACAAGGUGUAAAGCUUGUUUGCUGGGCAAGUAGACAAGACUUCCCUUAAAGGAAUCCACUUGGAGAGCUAUAGAGAAGCUGCAACCGAUUCAUACAGAUCUAUGUGGUCCACAAGUGACUCCUUCACUAAAUGGCAGCAGGUAUUUCAUUGUUUUCAUUGAUGAUUAUACUAGAAUGUGCUGGAUUUACUUUAUGAAGCAAAAGUCAGAAGUUGCUGGGGUAUUUCUGAAGUUUAAGAAAUGGGCUGAGAACCAAAGUGGUUGCAAGAUUCAGGUCAUUAGAUUUGAUAAUGGAACAUAAUACACUUCACAGAGGUUUAAUUUUUUCUGUGAAGAGGUUGGAAUUGAGCAUCAGCUUACUACUCCUUACUCUCCACAGCAAAAUGGAGUUAGUGAGAGGAAGAAUAGAACCAUUAUGGAGAUAACGAGGUGUCUGCUGUAUGAGAAGAAUCUACUAAAAGAGUUUUGGGCAGAAGCAGCAAACACAUCCGUUUUUCUGCUGAAUAGACUAACUACGAGGGUAUUGGAGAUGAAGACACCCUUUAAGGCUUGGUUUGAUGUCAAGCCAAUUCUAAGAAAUUUGAAGGUGUUUGGCUGUUUAUGUUUUUCUCAUAUUCCAUAGGUCAAGAGAGACAAGUUGGGAGAGAAAGUUGAAUCUGGGAUCUUUGUUGGCUACAGUUUAGUGUCAAAAGCUUAUAUGAUCUAUCAACCACAUACAGGGAAUGUGAUCACUAGCAAUGAUGUUCAAUUCCUAGAAGAUGAGAAAUUGGACUGGACAAAUGAGCCACAAGGCAAGCACAAAGAGGUCUCAUUGGAACCUGAUGAGCUGGUGGAUGAUAUUCCGGUUAGAGGUACCAGAUCUUUGACUAAUAUAUAUCAAAGGUGCAGUGUGGUUGUUUUGGAACCUGCAGGUUAUGAGGAAACUAAAAGCGAUUAGAGGUGGAUGAAUGCAAUGAAGGAAGAGUUGGCUAUGAUAGAAAAGAACCAGACAUGGGAGCUAGUGAAGAGGCCUAAAGAUAGGAAGGUGAUUGGAGUAAAAUGGGUUUUCAGGACCAAAUUUAAUCCUGAUGGCUUAAUGAAUAAGCAUAGGGCCAGGUUGGUGGUGAAGGGAUAUGCACAGGUUUGGGGAGUUGAUUUCUCAGAAACCUUUGCUCUUGUGGCAAGACUUGAUACAAUUAGAAUGAUUCUUGCUUUUGCAGCUCAACAAGGAUGGAAGGUAUAUCAGUUAGAUGUGAAAUCUGCAUUUUUGAAUGGAGUGCUGUAGGAGGAGAUUUAUGUUGAGUAGCCAGAAGGCUUUGUCACACUAGGCCAGGAGGAGAAAGUUUAUUUGCUGAGAAAGGCUCUUUAUGGCUUGAGGCAAGCUCCCAGAGCAUGGUACAAUAAGAUGGAUGAGCACUUGCUGGGCCUAGGUUUCAAGAAAAGCCUCAAUGAAUCCACUCUAUAUGUCAAGAAGUUAGUAUCUGACUUAGUGGUGGUGUCUCUUUAUGUGGGUGAUAUGCUGGUGAUAGGAAGUAAUAGUGCUCAAAUUACUGCAUUUAAGCAAGAGAUGAUGAAGAUGUUCGAAAUGACUGAUCUUGGUGAGAUGUCAUAUUUUCUGGGAAUGGAGGUUAGGCAGACUCAAAAUGAAGUUUUUAUCUAUUAGAAGAAGUAUUUGAAGGAGAUCCUAAGGAGAUUCAACAUGGAGGAGUGCAAGAGUGUGAGUACUCCAAUGGAUCAUAAGGAAAAGCUUCAAAAGAAGGAUGGAUCAGAACCUGCAGAUGAAAGAGUUUAUAGAAGUUUGAUUGGUUGUCUUAUGUAUCUCACUGCAACUAGGCUAGACAUCAUGCUUCUUGUAAGUGUCUUAUCUAGAUUUCUCAAUUGUGCAAGUGAGUUGCAUAUGGUAGCUGCAAAGAGGGUGUUGAGGUACUUAAAAGGUACUCUUUCAUAUGGGAUUAAGUUUUGUAGAGUUCAAGAGUUUAAGUUGCAGCGGUACAAAAUCCAGUAUUUCAUGGAAGAACAAAGCAUUUUAAAGUUAAGUUUUACUUCUUGAGAGAAGUGCAAAAGGCUGGAGAGAUGAAACUAGUGUAUUGCAGUUUAGAAAACCAGAUUGCAGAUAUAUUCACGAAGUCAUUUCAUGUUGGUCGAUUUGAACUUCUCAGGGCAAAGCUAGGAGUGUGCAGUACUUGAUCCAGGAGGAGAGUGUUGAUGUAUUAAACUGCACCAUCUGUUUUUUUUUUCUUUGUUUUGUUUAGUCAGUUUGUUGAUGUCCUGUUUUCUAGGAGUUGAUUAAUUGUUGUUUUACUUGGUCAAUCUUAUCUUGUAGGAGCAGUUAGCUACACGUUUUUUUUAGCUGUUCUGUUAGUUUGUUGCUGGUUUUGUGGACCAAGCAAGUUGUUAGUGGGCAACGUGGGUUUAUGGUUAAGUUCUAGUAUGUAUUUUGAACAUUUUUCAGUUUUCAAGAAAAGACACAUAGCUUUUACUGUCAACUCCUUCUCUGUUCUUUCGAAAACAAUAACUCUUGCAGUUUGAUGAGAUUGUGACAGAAGAGGGUAGUUCUUCAAUGGCUGUCUCAUAAAGUGCAAGUGUUCUCAAACGUUUCACUGGUACAAGAAUAUUUGGAAACCUUGAAAGCUUUGAGCAACCUCUAAAGACCGAUUUUCAAGAGAUAUCGACUUUAGACUGCUGGGGAAACAACUAAGAUUGGACCAAUUCAUAAAGUUCAAAUAUAUGAGCUUGUCAAGAUGCCCAAGAGACUGAUGAACCUUAACAAGAUUGGUGCACCCUUGGAGAUCUAAACUCUCAAGAUUUGGUAGGGAUGUUACAUCGAGAGUUUCACUCAGCAAUUUACAAUGGUUGAAAGUAACACACCUCAAAUGUCGAAAAAGCUGCACGAUAAAUAAUGAUAUUUCAAGAUCUUCACAGUUAUAUCUUUUAUCUUGACAGGAGAAUAUAGCAAGCAUGUACCUUGAAUUCCUUCCCUAAUAUGCGGAUGCUGCUUUUACUGAGGUCUAAACCUACAAGUUUCCUGAGGUUUGUAUUGAACGGCACCAACGGUGGAGAAUAAUUGGGCCAUUGGAGCCAUCUUAAUUUAGCAGGAAGGUAUAUAAGAUCCCCUGAAUGGGAAACAUUGUGAGCUAAGAAAAUUCUAAGCCUUUUCAUGUUUGUGAAGGUAUGAGCACUGUUGACACCUAAAUUUUUGUCCAAAAAUCAUUUCCAAAAAAUGGAAACUUGUUUCUCCACAAAAAUAUUUCUUGUCUAAUUUUUGCAUAUAGAUUAUCUAGGCGUUUAUUAUAGUUUUUUUUUUUAAAUGGAAGAUGUUUUUGCUAUAAAAAGAAAGAAAGAAAGAAAGAAAGAAAAUUAAAAAAAGAAACAAAAAAGUUGUGGCCAGUGAUCUAAAUGUGACUAGCCAAGCCUAGGAGGUCAGAUUGGAAUUAAAAUGACAAAUUGGGGCCACAAUGCAAUUUCCAAAAGUUGAGAGACCAAUUGCAAAUUUUGCAAAAUCCUGAGCCCUUAAAUCGUCAUCCUGGCCCCCAAUUGAGUUGAAAUUGAACUUGGGUCAGGUCUUAUUACUCGAAUCGGGCAAAAAGGACCAAAUUCAUUGAAUUAGGCAUUCUCGAGCAAGAAAAUGACUAACUUUGAGGGACUCUCUUGCAAAAUUGGGUGCAGAUAAUUGCGAAAAAUGGUUAAGAUUUUAAACUACUAUACAUGAGCUUGCUAAUUGAUCAAAAAUUGAAGCCAAACUGAUGGAUUAAAGCACUCAAACUAGCUACCAAAACCAACCCAUAGUUAGGUCUCAAUUUGAAGCUGCUAAGUAAGCAAAUUGGUGGUCCCAUCAUUUCAUACAGCAUCCUAAUCAGCCUAAUCUUUGCACUUGAUAGAAGAACAUAAUUAGUAGUGCAAGUGGACAAAAAUUGGCUAGGGAUAAACUGUUGAAAGCACGGGAAAAUCGCAGCAAAAUCCGCACACUCAACAGCUGCAAAAGUUGAAAAAAUUGGCUAAGUCAGAAAGUGGGUGAACUAGCUCAAUUGGCAAGCUUGGUAGGUGGACAAAAGACCGACCAAAAAUCUCUUAAUUCAGGGGAUAAUAUCACUAAAGCAAGCUCUUUUGAGGGAUGAAAGGUAGGAGACAAGGAGGAGAGGAGAGAGCUCACAAUUGUUCCCCAAAGACACCCCCAGAAGCAACUCCAGAAAAGCAAAAACCCAGAUAUUCCAGACCGACCUCAACAAAGAAAAGUGAAAUUUUCACAAACUUGUAGCCAAAAUUAGUCAAAACCUUAAACUAGAGAGUGAAACUUUACUCAAAGAUAUUUCCAACCAUAGGUUGCACGUCCAAAAUGGAGAUCGGGAAGGUCUCCUAAAGCCCCCCGAAAUACACCCUCCUGGCGGGUCAAGAAAUACUGAACUUUUCUAAGUGUUAAGCACAGUUGGUCACGGGUAAGGGAAAGCAACUGCUUUUGAGAAAAUUGAGAGACAAAUGGGGAAAACCAUGAGUUUUAACCCAAACUAUGAUAUGUAUAGUUUUGUUUGGUGUUCAGUUUUCCAACAAAAAAAGUCGUGGAGUCUGGUUUUGCGAACCAACAAAAACCUUUGUUAUCAGUUCUUUUUUUGCAGAUCUCAUUUUUCAGUUGAAGAAGCCAACUUCCACGGGCCCCCGAGGAUAAUUUCUCGGUUUCCUUGGCCAAGAGCCACUUGAAAAUGAAACUAGGAAGCAAAGUAAGAAUCCUAGAUGUAUUUUUGGUCAAUUUUGAACUUGUUUCAACCAUGAAAAAUCAAGAGGAAAACCAGUUCAGAAAAUUGAUUUUCGAGGCUAGAAUUUUCCUAGUGUUAAAAUCUCUUUAAGAGUCUUGCAUGCUUGAUUUGUUAUGUCUAUUUUCGUGCAUUACUUGUUUUCAUGAGCUUGAUGAAUGUUAUAUGGGAGUACCAAUGAUGCCGAGGUCAGCUUGGUUUGGUCUCUAAAUUCCCGUGUGAACCAUGAGAUUAUCUAAAACUUGAAAAAACCAAGCAUAUCCACAUUUAUUCAUGGCUAGUCAGUGUGGACUUUGCAUGUGUGCUUCUUGGAGAGGUCAUUUCGAUAUAUUUGAUUGAUCAUUCUCUAUGAUGUUUAUUGUGAAAGUCUAUGUUACCUACUUUCCCUUGGAUCAAGUAAUGUUUCUCUUAGAUCUCGUACGUGGUGAGUGUCGGGGCUUGAAUUCGGGCAUGCAACAUGUUUGCUUGAUUUGGGUUCAAACCCAGAUUUGCAAAAUCAGCUCAAACCGCAUAUUUGAGAUCGAUUUCCGCAUGGUUCUUGUGUGUUUUAGGCCAUGAUUUCUAUAUAAUCUUGCUCUUUGCAUGUGGUAGUAUAACCUUGAUAUUUUAGUUCCACGUGAGAUUGCUUAUGGGUUGAGACUGAAGGCUGCAAACAUGGCCUAAGGAAGUUGCUUUGGGGUGAUUUGUUGUACGCUAAGUGUUCGACGAAAUGCGCAAACCAAGUUUAGAUCUUAAAACAGUUGAUUUGAGCUCGGUUUUUGUUAUAUUCAUGUACUGGGCAAUUCUAUAUUAGUGUAAAUCAGCAUAUAUCGGUUUAGGGAAUUAUUUUUAAAUAAAAAUUAAAAAAAUAUGAAAAUUUCAAAGAAAAAAUGAUAAAAAAGAUGGAUGGUAUCAAAUUAUGAUAGAAAUGACAUCUAUGAGAUUUUCCUAAUUUUAAAAGGUCAUUUUCCUAAUUUAAUGCUAUUUUGGUAUUUUAUAACUAUUUUUGUAAAUAAUCCAUUUUGCGUAGAUUAAAAUUAUUUAGAGUAAUUUCAUGCAUAUUUUAAUCCUCAUUUCGCUCAUGGGGGUCCUGUCCCGGGGCGUGAUAAUAAGGCCAUGUAAUGUUAUUUGCCAAACUUAUAUCGGGUCUUUCUUUUCCGCAUUACUUGCAAGUCAUUUCAAUUUCUUAGAUGUUUAUUUGCUGCACCACUUUUUAAUAAUUUGAAUGUAAAUUUCUUUUCUAAAUUAUGUUAGGAUUAGUCUAGACAUUAAAAAAAAAAACCUACAAAAAUAUUUGCAUGGACACUUAUUGGUUUCAUAAAAAUUAUAAUUGGCAAUUAAGAUUGUGUGGUCAUUUAGAUAAACAACAUUUCAAAUUAGUGGUACCACAAGGGUGCUAAUGGAAACAUUGGUGUAAACAAGUCCCCGUUCCUAGAAAUCUUUGCUUGCGUAGGAAUCGAGACAACACUUCCAUGUCUCGACUGGUUUCUAUCUGAUCAUAAUAGGCUAGUGGCGACUCCUAGAAAUAUUUAGGUUGUUAAGAAUUGAAAUAUGAAAUCCAACAUCACGUGAGGUAUGGGCUUGGGAGAGCCCGCGCCUAAUUUAGGGCCGUUGGUCCACCUCUUUAGACAAAUACCCCUAAACCCUCUUCCUUUUCCCCCAAACGGAAAAAAGAGAGGUCGCGACAAGCACUAAAGUGCACUUCAAGAGCAGCCAACUUGAGCAUUAUUGCUUCUACUUUAUUAGUUCCCUGGUAGCAAAUAUAAGAGUAGACGAGUUAAGUCUUUACGUUAUGCAGGGAUUGCUAGUAAUAAAUAGAUUUGGUGUGCUUAUGCUUCAGGCGCCUUUUGUUCUUAGCUUUCAGAAUUUGCUUUUACUUUAGCAUUUGACCCAUGUGUUUUAUAAACACCUCAAAUCUUAAAAAACCACAGUAUUUAAGUUUUGCAGAUUUUGUCAUAAUUUACUUUAUGAGGAGAGGUCAAUAGUACAAACCUUACAUCUCAGGGUUGGAUAUGGAAAAAGUGAAUCUUAUGGAACCAUUGGGCCAUUAUCUUUACUUAGCAGAAAAAUAUUCACUCUUUUCUAGUAGAAGGCCAAAAGUACUUUGUAAGAGGCCGUAACACUACCAAACAGGCAUUCAUAUUGUCAAAAACAAAAGAUCAAGAUUGAAUGUAUUACUGUGCCAUUUGUUAGAACAUGAAGCACGUCAUUAUAGAACCACAAUCUGCUGCGCUCCCCUGUCUCUCUGGGAGAUUCCCUCUGCACAAUUUCUCUUCCCAUUUCUUGAAUCAUAUCAUGCAUCUCCAGCUUGCCAUGCUCAAUAGUGAUAAGUGACUUAUCUAUAAGAACAUCAAUUCCGCCAUCCAGAUGGAUACACAGCUCUCAAAAUUUCUCUCGUAUGACUUAUACUCUCUCCCUUGAAGAAACAUGCUAUGCCAAGAAAAAUAUCCUUCUCAUAAUCAUCUAAAAUAUCAAAGCUCAUUAUCAACACACCAAAGAUUUCUCCAUUGAAAACUCUCUUCAAUUCAUCUAAUGUGUUUUUCCAUUGGAAAGAGCUUUUACCUCGAAGAAAAGAACCCAAAACUUUAAUAGCUAAUGGAAGACUCUUGGUGUAAAGCACCACGCUAUAUGAAAACUCUUCAUAAUCAGGAGAGGAGAAAUAUCCUCAAAAGCAAUUGAAUUGGAGACAAUACAAGCCAUUAAAAGAUCUAAUGGUUGAACCUUUUAUAUACUAUGUACGCCAUGAGCAACCAGAAAAUGUUCAUCUCUAGUCGUUAUGAUGAUUCUACUUCCACAAUCAAACCAAUAAUGUCCUCCAACUAAUGUUUCCAAUUGGAUCAACUGGUUCAUAUCGUCAAUGAAAAUGUGGACCUAUUGUUUAGCAUGCUUGUACCUCUGUGGACAUUGCCAAGCUUCAGAUGAUCAUCCCAUGUUACCUGAGAAAUAAGUGUCUCUUGAAGCUGAGUAGGUCGUCUGCAGAUUUUUUGCAAGUCUCUCUAACAUUGGAAAGAAAGCUGCAACACUCAAAUUUGUGAAAAAAAAAAAAAUUAUAAGUAGCUUUGGUGAUAGUAGUCUUCCCUACUCCUCCAAAUCCACAAAUUCCGACCAUGCGAACCUCGUUUGAUUCCAUGUCUAGCAAAGUAUGCAUAUGGGACACAUGUGAAUCCAUGGCAACAACGUUUUCAGGGACAGGUAAUUGAUCGCGAAUCAGCUCAGCCCAUAUACUCUUGACAAUGCUGUGAAUGACAUUAGACUCCCGCCUGGUGGAUUCAAAGCAUAGAGCCAAUGGAGAAUACUUUAGGAGAUUCAAAGAUGCUUGAUACAAUGAGUACUAAGUUGAUCUCCAAUAAGAUCGAGCAGCAGUCAAUUUCUCAAAUACUAAGGACCAGAUUAUUGUUCAGUUUCUAGCAAUUAUCAGAUACCUGAAAAAGAAGGUAUAGGAAUCAACUUUCUGAAUACCUAAUUAAUCAGAUAAAAAUUCAGUCAGCCUUAAGUUCAAUCAUAUACAGAUCACUCCUAAGACAACGAAAAAAUUCCCUAAUUUUUCCUUUUCCUCCUUUUAAUGGGCUUGUAGAGGGACAUGGUCCACCUGCAUGUUUAUUUACUCAGAGCAGGACUUUCUUGUCAAGAAGCAGUAGAAAGGACUAAAUGAUAGCCUUACCGUUCAACCAAAUGCCAUCCAGAGAUGUUAGCUGCCGUAGUCAGUGCUUCUCUCCACCUCUUCACCUUCUCCAAAUCGCCACCGUUCGACUUCAACCUCUCCUCGUGAUUGAUUUAGGGCUCGUCCGUACCUCCUCCUCUGCCUCCUCACCUCCGACGGAUCCACCUUACAGAACACCGGCCACACGAUCUGCCUCAUCGUAUCCCUGCACUACACGAUUCUCACCAGCUCGUCCAAGCACCAGCCAGAGGACGCGUAGUCCUCCGAGAACAGGACAAUCGAGAUCCUCGAUUCCCCGAUGGCUUUGAGGAUCGCCGGCAUGAUCUCCUCGCCCUUCCGGAGCUCCUCAUCAUCCAUGAACGUGUCAGUCCUGUUAAAUCAUGUCUCAAGUUUGAGUCCAUAUAUGAUGCCCGAUACGUGCAAAACAUUUUCGUGCCGAAACGAGAAAGAACGUGCGUGGAGCAUUUGAUGAAAAAUGGCGCAGGAUAGGAGCCGAAAGGAUCCCGCCCUCAGCUGCGCUUCACGUUGGAAAUGAAGGCCAAAAAUCCAUGUGUUGAUUUUUGUGGCCCUUCUCAUUUGUCAGCAUGAAAUCUUUCCGAAGGGUUGAUCGUCCGAAUUUCUUCUACGUCAUUAAAUGCACGCACAUGGCCAUGUGCAUGCAUGCACGUAGAAAACUUGGUCAACAUUUGCUGCCUCGGAAGCCUAUCAUGUGGGCGCCGAAUCCUUCUCUCUUCUUGGUCAUCUUUUGUGGACUUCUUUCGUCUUGUUGCGGAUAAAGAAAGAGGGAAGACAGAAGCUAUUCUACGUGUGUCAGUGCAUGCAUGGUCAUACGCUUGCUUCUCUCCAUAAACAAGAAAUUCGAAGACGGCCGCCCACCUCAGUUCACGAUUAUCUUCAAGGAUCAUAGGCGCACGUUUGUUGACUCUCUUCUGCCUCAUUAAAUGCAUGCCCAUGCACAUGCACGAUCUGCAUGCAUGCCUACAAAUAAGGUGGGCGUUUGGUGCCGAUUGUGGGCUUGUCUUGUGGGCGCCUGCGCUGCAUUUAAUGAGGCCAUUUAUUUUCAUUUUUGUCCUAUCUUUCUGCCCUCCUCGCUAAAAGGAGAAAGACGUCUGGAGCUCGGUAGAGAGCGAAAGGAAAAGAGCUCGAGAGACCGAGAGCAAGAGACGUGAGCUCAGAGAGAUUCGUGCAGAGUUGAGUCCAUUGAGUUGUUUUGUUAAACACCGUGGAUAUCGGGUAUAAAGUAAAGCUGGAAAACACUUGAGUGAAUGUGUAAUUGCAAUCCUGUAAUUCUCCAAUUUAUAGUGGAUUGAUUUGCUGGCUCUCCCCGUGGACGUAGAUUUCGACAUUCAGGAACCACGUAAAUUUCUGGUGUCUUUUUUUUUUCUUUUAUUGUUUCUCGUUUUAUUUUGAUCGAUUCCUAUAGCUCUCGACAUAAUUGCAAAAUUCCGAUCUGCUUCCGCUGCGAUGCCGUUUUCAACAAGUCCCUCCCUGGUUCAGCGUCGCAUGGAGGUGGCCAGCGAAGUUGCUGUGCGUGUCCACGCCACGGAAGCUCUGGAACACGUCGUAUCUAUACGGACGGCCAGACGCUCUGACGGCGGCUUUGAAAUUCGCCUGCAUGAUCAUCUCUACGGCCUUCUUGAGCUCCUCGUCGUCCAUGAACGCGGCUAUCCAUGCAGGGUCCUUGAAAGAGGAGCUCAGUAACACAUCGUUUUUGUCUAGAUCGUCCCAAGGCAUCUUGGUACAAGCGGUAGCGCCCUCGGUUAAGACAGUGGAGUCGUCCUCAUCAAAGUAGCUCAGUGACACUUCUUCUUCGUCAAGAUCGCCGGAGCGGUUUGGGAUCCAAGAGGUUAUCUCCUUCCAUCGGACUAGCGACUUGACCGGGAAUGGCCUCGCCUGUUGGACUGAAACUGGUUGAUUUACGGCCGGCCAUCUCUCAAUGGAAUGUAUCAGUGUAGGGAACCGUGGAACUGGAAGCAAAGUAAGACUCGUUAGGGAUUUAUACAUGUGCCCAGCAGGAAAUUGACAGUUAAAUAGACAUUUUUUUAUUUUUUAUAAAUGCCCUGUCAUAAAGAAGGCGUAACAUGGAACGUAUCAGUGCACGGAACCAUAGGGAAAUAUAAUAUCUAUUUGGGUAUAUGCUCGAAUGAUCCAAGAGCGGAGUAAAGAUAGAGCGUGCGUUUGUCCCACGAAAAAUUUAAUAAUAGAUUUUUUUUUUUCUAUGACUAGUUUUUCUUUGUUUUAUUCGGUGAUAUAUAAUCAAAAACGCUUUCGGAAGUUUGGAUCUCAUUGGAAAAUAUUUUCAAUCUCAUGACUUUAUUUUAAGAGAAAAACUCAUUUUUUAAAUUUAUUUUAUUUGUUUAAAAUUGAAUUUUUAAUUAUUUUAAUUUUAUGUUUUCUCUUUUUUCUUUUCUUUCCUUAUAAAAAAAUGGGUUAAUACCCUGAAAAACUCAAAACUGAUACACCUGUAACAAAUUUACCUCAAACUAUUUUUUUGACCAUGAAAAACCUCAAACUGGUACUUAUGUGACAAAUUUACUCCGACUAACUAUAAAAAAUUCUAAACUAGUACAUUUAUGAUAAAUUUACCCCAAAAAUAAUUUAUUCGACCGUAAAAAGUCCCAAACUGGUAAAUUUGUGACGAAUAUACCCUAUGCUAAAUUGGAUUAAUACUACAAAAAAAAAAAUUGUAAACUAUGACAAACAGAACGUAAAAUCCCAAAUUGGUAUAUUAGUCAAUUGUUACGUGUCAUUUAACUUAAUAAUUUGACAAUAAAAUUUAACGAAAAUUAACAGAGGGUAAAUUUGUCAUAAGUGUACCAGUUUGGGGUAAAUUUGUCAAAUGUUUACCAGUUUAGAAUUUUUGGUGGUCAAAAAAAUAGUUUGGGGUAAAUUUGUCACUAGUGUACCAGUUUGGGAUUUUUCAGGGUAUUAUUAACCCUUUUAAGAGGUUUAACUUAUUUUACAAUAUUUCAAUUGGGUUACAUGAUGUUAGCUCUAGGUAUGGGAUCUUCUCAAGUGGCUUGAAUAUUUUAUAAAACUCUUAAAUCCCCGAAUUUGGUCAAAAAUAAGGUAUUUGUCCUUUUCCUUUUGUAUAAAAAAAAUGUAAAAGAAAAUUCAUUAGAAGUGUGAUUAUUAAGUUUUUUGAUUUUCAAAUUAGUGAUAAGGGCAUUUUUGUGACGUCCUCAGCAUGUCAUGGCUAACGUAGUCAUCCAAUUAUUCCCAUUUUUUAAGCACGCGGAAGUGUCUUUAUACCAGUAAUAAUCGAAAACAUGGGAAACUUAAAGAACGCAUGCGUAAUGUAAACCAAGCUAACACAUUUCAUUCCUUAUUUAUUUACUUUAGGUGACAUGAUUAGUGUAUUGGGAAUUUUAAAAAAAAAGGGGUUAUCCCAAAAUACAUCAUACCCCCAUGGUACUAUCUCGACCUUGUAACUGCUUGUACAUGUCUCGCCACCUAUCUUUCGAUGCUAGCACGUCCAAAAGUUGUCGCUUGGAUCCAAAAUGUGGCUUCACCUUCCUACUCUUGCCCUAGUCGACCGUACUACUACCAUUGUCAUCUCUAUCAUCCCCGGGGUGUGGGAUUGGCCCCACGAGUUGUCCUCCUCCUCGCGUGCAGACUAUGAGGAAACCCAUGAGUACAAAACUUGCUGGGACCCCUAUGUCUAUGGUCAAAAUGGCGAUGCACCAGAUGAAGGCAAUGUCCAAAAAAUCCGGAUCCAUGAAGUCAGAAAAACGCUAGGUGAGGUCCACGGGUACCCCAUAGCUAAUGGAAGUUCAAGAAGGAAGGAUCAACAUAAUUACUAUUGAUAUGAAAAAGUAAAAUCAAUAACCGGUGAGUCUAAACCCAGCAAAUAGAAAGUCCACCGGUCUAUAUUACAUAAACCAAUCGAUGUAUUGACAAGGAAAGCCUCAAUAUAAAGAAUAUGGAAUCAUUUUCAAAUCAACUUGCUUGAGAACUUUUUUCAAAAUCAACCUAGCGGAUCAAUAAGAUAAGUAACUUUUCCAAACAAGUAAUCAGUAACUCAAAUGGGAUUUAAAGAAACUAAGACUAUAUUCAAUAUGAAUUCAUGUCGCCACCAUUCUCCAGGAACCCCGUUAUCCCCCAGGCAUCUCGCACCCAUCCAACAUCGCGAGGAUAUCUGGGAAAAUUGUGUUACACCCUACAAGUAUAUGGAGGGACUCAGUUACCCCUAGAGGCAUCCCUAAUACAAGUCAGGGUAUCGUCAUCCCAAGGAUUGAUGGUAUUCUCAAUCAUACAUCCAUACCAUGACACAACAAUUCCAUAAUUCAAUUUACAAGGCAUUGACGUUAUUACUACCAAGGAAACUCAAGAGUGAAUCCAAUGAAUCCUUAGUCAUUUAUACUCCCCCCUACACUAAUAUACACUCAAUUAGGGGUGUCAAAAACCGAACCGAACAGAACCGAAAAAGUUGGUUUUUUCAGUUCGGUUCUCCUUAAAAAUCGAAAUUAUCGGUUCGGUUUUUAUCGGUUAACCGAACCGAACCGAACCAACAAACCGAUAAGAGCUUAUUUCUUGAAAAUGAAAAAUAUAUACAACAGAAAAAAAUGAAAAAAAAAACAAAUGCAAAAUGUUGAAAACCAAAAACCGAAAAACCGAAUCGAACCGAACCGAACUGAAAUUUCGGUUGGGUUCACAUUCACUUCGGGUCUCAUUCGGUUUGGUUCGGAAGUUUUUCCUAACGGUUUAGUUUUGUUCCAUUUUUCAAAAAAACCGAACCGAACCAAACUGUUGACACCUCUACACUCACUCGUACCUACAUCAAACAAAUAGGAAGAAGGAUUCCAUAUCAUAGUCCCCAAAUUCACCAUAUAAUGGUGUUCUGCAUUCUUUGGAAACAGCAGUGGUUGCUCAAGUAAAUGCAUUUAAAAAAUUAUGAAAUCUUAACAUAAGAUAGACAAGAUCCAAAGGGACUUUUUUCAUGAAGAAAUCGAAGUACAAUUCAUUUUAUACGACACUAUAUAAAUUUUUGGAAAACCAAACUAAAACAGUAGGUCUUCUCAUAGAUAAUAGGAUUAAAAAGAACAUUGUUUCUCUGACUAAACGAUUUCAAAAAAUUCUGAAUUUUUUAUAUGUGAUAGUUUGGGAUGUACUCUACAAAUUUCAUGAGGACACUUAUUAAAAUUCUUGCUCGAAAAUUCUGUGGAAAAUGGAAGGUAGAGGAAGGUCGGUUUUGUGUCCGUGAAAAGAGAUCCUGUACUUAAUUGUUUUUUCAAAUAUAUGUUUGUCAUACAAACUCCAAAAAAUCUGAAUUUAAAGUAUGUUGUAGAAAAGCCAAUGAGGGAUGACUUUUGUGAAGGACAUCCUGUGGAAUUCGUAUCACACAAGUCAAUACAAAAUUAGAAAAAUCAAAGGCCUUGCAGGAACCAACCUGACUUAGACCCCUUCACUAAUUUAACUCAGGUUUUUGGCAUUUCCAGCCCUAGCAUACACUAGACAUCAAUAGACCAUACUCCUAUGAUCCAACCACGAACUCAAUAUUUUAGCUAGGUAAUUUGGUCGAAACUUCCAACUAGACAGGAAUCUAAGCAACGUUUAUGGAAAUUUCUAGGAAACGAAUCUCGCCAAACAUAAUUGAUCAACAUAGGAUAGAACGGAGGAUAUCCACUUGCCUUGGGUCCUAAAGGGUUGUGGUCGCGGCUCGCGGGGCAAGGGCAUGGCGGUACAUGCGACAGCUUGGGUGAGGCGUCCCUGAUGUCGACUUGAAAUGCUGAGGUUGCUUCUGGCUCACACGGAUGAAAGCUGAAGAGGGAAGUGGGAAGCUUGCUCACUGACUUUGGUGUUUGUGGUAGAGGAAGUUUGCGAUGUGUUGGAGAAAUCCUUUUGAAGUGUUUUAAAGUUGACAAAACGUUUCCAUCAGUCUAGUUUGAAGGCUUGCAGACUCUACUAUUUAAAGUCUGAAGACCUCCGGACAGCCAGACUCAAGACUCAAAGUCUAUCCUCAUUGACAGUUUCUAAUCCGUUGAAGAAAGGCUAUCCAGAACUGGAUGUUUCAUUAAGGAUGUGGCCUUAUCGACUGGAGAAGAUCUCUUGGCUAGAUAUGACAUAACGGAAUCCUUCAUUUGAUCAUAAUUGAUUUGAAGAUUAAGGAUCCGAUGAUUGGCAAAGUACACUUGGAAGGUUCUACUUAUGGAAACCAAGAUCCUGAUUGUAUGGGCGAACAUGAUUGAUGGGCUAUCGACAUGUUUCUUUAAUAGCUCGAAUGAUCUUUCUAAUUGAUUCCGUCCAACGGGUAGAUUGGAGGAAUUCCUUUGGUAAGUGCCAACGGGUAUGAUGGCAUGAAUGAGUAUAUAAGGAAGACGUUCCAGUUGUUCGAGAGGGUGCUCGAUAGAAGAAUUCCAAAGUUUGAAGCUCCUUGUUCCUAGUCAAUUCAUUUGUUGAGCAAAAUCGUGUAAACAAAAGAGAGUCUAUAUUCGUGAGAAACCUUGAGGAAGUGUGGUAGAACAUCUACACUGUAGAAUCAAGGAAAAUCUGUGCUGUAACUUCUCUUUUGUUCAUAGUGAAAUCCAGCCAGUGGGCUGUCAGUGCGGAAGAGUGGACGUAGGCUUGGAAUAAGCCGAACUACUAUAAAUCUUGUGUUCAUUUCUCUCUUCCCUAUCAUUUACUUUACUUUGAUCGUAUUUUCCUUUCUAUCGAUUGCCUAAAAUUGCUUCCGUAUCUCGAGAAUUUGUUUGUUCACCUAUUCACCCCUCUCUAGGUGCUUAUACUAGCUAUCUCAAUUGGUAUCAGAACCUGUGUACUCACUUUUGUUGAAGUGUUUUACUUCAGAGUUAAAGAUCCAUGGCUAGUAUGUUGGCUCCAGGACUGGUAGAAGGGCAAAGCAAUACUAGACCACCUUACUUUGAUGGAAAUGAUUACAAUAUAUGGAAAAACAAGAUGAAAACAUUCAUAAGAUCAAAGGAUCCUCUGGAAUGGGACGUUGUAGAAAAAUGAAUCAUUUUUAAAGCUGCAUCUGUCUCAGAAAGAGGAAAAUAUGUUGUUGAGUCUAGCGAAAUGACUCAGGAAGAGAAAAUCAAGAGACAAGCUCUUGAUGCAAAAGAAAUUUAUUCUUUAUAUUGUGCUUUAUCCCCUACUGAAUAUAAUAAAAUAUCUUCUUGUGUUACAGCUAAAGAAGUCUGGGAUAGAUUACAUAUUACCUAUGAAGGAACCGAUCGAGUGAAAGAGACUAGAAUCAACAUUCUCCUCGGUUAAUAUGAAGCCUUCAAAAUGAAACCAGGAGAAUCUAUAACGGAUAUGUUCAGUCGCUUUACUGAAAUCGUGAAUGGUCUUGAAAAUCAAGGUCAACCAAUUUCUGAUCCCAUGAAAGUAAACAAGCUACUACAUGGACUCUCUAAGGAUUGGAAUCACAUAAAGACCUCAAUUAGAGAGACCUAAAGAAUCAUGCCACUAUCUGUUGAUGAGUUGGUUGGAACUCUUUAGUCUUAUGAAGUGGAACGAAUCAAUGAAGACGAAGACCUUAAAGGUAAGAAAUCCAUUGCGUUAAAAUCUAAUGAUAAUUCUGAUAUUACAGAUUCUGAAGAUGAUAUGGAUAAUGAGGAACUUGCUCUCAUGAUAAGAAGAUUCAGAAAGCUAAAUAGAAAAGGAAGAAGAUUCAAUCCAAAGAAACAAAGUUUUCAAAAGCAACAGACUAAGUCUGUUGAGGAUGAUGAAUCAAACAAAGAUGUAGUCUGCUUUGAAUGUAAGAAAAAGGGACACAUCAGACUCAACUGUCCUCUUCUGAGGAAGAAGAAAGGAAAAAAUGAAAAGUACCGAAAAUCUUUUAAAGCUGAAACCUGGAGUGAUACCGAGUGUGAAGAAAGUGAUGAUGAUUAUGCCAAUAUAUGUUUGAUGACACAAUCGGAUUCAGAUUCAAAUUUCGAGACAGAUUCAGACUCAGAAAGCAAAUUUGAGGUAAGUAACUUCAAAAUCUCUAUUAAGGUUUCAAAGUAUAUUAAUGAUUUGUGUUUCAGUCUUAAGACUUCUCUUAAAAGAAUUUCCGAACUCAAGAAAGAAAAUUCUGCUCUAAAAUAACAGGAAAAUAUUUUGAAAGAAAAAGUGAAAAGUUUAGACAAGAAUGCUUAUUCUCUUAAAGAAAGUGAAGAUAAUUUGUUAAAAGAAAAUGCAUUCUUGAAAAGAGAUAUUUCAAAUAUUUCCAAAAGAUUUUCUUUAGGAUAUGAGAAACUGAAAAAAAUUCUUUCGGUUCAAAGACCUUAUUUUAAUAAAUCUGGUUUGGGAAUGACUGAUGAAAACAUUCAUUUAAUUGAUUUUCCUAAGGUGAAGGAAAGAAUCAAACAAAGACCCACAAGAGAUGCUUACAAAAAUCAUUUUAAAAGAAUCUUUGUAAAACCAGUAGGUCGCAAUGCUCUCAGAUGCUUAAAGUGCAAUAGUGCAGAUCAUUUUGAAAAAGAAUGUCCUAUGAUUUGGAAACCUGUUAAAAAGGUAUGGGCAAAAACCACAUAUCAUACUAACACCAAUGGACCCAAGAAAAUAUGAGUACCAAAGAAGGUUUGAGUUUCUUUUUUAAAUGUAGGUCACUAUCAAGAAAAAGGUAAAAUGGUAUCUGGAUAGUGGAUGCUCAAGACACAUGACAGGAGACUCAAAUUACUUCAUAAAGCUUGCUCGAGUAAAUGGUGGAAAAGUUUCUUUUGGAGGAAACAACAAAGGAAAAAUUGUGGGAUUUGGAACUGUAAAGAUUGGAAAUCUCAAAAUCAGCAAUGUUUCCUUAGUGGAAGGGCUCAAUUACAAUUUGCUCAGUAUUAGUUAGCUAUGUGAUACUGGUUUCAAAAUCAACUUUCAAGAGGGAAUAUGUUCUGGAAUUAGUAAAGAUUCUACUCAGUCAUUCAUGGGCCGAAGACAUGGAAAUAUUUACCUCUUGGAUGUGAAACUAGAUGAAUCACAAUGUCUAAUCUCAAUCCAAGACGAAGCAAACUUAUGGCACAGAAAGCUUGAGUACGUCAAUAUGAAGCAAAUAGCCAAAAUCUCAGCAAAGAAGCUUGUUCGUGGUCUACCCAAUUUAUCAUACCAAAAGUCUGAUCUAUGUACACCAUGUAUAUUGGGAAAAUAGGUAAGAAAUUCCUUUAAACCAAUAAAUCAAGUUUCCACUAACCGUAUACUGCAGCUUCUGCAUAUGGAUCUAUUUGGACCAACCAGAACACAAAGCAUUGGAGGUAAGAAAUACUGCAUAGUAAUUAUGGAUGAUUACUCACGAUUUACUUGGGUAUAUUUCUUGGCAAGUAAGUCUGAAACUUUCUCUUGCUUUGAAAAGUUUGCUAAAAAGGUUCAAAAUGAAAAAAUGGUAUGUUAUCUCAAGUAUAAGAAUAGAUCAUGGAGGUGAAUUUGAAAAUCAUGAUUUUACAAAGUUCUAUGAUGAAUUUGGUCUUCAGCAUGUAUUCUUUUCUCCAUAUACUCUAUAGCAAAAUGGAGUUGUGGAAAGAAAUAAUAGAUCUCUUCAAGAAAUGGCUAGAACCUUUUAAUUGAAAGUAACAUCUCUUCACGUUUUUGGGCUGAAGCAGUUUCUACAGCAUGUUACAUUAUAAAUAGAGUCUUUCUAAGGCUUAUUCUGGAAAAAAACCCUAUGAACUAUUCAAAUAAAAGAAGCCUAUUGUUUCAUAUUUUCAUGUAUUUGGAUGCAAAUGUUUUAUACUAAAAAAUGCAAAUGAUCGAGUUGGUAAGUUUGAAGAAAAGUCAGAUGAAGGCAUCUUCCUUGGAUAUUCAACCACAAGCAAAGCAUACAGAGUCUACAACAAGAAGACUCAAACGGUGGAAGAGUCAAUGAAUGUUAAAUUCCAAGACUCUAUGCAAAAUGAAUCCAUUCAGACUCAUCUUGAAGAAUCUGAACCUGCUCCAGACUCUACAAAAUCUAAAAUAGCUCAGACUUUGAAAGACCAGCAACAAGUGACUGUUGAAGAUUCAAGUGAAGGAAGUGACCAUCAAUCUGACAAAUUAACCAGCAACUGGAAACAUAAGUCCAGUCAUCUCAAAGAUCUUAUUAUUGGCGAUAUCAAUGAAGGAAUUCGCACAAGAUCCAAAAGGCGCGAAGAGUCUAGUGUUGUGGCUCUUAUUUUUUAAAUAGAACCCAAAAGCAUAGAAGAAGCUUUAUUUGAUGAAAGCUGGAUUGAAGCUAUGCAAGAAGAGCUCAGGCAAUUCAAUAUUAAUGAUGUCUGGGAAUUAACUCUUAAACCAAAAGGUAAGUCUGUUAUUUGAGCUAAAUGGGUUUUCAGGAACAAGAUAAACGAAAAAGGAAAAGUCAUAAGAAACAAGGUAAGACUCGUGGCCAAGGGAUACACACAAGAAGAAGGGAUAGACUAUGAUGGGACCUACGCACCGAUAGCAAGGUUAGAAGCAAUUCGAUUAUUACUUGCUUUUGCUUGUUAUAAGAAUUUUAGGUUAUUCCAAAUGGAUGUCAAAAGUGUCUUCCUAAAUGGAUUCAUCCAAGAGGAAGUCUAUGUGGAACAACCACCUGGGUUUGAAGACCCAAGGAAACCAGAUUCAGUAUUCAGACUCAAAAAGGCUUUAUACGGCUUGAAACAUGCUCCUCGAGCUUGGUACGACAGACUGAGUAAGUUUUUAAUUGAAAAUGGAUUUGUUAAAGGUAAAGUAGAUACUACUCUUUUCAUUAAAAGAGAAAGCAUGAGUUUUCUACUUGUUCAAAUAUAUGUCGAUGACAUUAUUUUUGGAUCAUCUAAUGAAAGUCUGUGCAAGAAAUUCUCUAAGACUAUGCAGGAUGAAUUUGAAUGAGCAUGAUGGGUGAACUAACCUUCUUUCUUGGACUUCAAGUAAAACAAUUGAAGGAAGGAACUUUUAUUCAUCAAGAAAAAUAUGCUAAUGAUAUUGUGAAGAAGUUUGGACUGGUCAAUUGCAAAAAGGCCGAUAUACCAAUGUCAAGCUUCGUAAAGAUAGAUAAAGAUGAAGGAGGAAAGAAAGUCGACUAAAAGUUAUACAGGAGUAUCAUCGGUUCACUUCUUUAUCUUACUGCUUCUAGACCUAACAUUUUGUUUAGUGUUUGCAUUUACGCCAGAUUUCAAGCAGACCCUAAAGAAUCACACUUAAAUGCUGCAAAGCGUAUUAUCAAAUAUAUUGCAUCAACUUCAAGCUUCGGUCUCUGGUAUCCUAAAAGGGGAGACUUUACUCUUCUUGGGUACUCAGAUGCAGACUUAGUCGGAUGCAGAGUUGAUAGAAAGAGCACCUCAGGUACCUGUCAACUACUUGGAGGCAAGACAGUGUCUUGGUUUUCAAGAAAGCAAAGUACAAUAGCUCUCUCUACAGCAGAAGCAGAAUAUGUAGCUUUUGGAAGUUGCUGUUCAUAAAUUCUGUGGAUAAAACAACAGCUAAGAGACUUCGGAAUUGAAGAUUCAUGCAUGGAGAUAAAAUGUGACAACACCAGCGCAAUAAAUCUCACUAAAAAUCCAAUUCUUCACUCAAGAGCAAAGCAUAUAGAGAUACGACAUCACUUCAUUAGAGAUCAUGUUCAAAAUGAAGAAAUUAUGAUUCAGUUUGUUGACUCAAAGAACCAACUGGCGGAUAUAUUUACAAAGCCUUUGGAGAAAAAUCAAUUUGAAAUUAUCUGUUCCAGACUCAACAUUUUGAGGUUUGAAGAAGUUAAAGUCUAGAGACUCUUAGACUCAAACAAGCAAGACUUUGACUGCAAGACUUUGACUGUAAGUUAUUCUCUCUCUCUAAUCUCAUCUUAAAAAGGUACGUUCAUCAACCAUGUUGAUUAUUGUUAUCUUAAUCGCUAUCUUUAAUUGACGAAAUUAUUGCAUCGUUUCCUUUAGAAAAAUAAGUUAUUUUGAUGUGACCAUUUUUCGAAAAAGGCAGUUAUUUUUUUUUUUAAAAAAAGGCAUCCUUUCACUUUCCAUUACGACGAUUGGCAUCUCCUCUUUACAACUGUCUUAUAUACAGUCGGUUUCUCCUCGCUUAACUCCAAAACCCUAAAAAGCACCAAUCUUCCAUUCCUGUUUUCUUCUCUUGUUUAAUCUUCGAGAAAGUUUUCAUCUUUCUUGGGAAAGUCAAGCAAGAAAUCUUUCAAAGACUAAGAAAGAUGUCGUCUUCAAUAAAGUCUUCGAGGAUCGCAAGCAGGGGACCACGGCGAAUGAGUGAGGGGCCUACGCACUUCGAUCUCACUGAAGAAGAAGUGUCUCCAAAUCAGCAGCAGAGCCCACAACAUUCUUAGCAGCGUCAUUCUCCUCCAUCUAAUCCUCAAGAUGUUGAUUAUCAUCAAAAUGAAGAAAUCAUUGAAGAUGCAGACCCUGUAAGAGUUCAAAGGCCCUCUUUUAUUUAUAAGCUGUAUCGUGCUUUAAAAGGGACUGGUACUCCAUUGAACUAUGUAGAUGAUUUUCUUAAGGACAAAGGAUAUGGAAAUGAAUAUAUCUUUUUUCGAAAAAUGGAAAGUUUGGGAAUUGCUCGUAAGGGGGUGGCAGAAGAAACCCUUGUGAAUAUCCCAAGUGACCCUCGCGAUUGGGGAUUUAAUCCGGUGGAUGGAAAUGAUGAUGACAAACUAUACAACGAAUUUCAACCAAGAAUGGGAGUUGUGGCAGAAAAUCAAGGAAAAAGGGGAGAGUUGUUUAGAUCGAAGGAACAAAAGGAUCUAUACUCAAAAUUGCUGAAGUGUGGGGUGAUAAACCCUAGGAGUGUGGAUUUUGACUUUCUGGAUGCUAUAAAUGUGAACUUGAGUGAAAAAUUUGGUCAUCUUCAACUUGAGAAAUUCUGCUUUGACUCCACAGAGGCAUAUCCUCAACUAACUGCUUAUUUCUAUUCAAAUCUUAGUUUCUUGGAUUCGAAUAGAUUCUCCUUCAGUGUCAAAGAUCAAGACUUUGUUGUGGAUAUGGAUAUGCUGGCAGAUGCGUUAGGAGUUGAGAGAGGAAGAUAUCAACGGAUCAAAGUUUCUAUUGAUCGUACUACUCUGGAACUUGUUAAGGACAGGAGAACAGAGGGAAAGAUUUCCUAUUCAAGGAUGAGUGCAUUUAACAUCUUACUGCACAAAAUUGUAAUCAAUUGCCUCAGACCGAAAUCAACUUCCAAGACUGAUGUCUCAAGUUCAGAGGCAAAGCUAAUGUAUGCCAUCAUCACUGGGAAAAUGUUUUCACUUCCUCACACUGUUAUGUUCCAUAUGUAUAGAGCUGUGAUGAAGGACAUAUGACAACUUCCUUAUCCAGGUCUUGUGACGAAGUUAUUCAAACAUCUGAAUAUUCAGCCUCCGCAAAUUCUUUGUGCUCGAUUAUGCAAUCAUAUGGUGGUAGGACUGAAAAUGGUGACCAAGAUGCGUCUGAAGGAACUAAGCAAGGCAUUGGAGAAAUUUAAGGAGAAGACUCCAGUCAAAUCUCAUCAAUUCUCUUUUGCAAGAAAAAGGAAAGGGAAGGAGCCCAUGGAUGCUCCAUCUAAGAGAAGAAGAGCUCUCCUCGUUGACGAUGAAGAUGAUGAGGAUAACAUCACUAUCUCUGCAAUGGCUUUGAAGAAUCUCAGUCGAUCUGUUCCAGAGAAAGAGUCAGAACAACAGACAAAAGGAAGAGUAGAGAAAGAAGCAGAGGAAAAAGAAACGGAGGAAAGAGAAGAAGAAGAAGAAGAAGAAGAAGAAAGAGAUGCUGAGCAAGAGAGAGUUGAAAAAGAAGAAGAAGAGAAAAGAGAUCAAGAAGAAGGAGAACAUGAGGAGCACUCUCCACCUGAAGGCAUGAACACAGGGGGAGACCAAGAGAAAAGAGGAAUGACCUCAAAUCCUGCAACCAGUUAGGGAGUCAGUCGAUCCCCAGCAAAUCCAAAGGAGGUUUUUGCCUCUCAGUUUCCUGAGGAAGGUCAUGAGGUUUCCUCGCCAAAUCUGUGUGAUUAUGCUGAUCUACCAUCAUUUGCAUUUACUCCAUCAGAUCGUGCUAAUGCCAGUACACAGACUAACAAUUCAACAGACUUUCGCAGAGUGAUGGAUAUUCUCUUGGAGAUGCAAGGUCAGAUAUAUGCAUUGGGAUGUGAAGUUCAGAACUUGCAGAAUGCAUGACAAGUCUCUUCGGGUUCUUUAAAUGAUCAAAUCCAAGCCCUUUCUCUUCAGAUUCAGGCUAAUGCCAAGGGUGAGGAUGUUGCUCAGCUGAAGGAAGACUUUAAAAGGCUGGAAGGCAUCGUUCAGUCAAUGGGAGAUUUUCAGCUUGUUCGUGUUCCCAAGAAUCCUUGACUUCAUUUUCAUCUCAAUCCUUUUUAUGCUGACAAAAAGGGGGAGAGUUGCGAGACUUGAAAAACUUUGAACUUAAAUUUGUCGAACUUUUGGUUUGUUUUGUGGUUUGUUUUUGACUUGACUUGUGUGUCUGGAUAUGGACUAAAUUUGGGAUUUGGAUUUGACUGCUUAUUAUUAACUACUAUUGAUAUCUUGUGGAUGCCUUUAUUGCAUUUAGCCAUUUAUCUAUAAGAUAUGCAUAUGUGUUUGAGAAAUGUUUUGCAGGUCAAAGUUUUUCAAAUCUGCAGGAAAGUUUUGUCACCAUAAAAAAGGGGGAGAUUGUUGGAGAAAUCCUCUUGAAGUGUUUUGAAGUUGAUAAAACGUUUCCAUCAGUCUAGUCUGAAGGCUUGCAGACUUUGCUAUUUAAAGUCUGAAGACCUCCGGACAGACAGACUCAAGACUCAAAGUCUAUCCUCAUUUACAGUUUCUAAUCCGUUGAAGAAAGGCUAUCCAGAACUUGAUGUUUCAUUAAGGAUGUGGCCUUAUCGACUUGAGAAGAUCUCUUGGCUGAAUAUGACAUAACGGAAUCCUUUAUUUGAUCAUAAUUGAUUUGAAGAUUAAGGAUCCGAUGAUUGGCAAAGUAUACUUGGAAGGUUCUACUUAUGGAAACCGAGAUCCUGAUUGUAUGGGCGAACAUGAUUGAUGGGCUAUCGACCUGUUCCUUUAAUAGCUCGAAUGAUCUUUCUAAUUGAUUCUGUCCAACGGGUAGAUUGGAGGAAUUCCUUUGGUAAGUGCCAAUGGGUAUGAUGGCAUGAAGGAGUAUAUAAGGAAGACGUUCCAGUUGUUCGAGAGGGUGCUCGAUAGAAGAAUUCCAAAGUCUGAAGCUCCUUGUUCCUAGUCAAUUCAUUUGUUGAGCAAAAUCGUGUAAACAAAAGAGAGUCUAUAUUCGUGAGAAACCUUGAGGAAGUGUGAUAGAACAUCUACACUGUAGAAUCAAGGAAAAGCUGUGCUGUAACUUCUCUUUUGUUCAUAGUGAAAUCUAGCCGGUGGGCUGUCAGUGCGGAUGAGUGGACGUAGGCUUGGAAUAAGCCGAACCACUAUAAAUCUUGUGUUCAUUUCUCUCUUCCCUAUCCUUUACUUUACUUUGAUCGUAUUUUCCUUUAUAUCGAUUGCCUAGAAUUGCUUCCGUAUCUCGGGAAUUUGUUUGUUCACCUAUUCACCCCCCUCUAGAUGCUUAUACUAGCUAUCUCACGGUGUAGAUAGAGGGGAAAGCUGCAGUGAAAAUGGAAGAAACAGGAAUAACUUGGGUGUGAAAGCAGGAAGAAAGCGAGCGGUUUUGUCCUUCUCUUUUCCAACUCAGCCUUCACCGUUUCUUUGCUGUUGAGGUGUCGCCGUUUAAAGAGAGCUGUUGAGGAAGGUGACACGGAGUUAGUCUCUGUUGCCGACCCCAGAGGAGAUGUGGCAAAGCGCUGGAAUUGUAGUGGCAUGAAGAGAGAACGAAGGAAAGUUGCAGCGAGCAAUUUCGAUGAUUGAGGAGGCGGCUUUGUUUAUCUCUUGCUCAAUCCUCAUUUUUCAAUCGUUGCGGUCACUAUUUUUUACUCUGGCCACCAGAGCUCUUGACUGCUGGAUGAAGAGGUGGCUGAAUUCGGUAAAACGGUGAAAGUGGAUGAGGUGGGCUUCUGGUUGUGCUUCUUGCUGCGCGACUCGUCGCGGCAAAUGGCCCCAGCUGUGGAGAUGUAGCCGUGAAUGGAGAAUUGGGUGGCGCGGCUCAUUGAAGGCUGAGUGCAGCAGCUUGAUGAUGGUGUCUUGGAUGGUUAGGCAUUUGGGCUCGCAAUACGUUGAAAAAUCCAGAUGUCACAAGUUUGGACUAUGCACAUAUGUUUUAGGGUUUUUUUUUUUUUUUUUAAGGAAGAUUAUAAAAGGAUGUGCUUAACAACACAUUUAAAACCUUGGCCUCUUUUGUUUUUCCUAUCUUCUUUUUGGAUCUUUAAAUCUUGUGACUCACCAAGUGGUUUUUUGAGAUUUUGGCUUGUAUCUUGUACUUGUUGAAGAAAGUGAAAUCCCUCUCUUCUCGAGGUUUUCCCAUAUUGGAUUUUCAUGUAUAUCUUGUGUUUUGGGUGAUCUAGAUUUUUCUUUUAUCCUUCCCUAUUUGUGCUUCGAUUGGUGUAUCUUGUGGCAUUUUUUUUCCAACAAUAACAAUGAGGAAUUUGCAAGUCUUGCGAUUCAAGAAUCAUUGCCACAUCACUUUUGAUGUUUAGAGUUCUAGGAAGAAGUACACCUAAGUCACUUUUUCAUAAAAUUGGAUACUUAAAUGCCAGCUCCAAAAGAUUUCCCAGAAAUCCAAUGUGCCAUUAUUUUAUUAAUAAAACCGUCUAGUGGCUUGCCAGAAUAUCUACUCAGCAAUCCUUGUCUCAAAACGUCAUUUUGCCCCCAAAUUUAAUUUUUAAUAUAAAUAUUUAUUAAAUUUGAUUAAAAAGACUAAAUUUAAAUAAAAAAGGGAAAUCAAUGAGGGCCUCCACGACUUUCGCCACCGCUACCCCACCAUCGCCAGAAAGGGCUGGUGAUGGUGGGGUGAGGGCCUACACAGCCUCGCCCAAAUUAUGCCAAGGGCUGUCGCUGGCGGAUUGAGCCGCAACUCCUCACCCCAAAUCUAGGUGAGGGCGUGCAAGCCCAUAAGAAUAUUCUAAAACCGGUAUGCAUAUCCACAAACUCCUCAAUGGGAUAAUAGAGACACUAAACAAAUCCAUCAACAUCAAUCUUCAUUAACCCACAACCAAAAUCAGAAACCAUAUCAACUCUAAUUCACAAACCAAAUCAUAUAAUUUCACAAUUCAAUGUAUAUGAAAAACACCUUUUUAAACCAUAUUCAUUAAUCAUGAAUUUUUUGUGAUUCUUUCUUAACAAAUUUCGUAAACCAUUUACAGGCAAUCAGCUCAAACUUUAAUCAACAGAUGCUUUUCCACUUCAAAUAAAUGCUCAAUCUAGAUUUUAUGUAAUAAAUAUGCCAUUUCAUAACUCAUAGUUUAUCUAGUUCAUAUUGCGUUUGAAAUAUGAGUUAGCAAACUCGAAAAAAAGAUAUUAUUACUCAUCGAGGAAAGUUGAAAAUUGACUUGUGAAGGUUACUCAAGUCAACUGAACUAGGUUUAUCCAUCAAUAAAAUGAUUUCUACGCGCUAACCAAGAAAUUCAUUUUUAUUCGUUACGCGUAUAAUUUGCUUCACGUAACUUGAAUGCAAAUGUUCAGAAUUUCAUUCCAAUCAAACUUUACUUCCGAAUCAAUUUUCGUCAAACCUUAUAGCUCCACAGCUCUCUUAUCUAGUGUUUACAUAUAAAUCUAAAAUUCAAUUGCUCCUCAAUCAAACCUCGCAUUUCAACUUUCAAUAGAUCCAGAUUUAAGACCUGACUUCGAAAAUUGCUCUGAUUAAAUAUAUAAUAGGCUUGAAUAAUCACAAGGUGUUGCAAUUCGCAAACUAAUUCGGCUUGUUGGGACAUCCGAAUUGGCUACGCGCGAAACUUUUUCUCUUUUCCCCUUUUCUCUUCGCGGACGAGCUCUAUCUCUCCCCUUCUAUUUCCUUUUUCUUGUUUAGUCCACCGCUUCGCACACUCACGCACGAAUCUGUGGAAGGAAGAAAGGAAAUGGGUUGGGCUGAGGGUUUGGACUUUGGGCUUGGCUAACAAAAUAUGGUCUGAAUUAAUGGGCCAUACAUUACGCUUAAAACAUACGAGCAAUUAUACUUAAGGUGAGUCGGAAACAAGGCCAAAUCAAACACGGACCAUGUAGCUGAACAUGUAGUGAACUGACUGCACAGCCCAUCCUACAUUCUCAUGACUUCAGUAGCCGCUGACCUUUGUUGAAGCCAAGAAUAAAACAGGGCAAGAGAUAGAAAGGCUGACAAGAGUGGUUUUAUGGCUGAUGUAUUCAUAAACUCACAGAAGCAAAAUCUUGCAGAAAGAUUUGAGCCAAUUUGGAAAUUCUAGUUCUUUGUUUAGAGCCCCUUCUUCGUUUUUUGGGUUCUCUUUCUUGAGCUUGGCCUUGAUAUGGGUCGACAAAUUUUUUUAGCAAUAUUGACUACAUAGGAGCAUCCUUGCACUUUCGCAGUGAGGAAAAGAUGGAAGAUGAUCACAUAAUCUGAGGGUAAAGAAAAACACAGCAGCAAGUUUAUUUUCGCUAUGAGGAAACACGUGAUCAAAGCCGCUCAAAAGGGUAUUAAUAUAACUCCCUACACUAAAUUACAAGAAGCUAAGUGUGAAUCAUGGUUUACUUAUUAAGAGUCUGAAACUGUUUCCUUCCUUUUGCAUCUUUGAACACAAGAUCUUGUCAGGUUCAUUUGAGAAUUUAGAGGAUCGACGCUUUUGUCAAUCUUCAUGUCAUUUGGUUGCUUAGCUUGUUUGUACACCAGAUGCACCCCACGACUUCUUAGAGUUCCCUCCAAUGCUUGAAACGAUAUUGUAACUUGAUUGUAGUGAUUCAGCAAUUUCGCAUCCAAUCCCCACAUCAUUCACCGUGGAAUGUAUAGAACCCAUGUGUGGUCUGACUCCAAUGAGGAAAAACAAUCUACACAACCAUAAGUUUCUUGAUUGUUGACAAACAAUAGGAUCUCAAAUGAAUUACUAGCUUCCCUUCGAUUAGCUGAACCGACAAUAGCGCAAAAGGCCAAGCUGGCUAUGUUGCAAUAUGAUUUUGAAGGUACAAGAAACCUUAUGAGUCCUCUUGUGCUUUGACGGAUGAACCACUUUGGGAUCUUGCUUCCUAGAUGAAAAAUGUCAACCCAAGUCUCCCCAAGCAAUCCCUAUCCUGCCGAACAUUUACACUUGAGACACAAACACGCUGGAGCAUUGAUCCUGAAUUAGAUUAUGACAGCCGGAGAAGUCAAUUCAUCUAAGCCAAGGUGACUCAUUUGGAUUUUAACGUAACAUGUAUGAUAAUUCCGUGCAUGUUUCAAGUGAUUCACAACCUUUCACAAGUAAAUAUGUUAUGUUCGGUGGGAGAGCUAGAAUCUCUCGAAGCUGCUUGCAAUGUGUCCAACAAAGCUGCUGCAAUUUAGCAAAUUGACUGAUGCAUGUAGGAAGGCUGACAAAUUUGUUCUUUGACAGAUCUAAAACUGUCGGUGAGGACAUGCAUGAAAUUUUUUCAAGAAACUAAGAUUUGAUAAGCUGCCUCUUUGCACCUUCAGGUAAAUUACACUCGGAAGGGCUAAGGGGAGAGGGAAAUUGGCAUAAUCACUUGAUGCCCAUAAACAGUCCGGGAACUUGCUAAGUUGUGAGCAACCAUCAAUUAAAAUGCGCUUAAGAUGCUGCAGUGUAUAGGUAGGAAGGGUUUUAAGGUCAGUGUAGUCCUUAGAUUAAACUCUUUCGGUUCAAUUAGAUUAGCAAUAGAGGAGGGUAAUUCUUCAAUGGCAGUCUCAUGGAGUGCAAGUUCUUUAAGAAAUUUCAUUUGUACAAGAAUAUUUGGAAACCUUGAAAGCUUUGAGCAACCUCUAAGAAUCAAACAUUAAAAAAUUGUGACUUCAGACUGCUUGGAAAAUAGCUAAGAUUGCAGCAGUUCAAAAUGUUCAGAUAUACGAGCUUGUCAAGAUGUCCAAGAGACUGAUGAACCUCAACAAGAUAGGUGCACUCUUGGAGAUCCAAACACUCAAGAUUUGGCAGUGAUGACACAUCCGAAUUUUCACUCAGCAUUGUACAGUGGCUGAAAUUAAUAGACCUCAAAUACCUAAAAAACUGCACAGCAAAUGGAUGACAUAUAUAAGUAGGCUUUUCAAGAUCUUGGAAGUUUUAAAUUUUAAUAUAUAUGUAGGCUUUUCAAGAUCUUCGAAGUUUUAAAUUUUAUCUUGACAGAAGAGUAUGUUGCAAGUACGUACCUUGAAUUCCUUCCCUAAUAUUCUGAUGCUGCUUUUACUCAGGUCUAGACGUACAAGUUUCCCGUGGUCUGUAUUAAAUGGCAUAAAUGGUCGAGAGUAAUCAGGCCAUUCCAGCCAUCUUAAUUCAGCCGGAAAGUAUAUGGGAUCACCUAAAUGGUAUGCAUUGCGAGCUAAGAAAAAUCUGAGCCUUUUCAUGUUUGUGAAGGCUUGAGCACUAAAGCAUACUUCUUCAGGAGCAGCCAACUUGAGCAGUAGACAAUUUAAGUGCAAAGGUGUAUAGGUCAUGCAAGGACUUAACUAGUAAUGAUAUAUAAGAUUUGGUGUGCUUUGGAUACUUGUUGCUCUUGGCUUUCAGAAUUUGCUUUUACUUUGACAAAUUAGUUUUAUAAGCACCCUAAAUCAUUGAAGAAACACAUCCUUUAAGUUCAAGGAGAUUUUUUCAUAAUUUUCUUUCUGGGGAGAGGUCAGUAGUACUAACCUUAGAUCUCAGGGUGGGAGGUGGAAAAACUGAUUCUUUUCCGAUGCUCAGGCCAUUCUCUCACUCAACAAAAAAAUAUUAAUACAUUCUAUUUUAGUAUACAAUUAAAGCAACUUUUUAAAGGCUUUAACCCUCCCAAACGGGCAAAUAUAUUGUCAAAAACAAAAUAUCACAAUUUAUUUUAUUACCAUGCCUUAUGUUAGCCCAUGAAGUGAUAACUCUAUUUUAGAUAGAGUAUUUUUACUAAUUUAAGUUUGAUAUUUGCUAAGUUUUGAUGAAUUUUGGGUGAAUUUAUGUGCUACUCAUGUAAUUUUAUUGAAUUUUGUAGGAAACACAACUUUUGGAUUUAUAAGGCAUCGGCGCAUCAUUUGCUGAAGACGUGAGGAAUGUGUAAUCUUCCCGAGUCUAUGCUGAAUUUGCAAAGUAGUCCCCGCGCCUCAAUAAUGUCCAGAAUAUUUGAAUGUCUCCAAGGAUAUUUCAAUAUUUUAAAGGAUAUCUUUAUAUCUUUAAGAAUAUUUAAAUAUUUUCCAGAAUAUCUUAUCUUGAAGAAAAAGCAAGCAAAGAUCAGUGGAUUUGACCAUAAUUGAGGCUAGGUUCAAAGAAAAUCAAGGAUAUGAAUCUCAAGAAGAAAAACUCUUGAUUUGCCGAGGAGUCCUCUUUAAGACCUAAUGGGAGGCUGACCUAGAGUAGAUUUUUGGAAGCCUAUAUAAACCCCUAUUAUGCUACAUAUUGGAGAUGGGAGGGGAGCCUUGGAGUUGCCACCGGAUUUUAGGUUUUCUUAGUUAGCUUUUAUGCUUAUAUUUUAUUAGUGGAAUUGACACAUGUCAAGGAGUGAAGAAGGAGGUAAACCCAAAUCUAUUGGCGACUCAAAUGAGUGAAUUUUUUUUAAUUUAGUAUUAUGUUAUCUUUAAUUUUUGUUGUUAGUUUAGCUUUAAUUAUGUUCUAAAUUUCUUUUGUUAGAACUACAUUGGAUCUUACCCAUUAUUAAUUGAUUUUCAUGACUUGUUCAUGCAAUAUAAUUGUUUUAUUGUGGUGUUCUCUAUCAUGACACUAAUGUUUUUAGAAGUUUGACCAACUUUUAAAUGAUUUUUGAUAUAUACAUUAUGUCGGGUGGAGAUUGCAUGCAUGAGCACUAGUGAUAUUGAACCAUAAAUUAAAUUUAGAUCAAGGUAUACUGGAUUGUUUGUGUGGUUGCGGUAGUAGAUCUAGGUUGGGACUACUUAGAUUAAAUCCGGGAACUUCCACAAGAACAUUAGUGUGGGUUAACAUACCUAAUUAGGGAUUAUUAGACCAAAGUUGGCUUGUAAUCUAACUUAGGGAAAUUUCACCAACACAAUUGGAAAUUAAUUUGUUGAAUGACAAGUUAAGAGAAUAUUAUGAUUGAUUAAGUGAAGUUGGAUGCUCUAACGCUUUGUGAUCUUGGUUAAAAUCUUGAAAUUUGCCUUGUUAAUUUUCAGUUCGCUUUAGAUUAGGUGUAUUUGCAAUUUUAAUUAGCUUUUGAAUUUUUUAAGUUUCGGCUCUUUUAUAUUUUAGUUCUUUAAUUGGUUUAGUUCACUUUUUACUUGCCUUUUUGAAUUAGUUAGUUAAAUUUUUGGAUUGAUCAUCUUUGGUAAGUAAUUGGAUAAUUAGAGACAAUCCUGGUAGAAAUGAUACUCACUCAUCACUUUAUUAUUUGUAGAUAUUGUGCUCUUGCAAUUUACCUAACAUGAAGCACAUCCUCAAAGGACCACAAUCUACUGCGCUCCCCUGGCGCUUUGGGAGAUUCUCUUCGAACAAUUUCUCUUCCCAUUUCUAGAAUCAUUUCAAGCAUUUGCAGCCUAUUAGAUUCAAUAGUGAUGAGUGACUUAUUUGUAAAAAGCAAUUCUAGCAUCCAGGUAGAGAUCACAACUAUCCAAAAUCUCUCACAUAAAUUAUACUUUCUCCCUUGAAGAAACAUGCGAUGUCAAGAAAAAUAUCCUUCUCAUAAUCAUCUCGGCCAUCAAAGCUUAUUCUCAGCACACUGAAGAUUUCUCUGUUGAAAACUCUCUUCAAUUUGUCUAAUGCACUUUUCCAUUCAAGUAAGCUUCUAGCUCGAAGAAAAGAACCCAAAGCUUUGAUAGCCUACCCUUUAUCAUGGUCGAACCUCUGUGGAUAUUGCCAAACCUCAGACCACCAUCCCACAUUACCUGAGGAAAAAGUGUCUCUUGAAGCAACGUCCGUGGAUUUCUCGCAAGUUUCUCUAACAUUGGAAAGAAAGCUGCAACACUCAAAUUUGUGGGCAAAAGCAUUGUAAAUAGCUUUGGUGAUAGUUGUCUUCCCUAUUCCUCCAAGUCCGUAAUUCUGACCAUGCGAACCUCAUUUGAUUCCAUGUCCAGCAAAGUAUGCAUGCGGGGACACAUGCAAAUCCAUGCUAACAAGACUUUCGGGGAUACGUAAUUGAUUGGGAUUCAUCUCAGACCAUACUCUCUUGACAAUGCUCCGAAUGACAUUAAACUCGCGCCUGGUAGAUUCAAAGCAUAAAGCCGAAUGUGGAUACCAAAGGAAAUUCAAAGACGUUUGAUGCAAGGAGCACUAAGUUUAUCUCCAGUAAGUUCAAGCCGCGGUCAAUGUCUCAAGCACAAUAGACCAGAUGCAUGACUUGCUUGUGAAAAAAAUUGACACAUGAGCUUUCCUCCUCCAAUUAGCGUAAAUUGAUUUUUCCCCCUAUUAUGCAUUAGCAUCACCAUGAAUUUAUUGCGAAUGAAACAAGUGAAAUUCGGUAAUCAACAGUUAGAACGCAAAUUUUGUGAAAAAAAAAAUACACACACAGUUAGCAUCCUCAAAAAGGAUUAAAUGGCAGCCUUACUCAUCGACCAAAUGCCAGCCAAAUAUGUUAGCUGUUAAAAUUAUGUCUCGAGUUUGAGCUCAAUAUAAGAUUCGAUGCACAGGAGGAGCAUUUAUUGAUCAAAGUUCGGCGCAAAUUGACAAGCGCAAAUUGACAAUGAAGAAGCAAAGCAUGAAGGCCCUCUGCAUGUGUACAUUUGUCAAAGAUGUGCACGCCUCCGAAGUCCAUUUUCUCUUCCUCUUUAAUUGCAUGCACAUGGAUGUGUGUGCAUGGCCAUAAAUGGACGUUGAAGACUAAGGCCAAGGUACAAAGUUGUGGGCUUGUUUUGUCUUCUUUUAUUAACUCCUUGUUUCUUUCCUUUGCUAUUUCAUCAAGCUGAAGCCGACAAAAGGAGAGAAAGGGUAAAUCAUUAAUUAAAGGAGUUGAAUGCCAUGGACAUGAUCUUGGAAGACGGCGGCCCAACUUUUUUUUUAUUAUUAUUAUUAUCUUCAAAGAUUAUGGGCACAUGUUUUCUACCUCAUUAAAUGCAUGCAUGCAUGCCAAUGAAUUUUGGUAGGCGUCGGUGCUGAUUGUGGGCGUCUGAAUGAGUUCACAUUUUUUGUCUUGUUUCUCCUAUAAAAGGAGGACAGCGUAAGACAAGUAAGAUAGAGCAGGACGAGAGAAGUCGUGGGAGCCUUCCCGGAGAAAAGGCAGAAGCUCUCAGCAAAGAGAAAUUUUUCUCGUUGUAAUUACAUCGAGUAUUUUUAGCCAAUUAAAUUCUUGUGAGUAGAAUUUGUUUAAUUCAUUGAGUGAGGUUUCACUAGAAAUUGAGAGGGGCUAAAUAUUGUGUAAGUUAUUGGAUGUAAUUUGGGCUGGGAAAUAUUGAGAGUGUAUUUGAGCGCUUGAGUGAUUGUAAUCUCCAGUAUAUCGCUUGUUUCUAUAGUUGGAAUUCCGUACUGUUCUCCCCAUGAACAUAAGUUCCGAUAUUAGGAGCGAACCAUGUAAAUGAGGUGUCCGAUUCCCUUUCCUUCCUUCUAAUUGAUUUUAUCUUAUUCGCUUGUCCAUAUUCCACAACAAGUGGUAUCAGAGCCCGGUUUGGCUGACUUGAAGCGAAUCGGUAAUGAUGGAAGAAGGAAAUGUGAGAAUUGACUGAUUUGAUGGGAAUGAUUUUGCUUUCUGGAAGAUGCAGAUUGAAGAUUAUUUGUACCAAAAAAAUUUGCACUUACCCUUAUCUGAGGAGAAACCAGACUCAAUGAAGGAUGUUGAGUGGGAAUUGCUGGAUAGACAAGCGGUGGGUGUUAUUUGGCUGACAUUGGCUCGUAACGUUGCAUUUAACAUCGUGAAUGAGAAAACCACUGCGGGACUGAUGAAAGCCUUGUCAAAUAUGUACGAAAAACUCUCUGCGAUCAACAAGGUUUACUUGAUGCGACAUCUAUUUUACUUAAAAAUGGGCGAAGGUACGUUAGUUGCUCAGCAUAUCAACGAAUUCAAUGAGGUCAUUAACCUGUUGAGUUCGGUUGAGAUUAACUUUGAAGAUGAGGUACGCGUGUUGAUUCUAUUAUCCUUAUUGCCUGAUAGUUGGAAUACUACUGUUACCGCUGUUAGUAAUUCCUCUAGGUUAAGAAGCUUGACAUAUGAUAAGGUUCGUGAUUUGAUUUUGAGUGAAGACAUUUGUAAGAAAGAAUCUGGUGAACCUGUACCUACUACUUUAGUAGGUGAAAGUAGAGAAAGAAUUAGUACUCGUGUUAGCAGGAACAUGAACAGCAAUCUAGGACUUGUAGGGUUGUCUGUUGGAAUUGUGGCAAUAAUGGGCAUCGUAGAAGAGAUUGUUUUAAGCUUAAAAAUGAAAAUGGUAAGGGAAUUAGAGUUGAGUCUACAGAUGAUGUUGUAGCUGUAGCUAAGAAUGAUUCUGAUGGUGUCGAUUGUGUGUUGUCUGUCACUGAGGAUUCAUCAUUUGACGGAUGGAUAAUGGAUUAUUGUUGUUCAUUUCACGCUACACCAAAUAGGAACUAGUUUAUCACUUAUCAGUGCAUGGGUAGCGGUAAAGUCCAAUUAAGGAACAACAUUGAGUGCGAUAUUAUGGGUGUUGGUGAUGUUAAAAUCGGAAUACAUUAUGGUAUUGUGAGAACAAUGACUAGAAUAAGGCACGUUCCAGAAUUGAAAAAGAACUUAAUUUGCUUGGGUGCCCUAGAUUCAGCUAGUUGCAGGUAUUCUUCAGAAUGUGGAGUUAUGAAGGUUGUUCGAUGUGCCCUAGUGAUAAUGAAAUGAAUCAAGCACAGAGGCAUAUAUAAACUUCAAGGUGAGAUAGUGACAGGUUUCACCCCAGAGACGUUGGAUGCAUUUGUUCGAGAGUCUAUCGACUGCUUGAGGAAGACUUGGGUGUUUGUGCCGAUGCACAAGUUUAAUGCUAGUGUCAAGAUCAUGCAGUCGAGAGCUUUGAUUGAGAUGGAGACUGGUAAGUUGAUCAAACGUGUGCAGACUGACAAUAGCAUGGAGUUAUACUCGGAGUUGGUAAAUAAAUUCUACAUGAAAGAGGGCAUAGUGAAAUAUCGCACCAGUGCAUGAGUAGAACAUUACUAGAGAUGGCCCGUAAAAUGAUCUCUAGUGCUAGUAUUGCUAUGAGAAUCCUAGCUGAUGUGCUUAGUAUGGUAAGCUACCUGGUGAAUAGAUCCCCAUCGACUGUUUUUGAAUGGCGGACUCUCGAGGAAGUGUGGUCAGGUAACGUUGCUGGUUAUUCUAUUUUUAGAAUGUUUGCUUGCAUGUGUUAUUUUCGAGUGAGUGAUGGUAAAAUCGAUAGGAGGGCAAUGUGCAUAUUCUAUGGCUAUGCACAAGGUGAGCAGGGUGAUCAGUUGUGGUGCUAGGAUAUAAAUUCACAUGUUGACAGCGAAUAAGUUACCAUUGAUGAGUCUCCGGUACUUCUGGCUAUGAGUGUUUAUGGCAGUGUUACUACAGAUUUAGACGGUGUUCAGCUCAAGGUAGAGUUGCAACCAGAAACUCCUGAGGUACUGGGUACUAGUAGAAUAAAUGGAUGAUGCUUGUAGCGAGGUGGAGUCCGUAGAGCCAAUGGUUGCUGUUGUUGACACCUAAAUUUUUGCUCAAAAAUCAUUUCCAAAAAAUGGGAACUUUUUUUCCACAAAAAUAUUUCAUGUCAAAUUCUUACAUAUAGAUUAUCUAGGUGUUUAAUAUAGUGUUUUAAAUGGAAGAUGUUUUCACUAUAAAAAAAUUAAAAAUAUAAAAAAAAGAAAAAAAAAUUUGGGGCCAAUGAUCUAAAUGUGACUAGCCAAGCCCAGGAGGUCAAAUUGGAAUUAAAAUGGUAAAUUGGGGCCAAAAUGCAAUUUCCAAAAGUUGAGGGACCAAUUCAAAAAUUUUGCAAAAUUUCACCCGAGCCCUUAAAUUAUCAUUUUGGCCCCCAAUUGAGUUGAAAUUGAACUUGGGUCAGGUUUAAUUAAUCGAAUUGGGCAAAAAUGACCAAAUUACAUUGAAUUGGACAUUUUCGAGCAAGAGAAUGGCCAACUUUGAGGGACUAUCUCGCAAAAUUGGGUGGAGAUAAUUGAGAAAAAUGGUCAAGAUCUUAAAUUGCUAUACAUGAGCUUGCUAAUUGAUCAAAAACAGCAGCCAAAUUGAUGGAAUAAAGGAUUCAAACCACCUACCAAAACCCAGCCCACGGUUAAGUCUCAAUUCAGAGCUGCUAAGUAAGCAUGUUAGUGGCCCCACCAUAUCCCACUCAGCCGCCCAAUUAGCUUGAUCGUUGCACAUGAUGGAAGACCAUUAUUGGUAGUACAAGUGGAAAAAAAUUGUUCAGGGAUAAACUGCUGAAAGCAUGGGAAAAUCGCAACAAAACCCGCACACUUAACAGUUGCAAAAGUUGAAAAUUUUGGUUAAGUCAAAAAGUGGGUGAACUAACUCAGUUGGCAGGCUUGGUAGGUGGACAAAAGACCGACCAAAAAUCCCUUAAUUCAUGGGAUAAGAUCAAUGAAGCAAGCUCUUUUGAGGUAGGAAAGGUAGGAGACAAGGCAGAGAGGAGGGAGCUCACAAUCGUCCCCAUAAAAGAAAACCCAGAAAUUCCUGACCGACCCUUGUAGAGAAAAGUCAAAUUUUCACAAACUUUUAGCCAAAAUUAGCUAAAACCUUCAAUUAGAGAGUGAAACUUCACUCAAAUAUCUUUCUAACCAUAGGUUGUACGUCCCUAAUGGAGUUUGGAAAGGCCUCCUAAAGUCCCCCGAAACAGUACCCUUCUGGCGGGCCAAGAAAGUCCGAAAUUUUUUCCAAGUGUUGAGCCCGGUUGGUCACAAGUGAGGGAAAGCAAGUGUUGUUGAGAAAAUUGAGAGAUAAAUGAGGAAAUCCAUGAUUGUAAUAAAAACUAGAAUAUAUAUAGUUUGGUUUGAUUUUUUCCAACAAAAGAGGUCUUGAAGUUUAAUUUUGGAGGUCAACUAAACCUUCAUUGUCAGUUCUUUUUUCUGUAGAUCUCAUUUCCAGUUUGAAGGAGCCAACUUCCACGUGCCCCCGAGGAUAAUUUCUUGGUUUCCUCGGCCAAGAACCACUUGCAAAAGAAACUAGGAAGCAAGGUAAGUAUCCUAGAUGUAUUUUUGUUUUAGUUUGAACAUGUUUUAAUAGUGAAAAGUCAAGAGGAAAAAUAGUCCAAAAAACUGAUUUUGAGGCUGGAAUUUUAUUAAGUAUUGAAAUCUCUUCAAGAGUCUUGCAUGUUUGAUUUCCUAUACCUCAUUUUCGUGUAUUAAUUGUCUUUAUGACUUUGAUUAAUGUUAUAUGGGAGUACAAAUGAUGCAUAGGUUAGCCCGGUUUAGUUUUUAAAUCUCUGUGUAAACUAUGAGAUCGUCUAAAACUUGGGCCAAAAACCAAACCUAUCCACAUUGAUUUAUGGCCGGUCAGUGUGGACUUUGUAUGUGUGCUUCUUGGAGAGGUUAUUUUGAUAUGUUUGAUUGGUCAUUCUCUGUGAUGUUUGGUACAUUUGAAAGUCCAUGUUACCUACUUUCACUCGGAUUAAGUAAUUUUUCCCUUAGAUCUCGUAUGUGAUGAGUGUCGGAGCUUGAAUAUGGGCAUGCAACCUAUUUGCUUGAGUUGGGUUCAAACCCAGAUUUGUAAAAUCAACUCAAACCUACAUAUUUGAAACCGAUUUCAACUUAGUUCUUGUGUGUUUUAUGUUAUGAUUUCUAUUUAAUCUUGCUCCUUGUAUGUGUUAGUAUAAUCUUGAUACUUUAGUUCAUAAGAUUGCUCAUGGGUUAAGAUUGAAGGUCAUGAAUACGGCUCGGGGAAGUUGCUUAAGGUGGGUUGAUGUACACCACUUGUUCGACGAAAUGCUCAAACCAAGUUUCGAUCUUGAAAUGGUCAAUUUGAGCUUGAUUAUUGUGAUAUUAAUAUGCUGUGUUAUUCCAUCUUAGUAGAGAUCGGUUUAAAGAAUUAUUAUUAAUAUUUUUUUUAAAUAAUAAUAAAAAAGGAAAAAUCUGAAAAUUUCAAAAAUAUAAAAAAAAAAAUGUUAGAUAGUAUCAAAUUAGGGCAUAAAUGACAUUUAUGAGAUUUUCCUAAUUCUAUAAAGUUGUUGUCCUAACUUGAUGCUAUUUUGAUAUUCUAUAAUCAUUUUUUGUAAAUGAUCUAUUUUGCAUAGAUUAAAAUUAUCUAGAGUAAUUUCAUGCAUCUAGAGUAAUUUCAUGCAUAUUUAAAUUCACAUUUCGCUCACGGGGGUCCUGUCUCGGGGUGUAAUAACAAGGCCAUGUAAUAUUAUUUGCCCGACUUGUAUCGGGUCUUUCUUUUCUGCAUUACUUUUAAGUCAUUUCAAUUUUUUGGAUGUUUAUUUACUGCACCUCUUUUCAAUAAUUUGAGUGUAAAUUUCUUUUCUAAAUUAUGUUACAUUAAAAAAAAAACCUACAAAAACAUUUGCAUGGACACUUAGUGGUUUCAUAAAUAUUUUAAUUGGUAAUUAAGAUUGUGUGGCCAUUUAGAUAAAUAAUCUUCCAAGUUAGUGGUACCGUAAGGGUGCUAAUAAAAACAUUGGCGUAAACAAGUCCAUGUUCCUAGAAAUCUCCGGUAGCGUAGGAAUCAAGACAACAUUCUAGCCGACCCUGAUAGGUUAGUGGCGACUCUUAGAAUUACAUAGGUUGUUAAGAACUAAAAAACAAAAUCUAACGUCGCGUGAGAUAUGAGCUUGGGAGAGCCUGCACCUAAUCCAGAGCCGUUGUUCCGCCUCUUUAGGCAAAUACCCCUAAACCUCUUCCUUUUCCCCCGAACAGAAAAAGAGAGGUCGUGAUAGCUGUAGCUGCUGAAUUUGACAAGGUGCGUGUUCGACCUUCUGUCAAAUAUGGAAGUAAUGAUGGUUUUGUUUUAUCUGUGAUACAAGAGGUUAUGUCAGAAAAUUCUUGUGGAGUAGCUAAUUAUGUAGGGGAGUUGGUGUCUUGAUGAGGUCCACGGUUAUGAGAAAGUUCAAGCACGGCUUGAACUUGGAAGUACUCUGUGGUGGUUGAGCCCACUUGGGCUGUGGGAGAAUAGUAGCAAGGUGUCCACUAAAGCGAUUAUGACUUAGCUCAAACGUCGAGUCAAGGUGGAGAUUGUUAAAAUUAUGUCUCGAGUUUGAGCUCAAUAUGAGGUUCGAUGCACACAAUGAGCAUUUAUUGACAAUGAAGAAGUAGAGCAUGAAGGCCCUCUGCAAAUGGAGAAAAUAUUAAGUACGUUUCAUUUAUCAGCGUGGCAAAUGAGAAGGGCCUCUAAAACGUGACACAUGUCGCGAUGGGCCCAAAUUGUCAGGUGAACUCUUCUCUCUCUUCUUUCCACUCUCUCUCUCCUCUCUACACGCGCUUUCUACCUCCUGCAUGUUCUCUCUCCUCUCUCUUCUUUGUCCCCAUUUCUCUCUCUCUCUCUCUCUCUCUCUCUCUCUCUCUCUCUCUCUCUCUCUCUCUCUCUCUUUUGCCUCCUUGCAUGCUCUCUCUCCUCUCUUCUCUCUUCCUAGCACACUCUCUUCGCAGGCAUGGAUGACCAACCGACCACCUCAACCUCCACAACGAGCACCUCCUCCGGCAUGUCCGGGAAGGUGCAUGAGUGCUCGAUUUGCCACAAGAGCUUCCCCAUCAGCCAAGCUCUCGGCGGGCACAAGCGAUGCCACAACAAGGCCCUCACUCCUGCCUCCUCGGCUGCAGCUGUCAUCGCCGCCUUGACUACCAACAGGGUGAGCAUCUCGAAGGCCGUGGGGUCCACUCACACGCAGAGCCAAGGGCAAGUUCGAUCCGAACAUCCUGGCACUCCCGAAGUUCUCCACCUGGUUCGCGGUCUCCAACAACUACACCUUUCCUAGAAGCCUCGAUUCCUAGCGUCGAUGAAGACAAAAGCGGCCUAAAAUGGGUCGAAUCGAAAAUGCAUAGAAACCCGCAAAAAAAAAAACCAGUGAUUGGAAUCGAAACGGGAAAUCGAUCGAGCUUUAGAUAGGAAUAGAGACGAUUGUUUUUGUUUGUCUUUUUGUUUGUUGGGUGAUGCUGGGGUUCUUUUUGAUGGAGAGAGGGAGGUGUAUAGGGGAGAGAGGAGAGAAAGGAGAGAGAACGUGCAUGAGUUAGGAGAGAGAAAUGCAAUAGAAGAAGAGAGAGAAAAGUGGGGCUAGAGAAGAGAGAGGAGAGAGAGAACACAUGCAGUGAAGAGAGAGAGAGGACAGAAGAGAGAGAAGAGUUCGCUUGAUAAUUUGGGCUAACCGCGACACGUGUCGCAUUCCCAAAGCUCUUCUUAUUUGCCGACAUACCUAAUAUUUUUUCCUCCAUAUGUGUAUAAUUGACAAAGACGUGCACGCCUCCCAAGUCUAUUUUCUCUUCCUCUUUAAUUGCAUGCACAUGGAUGUGCGUGCAUGGCCAUAAAUGGACGUUGAAGACUAAGGCCAAAGUAAAAAGUUGUGGGCUUGUUUUGUCUUUUUUCAUUAACUCCUUGUUUCUUUCGUUUAAAUCAUUAAUUAAAAGAGUUGAAUGUCAUGGACAUGAUCUUGGAAGACGGCGGUCCAACCUUUUUUUUUUAUUAUCUUCAAAGAUUAUGAGCACAUGUUUUCUACCUCAUUAAAUGCAUGCAUGCAUGCCCACGAAUUUUGGUGGGCGUCGGUGCUGAUUGUGGGCGCCUGAAUGAGUUCACAUUUUUUGUCUUGUUUCUCCAAUAAAAGGAGGACUGCAGAAGACAAAUAAGAUAGAGCAGGAUGAGAGAAGUCGUGGGAGCCUUCCUGGAGAAAAGGCAGAAGCUCUCGACAAAGAGAAAUUUUUCUCGUUGUAAUACAUCGAGUAUUUUUAGCCAAUCAAAUUCUUGUGAGUAGAAUUUGUUUAAUUCCUUGAGUAAUCUUUCACUAGAAAUUGUGAUGGACUAAAUACUAUGUGAGUUAUUGGAUGUAAUUUGGGACUAGAAAAUACUUAAAGUGUAUUUGAGCGCUCAAGUGAUUGUAAUCUCCAGUGUAUCACUUAUUUUUAUAGUUGGAAUUCCAUACUACUCUCCCCGUAGAUAUAAGUUCCGAUAUUCGAACCGAAUCACGUAAAUCUGGUAUCUGAUUCCCUUUCCUUAUUCUAACUAAUUUUAUCCGAUUCACUUGUCCAUAUUCCACAACAAGCUGCUUUGGUUAGUGCUUCUCUCCACAGCUUCACCUUCUCUGAAUCGCCGUCGUUCGACUUCAACCUCUCCUCGUGAUCGAUUAGGGCUUGUCCAUACCUCCCCUUUUGCUUCCUCACGUCCAAUGGAUCCAUCUUGUAGAACACUGGCCACACGAUCUGCCUCAUUGUAUGCUUGCCCUCAAGGAUUCUCACCAGCUCGUCCAACACCAGCCGAAGGACACAUAGUCCUCCGAGAACACAACGAUCAAGAUCCUCGACUCCCCAAUGGCUCCAAGAGUCACUAGCGUGAUCUCCUUGCCCUUCCCGAGCUCCUUGUCGUCCAUGAAUGCGACGAUCCCCCGCUGAUCUUGCUCGUGUUCUUGCCGCGGAAGCUUAAGAAUGCAUCGUAUCCAUACGAGCGGCCGGGGGAGAGAGAUGAAGGUGGAACGUCAUCGGAGUCCUUUUGGCUUAGGCUUAGGCUUGGCCUCGACAUGAGUGAUGGGAGAACAAAGGAGCGAUCGAACCACGGGAAUGGCCUCACCGAUUGGACUAAAACGAGUUGAUUCAACGCCUGCCAUGGCUGCACUAGCGAAUAGCUCAAGAUGAGAGACGUGGUACAUAAUAAUUACUAAUCAAUAAUCGGGAAAAUUCCAAAUAAAGUCCUGAAAUGCACUCAUUUUCUCAAACAAUAGCAUGAAAUGGACAUUAUUUAAAAUAAGGGCAUUGCCCUUAUUUUCUCAAAUAAGAACCUGAAAUGGACCUUAUUUUAGAUAAGGUCCUCAAGUAUAAAUAUCAAUUUUAAAGAAGGGCAUGAAUUCACUAAAUGUAAAGGGCAAUUUUGUCUUUAUAUAUUUUUUUUUUUUAUUUUUUUAUUUUUUCUAUUUUUAUUUUUAAAAAAAAAACAAAAAAAACUAUAUAUAUAUACAAACACAAGCGCGAGGGUGCUCCCUCUAGCCUGUGGUUGCUACCCCAUCAUUAGUGGGGCAACAAUGAAGGCUGGCAAGGUCACUGGCGCAUCGAGGAGGGCUAGCAACCUUAGCCAACCAAAGGUGAGGCCUGACAGGCCUGCGUGAUGGCUAGCAACCCUCACCCAAAUUGGGCAAGGGUGGGUGACCCUCGCCUAGAUUUGGAAGAGGGUCGCCACCCCCUCCAACCUCUAGUGAGGGUUGGUUGGCCAGGGUCGCCGGCUUGGCCGACUGGCCCUCACCUAAGAGCCGGACCUAAGAGCCAGCGACCUUGUCGACCUUCACCGUCAUCCCACAAGUGAUGGGGCGGCGGCCACAGGCGAGAGGGAACGCCCUCCCACCAGUGUUUCGUCUUCUUUUCUUUUUUUUUCCUUUUUUCUUUUAAUUUUUAAUUUGUAAUCUAAUCUAAUUUAAUUUAAUUUGUAUUUGGAAGAAAAUACCCCUAAUUGGUCGGAAUUUUUUGUUGGUUGGCAAGUCGGUAGGGCUAGGCCCUUAUUUGAAAUGAGUAUAAUCACUUUAGGUCCUUCUUUGAUAUUGAUAUGAGUAUUUUGGGCCAUUAUUUGAAAUAAGGUUCACUUCAAGCUCUUAUUUGAGAAAAUAAGGACACUUUGGGUAUUUGUUUGGAAUUUUCCCUAAAAAUUUAUAUGUUUCUAAAAUAAAAAAAUAUUUUUAUUUUUCUGAAUAAAUGGACAUCUACUAUCCAUAUUAGUUUUUCAUGCUUUUCAAUAUUAAAAAUUUGCAAGCAUUAUAAAAAUUACUAAGCACAUAAAAGUUAUUACUUCUUAUAGAAAGUAAUGUUACGAGUGACUAGAAAGUUUCUCACCAUGUUACAUAUAAUUACUUUCUAUGCCGAGAUUUACUUUGUAUAAAAAAGUUACUUUGAUUUGAAAUAAAAUUAGUGGUAAACAUAUGGAUGUUAUGGUAAAUGAAAAGCUACAAUUUGUGUCGUUCCUACAUCGAAAGCUACUUAAAAGUUACCUGGGUGUUAUAAUAAAAAUUAUUUUCACAAUCAUGAAAGCAAACUUGCUUUUAUAAGCAAUUUGUAUUUUCCUAGACUUUUUAGUAAUUUUUGUGUCAAAAGCGCCACUUUUGUAGAGAGAAAAUUAAUAGAUUUUUAGAAACGAUUCUCUACAAGUUAGCAUUUUAUAAAACCAAUAAGGAAACAUGUUAGAAAAGUUCUAAACACUAGACCUUUUGAAAAUUAAAUAAAAAUAUUUAAAAAUUUAUAAAAAUAUUAUUAAAAGUUGUCUAUGUUAGAAUUAGGCCCGCUUGUGCUAUGUAAGUUGGCUAGCAUCUAUAUCAGUAAUAUCUGGCCAAAAUUAGUAAAAAAAGAACUCAAUUGGCAUUAGAUCAAAAGAUUAAUGACUAAACAUGCACUGCUAAAAAGGUUUAGGACUAAAAUAACACAAGUAAUAGGUUUAUGACAAAUCAAAGCCCUAUCCUUGUAAAGCUUCAUCUGUUAUUUUUCCGGCCCAGGGGUUCUAACAAUUUUCCUCAUCGAUUUUAUAAAAUGCUAACUUGUAGAGAAUCGUUCCUAAUGAAGUAACUUAAAAUCUAUUAAUUUUCUCUCUUCCAAACUGGAGUUUUAGAUGCAAAAACUAGUGAAGUUAAGUUACUUCAUUAUAAAUGAUUCUCUGCAAUUUAGCAUUAUAUAAAAUUGGUGCAACAGACAAGAUAACUAGAAGUUUCCAAGGAAAAAAUUUUCAUCCUCACGUUCUCUUCCCUUAAAUUUUGUCUUCUUGACGGAACAUUUUAAGCAUGCGAACUUGAAUUUUAAGCUUGCCGCAGCUACUCCUCUUUCUCGGAUUAUAGUCCUACAAAACCUGAUCUCCAUUCUUGUGGUGUUUUGAAUAGAAUUGGUUCAUUCACUUGACAGGGGAUCUUGUGCGCAAUUUCUAAAUGCAUCUUUAUGAAGCGAGAAUGAUUUCUUUUUUGCUUUUUUUUGUUUUCAGUGUGAACCCCAUUCAUUAUUAUUAGAUGGAGUCCAUACUGACUCGAAAAGCACGUGGAUCACCUAAGAAGGAUCCAUUGAAGAAGGGCAAAGAGGCGUAAAGAAGUCAGCUGCAAAUUUCCAAUGUUGACCCAGGACUUCGCCCUUGGAAAAAGACGCCAUCAGGGAGCGACCCCCCUUUUUCUGAAGGAUAGCGGGAGCCGGUGCAUUCGUGUUUUUGCGUCCAGUUGUCUGCCUCUCCGGCUCUACCUAUCCAGUAAGAUCUCGUCCUAAUCUAGUAUGAACCAACAGCAUCAUCGAGCGAUUCAUGUGUUCAAAGGGCGCAUCGAAUGUCAGAUGAAAGUCUCUCGAGGCAGACUUUUUAGCAGAACACCUGACUUAACCUCGGUCGUCAAAGGUCUCCUUUAAGGGUAAAUCGGCCCACUCAUUCAGUUCGAACCUGCUGCGCAUCUCGUCAAAUGAUCGAGACGGAACCUCGGCCCUCACAGUCUCGAUUCAUUUUCUUCGGAUCUUAAAUCCUCAUGACGACGUCAUGACCUAUGAUGUGUUUCCGCAUUAAUUUUUAUGACGUGAAAACUAACUGGAAAUUAAUGUGGUACGGUGUUGACAUCUAAAUUUUGGCAAUUUAUUUAGUCAUUUAUCACAUUAAAAAAUAAGGGAUUAAUUUUAACUCCUAUAAAAAAAUUAAUUAAUUGCGUAGCAUAUAAUUUUAGAUGCAUUUAUUUAUUAUUAUUGCAUUUGCAUUGGGUUGGUGACGAAUGAGUUCGAAUUAGUGGUUCUGAGUUUUAAAUUGACAAGCUGAACUAAGCCUUCAAAGGCAGCAAAUUGGCCCAAACCCGUUUUUUUAAUGAUCGAAAAUUAUCUCGUGAAAAAUAGAGAUUUGAAAUUUUUCUAGAAUAUGUUGACAAAAAAAUAUUACGAGCUCAUCUUUGCAGAGUUUGAAAUUUGAGAAAAAAUCCUUUUGCAAUCUUGAAUCGUAUCAAAAGUAAUAUUGCGUGCGAAAAAAAAAUCUUCACCGACAUUUUUUCGAACAAGAAAUCCUUCGCCUAUAAAAAGUGGUGCGAUUUAUGUUUUACGCGGGGGGGGGGGGGGGGGGCGGCUUUUUCUCUCGGUUUCGAGGUAAAAGAAAAAACCUAAACAAAAGGGAAAAAUUCUUUUCUUUGGGUUUUCCUUCUACUUUCUUCGAAGUCAACAAAGGGGGCUGAAGAAAGUACAAAGAAUAGAGAGAGGGAGACGUGAGGGAGACGUGCAGCAGGCCAGCAGGGAGGAAAAAAGAAGAAAAAAAAAAAGAAAAGGGGGGAAAACUGUUCAUCUUCUUCGCAUCGAUGCCGCUGCCCGUCUGGGCCAGCCAUCACCACCCGUUCGUCUCGCUUGCAGCUCUGCCAGUCACUGCCGUUUGGAAGAUAUGCAGCUUGACAAAAUAUUUAAUUGAUUCUGAUCCGAUUUGUACAAAUCAAUUAGAAUUAAAUCUAGAAUAGAUUGAUUUGUAGGAUAUUUAAUUUCCGUGUUUAUUCAUACUCUUGUAUUAUAAUUGCAGAGGAUGUACAUCAAUACAAUUCAUUGAAGAAAAUAGAAUAUACAAAAGUCUUCUCUCCAUUCUCGAGUUCUUCAAUCUCUUUACUUUUUUCUUCAUCUUCUUACAUGGUAUCAGAGCGGUAGAGGAUUCUGUUGCUUCCGCAUUCUUCACCUCAUCGCCUUCUGUCAAAAUCUCUUUCAUUAUGGCAAACAAUUUGCCUUCAGUUUCUGGUGAACAUCCGCAGCAUGAAGAUCCCGCGCAAAUCACAGAAAGCCGGGACACUGUCUCCUCUGUCGAUGUCGCCCAGAUCUCACGAACAACCUGUUCAAACUCGAGAAAAUCGUAAUACUCUAGCUCAGUCAAUUAUGGGGCAACCCUACUCGGUUCAGCUCAUUCCGGGCCAACCAAUAGCGAACCAUCCUUACCAGUGGCCACUGUUUCAAAUGCAGCCCAACCUGUGGCUGUUUGGGCCUAACCAGAAUGCAUCAUCGCCAUUUUUUCAAGGGACAUGGGCCUCUGGCCAACCCGACGGCAGCCCACCAACCGUAAGCGGGGCAAGCGUGACCGACGAGUCGGGCGGAGCAAAUGCGGGGCAACCAGAUGGAUCCAAUGGUUCGGGCAAUGGAGGAAAUCCAUACCCGACCAAUUUCAAUGCGGAUUAUGGAACCGGUUCGAAUCUAGGUAUGGGAGUGAAUCCCUACCCGGGUUUCUCACUCAGAUUUUUGCUGUUUCUAGGAUCGAUCUUCACCGAACGGCCAGAAUCCAGCGACCCCCUGUUCGUUUCCACCGCCGACGGACCUAAACUAAAGUUAAUUAGCCAGCAACUUAUCGAGCACGAAAACUACUCCAGGUGGUUGCAGGAAUUCCGGCGCGCGCUGGUGACUAAGGACAAUGAUGGAUUCCUCGAUAGAACCAUCUCUGUUCCUUUAGAUGAGCGCCUGGCAUGACACUGGAGGAAGUGCAAUCAGCUUGUUUGAACCUGGAUCGGCAAUUGCAUAUCUCCAGAAGUCGCGGUCGGACUUCCACCCACAGAAGACGCUCAAAGGAUGUGGGAGAAUAUCAAAGAAAUGUACGACAAACUCGACCGUGCCAAAUUUUGUUCGCUCAUGCAGGAAUUGAGCAACUUAAAACAGGGGAAUAUGAUGGUCACAGCUUGUUUCAACAAGCUAUCAUCUUUAUGGAAUGAACUAGAAGCCGUUGAAGAAAAGCUUGAGGGGCUAGAAUCGACAUUUAAACAGUAUCAUUCCAUCAAAGAGAGGGAAAAGGCUACGCAUUUUUUACUGAUUUUGAACGAAAAUUACAUUACCUUUCGCUCACAGAUCCUGGCUAUGGACCCUGUUCCUCCGAUCGGACGAAUCUACCAGUUGGCUGUGUAGUAGGAAAGAUAACGUCUCGUGUCGCCGGAGCAUGCAAGGAACGGCGACAGCAUCGCUCUCGCAGCCCGUGGCGAACAGAGAGACGGAUUCGCGAAAACCCUAAAUUGAGAGAGAAGAGGAGGAUUAGGGUUUGGAGGAGAAGAUGUCGCACUCUCCUUUAAAAGGGAUAGCAUCAACGGCCGAGAUUCAAUGUGCGGAUCGGACGAGCCAGAUCAUGCGCACGGAUCGGACUGGCCAGAUCGCGCCCGCAGAUCGGACGGUCUUCUUGUGCUUGAAGGCGCGGAUGAAUCUGACGGUGGAUAUGAUUCCGUGACUAAAGGAGUCGACGGCCAGAUUCUUGCCACGUCGUCAAAGAAUUUCCGACCGAAUUUUAAGGCAAAACGUAAAAUGUUUUGCGAUUAUUGCAAACGUUCUAACCAUAUGAUUGACAGCUAUUGAAAAUUACAUGGAAGGCUUGGAGAAAAGGAGAAAAAAAUAUCAGCUGCUUAUCAAGUGACUGGACCUAUCGGCCAAAAUGCUAACCAACCAAUCUCUUAUGGUCAAUAUCAACAAUUGAUGCAUGCUCUACAGAAAUUGGAAACCUCCAAUAAAGGAGGAAGUUCCUCAGGUAUCUCACAUUGCCUCAUUAAUUCAAUUUCAAGAAAGGCAUGGAUUAUUGAUUCAGGUGCAAGCGAUCACAUUGUUUGUGAUAAGGGAUUAUUUACAAGUCUAAAUGAGGAAUUAAUUCUUCCUGUUACCGUGCAAUUACCCAAUGGAAGUAUCACACAUGUGAAUGUGACAGGAACAGUAAAGAUUAGUCCUCAAAUUACACUUGAGAAUGUUCUUUAUGUCCCGGAAUUCCAGUUUAAUCUUAUUUCUGUCUCAAGAGUAUGCAAGGAGAAUUCAUGCCGGGUAUUUUUCGAUGCUGACGCAUGCUUCUUUCAGGCCCCUUCGACUGGCAGACUGAUGGGCUUGGGUAGUCUUUAUGAAGGCCUUUAUUUCUGGACACAUUUCCCAAGUAAUUUCAGUUUUUCUAGUACACCUUUCAAUAAGAAAUCAUUGUGUAAUUUGACUAUCAAUGAAAAGAAUUUCAUUAUGCACUUAAGGAUGGGUCAUAGUACUUUCUUCCCCUAUGCACAAUGCCCCAUAUGCCCCCUUGCCAAACAGUCACACAAUCCAUUUCCUUUAGGGAAUACUCAUGCAAAUGAAAUAUUAUCAUUGAUUCAUGUGGAUAUCUAGGGCCCUUAUCAUACAACAAAUCAUGAUGGGGCUCGUUAUUUUCUCACCAUAGUAGAUGAUUGUUCUCGUGCAACAUGGAUUUUUUUAAUGCAGUCUAAGGGCCAAGCUUAUUCUCAUUUGAAGACAUUUAUUGCUCUUUCAAAAAAUCAAUUCAGAAAGCCCAUUAAAAGGAUCCGAACUGAUAACGGAAAGGAGUUCUUCAGCCAUGAUUGCAUUUCAUUAUUUUCAUCUCAUGGGAUUCAACAUGAAAGCUCUUGUAUAUACACUCCACAACAGAAUAGGGUGGUUGAGCAUAAACACAGGCAUCUUCUGGAAGUUGCUAGAGCUCUAAAAUUUCAAGUAGCAAUUCCAGAUGAGUAUUGGGGAGAAUGCAUUCUUACAAUGGCCUAUCUUGUCAACCGAAUGCCUACUCGGGUAUUAAAUGGGAAAAUGCCUUUUGAAGUAUUAUUUGGCAAGGCGCCAGAGCGGACACACCUCAAAGUCUUCGAGUGUCUCUGUUAUGCAGCUAUAGUGGGCCCUCGAGACAAACUGGAUUCUCGUGCACGUGCUGUGUCUUCAUGGGGUACCCUAACCUACAAAAGGGAUACAGAGUCCUGGAGCUAUCUACAAAAGAAUUCUUUGUAAGUAGAGAUGUUUUAUUUCAUGAAAAUGUCUUUCCUUUCAAUGAAAAAACACUAUCCCAUGAAGAAUCUGAUACUCUGAGCAUUCCACGUCGGCUUGUGACAGAUGAUACAACAUAUCAGGAUCCUAAUUAUAUACCAUUAGCAAUAUUUACUCAUGAUCAUUAUGUAUAGAUGAAUCCUUCAGUGGUAGGACCGAUUUCUGAUGAGAAUCAGGUUCCUGCAAAUGCCUCAAGGAAUUCACUUGCAGAUUCUUCUGCUAAUGAAGAAGUUGAAGAAACCUUUCCUACAUCAGCCGGGGAAUCAACAUCUUCACCUCCGAGAGUAGAUCCUCCACGACGUUCUAGUCGAGCUACACGACCUCCUACCUGGACCAAAGAUUAUGUAUGUGCUGCUCUCAACUCCCCAGGUAUCAAAUAUCCAGUUUCAUCCUAUGUUUCCUUCAAUAAUUUAUCAUGAGAACAUAGUCUAUAAGUAGAUUGUCAGAGGAUAAGGAACUUGCCAGUUAUAAUGAGGCAUCUGCUGAUCCAAGAUGGUAGAAGGCCAUGGAAGCAGAAUUGCGGGCCUUCAUUAACAAUAAGACCUGGGAUCUUGUCACAUUGCCACCAAAUUGUAAACCCAUUGGCUGUAAGUGGGUGUACAAGAUAAAAUAUCGAGCUGAUGGCUCCGUUGAAAGAUUCAAGGCACGAUUAGUUGCCAAAAGGCUUCACUCAGCGGGAAGGGUUCGAUUAUCACGAAACAUUCUCACCCGUUGCCAAAGACGUCACAGUACAUUCAUUUUUUACAAUUGCAGCUAUUCGUGACUGGUCUUUACACCAGAUGGACGUUCAUAACGCUUUUCUCCAUGGAGAUUUAGAUGAGGAGAUAUAUAUGGACGUUCCUCAGGGAUUACGAAGACAAGGGGAGAAUAAAGUAUGUCGUCUCCGAAAAUCCUUUUAUGGGUUGAAACAAACCUCCAGGCAAUGGUACACGAAGUUUACAAGCGCUCUUACAACAGCAGGGUUCCAACAAUCCCGACAUGAUUAUGCUUUAUUCACGCAAACUGAAGGUAUGUCAUCUAUUUAUCUGAUGAUAUAUGUUGAUGAUAUUCUCAUUACGGGAAAUGAUGAAGCUGCCAUCGGAGAUUUUAAGAAGUAUCUGCAUGCAAUUUUUCAUAUUUUAGACUUAGGAGCACCUAAGUACUUUCUUGGCAUUGAAAUUGCCCGUUCUGAACAAGGGAUUUCGCUUAGUCAGCGAAAAUUCAUAUUGGAGAUUAUUUCAGAAAUAGGUUUAUCAGGUUGCAAGCUAGCUGUUAUUCCCAUUGAACAGAACACGAAAUUGACCACAGCAGAUUAUGAUAAGGGAACUUCUCAAGAAGAUGACUUUGUUUUGGAAGAUCCUUCAAGCUACCAAAGGCUUGUCGGAAAGCUCAUAUAUUUGAUCAUGACUAGACCUGACAUCUCUUAUGCAGUGCAGACUCUUAGUCAAUUCAUGCACAGUCCGAAGCAGUCACACCUAAAUGCUGCAUUUAAAGUCAUGAAGUAUCUGAAGAAGUGUCCAGGUCUUGGAAUACUCUUGUCCAGAAGAUGCAACAUGGAGAUGACAACAUAUUGUGAUGCAGACUAUACAACUUGUCCCAUGAGUCGAAGAUCUGUUACUGGAUAUUGCAUCAAGUUAAGAGAUUCUUUACUCUCCUGGAAGACCAAAAAACAUCCUAUUGUUUCUCUAUCUUCAGCUGAAGCAGAGUAUCGAGCUAUGGCCAAAACUGCUUGUUAGAUAGUAUGGAUUUAGGGUCUUCUUAAGGAUCUUGGAAUACAAGUACAAGGGGCAACAAAGCUAUUCUGCGGCAAUGAUGCAGCUCUUAAAUUUGCAGCAAACCCUAUAGUGCAUGAGAGAACCAAGCAUAUAGAGGUAGAUUGCCACUUUACACGAGACAAGAUCUUAGAAGGAGUCAUUAAAGCAAGAGGAAUUGGGACAACUGAACAGCUUGUAGACAUUUUCACCAAACCUCUAUGUCAAAGACAGCACAUGUAUCUUCUGAACAAGCUAGGUAUCUUAGACAUAUACAAGCCACCAGCUUGAGGGGGAGUGUUGGAAGAUAUGUAGCUUGACAGAAUAUUUAAUUGAUUCUGAUCCGAUUUGUACAGAUCAAUUAGAAUUAAAUCUAGAAUAGAUUGAUUUGUAGGAUAUUUAAUUUCCGUGUUUAGUCAUACUCUUGUAUUAUAAUUGCAGAGGAUGUACAUCAAUACAAUUCAUUGAAGACAAUAGAAUAUACAAAAGUCUUCUCUCCAUUCUCGAGUUCUUCAAUCUCUUUACUUUUUUUCGUCAUCUUCUUACACGCCGCUCCGCCAUCGUCGACCCUGCCUCACCAUCCGACCUGUCCGCCGCGCCUCCAUAGUCGCCGAAGCCCCUCGCCGCGCCUCCGCCACCGUUUGUUCCUUGCAACGCCGCUACUGCUCUUGCUCUGCCCAUUCGCUCAUCCCCGUGUCUGCCGUCGUUGACCCUCGCUGCGCCACCGCUGUCCUGCAGCAGCCGAGCCUCCACCCGUGACGUGCAACUCUGUCGUAGACCACCGCAGCCACUGCAUCGCUCGCCUGAAGCUCUGCCCCGCCGUCGCUGCUUCCGUGCCUUCUGCCUGAGCUUCUGCUUCGCUGAUCACCGUCGUUCCUGCAUCCGACCCCGACGUCAGUAGCCACGACCCAGAACCGACGCUUGCCACAGCCACUACCCAGCGUCUCUACUUGCACCUCCGCCUAGCUUUGCCGCGUCGACGUCGCUGCCGCGACUUGCGGUAACCCACGAGCACCGCUACACCUCCGAAUCGUUGCCGAUGCCCGCGGAUCCCAAACCGGCCAUCGCCCGUCUCUCUCGCCGCGGCUCGCCGUCUCUGCCUGUCGUCCGAACACCAGUCUCCCUGCAUGCCAGUCCGAGCCACCCCCCUCUCCGAGUGACGACAGCUGCUACCGUGCCUCCUGCUGCCCUCUGCCCGGGCGCCGCUACUGCUCCACCUCGCGUGCGACGCCGUUCCUUGUUUGUUGCUGCUCUGCCUGCUGCCGGUCCACCCUCGCCGGAGCUCCGACGACCACCCCCCACUCUUAACGGUUGUUCACCAUCACCGGGACACAUCCUCUUGCCGAGCCACGUCGAGCCACCAUCACAAGCUGUUGUUCAUUAACCCGGAUUUCUAAUUUGGUAGUUUUAUUUAUUUAUUUAUUUUUUCUUUCUUUACUUGAAAUAUUCCUAGAUGUAAGAUUGAAAUUCCCAAUAUGAAGUAGCCUGAUAUCCGACUGGCAAUCGCUUGAAAAAUCGCCAAUCUGAUCUCACGCUAAAAUUGACCAAUCCGAUCCCAUGCACAGGAUAUGAUUCGUCAAUUUUUUGGAUAUCAAUCUUAUCUUGCCUGAUUUAAUGUUGUGUCGUUUGAUCGAUUUUGUUUUCGUAAAAAGAAAAAAAAAUGAGUUAGAUUAGGUUUAUCGUCUUAGGGUUAUCUUGCAUAUUUAGAAUAUGAGUUUUAUUUCAAAUAUAAAAAAAAAAUCCAAAAAAAUCAAUUUAAGAUGCUAGUUUUUUUUUUUUGAACUUAGAUCGCAUGUUUAAUUGUUUGACAAUUUUUAAUUUAGAAAUUUUGUAAAAAAAAACACAAAAAUCAUUAUGCAUAUGUCAUUAGGGCAUUCUUUGUACGUAAUUGCAUAUUAGGAUAAAAUUGUAAGUUUAAUUUAAGUUUAGAUAGAUUUUCUUUAUUAGAUAGAUUGCAUCGUAGGUUAAAGAUUAUCAAGUUAAGAUAAUAUCCUAGUUUAAAUUAAGAUUUGGCCUAACCCAAUUCUUAAUAUAAGUUGGAUAGAAUCUUAGUCUAGCUAGAUAAUUUUUGCAUUUUUCUAAUUUCGAAUUUCAUGGAAAAUACAAAAAAAGUUGUCUUAGAAUAAAUCAAUUUCAUUAUUUAGGAUAGACUGCAUGCUUAUAUUUUAUUUAUGUCAUAUAGUUUAGGUUAUAUUGCCAUGUCAUAUCAUUUCUGUUGGAGAAAACUUCCUUGACCGUUUUGAAACUGACAAAACGUUUCCAUCAGUCUAGUCUGAAGACUUACAGAUUCUUCCAUUAAAGUCUGAAGACCUCCGGACUGCCAGACUCAAGACUCAAAGUCUAUCUUCAUUGACAGUUUAUAGACCGUCGAAGAAGACUUAUCCAGAACUGGAUGUUUCAUCAAUGAUUUGACUUUAUCGACUAGAGUAGAUCUUCUGGUUGGAUAUAGCUUGUCGGAAACCUUUGUUCUAAUCAAGAUUGAUUUGGGAAUCGUGGAUUUGUUGAUUGACGAAGUAUACUUGGAAAGUUCUACUUAUGGAAACCAAGAUCAUGAUUGUAUGGGCGAGCAAGAUUGAUGGGCUAUCGUCAUGUUCCUUAAAUAGCUUGAAGAUCUUCCUAAUUGAUUAUAUCCAACGAGUAGAUUGGAAGAAUUCUUUUGGUAAGUGCCAACGAGUAUGAUGGCAUAAAUGAGUAUAUAAGGAAGACGCUAUAGUUGUUCAAGUAUGUGCGCGAUAGAAGAAUUCCAAAGUUUGAAACUCCUUGUUCUUAGUAAAUUAAACUAUUGAGCGAAAUCUUGCACGCAAAAGAGAGUCUAUAUCAUUGAGAGACCUUGAGGAAGUGUAGUAGAGUCUCUACACUGUGGAAUCAAGGAAGAGUCUAACUGUAACAACUCUUUUGUUCAUAGUGAAAUCCAGCUAGUGGGUUAUCAGUGCGGAAGAGUGGACGUAGGCUUGGAUUAAGCCGAACCACUAUAAUCUCUGUGUUCAUAUUCUCUUAUCUACACUCUUUUACUUUGAUCGUAAUUCGCUUUGAGAAUUUCCUUUUCAUAAUCUACUGUUGAUUAGCACUGCACAUAUCUUGCAAAAUAGUUUCUACACCUAUUUACCCCCCUCUAGGUGCUCACACUAGCUUUCACAAUUGGUAUCAGAGCCUGUGUACUUACUUGAAUUGAAGUGUUUUACUUCAGAGUUAAAGAUCCAUGGCUAGUAUGUUGGCUUCAGGACUGGUUGAAGGGCAAAGCAAUACCAAACCGCCUUACUUUGAUGGAAAGGAUUACAACAUAUGGAAAAACAAGAUGAAGGCAUUCCUAAGAUCAAAGGAUCCUCUGGAAUGGGACGUGGUAGACAAAGGAAUCAUUCCUAAAGCUGCACCUGUCUCAAAAAGAGGAAAAGAAGCUGUUGAGUCUAGAGAAAUGAAUCAAGAAGAGAUAACCAAGAGACAAGCUCUUGAUGCAAAAGCGAUUUAUUCUUUAUAUUGUGCAUUAUCUCCCACUGAAUAUAACAGAAUAUCUUCUUGUAUUACAGCUAAAGAAGUCUGGGAUAGAUUACACAUCACCUAUGAAGGAACUGACCGAGUGAAAGAAACCAGAAUCAACAUUCUGCUCGGACAAUACGAAGCUUUCAAAAUGAAAACAGGAGAAUCUAUGACUGACAUGUUUAGUCGUUUUACAGAGAUAGUGAAUGGUCUUGAAAAUCAAGGUCAACCAAUUUCUGAUCCCAUGAAAGUAAACAAGCUACUGCGUGGACUAUCCAAGGAUUGGAAUCACAUAAAGACCUCAAUAAGGGAGACUCAAAGAAUCAUGCCACUCUCUGUUGAUGAGUUGGUUGGGACUCUUCAGUCUUAUGAAGUGGAGUGAAUCAACGAAGAUGAAGAUCCUAAAGGUAAGAAAUCCAUUGCAUUAAAAUCUAAUGAUGAUUCUGAUGUCACAGAUUCUGAAGAUAAUAUGGAUGAUGAAGAGCUUGCUCUCAUGAUAAGAAGAUUCAUAAAGCUAAACAGAAAGGGAAGAAGAUUCAAUCCAAAGAAACAGAGCUUUCAAAAGCAACAGAGUAAGUCUAUUGAGAAUGAUGAAUCCAAUAGAGAUAUAGUUUGUUUUGAAUGUAAGAAAAAAUGACACAUCAGACCCAACUGUCCCCUUCUGAGGAAAAAGAAAGGAAAAACUAAGAAGUAUAAAAAGGCACUCAAAGCAGAAACUUAGAGUGAUACAGAAUGUGAAAAAAGUGAUGAUGAUUAUGCCAACAUUUGUCUCAUGGCACAAUUAGACUCAGACUCCGAAACAGACUCAGAUUCAGACAGUGAAAUCGAGGUAAGUAACUUGAAAAUCCCUACUAAAGUAUCUAGAUAUAUUGAUGAAUUGUGUCUUAGUCUCAAGACUUCUCUUAAAAGGAUUUCCGAACUCAAAAGAGAAAAUUCUGCACUAAAACAACAGGAAAAUGUUUUGAAAGAAAAUGUCAAAAGUUUAGACAAAAGUGUUUCUACCUUGAAAGAAAAUGAAGACAAUCUUUCAAAAGAAAAUGCAUUUUUGAAAAAUGACAUCUCAAAUAUUUUUAAAAGAUUUUCUAUAGGAUACGAGAAACUUGAGAAAAUUCUUUCAGCACAAAGACCUUACUUCAAUAAAUCAGGUUUAGGAAUGACUGCUGAAACCAUUCCUCUAAUUGAUUUUCCUAAAGUAAAAGAAAGAAUUAAGCAAAGACCUACAAGAAAUGCUUACAAAAAUCAUUUCCAAAAAGUGUUUGUAAAACCAAUAGGUCGCAGUGCUCUUAAAUGUUCUAAGUGCAAUAGUUCAUAUCAUUUUGAAAAAGAAUGUUCUAUGGUUUGGAAACCUGUUAAGAAGGUAUGGGCAAAGUCAGUAUAUCAUACUAACACCAAUAGAUCCAAGAAAAUAUGGGUACCAAAGAAAGCUUGAGUCUCUUUUCUAAAUGCAGGUCACUAUCAAGAGAAAGAUUAAAUGGUACCUGGAUAGUGGAUGCUCAAGGCAUAUGACAGGAAAUUCAAAUUGCUUCAUUAAACUUGUUCAAGUUAAUGGUGGAAAAGUUUCAUUUGGAGGAAACAACAAAUGAAGAAUUGUGGGAUUCUGAACUGUAAAGAUUGGAAGUCUCACAAUCAGUAAUGUUUCUUUAGUGGAAGGACUCAACUACAAUUUGCUUAGUAUCAGUCAGCUGUGCGACACCAGCUUCAAAAUCAACUUUCAAGAGGGAAUAUGUUCAUGAACCAGUAAAGAUUCCUCUCAGUCUUUCAUGGGUCAAAGACAUGGAAAUAUCUACCUCUUGGAUGUCAAACCAGAUGAAGCCCAAUGUCUAAUCUCAAUUUAAGAAGAAGCAAACUUAUGGCACAGAAAACUUGGGCACAUCAACAUGAAGCAAAUAGCCAAAAUUUCAACAAAGAAGCUUGUUCGUGGUCUACCCAAUAUGUCAUUUCAAAAGACUGAUCUAUGUACACCAUGCAUGUUGGGAAAACAGGUAAGAAACUCAUUCAAAUCAAUAAAUCAAGUUGCCACUAAUCGUGUACUGCAGCUUCUGCAUAUGGGAUCUUUUUGGACCAACCAGAACUCAAAGCAUUGGAGGUAAGAAAUAUUGCCUAGUAAUUAUGGAUGACUACUCAUGAUUCACUUGGGUAUAUUUCCUGGUAAGUAAGUCUGAAACCUUUUCUUACUUCAAAAAGUUUGCUAAAAAUGUUCAAAAUGAAAAAUGGUAUGUUAUUUCAAGUAUACGAAUUGACCAUGGAAGCGAAUUUGAAAAUCAAGACUUUACAAGAUUUUGUGAUGAAUAUGGUUUUCAGCAUGUGUUCUCUUCUCCAUACACUCGAGAGCAAAAUGGAGUUGUGGAAAGAAAAAAUAGAUCGCUUCAAGAGAUGGUUAGAACUCUUUUAAUUGAAAGAAACAUCUCUUCACGUUUUUGGGCUGAAGCAGUUUCUACUGCAUGUUAUAUCAUUAAUAGAGUUUUUCUAAGGCCUAUUUUGGAGAAAACUCCCUACGAGAUAUUCAAAGGUAAGAAACCCAUUGUUUCAUAUUUUCACGUGUUUGGAUGUAAAUGUUUUAUUUUGAAAAAUGCAAAUGAUCGAGUUGGGAAGUUUGAAGAAAAAUCAGAUGAAUGGAUCUUCCUUGGAUAUUCGACCUCAAGCAAAGCUUAUAGAGUAUACAACAAAAAGACUCAAUCUGUGGAGGAAUCAAUGAAUGUCAAAUUUCAAGACUUUAUGCAAAGCGAAUCAAUUCAAACUCAACUUGAAGAAUUUGAACCUGAUAUAGACUCUACAAAGUGUAAAUCUCUAGAAGCAGCUUAGACUUCAGAAGACCAGCAACAAAUAAUUGUUGAAGAUUCAAAUGAAGAAAAAGAUCAAUAGUCUGACAAAUCAACCAUCAACUGGAAGCAUAAGUCCAGUCAUCCCACAGAUCUCAUUAUUGGCGAUAUUAAUGAAGGAAUUCGCACAAGAUCCAAAAGGCGUGAAGAGUCUAGUGCUGUGGCUCUUAUUUCUGAAAUAGAACCCAAAAGUAUAGAAGAAGCUCUAACUGAUGAAAGCUGGAUUGAAGCCAUGCAAGAAGAACUCAGGCAAUUCAGUAUCAAUGAUGUCUGGGAAUUGACUCCUGAACCGAAAAGUAAAUCCAUCAUUGGAGCUAAAUGGGUUUUCAGAAACAAGAUGAACGGGAAAGGAAAUGUUGUAAGAAACAAAGCAAGACUUGUGACCAAGGGAUAUACGCAAGAAGAAUGGAUAGACUAUGAUGAGACUUACUUACCAGUAGCAAGGUUAGAAGCAAUUAGAUUAUUACUUGCUUUUGCUUGUCAUAAAAAUUUCAGGUUAUUUCAAAUGGACGUCAAAAGUGAUUUCCUAAAUGGAUUUAUCCAAGAGGAAGUCUAUGUGGAACAACCACCCGGUUUUGAAGACCCAAGGAAACCAGACUCUGUUUUCAGACUGAAAAAAGCUCUAUAUGGUCUAAAGCAAGCACAUCGAGCUUGGUAUGAUAGACUAAGUAAGUUUUUAAUCCAAAAUGGCUUUGUCAAAGGUAAUGUAGAUACUACAUUGUUUAUCAAAAGAGAAAGCAAAAGUUUUCUACUUGUUCAAAUUUAUGUUUAUGAUAUUAUUUUUGGAUCUUCUAAUGAAAGUCUGUGCAAGAAAUUCUCUAAGUCUAUGCAAGAUGAAUUUGAAAUGAGCAUGAUGAGUGAACUAACCUUCUUUAUCGGGCUCCAAGUAAAACAACUGAAGGAAGGAACCUUUAUUCAUCAAGAAAAGUAUGCUAAAGAUCUUGUCAAAAAGUUUUGAUUGGAGAAUUGCAAAAAGACUGAUGUACCAAUGUCAAAUUCCUUGAAGUUGGACAAAGAUGAAGGAGGAAAGAAAGUCGACCAGAAGCUAUAUAGGAGCAUCAUUGGUUCACUUCUUUACCUUACUGCUUCUAGACCUGAUAUUUUGUUUAAUGUUUGCAUUUGUGCCAGGUUUCAAUCAGACCCGAGAGAAUCUCAUUUAAGUGCUGCAAAACGUAUUAUCAAAUACAUUGCCUCAACUUCAACUUUGGGUCUCUGGUAUCCUAAAGAAGGAGACUUUACUCUUCUUGGAUACUCAGACGCAGACCUAGCCGGAUGCAGAGUUGAUAGAAAGAGCACCUCGGGCACCAAUCAACUACUUGGAAGCAAGACAGUGUCUUGGUUUUCAAGGAAGCAAAGUACAAUAGCUCUUUUGACAACAGAAGCAGAAUAUGUAGCUCUUGGAAGUUGUUGUUCACAAAUUCUGUGGAUAAAACAACAGUUAAGAGACUUUGGAAUUGAAGAUUCACGCACUAAAAUCAAAUGUGACAACACUAGCGCAAUCAAUCUCACCAAGAAUCCAAUUCUUCACUCAAGAGCAAAACAUAUAGAGAUUCGACAUCACUUCAUUAGAGAUCAUGUUCAAAAUGGAGAAGUUUUGAUUAAGUUUAUUGACUCAAAGAAUCAACUGGCGGAUAUAUUUACAAAGCCUUUGGAGAAAAAUCAAUUUGAAGCUAUUCGUUCCAAAAUCAAUAUCUUAAAGUCUAAGGAAGUUCAGACCCAGGACUGAAAGUCUAAAGACUCUCAGACUCAGAUGAUCAAGAUUUUUGACUGUAAGAUAUUUUAUUUUCUCUUAGAUCAAAUCUCGAAAAGGUACGAUCAUCUAUUCGUAAUUGAUUGUUGCUAUUUUUAAUUUCCGUGAUUAUUGUAAUCUUUCCUUUUCGAAAAAGAAAUUUUUAAAAUGACAGUUAUCUAAUUUUUGAAAAGGCAGUUAUUUUUUUAAAAUGUAUCUUUAUAUUUCCUUUUUACAGCGUUCCGUAUACAUCUCUUCGACCGUCUUAUAUACUGUCGGUUCUUCUUCAUUUUACUCUCAAAAACCCUAAGAGAGCACAAAUCUUCCAUUUCUGUCUUCUUCUCUUGUUUAAUCUUCGAAAAGUUGUCAUUUUUUUUUUGAAAACAAGCUUGGAAUCCCUCCAAAUACUGUGAAAAAUGUCUUCUCAAAGAAAGUUUUCGAGGAUCGCGAACAGGGGACCACAGCAGAUGCGUGAGGGGCCUACGCACUUUGAUCUCACCGAGGAAGAUGAAUCUCCUAAUCAGCAACAGAGCCCACAACAUUCUCAGUAGCGUCGAACUCCUCCAUCUAGACCUCAGAAUGUUGCACAUCAAGAAGAGGAAGAAAUCGUUGAAGACGCAAAACCCGUAAGAACUCUUAAGCCUGGCUUUACUUAUAAGCUUUACCGUGCUUUGAAGAGGGGUGGUACUCCUUUAAACUACAUUGACGAAUUUUUGAAAGAAAAAGGGUAUCGAAAUGAAACCUAUAUUCUACGCACGAUGGAACGUUUGGGAAUUACCCCUGCUUGUUCGGCGGAAGAGGCAUUCGCAAAUAUCCCAACCGAUCCACGUGUUGGAGGGCUGAGUCAGCCAGAUGGGAAUGACGAUGACAGGAUGUACAGUCAGUUUAAACCGAGUAUGGGUGUUGGAGCAAAAAUCCAAAGCAAAAGGAUAGACUUGUUUAGAUCGGAUGACCACAAUCAACUAUACUCUAAGUUGCUGAAGCAUGGGGUGAUAAACCCAAGAAGUGUGGAUUUUGAUUUUCUUGACUCUGUGAAUGUCAAUCUGCGGGAAAAAUUCAGUUUUCUUCAACUCGAACAGUUUUGUUCUGAAUCUACAGAAGCCUAUGCUGAACUUACUACUUAUAUCUAUUCGAAUCUUAGUUUCUUGGAUGCGAAUAUAUUCUCUUUUAGUGUUCGAGAUCAAGACCUUGCGGUUGACAUGAAUACAUUGGCUGAUGUGAUUGGGGUUGAAAGAGGGAGAUAUCAACCUAUCAGUGUGUCUAUUGCUCGUGCAACGUUGGAACUUGUUAAGGAUCGAAGAACGGAAGACAAGAUUUCCUAUUCGAGGAUGAAUGCAACCAACAUUCUACUUCACAAGAUUGUGAUUAACUGCCUCAAACCAAAAUCUACUUCAAAGACCGAUGUUUCAAACUCGGAGGCAAAGUUGAUGUAUGCCAUCAACACUGGGAAAAAAAUUCUCUUUUCCACACACUAUUAUGUUCCACAUGUACAGGGGUAGUGGUGAAGGACAAGGGACAACUUCCUUAUCCAGCUCUUGUGACCAAGUUAUUCAGACACUUAAAUAUUUAGCCUCCCCGAAUUCUUUGUGGUCGAGCAUGCGAUCAAAUGGUGGUGGGACUGAAAAUGGUCUCUAAAAUGCAUCUGAAGGAACUCAACAAGGAGUUGGAGAAGUUCAAGGAGAAAACUCCUGUCAAGACUCAUCAAAUAUCUUCAGCUGCAAAAAGGAAAGGGAAGGAGCCCAUGGUUGCUCCAUCCAAGAAAAGAAGAGCUCUCAUCAUUGAGGAUGAAAAGGAUGAGGAAGACAUUACCAUUUCUGCAAUAGCAUUGAAGAACUUGAGUCGUUCUGCACUAGAAUCAAAGGAGAGACAGGAAAAAGACUCGGCUGAAGCAGAACAGAGGACUGGAGAAAGUGAAGAUUUUGAGAAAGAAGCAGAGGAGAGAGAUGCAGAGGAGGAAAGAAUUGAAGAAGAAGAAGAAGAGGAGAGAGUGGAAAAAGAGCAUGAAGAACACUCUUCUCCACCUAAAGGCAUGGAAACAGGGGGAGUUCCUGAGAAAAGAGGAACAUCUUCAAUCCCUGCCACAAGUGAAGGAGUAAGUCGCUUUCCAGCAGAUCCAGAGGACAUCUAUGCGUCACAAUUUCCUGAGGAGGGACACGAUGUUUCAUUGCCCAAUCUGCGUGACAAUGUUGAUUUGCUAUCAUCUGCUUAUACAUUGUCUGAUCGUGCGGAAGCAAGUACUCAGACUGAUAAUUCAGCAAACUUUCGCAGAAUUCUUGAUGUUCUUUUGGAGAUGAAAGGUCAAAUCUAUGCUCUUGGAUGCAAACUUCAGAAUAUGCAUAAUGCAGAACAAGCUUCCUCAGUUUCUUUGAAUGAUCAACUCCAAGCCCUUGCUCUUCAAGUUCAGACAAAUGCUAAGGGUGAAGAAGUAGCACAACUGAAGGAGGACUUAAAAAGGCUGGAUGGCAUUGUUCAGUCAAUGGGAGAUUUCCAGCUUGUCUGUGUUCCCAAGCCAUCUUAAUUUCAUUCUCUUUUCAUCUCUACCUUUUCAAUGAUGACAAAAAGGGGGAGAGAUAUGCAGAUUUGACUGUUUGGAUUUAAAACUUUUUUGAUUGACUUGAUGUUUGUGUUUGGCUAUUUGGAUUUGGACUGGAUUUGGAAUUGACUGUUUGAACAUCUGUUUAUCUUAAGUAUUAUUGAUAUCUCAUGGCCUUGUUCAUAAGACUAACCUACUUUAUGUGGAUACAAAUUCUAGUGUUAUUACUAAGCCAUUUAUCUUUAUGAGAUAUCCAUAUAUGCUUGAGUAAUAUUUUGCAGGUCAAAGUUAUCCAAAUCUGCAGGAAAGUUUUGUCACCAUCAAAAAGGGGGAGAUUGUUGGAGAAAACUUCCUUGAGUGUUUUGAAGCUGAUAAAAUGUUUCCAUUAGUCUAGUCUGAAGACUUGCAGACUCUUCCAUUAAAGUCUGAAAACCUUCGGACUGCCAGACUCAAGACUCAAAGUCUAUCCUCAUUGACAGUUUCUAGACCAUCGAAGAAGACUUAUCCAAAACUGGAUGUUUCGUCAAGGAUUUGACUUUAUCGACUGGAGUAGAUCUUCUGGUUGGAUAUAGCAUGUCGGAAUCCUUUGUUCUAAUCAAGAUUGAUUUGGGAAUCGUGGAUUCGUUGAUUGGCGAAGUAUACUUGGAAGGUUCUACUUAUAGAAACCAAGAUCCUGAUUGUAUGGGCGGGCAGAAUUGAUGAGUUAUCGUCAUGUUCCUUAAAUAGCUCGAAGAUCUUCCUAAUUGAUUCUAUCCAACGGAUAAAUUGGAAGAAUUCCUUUGGUAAGUGCCAAUGAGUAUGAUGGCAUAAAUGAGUAUAUAAGGAAGACGUUCUAGUUGUUUAAGUAUGUGCGCGAUAGAAGAAUUCCAAAGUCCGAAGCUCCUUGUUCUUAGUCAAUUAAACUGUUGAGCGAAAUCUUGUACACAAAAGAGAGUCUAUAUCAUUGAGAGACCUUGAGGAAGUGUAGUAGAGUCUCUACACUGUGGAAUCAAGGAAGAGUCUAACUAUAACAACUCUUUUGUUCAUAGUGAAAUCCAGCUAGUGGGCUGUCAGUGUGGAAGAGUGGACGUAGGCUUGGAUUAAGCCAAACAACUAUAAUCUAUGUGUUCAUAUUCUCUUAUCUACACUCUUUUACUUUGAUCGUAAUUCGUUUUGAGAAUUUCCUUUUCAUAAUCUAUUGUUGAUUAGCACUGCACAUAUCUCACAAAAUAGUUUCUGCACCUAUUCACCCCCUCUAGGUGCUCAUACUAGCUUUCACAAUUUCGUCAUUAGGUUAAAUUGCAUUGCAUAAAGCAUGAUUCUCAUUAAAUAAGUGAAAACAAAAAAAAAAAAUUAAGUGUUAAUUAGAAAUCAUAUCUAUGACUGUUGAUUUGAAUUCUGAUCUAACAUCGCAGAUGCUUUCGUUGCCAUGAGAUUUGGGUAUUAAAUUGGUGGUUUGCGCACCCGCAUGAUAACAUUACAUGUUAGGGAAGUAAAUUGAAAUUAAUUCAAGCUAUUUGCCAAAUAUUUUUUCAAAAUAAAAGAGAAAGGUACCGAAAUUACGUUAGAGAAAUCUGGCAUAAUCAAGUUCCCGAACUCAUAAAUCUCUGGUUCAUAGGAGUAAAGUAAAUCUCUCAUUACUUUAAUCAACCCACCGAAAAAUAAAUUAGUGGCGACUCCUGAUUAAAAAAUCAUUUGCAUGUUAAGGAUUUGAACCUAAAUUGUGAAUUGAUAUAGGCUUGGGAAAGCCCGAGCUAAGUCUAGGCUUAGUAAUCCAUUAGCCAAACCUUAGGUGGUUCACCCGAAAAUUUGGUCGCGACAUACGGAAAUAUCAAUUUAAAGUUUUUCGAGACAGGAAAAACAAAUAAUUUGAAAAAAAAAUGAUCCGAUUACUAGUUUGGGAUUUUUGGCGAUACUAACUCACCACAAACGCUUAUCUUAUAUAAAACUGGUUACAGGAAAAAAAAAAAAAAAAGAACAGAAAAAAAGCUUAGUGCAGACUAAGAGAUAAAGAACACCAAGGGCACUUUCUUACAGUGGAGACAAAGGAAAGAAACUACAACAUAUAUACUAAGGAUGAGCACCUUUGACACAUUAAAAAAAAAAAAAAAGGUUUAUUGGUUGGAUUCAGUCCCUUCAGUUCGGAUACUCCCUCUAAUUAUGCAGAGACUGCAUUAUGCGAUCUGGGUCAUAGCAGCACCAUAUAAGAGAGAACAGAGCAGAAGCAGCAGCAUGGAAAUUUUAGGGCGUCAGUCCCACUGCUUGCUCCCACAGCUGACUUGUGUAAUCACUCCAACCACAGGACUUCUCGAUCAGAUCCUCCAGCUCAAGAUAGAUUCCUGUGUCAUCCAUUGCCAGUUCUUUUGCUUCUACAUCCAUCGCAUCAUCGCCCAUGACCACGUUGUCUCCGAGGAGCUUCUCCGACUUCUCAUGGAAAACCGAAGGCAAAUCUGACGGACUAGCUCCGGCCUUCUGAUCAGGUGUCCGACCCUGCACAGCCCUGAAAUCUCCGCCAUCUAUAGGAGGAGGCCAUGGGUUGUGCAUCUGAACGGUCUGAAAAUCCACUGGCGCAACAUUGUUCGGCCAAGACUCCAUCUGUCCUGGAUCAUCGCCAACUCUUGGGCAAUCAACGUUCGGGCUUUGAAUCUUGUGAUCCAUUACUUCGAGCAAGCAUUUGGUGGCUUCGCUAUCGAGACUAAGCAAUUUGUUCUUCUCGCUCGAUUCACAAGCCUCUAAUUCUCUCUUCUGCCUCCUCUCUUGGAUUAAAUGGACAAAGUUUGGGCUUUCGGUUGCUUUGGAGAGGAGGUAUAUUUGCCGACACCUGCACUCAGCAUAGCGAAUCCGCUCGGCGACCUGAUUGAUCUCAUGCUGCGAGUGCUCCCGCUCUUCUCUUAGUUUCAGGAUCUCGGUCUUCAAUACUUCCUGGUCCUUCUUAAGCAUUUCAAGUUCAGCUUCCUUUCCAGCCUCUGGGUAAUCCGAAGCAACCGUGCGACUCAAUGUUUUCCGGCUGAGUUUGCGUCUCCUCCUUAUGUUCUUCAGCAAGUGCUUCUUUCCUUUCUGAAAACUUCGGUUCGCAAACUCCCAUUGAUCUGUGUCCAUCUCCCUAAAACCCUGCGACAUAUCUUGGAUCAUGAUGCAUGAAGAAUAGGAGGAAGCUGGGUUGAGGAGUUUAAAUUGAAACAGAAGUCCCAAAGAGGGUAUGGACAAAUUUAAUGACUCGAUAUCAAUCCGUCAACUUCAUAAAUACGAAGACAAAAGUGCAGAACUAUGCUUUUGGUCUUGCCCAAAAAGGAGAAGUGUCAGAAGGCUUUACCAAAACGUCGGAUAGAAACAAAGCGAUGGCUCAAAGAGUCUCAUCUCCAGCUGGAAAGUGCAUAAUGGAGCAUCAACACAGUAGUGCAUUUCUAAUCCAAAUGAAAAUUUAACAUUUGAGAAAAGCACUCAAACACAAAUCCGGUGAGAAGAUAAAUCUUUAAUGGGUAUCCUGACGUCUUGGUUGACAUGGUAGUUUCUGCAAACUACCAUAAAAAGCAUCAUCACUUGAAUAUGAUGACGGGCCAUUGGCCCCUGGCCGAUGGAUGCAAAUUUUAGUGAACAUGUGCCUCAUGAUCCAUGAUAUUUCGCAUAGAAUCGAUGUAUCUCAUCUGCCAUUCCAAAUUUCUUCGUUCCUCGUCCCCUAAUCUAGGUAAAGCACAACUAAUAACCGAGCAAGUGGGUAAAACUGAAUCUCAACACAGGAGCAAAACGUGGCGAGUGGGUUCCCUUAGAACCUAGCUACUUUGCCCCGGGGACUAUCCGUUGGGACAAUGAGGAGUAGUUGGAUGCCCCCAAGAGGAUCACACUCUGAACUGCAAAUAAGAAGAAGAAAAACAGCCGAAACAGAGGGAAAAAUAAAAGACAGCUGAAACACAGUCAAACCAAAAAAAACAUACAGACAUUAUACGCAUUUGUAUCAAUAGGUGUUGAGCUGCCAAGGGGUAAGUUUCAAGCAAAAACAUGGACAAAAAACACAAUCCCGUUCGAAGGGAAUACCCACGUAAGUGUUAAGCUGCCUGAUGAAGCUGGAGAAAUUGGAGUGCUUGAAGUAUCGGGGCAGGAGCUGCUUCGAGAACUCGUGCGGGUUCCAAACCACGAUGCUUUUCCGGCUGGAACCCCACGACACCACCGGGUCCGUACUCGGGUCCGACACCAUCUCGUACGUCUUCUUCAGGAAGGGCGCCGGCCCCGCCUCCCCUAGCCCCUGCAUCGGUCUCGCCACUUCGUCCGCCGCUGCCUGCAAGGAGCACGACGGCGAUCCGGCGGCAGCGUUUCUUGGAUCAGCAAUGAUCGCCACCUCCUCAUCUUCCUCUUCCUCUUCGAUCUUCACCACCUGCGCGGCCAGAGCCGGAUGGGGUUCGGGCCGCGUCAGGCACGAACGCAAGAGCGGCCCGGCAUCAAUUUCGCCGUCGGCGAUGGCUAAUUUUGGGGACGGAACCGAAUGGGGAAGCGACCCUAGGUCGCCGGGG
rnacentral:lncRNA from 1 species